rnacentral:lncRNA from 1 species
ACAGUUGUCUCCUUCAUGCAACGCGUUGCCGCACGAACGAGUGACGGCAGCCCACCUCUGUAGACUGAUCUGAGCCAAAUCUGCGGCGGUAAAUGCAUUGCAAAUUGCCAGGAGGUUCGCUGAAUGCGUCACUACUUGGCAGCAUGCGCGGCUUGGUUCGAAUGGCCAGUGCGCACCUUUUCUAAUAUUGAACUUACAGUGUUCCAUCACCUCAUCUUUUUCAAUGGCAGCUUGAGACUUACUUGCCCAUGUAUGGUUUGGGAAAAAAGAGACCGUCACAAAAACUACGAGGUAGAACAUGGCAACCGCUCUAGCACUAGCCAUAUCAAUCAACUUUGAAAGAUGCAGACCAAUACUUAUGCAGGCAGGUGACUCGGUAUAUGUAUGUUUUUGAUCGAUGUGUGAUUGUGUAUCACCUAGGCUCUCUAUUUAUAUAGGCAGUGUGCUAUGGGAAAUGCCACUUAUCUUCAUGCUUAAGUUAUGCAUGGGUGAUAUCUUGCUAGAAAAUUUAUUGGUUGCAUUUGAUUCAUUUAGUAGGUUCUACUCCCUCCGUCCAGCUUGAUUGGACCCAUGAGCCAACUAGCGGAGUCCCUAUUGGUAAGGCCCGGACAUUUAAAGCACUAAGUUUCUGCCCUUAAUUCUUGAGUUUUUCACUUUGUUGAUUCCAAUGAAACGCAUGCAACCACUUAAAUCGCUGCACUUAAUUAGGCCUGGCGAGUAUGCAGCCAAUUACAUGCAAGCGCACGCAUGCAGUCACUUAAAUCACUGCAAUCAAUGCCUCUAAAUUACUACGCAUGCGGUUAAUUGUGCCUAGAAGAGUGUAUGACUUGGUCUUCGUAUUUUGGCUCUAGGGCCCAAUAAACCCAGACGGAGGGAUUAAUUAUAAAAUAGGAUAUGUAUUAGUAUCUCGAUGUGUUGUCAUUAAUUUAGACACAGCUAAUGCAUGUACUCCCUCCUUUCCGGUUUAAUUAUAGGGCUUAAAUUUGAAAUCUCAUCAACCAAGGCAGAUAAUGAGUGGAGAAAUGUAUCUCAUAGUUUACAAAAAUAACCAACUUUAAUCUACAUUAAUCACAAUACAUGCAUGGAUGACCACUACUCCCUUCGGCCGGGUUUAUUGGGCCCAUGAGCCAACUAGCGGAGUCCCUGUUUGUAAGGCACGGACAAUUAAAGCACUAAGUUUUUCCCAUUCGUUCUUGAGUUGUUCACUGUAUUGAUUCCAAUGAAAUGCAUGCAACCACUUAAAUCUCUGCACUUAAUUAGGCCCGGCGAGUAUGCAGUCAAUUACAUGCAAGCGCACGCAUGCAGCCACUUAAAUCACUGCAACCAAUGCCUCUAAAUUACUGUGCAUGAUGUUAAUUGUGCCUAGAAGAGUGUAUGACUUGGUCUCCGUGUUUUGGCUCUCAGACCCAAUAAACCUGGACGGAGGGAGUAAAUGAGUAGGAAUAGUCACAUGCAUUUGUUGGUUUCUUUUCAUCCUUGCAUGCAUCAAUUUAAUGUACCUUGGAACGUGAACAUGCGGUGGAAAGAAGUGAAAAUAAGACUUAUAAUAUGAUAAACCAAGAAAAUGAUAUGAGAGAAAACAGUCGGUGCCGGCACCAGUCUCAUGAACAACUUGUUUCUUGACGACUUCGCCUCUCAUGGCGACAGACAUGGCGACCGACGUGCGAUGGCGAGUCUCCUACACCGCCGACUUUGUGACGGGCAAGCUCGCCUUCUCCGAUGUGGUUCUUCUCCUUCGACGAGAGGCUCUCUGUCUGGUGCUGGUGGAUGCGCGCGGCGUCACGAUUGAUGUGUGUUUCCCCCGGCCUGAUGAGUCCGUUGAAAUCAGAGACAUCGUGUCCUUCCCUUGCCAUUUUGCGAGAAUUCGAGGUCGACUACCACCGACGAGACUGGUGCCAGCGCCGACGAGUGCACCGACCGACAAGGAUACGGUACACGGGCGGUGCACGGGGAGACAUGCGGGUGGACCGACGAGGGCUGGUGCGGGCCCGAGCUCCCCCACCUACCCAUCCAUGGCGGAUGUGUUGGGGAACGUAGUAAUUUCAAAAAAAAUCCUACGCACAAGCAAGAUCAUGGUGAUGCAUAGCAACGAGAGGGGAGAGUGUCGUCCACGUACCCUCGUAGACCGAAAGAGGAAGUUUUAGAACAAUGCGUUUGAUGUAGUCGUACGUCUUCACGGCCCGACCGAUCAAGCACCGAAACUACGGCACCUCUGAGUUCUAGCACACGUUCAGCUCGAUGACGCCCCUCGAACUCCGAUCCAGCCGAGUGUCGAGGGAGAGUUCCUUCAGCACGACGGCGUCGUGACGAUCUUGAUGUUCUACCGUUGUAGGGCUUCACCUAAGCACCGCUACAAUAUUAUCGAGGACUAUGGUGGAGGGGGGCACCGCACACGGCUAAGAGAUCAAGAGAUCAAUUGUUGUGUCUAGCUAGAGGUGCCCCCCUGCCCCCGUAUAUAUAGGAGCAAGGGGGGAGGGGCGGCCGGCCAGGGAGGAGGUGCGCCAAGGGGAGUCCUACUCCCACCGGGAGUAGGACUCCCUCCUUCCUUGUUGGACUUGGGGAAGGGGGGAAGAGGAGGGAGAGAGAGGAAGGAAAGGGGGGGGGGGUGCCGCCCCCCUCUCCUUGUCCUAUUCGGACUAGGGGGGUGGGGCGCGCGGCCCUACCCUGGCCUCCUCUCCUCUUCUCCACUAAGGCCCACUAUGGCCCAUUAAGUACCUGCGGGGUUCCGGUAACCUCCCGGUACUCCGGUAAAAUCCCGAUUUCACCCGGAACACUUCCGAUAUCCAAAUAUAGGCUUCGAAUAUAUCAAUCUCCAUGUCUAGACCAUUUCGACACUGCUCAUCAUGUCCGUAAUCACAUCCGGAACUCCGAACAACCUUUGGUACAUCAAAACUCAUAAACUCAUAAUAUAACUGUCAUCGAAACCUUAAGCGUGCAGACCCUAUGGGUUCGAGAACUAUGUAGGCAUGACCGAGACACGUUUCCAGUCAAUAACCAAUAGCGGAACCUGGAUGCUCAUAUUGGCUCCUACAUAUUCUACGAAGAUCUUUAUUGGUCAAACCGCAUAACAACAUACGUUGUUCCCUUUGUCAUCGGUACGUUACUUGCCUGAGAUUCGAUCGUCGGUAUCUCAAUACCUAGUUCAAUCUCGUUACCGACAAGUCUCUUUACUCCUUAUGUAAUGCAUAAUUCCGUAACUAACUCAUUAGUUACAUUGCUUGCAAGGCUUAUAGUGAUGUGCAUUACCGAGAGGGCCCAGAGAUACCUCUCCGACAAUCGGAGUGACGAAACCUAAUCUCUAAGUAUGCCAACUCAACAUGUACCUUUGGAGACACACUUGUAGAGCUCCUUUAUAAUCACCCAGUUACGUUGUGACGUUUGGUAGCACAGAAAGUGUUCCUCCGGUAAACGGGAGUUGCAUAAUCUCAUAGUUGUAGGAACAUGUAUAAGUCAUGAAGAAAGCAAUAGCAAUAUACUAAACGAUCAAGUGCUAAGAUAACGGAAUGGGUCAUGUCAAUCACAUCAUUCUACCAAUGAUGUGAUCCCGUUAAUCAAAUGACAACUCAUGUCUAUCGUUAGGAAACAUAACCAUCUUUGAUUAAUGAGCUAGUCAAGUAGAGGCAUACUAGUGACAUUAAGUUUGUCUAUGUAUUCACACAUGUAUUAUGUUUCCGGUUAAUACAAUUCUAGCAUGAAGAAUAAACAUUUAUCAUGAUAUAAGGAAAUAAAUAAUAACUUUAUUAUUGCCUCUAGGGCAUAUUUCCUUCAGGAUGUGCGCCACGUGGGGGUACAUCCAAUCCUCCAUUCCCAGCUGCGGGUUCGCGGUCAGGAUAUAAAAUCCAAGCCGAGCCUAGUCCUUGACCUAGAAACAGCCUUCUCCCACUUCUAGAUGGCGGAGAGAAACCCUAGAUCGAGUUUUCCGAUCUCCUACGGGUGGUGGAAGGGCAAGGUGAGAGGAGAUCCGCGUUCGUUCGCUGCGGUUGCGGCUUCCCCCCACUCCCUCCCAUGGAUGCGGGGCGUGGAUUUGAUGGGGGUCGACGCGGUGGUGUGGGAGCGGGCCGUGAAGCUCAGGCCGAGGAAACGGCUGGGGAGGAGAGCGGAGCAAGUACUCCUGGAAGCGCGAUGAUGGCGGCAACCGCACCAUCUCGUCGUCGUCUAAUGCGGCUUCGGGCUCGUUCGACACUUCAAGGUGGGAGGCGGCGGCGGAGACGGCUCCGACGCGCCGUGAUCCCAAGGAGGGGGGCAUCUGUGUGGAGAAGCACCAGAUAUCCUCGAGCUCAGGGGGCAAUGGAGGAGGACAGGAUCCAUCCUCACCACCUCAUCGUCCUCAGGAGAAAAAUCACCGCCAGGUGCCUCCUACCAAAAACUCUAAACCCUGCCCUAUUUGCAAAUCUCAUGAACAUCUGCCUGUCCGAUGCCCACAAGGUUUAUGUGAACGUUGCAAUACCUUAUGCCAUCUUUCUUCUAUCUGCACGGCUUUUCUUCCUUGGGAAUGCAUUGCCCCGAUGUUCGCCUUUCAAUCUAAAGGGCGGGGUUUCUAUUAUAUUCAUGAUUCUUGUACUGCUAAUCAGCUUAAGGAGAGAUCUAAUAGUGUUGUAGUCACCAUUGUCGAGGGGGAAACUUCCACACGCCAAAUGGAAAUUGAUCUCACAAAUUAUCUGGCCACUGUAUGGCGUUAUUCUGCCCAUGCCAUUGGCCCCAGGGUUUUUGUGGUUCAUUUCCCUAACCCAAGCUCAGUUGCUCAAAUUUUCUAUGUUGGGCGGGUGACUCUCAAAACCACUGGGGUUGUGAUACAUGCUUCUCCUUGGUCAUCUGUUAUUGGGUCAAAAGGGGUUAUGGAAGACGCUUGGGUCAAAAGGGGUUACGGACGAGGAGUUAACUGAUAUGAUGGUUGACAUGGAGUUUGGAGAACUGAUGAAAGACUGGAUAGAAGAUUGGUCAGAUGAUGAAAAUUCAGAUCUUGGAGAUCAGUCAGACAAUGGGAACGAAUGGGAAGAUUUUAAUGUGAGUGGCAUUAUCAUGUUGUAAUUUUUUGGUGCCAUCCGACAACAUUAUAUUUUUGUGUUGAAAUUUUAUAGAUUGAUGAGCAUGAUGAUGGUUAGGGAAACAAUUCGGAGCUCUCGAAUGAAGAUUACAUUAGUCAGGUACGUAAGUGAAAAUUUUUGUUGGCAUGCAAAUUGAAUUCAUUCUGAUAUAUAAUAUGAUAAGUAAUUAUGUAUUUGUGUUGUAUUUUUCAGUUCAUUUCUGAAUGUCAUCAUGCGUAUGACUAUUACGGUGAAUCCGACACGGAGACAGGCCUUAACGAUGAAUCAUUACACACACCUGAUUUUGGGGAUGGGCAGUCGUCGGUCAUCAUGAGUGAGGUAUUUGUGUAAUCAAUGUUCUAUGGAAGUAAUGUUAAACCAUAGAAAGCUGUUUUCAUGCAUAUGUUUUGAUUGUGUAGGUGACAGAAGUUGAUGGGGCAAAGAAUGUCCAAGAUACUGCCAGUGCAGAUGAUAAGAGGGAUAAGUUCAGGCAGAUAAUGGAAAUGACUUUUAUGUCUCACGAUGCUGCGUAUGAUUUCUACAACAACUAUGCUAGAGUUACUGGUUUCAGCAUUAGAAAGAAUAAGGUCAAGUAUAGCAAAACCGAGUCACAUCAUAUGCGUUAUAGGUGGUUUGUUUGCUCCAGACAAGGGAAAUGUGAAAGCAAGUUGCUAACAGAGGAAGGACAUAGCCGUAGGCUCAGACCCGAGACACGCUGCUUUUGUGAAGCACACCUGACCGUCAAGCUUGACCAAAAGCGUGGGGUUUGGUAUGUUGAAAGUUUUGAGGACAAGCAUAGCCAUAUGUUGGUAGGACCGGAUGAGGUACCUUUUCUUUGGUCCCACAGAAAAAUCAAAGAGUACCAGAAGCAUGAGAUAAUGUCCAUGGGAGCUGCAGGGAUUAGAAUUCAUGACAUGAUGGAUUCCUUCAUUAGCAAACAUGUAUGGUAUGGCGGUGUUGGUUUUACCAGCCGUGAAAUAUACAACUUUUGCGCCAAGGAGAAGAGGAAGCUGCUUUCAAAAGGUGAUGCUGCCACAGCCAUAGGCAUCAUGACUAGUAGGAAACAGAGGGAUCCUAGCUUCUUUUUCGAGUACAAGCUAGAUAAGGAAGGACACUUGAAUAGGAUGUUCUGGUGUGACUCCCAGUCUCGUCAUGAUUACGAGGACUUCGGGGACAUGCUUGUAUUUGACAGCACGUACAAGAUGAACCGCUAUGGUAUGCCAUACAUACCUUUUGUUGGUCUUAACAAUCACCGGAAGACCACUGUUUUUGGUUGUGCCAUAGUUUCGGACGAGACCGAACAGACAUACGUGUGGCUGUUGCAGGCUUUUUUGAGGUGCAUGUAUCAAAAGAUGCCGAAGAGUGUAAUCACGGACGCCGACGCUGCAAUGAUCAAGGCUAUUCGCGAAGUCUUGCCAGACGUGUGGCACCGUAUAUGCAUGUGGCAUAUAGAAAAAAAUAUGAAUACUCACCUCAGUCACAAGUCCUUGAAGGAGUUCCGAACUCUUCUGUACUAUAACACAUCCACGGCCACAUUUGAGGAGAGAUGGCACGCAUUUUCCAAAAAAUGACAGUCAGAAAAAGUUGUAACAUGGUUGAGACGGAUGUAUAAGAAGAGGAGACUAUGGGCCGCGGCAUAUCUGACAGAGGGGUUUUGGCUUGGCAUGAAAAGCAACCAGCGGAGUGAAAGCCUGAACUCAUGCCUUCACCUCCACCUAGACGGUGAAAUGACCUUAGUGGAUAUGAUUUUGCAUUAUGAGAACGCUGUUGUACGUAUCCGUGAAAACGAGGUGCGAGAUGACUGCACGGCCUCACAGAGUUUACCGGUGCCAGUUACUAGCUCGAGGGAACUUGAGAUAGCAGCUUCUCACAUCUUCACUCCAGCAAAUUUCUAUAUGUUGCAACAAGAUCUUAGAAAAAUUGACGGCAUGGAGAUUGUAGAAAUUAAGCUGGGAGACGGAUCACAACAGUAUAUUGUGGCCUAGAAGAAUAACCGAAAGAAUAUCACUAUAUGUUGCAUCAUUCAGUCACACCAUUUAAUUACAUUUAUCUCUGCCUAUAAAUGAAUCCAAUACAAAAGAAACCUAACUAAAUAUCUAAUUAAGAAACACUAAUUAGUACAUCUACUACUUCAUUCAAUCACAUAAUCUAUAUAACUGUCUAUAAAUGAAUAAUACAAAUAAACCUUAACUAAUCAACUAAUUAAUAAAACCAUAACUACUACAUCUACUGGAUGAUUCAAUCAUAGAUCAUACAUAUAACUGGCUAUAAAUGAAUCCAAUACAAGAAAACCCUAACUAAACAUCUAAUUAAAAAACCCUAACUACUACAUCUACUGGAUGAUUCAUAUGACAUUCAUGCAUGGAGUUAUGCAACAAUAAUUUAAUAUGAGUUGGUCAUCUGGCAUAGUUGCAUGUCUAGCAAACCUACUUAUGGUUCACUUUAUAAGUACAGGAAUCCUACAGAUCAAAAAUAAACCUACCUACAAUUUGAGUUUAUAGAUAAUGAAGUGAAGCUCCUAACUAUUUUGAAAUUGUGCACUAGUUAAACGUACUGUGUUCAUUUCAACAAUUAAUUGAUAGACUUCAAAUGAACAAAGUAGGAUUUAACCUCAUUUGUACAAUAUCAACUUUAAUAGAUACACUGGGUGGCGGCUCAGCCGCUGCCGUGGCCCACUGAGGGAAUAUGCAAAACAAAUCUAAGAACAUAUACAACACAGAACAAAAUCUAAGCACAUGAGGCAAUCCAGAUUCUAAUUUAAAAACAUAACUCUCAUUAUGAUCUCUCUAACAUUCAACCAUGAAUCAACUAUAAAAAGCCCUAACUCUCUAAUGGGGUUCCCCAUUCAAUCAAAAAACCCUAACAAGCAGAAGGGGGUGCCGCAUUCAAUCACAAAUCUACAAUAAAAAAAACCUAUCUACUAAAUCUUUGCUUAAAAACUACAACUAAGAGAGGAGGGGAACGAGAAGGAUUACCACAUCCACCACCUUCUCGUCGCUCGCCUCCGCACCUGCAUCCAGUGCGCCGCGAGACACCGUCACCACCAGGUCUGGCACGACGGAGUCCGAGCCCACCACCCCCUGCUCCACCAGAUCCGCCACCGCAGCGACCGAUCCAGCGACUGCGGGUGCAGCAUCUCCCGCACCGCCGACGGCGACCACUUCUUGGACGGCAUCUGCCGCGGCCUCGACCGCAACUCCGUGCGCAGCGGUGGCAGCGCCACCACCUUGCGCCAUUGAAGCCUAAGAGAACCCACCGGAGAGAGGGAGGCCUUGGGGUUGAGCGAGUAGGUGCGGUGGCGCGGCGAUGGAGACGAGGGGGAGACGAUGCGGCAAAGAGAGAGGGAGUGAGCCGAUUUGGGGUAAAUGGUGGGGGCGAUGCGGUCGGUGGUGGUUCCCCUCCCUCUUUAUAGGAUGUGACGUUUUUGGAAGUUUUCGUGCGCUCCCAAACAAGUGUUUUUUUAUUGCCUCAGUCCUCUCUCUCUCCCACUUAGUGGAUAUUCAUUGCGUGGGUUAAUUUGGCACCAGAGCAAAGUAGGUGAGCAAUGGAGGGGCAUCGAUGCCAAAUGCAUCACAAGUGAACUUGGCACAUGUUUUGGCCAACAUAGCCCACUUUGGUAAUACUACCUCGUAUUUAGUAUAAACUUUUGACCAGAGAUUUACCUAAGAAAAUGCCAAUGCAUGUCACUAAAAAUUACACCAUUUGAAAUUAUGUCCAAAUACGAAUCCAACGAUAUAGUUCUUAGUGACAUGCAUUAACAUUUUGUCAGUUAAAUCUAUGGUCAAAUAUUGAUACUACAAAAUUGGAAGAGUAAACCAGGAUGGAGGUAGUACUUGCUCUUAAGGUAACCAUAGAGUUACUGGAGUAGUCUAAGUUACUUUCCACUAUGACUAGCCUAGGCUACUAUAGUAGUACAUCAUAAAAAUGAUGCAGAUGAUCACGUGAGAAAAAAAUACUAAAAACAUUUCUUUCGGUGCAGUGCGUAGAUGCAGUUUCGAACACUACAGUUGUCAUCGUAAUUUGGGAAAAUUAUGAAAAAAUUGAGCUACGUUGUGAUUACUGUUUACUUAUAGGAAAGAAGUUUCACCUUGAUGAGUAGCUUCUCCUUUCACGGAAAGCAUGUAAGGAAUCCAACAACUUGAUCCAGAUUGGGGCCGAUAGAUUUUAGUGCUAAGAUCUUCACUGUGCACAUGGACUGGGUUAAGUUUGUGGGAAUCAUUUUCUUGAAGACGGUCGUAAAUACAUCAAGAAUAAAUUUAAAAAUGUGAAUUUCAAGAAGACAGAGAAGAAGAUGAGUGAUGUACCUGAAUGAUUACGGAUCCAAUAAAGAGUUCGGAGAAUUUGGCAGACGAGUACACCAACGCUGUCAAUUUCGGCGCAUCAAUGACCCUGAUUUUUAUUGGACCUUCUAGAUCCGAUACAAGCAAUCUCUCAAGGAAAGGCACAUUCUCAAUGACCAUAAUGUGGAACAGAUGGAGUGAUCUCUUCCCAAUUGAUGUCUUGUUGCGGGGCCAGCAAGACACGUAAAUCCAUCAGAUAUUCGUCGAGGCGAUGUGGAGGGUAAUGAACCCGUGGAUCUGCUCAAGACGAAGGUACUCGAGCGCAUACAGCUGCGGAGUAGGUGCUCCAUAGCCUUCUUCGAGAUGACAAUGUUGAAGAGGUCGAGAUGCUUGAGCUGAGGGAGAAGAAGGGCGGGCGCGACAUUAAUUUGGGAAAGAUAGCAGGAGCUGAAGCUGGCGCGGCGCAGCGUUGGCGUGAGGCGGAGCGCGGACGGCGGCACAGAGCGACAUCGUCCAGCUUCAAAGCUGAGCUCCUCGAGCUGAUCUAGGGCGAGGGAUAAGAACCACUCGUCGAACUUGGGUUGGACCUUGCAGUUGGUACUGAACAUGCGGAUGUCAAGGCGUCUGGCUGGCCCAGGGUGCGAUGAAAGGAUCUUGGAGACUGCGGCCAUGCGUUUGCAAUCCCCGUCGCAGAGGCGGCUGUCGACGGUGAGGUUGAGGGGGACGCAGCGCCAGAGGGGGCGCCACCGCCGGGAGAGCAGGGCGGUCCGAACGGCAGAUUUGGUGGGGAGGAGGCCGAUGAUGACGAGCAGCAUGUCGUCGGGGAGGCUGCUGAUGAAGUCCAGGCUCGCCGGAUGCGGUUUUGGCUCGAGCCACCUCCACUUGUUGGCUGCUUUGCCGUCCAUCUCAACCGACGGCGACGACGAUGUACACGUGUGCUGGUGUGUGUUGUGUUUUGGGUGUGCGCGAGUGCGUCCUUCUAUGCAUGCCGCCGCGGAGUGGUUAAUUGUGCGCGAGUGCGUCCUUCGCGCGCAAGAAGUUUGUCCUCAAUGCGCCCUCAAUUUACUAGCAUGCGGGGUGCUACCCCGAGUGGUUUCAACUUUGUUUACUUCACGACGUGUCAGAUGGGCCUCUAGUUUACUUAUUUUCACCCACUGCCACAUGGGCCAGCACACCAAGAUACAAAACAUGAGCUGACAAGGCAGCAUGUGGAUUGGUUGACCGGUCAACUAAACAAUAUAAGGAGCUAUACGCUGACACAGUGAGCAUAUAAUCCAUCGGUAUAGAGAGUUCGAGUGAGAGGGGAGGCCCGUGAGAGAUAGCAGAGAGAGAGAGAGAGAGAGCUACUCCCUCCGUUCAAAAAUGUAGUUCCAACAUUUUUUUAGGUCAAACUUUUGAGACUUUGACCAAGUUUAUAAAGAAAUUACUUAUAUCUACAAUACCAAAGAUAAAUAAUAGUAUGAAGUAAGUCCAUGUUGUGAUGAAUCUAAUGAUCAUUCCAGAUGUAAAUGUUUUUCUCCACAUAUACCUGUUCAAACUUUUCUGAGGUUUGACUUUUCAAAACAUCCAUAUGCUUAUGGAUGUGACAGAGUCCCUAACGAGAGAGAGAGAGAGAGAGAGAGAGAGAGAGAGAGAGAGAGAGAGUGAAAAAAGUGUGUGUGCAUGUGUGAAAGAGACAUGGACAACACAUGAUAAAAGUAGAGAAAAAGCGUGCGUGUCUUAUGCAAACAUAUCACACAUGCAUCUUCGACAACGGAGGCAAAGUGAGGAGAUAGUGUGUGGUUAUUUGGAACCGAGAGAGCAAGACCCCUAGCACAUGGCCAAGAGGGGUCUGACAAACAAGGGAGAGAGGUCGAGAGAGACGUACGGAGAAAAUGAAGACAUGGGGAGGAAGAGUGUAUGUUUGUCAUAGAGAGAUCCCCUGGAGAUCGUGAUGGGACUACAUGGGUGGUAGAUCGAGUGACAAGGUGUGUGCGCGAUAGAAGAUGCCCUGAGAGAUAUCGAGAUAGACAUAUGGAUGGAAGGAGCCAAUACGUGUGUUCCUGAUGACUAGUAAGAGAUAAUCAUACUUAGGAGGAGGGGGAGUGCUUGAGCCUAUGGCCCUGUUUGGAUACUCUAACUCAGUUAGAGGUUAGAGUUAGAGUCUAACCCUGAACUAACCCUGAACUAACUCUAAGUAAAGAGGUGUUUGGAUGGCAGGGUUAGAUGGAGCAGGAUACGGCAAGGAACCUUCACGGGCGGUGCGAGAGGGAGGGAGGGAGAGGACGAGAAGCUUCGAGGAAGUGGGGAGGGAUCUGCUGUGGGGAGAGCGAGAGAAAAAAGUGUUUAUUAGUGGUCCCGAGAAGAACUAACCCAAAUAAGCACCUCUUGGAUGGGUUAGUUUUUUUGGAUGGGUUAGAUGCAUCUAACCCAAACUAACCCUCCUGUUUGGAUCUUUUUGGGUUAGUUGACUCCAAACUAACCCAAACUAACUCUAACCCAUGGAUCCAAACAGAGCCUAGGAUGGAGUGAGGGAUUAUGGUACUUAGGGGGGUGUGUGUCACAUGGAGAGAGAACAAGGGUGGAGAGUGUUGGAUGGGUCUAUAUGUAUAGCGCGAGCGAGACAUGUGUAUGCAUGUGUGAACCAGGGAGAUAUAAGGCCAGUUUGGCUUGCGUCGUGAGCAUCUUUUGCGUGGCCUGGGGUUGUGGCUGAAUUUCAUGCAUGCUUGUUUGGUUGCCACCCUGUGAAAAACAAAGCCCGUCUGGGCUGGGUUCCCUUGCACUUUAAUUAGCCUGGCUAAACUCCAGACACUGCAAGUAGCCUGGCCCAAGCGACCGAUUUCAAACGCCUGGCCGUGCCUGGUCGUGCAGCCACGAGGCUAACAGCAACAUGGAUGGAUAUUAGCAUUAAAUAAUUGAUGCAUGGAUUGAUUGAUGGGACGUUGAUGCUUUGCCUGGCCCAGGCAUGAACCAAACGCUUCAGCACCACACAAGCCUGGCUAGACAGAAAUAUUUAACAUCUCACGUCCACACAAGGCAGUACCGGCCAUCAAGGUAUGAGGGUCAGAUCACGAACCAAACUGACCAAUAAAGUUUGAGAGAGAUUGAGGAGCCCCGAUAAGGCUGAGUGGUGCGUCAGAUAGCUGAGAGGGGGUAAGAGAUAUUCUAUCCGCUCGAUAAUGCAGUGCAUGUAAAUUUUUAGAAGCCAAGCUUUGGAAACUUUGAUGAGGUUUACACAAAUGUUUUUUAUAUCUACAAUACCAAAGAUACAUCAUACAAACUACAUCUCAUGGUGAAUCUAAUGGUACAUGUUUGCCGUACUAGAUGUAAUUCUUUUUCUCCAUGUACAUGGUCAAACUUUGUGAUGUUUGACUUUUCAAUAAAUCUAUAUGCUAUGGACGGAGGAGAGUGCCUCAGUCGAGACAGAUCAAGUGCGUGUGAAGGAGAAUGAGUAAGUGUGCAAAAAUAGAAUGUGUGUGAAAGAGAAAGUGUCAACAAACGAUAAAUUAGAGAGAGAGAGAGUGUGUUUUUUCAUUUCUUAUGCGAACAUAUCACGCAUGCAUCUCCGAGAUGGAAAAGCGAGGCGAGGAGAUACAUGAAGAUAGCUAGUGUGUGAUUGUUUGCAACGGAGAGAGACACCCCUGUAGCACAUGUCCAAUAGAAGUCUGGCCAACAAGGAAAAAGGUCGAGAGGGACACAUGGAUGGCAUGGACGUAUGGGGAAGGAGAGAGGGUGUGUUUGUGAUAGAGAGAUCCCCUCGAGAUCGUGAGGGGACUAUAUGGGUGGGAGAUCGAGGGAGUGCGUGCGCGAUAGAAAGAUGCCCCGAGAGAAAUCGAGAUAGACCAUGCACAUGUUUGUGAUGGAGACCAAUAUUAGUUAGUCAUAUACAUAUAGGGGGGACUGCGUGUGCCUCCAAUUGAGUGAGAGACCAUCAUACUUGGCUAGCUGGGCAUGCCAUUGUGUGUGUGUGCAUGUGAGAUGGAGAGAGAACAAGGGAGAGAGAUAGAGUUUUAGAUGGGCCUAUCGAGUGCGAGUGAGAUAUGCAUGUGUAUGUGUGACCCAGGUGGAUGGAGAGUUUGAGAGAGGGGGGGGAAGAGCUCCGAGACGACAUAGUGGUGCGUGAGAGAGUUAUGGGCAAAGAGCCAAGGAAUUUGUGUGCGUACGAUAAGUGCACCCAAGAUAUCUAGCUUGGACUAGCUAGAGUAUCAUACAUAGUGUGCGAGAGAGACCUAUAGAUGAUGUAUAUAUGCAUGCGAACUAGAAAGACCCCCCCACACACACAAAUAUAUAUAUAUAUAUAUAUAUAUAUAUAUAUAUAGAGAGAGAGAGAGAGAGAGAGAGAGAUAGAGAGAGAGAUGGAGAGAAAGGGAGAGGGACCAACAAGGUUUUUGUGUUAGAUGCGUGCGACAUAAUUGAAGAUUGUCGGCGCACGCGUGCGCACGAGAGAGAGAGAGAGAUAGAUAGAUAGAUAGAUAGAUAGAUAGAUAGAUAGAUAAAGAGAGAGAGAGAGAGAGAGAGAGAGAGAGAACAGGAGUCUGGGAGAGGGGGAGGUCGCGUUUUACGCAUCAAAGACUGAUAUAAACCAUGUUUCGAUAUAAACUUGCAUUCAAGUAUUUAAAUUGGAGAACAUGUUGUCUGCAAUCCACACAUGAACGGAUAUAUGCGUAUAUCAAACAAGUUCAUUAAUUUGACUUUCAACAUGUUCAUGGAAUACUAUAAUACUAUACAACAUGCUACUAGAUUGAGGUGUUCAAUUUUGGAUUUAGUUCACUAUUUUGACCUACUGAACGAGCUAUUUUAUUGAAUCGAGAUAUUUCAUUUUGGGUUUGAUUCGCGUUUUUGAGUGGGUCAACUAGUUGUCAUAUAGUAAAUCGCUAGCAACGAGCAUGUAAAAACACAUGACUUCCGAGCAUCAUCUCUCCAUCUAAAAAAGAAGUGGCAAGCUAAUAUUUCAAAAUUUUAUUUGAAUCGACUUGGUAACGUAGACGUGGAUUCUCGUUCUCCCAAAAUUUGAACGAACCGUUAAACAUCCUCUCUGCUCGGUGGAAUUCACCAGAGCAAAUAAAUGGGAGACGCGAAAUUACCGUCCUAUGUGGGACACACAUCAAUUGGCCCGUUGUACAUUGAGGGUAGGUUCGUAACUUCAUCCAAGCGCACCUUCUCCUCGGCCGAAAUGACAUGUGCCGAAUAAUUGAUAAACCAUGGUCGGCAAAACACGCUCUCCUCGCCCGAAAUAGCUCGCGCCCACUAUUUCAAAACACGCUCUCCUCGCCCGAAAUCGCUCGCGCCCACUAUAGUUCAAAACAUGCCCUCCUCGCCCGAAAUCGCUCCCGCCCACUAUUUGGGGAGAAGCAAGGUUACUCUACUAUCCCCGACCCUCAGUACACAGACCCAAGCUGAGAAGCCUAUAGGCAAGGGUAGAACUGUGACUCCCCUCACAUUUCAGACAAAUNNNNNNNNNNNNNNNNNNNNNNNNNNNNNNNNNNNNNNNNNNNNNNNNNNNNNNNNNNNNNNNNNNNNNNNNNNNNNNNNNNNNNNNNNNNNNNNNNNNNNNNNNNNNNNNNNNNNNNNNNNNNNNNNNNNNNNNNNNNNNNNNNNNNNNNNNNNNNNNNNNNNNNNNNNNNNNNNNNNNNUCUCCCCGGGAAGCUCCCUUCUCCCGAGCCGUGAAACCUUGGCCCACCUCCAUGGCGCCCCCACCGCACCAAUUUCACAGCCGCCCUCCUCCCUAAUGUCGGAGACACUGUCCAAUUGCCAUCGUGCACUGGGUCGUGUGCCCCUUACUCCAUGCUACUGGUGUUGCCUCGAUGACGGCCGCGUGAACCGUACCGGAGCCGAUUCACCCCCGCAAUUGUUCACGGUGCCGGAGCGGCUCCAACUUCGGAUCCGUCCAGAGUCCUGGCGCUCUUUCCCUACCGCCGGUCGCCACCGCAACCGCGCCGGCCUCACCGACUCGGCAGUUGGACCUGCCUACUUCACCAUGCCGCCAGAUAGGUCGCACCCUCAUCUCAAAUCACUUUAUUUAGGCGUCAGUUGUCUGAAUUUUUAUUCUGAGCCAAUCGAUUCCCAAUGGGAAGCAGCACCCCUCGAGGCGGCGGAGCUCCUAGGCUGUCGGUUGGCUGGAGUCUAACGUAAGGAUGCGGGGCCGCAAGUUCGCCACGGAAGCAGCGCUUAGAUGGGUAUCUUUUGGAGUUGCGUGGGUUGAAGGUACUGCUGCCGCCUGAUCUGGAUGACGGGGAGUCUUUGUGGAUUGGCCCGGGGGCGGCGCAACCACGGCAGUUCGGUGGGGUGGGGAACGGGGUUUUGGCUGGGGCCACGGACAGCGGAGGGAGGCUGCUCUGCUAUUGGUCGCUGGCUCUUCGGGGAAGAUUCCGAACAGUGUCAGCCGGGAGGCACAAGACGACCAUCAAGCCAUCCGGCGUAGAUCGGACAGUACAAAAAUAAAAUAAAAUCGUGUGACCCCAAUUUAGUCUUCAGUCAACAAACAUGUGACCACUCUCGUACCUUGCUGUUGAUCUCUUAGUGUAUUUCUUCAAAUCAAAGAGAUAUGUCAUUCUUAACAUUAUGCGUUAUCUGCAUCUUCAGACACACCGUCUUCCAACUCACCGCAGUUGCUCCAACAAGGGAAGCAUACACCAGAAGGGAGCUAUAGUCCCCACUCAACAGUUCCCUGCAUCGAAUGCGCGUGCCCGACAUGGACAGCCACAAAAACUGCAGGGCCAUCGACAACUCAACAUAUGAUGCUCACUCCUAUGUAUGGCAGCCAGAUAGGUUGUACCCUCAUCUUACUUGUGUGCAACAUUUAUGGCUUUGUUAUUCAUCUAAGCGUGGAAAAUAGAUCAUCACAUUUCACUGUAUAUUCAUGCUGAUCUCUUACGGGUCUUGUUCAGGAGUUCACGUUGUUCCAUAGUUCAGCUAAGAUACUUGUUCUUUAGGUAACGCUGUUCCAUAGUUAUCAUCCAUCAGCCAAUGCUAUCCCACAGGCUGAUGAUUAUAGUAUUAUACAACUUCUAGUAUUACCUAUGUUGUUCUUUAAUACUUUUGUGUGCCAUCUAGUUAAUCUUGAGUACAAACGAUACAUAUUCUGUAGCUUGCAUCUAGUUAAUCUCGAGACUUGUUGUUGCUAGUUAACCCCAGUCCUACUAUUUAUGUCGUCUCCUACAGGCACUCAUUACAUAAAUCUAACUACUAAUUGUCUUCCAUGCAUGUCAGAUAUAAUUUCACAAAUGAUAUAUCCACAAGAACCUCACGGAGCAAUGUAAAGGCCAAUAAACUUGAUGUCAAUGAUACCCAAUAUGAUGGAACAUGUAAAGGCAGUUCUUCAGAAGACUUGCAGAAAGAUGAUGAAUCCUCUUCACCCCACAAGGUCCUUGCUCUAACUUGGCCUGUGAUAUGGGUACAACAUGCAUAUAAUGUCCAAGAGUGUAUCUACUUUGUUGCAAUGCCAUGUGCUUAGCAUGCUGAUCAUGCAUGUAAAUAUGUCAUGCCUUCCUGUUUUCAGUACAUAUUCCAUUCAUGAUAACAUGUUUUCAAAUUCAAGUACUUUCAUUCUACUCUAUCGCAAUGCCAUCUGCUUAAUUUGGACAUCAUGCUUCUGAUAUCUUAUGUAUUGUUAUUCAUCAGUAUGUACUUCAUCUGUCUGCCAUACCAUGUUUUUACAUGGAAGUGAUGUUCUAGUGCUCUGUUGCAAGGCCAUCUUAUUUUCCCAAUCAUACACGUGUAUGUUGCCUUAGUUAUUUCUGUACAUAUUCCACUAGCAUAUAGUUUUACAUUCAACUAGUGUUUUUUUGCUGUGUUGUCCUGUCGUAUCCCUAGCUCUUACACCAUACUCCCUCUGUCCGGAUUACAUGUUGCCGAAAUGGAUAAAAAAGGAUGUAUCUAGAACUGAAAUAUGCCUAGACCCAUCCAUUUUUUUCCGGAUGGAGGGAAUACAUGUCAAUAUGUCAUGCCUUUCUAUUCUUCAGUACCUAUUCAAUCUCUCUGUUGUCGCAUGUUUUAUAAUUAAAGCACCAUUCUUCUAAACAAGACAUUCAAGGGGAAGACGACUAUGUUAGAAUCUGAAGGGUUACAACCAAGGCCGUUGCAAAAGAUUCAAACGGCAGGAGAUAAUAAACCAACUCCAGUUUUAAUAGAUACUGCUCUAGCACAGAGAAACCCAACUCCUACUGAUAAUAAGCAUAUUCCAGUGGCCAAAGAACUAGUCCACUCCAGUCCAGCAAAAAUAUGUCAACUCAAUUCUAAGAAGCGUGUGUGUAUCCUUGCAUCAUGAAAUUUUAUAGCAUGCUGAUCAUAUUUUCUACAUGUUUCUUACCCAUCUCUCUUUUAGAAAAUAAGCUUAACAGAUAGAAGAAUUUCUGCAAUGGUAUCGUUUAUGAGGAAAGAUUCUUGCAGGAAUUCUCUGUGCUCCAAUGUAGAUGUAAGUACCUGUUGUAUAUCACUAUAUUUUUACAUCAGCAUGUAUUUUGUUAAUCGGCGUGAAUCCAACCUUUAUCUGAUCUAAAUUUUGUUCUAGCAAAAUGUAUGAUUAAAGGCUACAAUGUUGAUUUUUGUAAGGAAAAUUGCGUGGUAGUUUUGCAUCCUGAGCUGCAUGAGUGUACUAUCUCAUAUCAGUGGGUUUGAAUACUUUGGUUCUGCAGUGGGUUUUUGAGUGUUUUUUUACUGUGUUAUCCUGUCGUAUCCCUAGCUCUUACAUCAUACUCCCUCCGUCUGGAUUAAAUGUCGCAGAAAUGGAUAAAACUGGAUGUAUCAAGAACUGAAAUACGCCUAGACCCAUCCAUUUAUUUCCGGAUGGUGGGAAUACAUGUCAAUAUGUCAUGCCUUUCUAUUCUUCAAUACCUAUUCCAUCUCUGUUGUAGCAUGUUUUAUAACUGAAUCACCAUUCUUCUAUAUAAGGCAUGCAAGGGGAAGACGGCUAUGUUAGAAUCUGAAGGGCUACAAACCAGGUCUUUGCAAAAGAUCCAAAUGCCAGGAGAUAAUAAACCAACUCCAUUUUUCAUAGAUACUGCUCCAGCACAGAGAAACCCAACUCCCACUGAUAAUAAGCAGAUUCCAGUGGCCAAAGAACUAGUCCGCUCCAGUCCAGCAAAAGAAUGUCAACUCCAUUCUAAGAAGCGUGUGUGUAUCCUCGCAUCAUGAAAUUUUAUAGCAUUUUGAUCAUAUUUUCCACAUGUUUCUUACCCAUCUCUCUUUUAGAAAAUAAGGUUAAACGAUAGAAGACUUCCUCCAUUGGGAUCAUAUUUGAGGAAAAUAUCUUGCGGGAAUUCUCUGUGCUCCAAUGCUGAUGUAAGUACCUGUUGUAUAUCACUAUACUUUUACAUCAACAUGUAUUUUGUUAAUCAGCGUGAUUCUAACCUUUAUCUGACCUAAAAUUAGUUGUAGCAAAAUGUUAAAGGCGCCAAUGUUGAUUUUUGUAAGGAAAACUGCUUGGUAGUUUUGCAUACGGAGCUGCAUGAAUGUACUAUCUCAUAUCACGCACAUUACUGAAUUGUAGUGCUUUUCUGGUUGCCCAUUCAUUCAUUGUGUCAAUGUUGCUUUCAUACUACCUUACCUGGCUAAUGAUAGCUGUGCCAUGUUGUGUUAAUUUGGUGUAGGCUAGUUUCCCAAACGUUCGUUGUGUCAAUGUUGCUUUCCUACUAUCUGACUUGGCCAAUGAUAGCAAUGCUAGUGUGUUAAUUUUGUGCAGGCUGCUAAAGAUAAGAAGACAAACUCUGAAAAUAGCAAGGCAACCCCAUUUUUUCUUUCCAGUAAAUCUAGGCCAGGUAAUAUGGAAAUAACUCAUGAUUAAUCUGUUUGGUUCCCAUCCUAAUUUAUCUUAUGAUGCAGUGGUCGAGACACUCUCCACUAUCAAUAAUACAAGGCUGCCAAAAUCGCAAUCUGAAUCUGUUCAGUAUCCUCUGUCUCGAAUGCAACGGAAUAAAUGUAUGUUUGUGAACCAAUUAAUGGCUGAAGCAAUGAUGGAAAUGGUGGAUGAAUCAGAGGUGCAGAGUCGUGCGACACAACAACUGAUCAAUGUUUUCAGAGACAGUGUAGCAAAGCAGCAAGAACUUGCCCACAUGCUUAUGGGCGUGAUCUGUGCUGAGGUUGCAGAUUGUGACAUUGUAGAUGGUUAGGUUUUGCUCAUUUAUUUGCACUGGCAUCAAUCUUUGAUUGCCCAGUGGAUGUAAUUUCCUGUAAUAUAUGCUGGAUGUGCAAUGUUAUUCCCUGUAUGUCGUACCUUUGCUUGAUCGGUUUUGGAACUGUGCAUAAUUUCUCGUCAUAAUGGGCUGAAAUUAUCUAAUUUGGCCUAAAGACAUGUACGAACUUUAGUGGGCCCAUUAAGUUAAUGGGACGUUACUAGGCCGAAAGUUAAUGGUCGGCCCUCUUACCUCCCGGGUCGUUAACAGGCCGACAUCGAAGCGGGCAAAAGGUGGCCCCAAUUUAUUUCACAGGCUAUUAACAUGCCGUUACUAAGUUUGGGCUACAUAUGACCCAACUAUACUGUAGCCCUUUAGCAGGCCGAAAGAGAUAGCGGGCUUGUACUGGACCAUGAAGACCAUGGGCCGCUUAGAGGCUGAAAGUCAGGCCGUAUUGUAAAUGGCCCAACUGUGUUGUGGGCCUUUAGCAGGCCGAAAGAGAAACCGGGCUGGUAUUGGACCAUGAAGGGCAUGGGCCAGUAAAAGGCCAAAACUAAGGUCCGACUACAAAUGGCCCAACUCAUUUAUGGUCCGUUAAUAGGCCGAAAGGCACACAGGGCCGGGAAUUGGCCCAACACUUAAAUGGGUCGCUAAAAGGCCAAAACUCAGGUCCGACUACAAAUGGCCCAACUGAUUUAUGGGCCUUCAACAGGCUGAAAGUGACACCGGGCCAGAAAUUGGCCCAACACUUAAAUGGGCCGCUAAAAGGCCGAAAUUCAGGUCCGACAACAAAUGGCCCAUCAGAUUUAUGGGCCGUUAACAGGAUGGAAGACACACCGGGCCGAAAAUUAGCCCAACAAUUAAAUGGGUCGCUAAAAGGCUGAAAGAUGUACAUCCUGAAAAUUGGCCCAUCCAUUAAAUGGGUCGUUAACAGGCCUAAAUCUUAUCGGGCCGAUAUUGAGCCCAAAUAUAUAGCGGGCUGUUAACGGGCUCGAACUGACGAUGGGCUGCAAUGGUGUCAAAUCUUUAACGGGCCAUUGACGGGCCGAAUUGGCACAUCUCGUAUGGGUCGUGGGCUUAAAUGGACCUGACACAAGUAGGCCUUAUAUGGGCCGUCCUGCUAAUUUUUACUAGGCCGGCCUUUUUCACCAGAAUGGGCCACUACUGGGUCGUGCCAUGUGUCGACCUAUCAUAGGCGCCUCCCGUCCAAUGAGUGGAUGACAUCUGUCCCAAUGAUGAGGCAACACGUGUUUCCUGUGUCCAAUGAUGAUUUUACACAUGGAAAAUCCCCAUUGGUCUGGGCUGUUAACGGGUUAUCGGAUCCAAAACCGAACCCGAUAGCUUAACGGCGUUCUGUUACGGUGGAUGCCACGUGUCGGUCACCCUUGACGAAAGCACUUCUGUGACGCGCGAUUUAUUGUUAUGUAAGUGGACACUUCCGUGAUGAUAAUUUUGGUAAUGUCAUGGAACACUUCUACGACAACACAGGUAUGACUAUCUUGAUUCUGUCAUAAAAUCGUCAUUUAUGUACAUGCAUGAAAAAAAACGUGACCUACUGUGACAAACACAUAUCAUCACGGAAGUGUAUUUUUUUGUAGUGAUAGCACGUGGCCUAUGACUCUAUGUUUGUAUAACCUUCCUCCUUGGUUGUGCAUGAAGCGGAAGUCCAUUAUGAUGCCAGUGCUCAUCCAAGGCCUAAGCAACCCGGCAACGACAUUGAUGUGUACCUAAGGCCAUUAGUUGAAGAACUAUUACAGCUGUGGAAUGGAAUAGGUGUACGUGUGUGGGAUGAGCACGGACAGGAAGAAUUUUACCUAAACGCGUUGCUGUUCGUGACUAUCAAUGAUUGGCAUGCUCUCAGUAACCUUUCAGGACAGACAAACAAGGGAUACCGCGGAUGCAUGCACUACUUGGAUUAUACCGAAAGUAUAUAUUUGGAGAGUUGUAGGAAGAAUGUGUACCUGGGACAUCGUCGAUUUAUUCCGAGCAGGUAUCCCGUAAGAAAGAAAGGCAAGCAUUUUAAAGGUGAGGCGGAUCACCGGAUGAAGUCUCGCCACCGUACUGGUGCUGAUGUACAUGGUAUGGUCAAGGAUUUGAAGGUAAUCUUUGGAAAGGGUCCUGGCGAACAACCUGUUCUGAAGGACGCUGAUGGACGCGAACUACUACGUCUUGAGCUUGCGUUGGUUUUCCUUGAAGAGGAAAGGGUGAUGCAGCAGAGUAGCGUAACUAUUUCCCUCUGUUUUUGAGAACCAAGGUAUCAAUCCAGUAGGAGGCUCCUCCAAAGUCCCACGCACCUACACAAACAAACAAAGAACUCGCAACCAACGCAAUAAAGGGGUUGUCAAUCCCUUCACUGCCACUUGCGAAAGUGAGAUCUAAUAGAGAUAGUAUGAUAAGAUAGAUAUAUUUUUGGUAUUUUAUAAUAUAGAUGCAAAAAGUAAAGAUGCAAAUAAAAGUAGAUUGGAAGCAAUAUGAUAAGAGAUAGACCCAGGGGCCAUAGGUUUCACUAGAGGCUUCUCUCAAGAUAGCAUAAGUAUUACGGUGGGUGAACAAAUUACUGUCGAGCAAUUGAUAGAAAAGCGAAUAAUUAUGAGAUUAUCUAGGCAUGAUCAUGUAUAUAGGCAUCACGUCCACUACAAGUAGACCGACUCCUGCCUGCAUCUACUACUAUUACUCCACACAUCGACCGACUCCUCCCUGCAUCUAGAGUAUUAAGUUCAUAAGAAUAGAGUAAUGCCUUAAGCAAGAUGACAUGAUGUAGAGGGAUAAACUCAAGCAAUAUGAUAUAAACCCCAUCUUUUUAUCCUCGAUGGAAACUAUACAAUAUGUGCCCUGCAACCCUUCCUGUCACUGGGUAAGGACAUCGCAAGAUUGAACCCAAAGCUAAGAACUUCUCCCAUGGCAAGAAAGAUCAAUCUAGUAGGCCAAACCAAACUGAUAAUUCGAAGAGACUUGCAAAGAUAACUCAAUCAUACAUAAAAGAAUUUAGAGAAGAUUCAAAUAUUAUUCAUAGAUAAACUUGAUCAUAAACCCACAAUUCAUCGGAUCUCGACAAACACACCACAAAAAGAGAUUACAUCGAAUAAAUCUCCACAAGAGAGGGGGAGAACAUUGUAUUAAGAUCCAAAAAGAGAGAACAAGCAAUCUAGCUAAUAAGUAUGGACCCAUAGGUCUGUGGUAAACUACUCACAACUCAUCGGAAGGGCUAUGGUGUUGAUGUAGAAGCCCUCCGUGGUCGAUUACCCCUCUGGCAGAACGCCGGCGAAGGCUCCAAGAUGGGAUCUCACGGAUACAGAAGGUUACGGCGGUGGAAAUUGUGUUUUGGGUGCUCCCUGGAUGUUUUUUGGGUAUGUAGGCUUAUAUAAUAGGAAGAAGUACGUCGAUGGCCGCCUGAGGGGCCCACGAGACAGGGGCGUGCCCUACAGGGGGGGCGCCCUCCUAUCUCGUGGCCGCCUGGCUGCUUCUUGACUUGCACUCCAAGACCUCUGGAUCACGUUCGUUCCAAAAAUCACGGCUCCGAAGGUUUCAUUCCGUUUGGACUCCGUUUGUUAUUCCUUUUCUUAGAAAUACUGAAAUAGGCAAAAAAACAACAAUACGGGUUGGGCCUCCGGUUAGAACGUUAGUCCCAAAAAUGAUAUAAAUGUGUAAAAUAAAUCCCAUAAACAUCCAAAAGGGGUAAUAUAAUAGCAUGGAACAAUAAAAAAUUAUAGAUACGUUGGAGACGUAUCAAGCAUCCCCAAGCUUAAUUCCUUCUCGUCCUCGAGUAGGUAAAUGAUAAAAAGAGAAUUUUUGAUGUGGAAUGCUACCUAGCAUAAUUCUCAAUGUAAUUUUCUUUAAUGUAGCAUGAAUGUUCAGAUCCAAAUGAUUCAAGAUAAAGGCUUAUAAAACAUAAAAAUAAUAAUGCUUCAAAGCAUACUAACAAAUAAUCAUGUCCUAUCAAAAUAACAUACCAAAGAAAUCUUAUCCCUACAAAAUCAUAUAGUUAGGCCAUGCUUCAUUUUCAUUACACAAAAUACUCCCAUCAUGUAUAACCUCGAUGAUGAGUUGAGCAAUUGUUUCAUACUUUUUAACGCGCUUCAGCUUUUUUAACUCUUAUGCAAUACAUGAGCGCAAGCCAUGGACAUAGCACUAUGGUGGUAAAUGGUGGUGGUUGUAAGGACAAAAGGGGAGAAGAUAAUCUCACAUCAACUAGGCGUAUCAACGGGCUAUGGAGAUGCCCAUCAAUAGAUAUCAAUGUGAGUGAGUAGGGAUUGCCAUGCAAUAGAUGCACUAGAGCUAUAAAUAUAUGAAAGAUCAACAAAAAGAAACUAAGUGGGUGCGCAUCCAACUUGCUUGCUCACAAAGACCUAGGGCAUUUUGAGGAAGCCCAUCAUUGGAAUAUACAAGCCAAGUUCUAUAAUGAAAAAUUCCCAAUAGUAUAUGAAAGUGAAAAUAUAUGAGACUCUCUAUCAUGAAGAUCGUGGUGCUACUUUGAAGCACAAGUGAGGAAAAGAGAUAGUAGCAUUGUCCCUUCUCUCUUUUUCUCUCAUUUUAUUUUUUUUCUUUUUUCUUUGGCCUUUCCUUUUUUUCUUUUUUUUUCUUUUUGUAAAGUCCGAAGUCUCAUCCCGGCUUGUGGUGGAAUCAUAGUCUUCAUCAUCCUUUCCUCACCGAGACAAUGCUCUAAUAAUGAAGAUCAUCACACUUUUAUGGAUUUACAACUCAAGAAUUACAACGCAAAGCUAGAACAAGAUAUGACUCUAUAUGAAUGCCUCCGGCGGUGUACCGGGAUAUGCAAUGAAUCAAGAGCGACAUGUAUGAAAAUUAUGAAGGUGGCCUUGCCACAAAUACGAUGUCAACUACAUGAUCAUGCAAAGAGCAAUAUGACAAUGAUGAAACGUGUCAUAAUAAACGGAACGGUGGAAAGUUGCAUGGCAAUAUAUCUCAUAAUGGCUAUGGAAAUGCCAUAAUAGGUAGGUAUGGUGGCUGUUUUGAGGAAGGUAAAUAAUGGGUUCAAUACCGGCGAAAGUUGCGUGGUAAUAAGAGAGGCUAGCAAAGUGGAAGGAUGAGUGUGCGUAUAUCCAUGGACUCACAUUAGUCAUAAAGAACUCAUAUACUUAUUGCAAAAGUCUACUUAGCUCUCGAAGAAAAGUACUACUACGCAUGCCCCAAGAGGGAUAGAUUGGUAGGAAAAGACCAUCGCUCAUCCCCGACUGCCACUCAUAAGGAAGACAAUCAAAAGAGCACCUCAUGCAACAAAUUUGUCACACAACUUUUACCAUACGUGCAUGCUACGGGACUUGCCAAAUUCAACAAAAGUAUUUCUCAAUUUCAUAAUUAUCCACUAGCAUGACACUAACAAUACUACCUUUAUAUCUCAAAACAAUUAUCAAGCAACUAUUGAUCAUAGCAUCCAAUUCAAUUUCUAUGAUAGUUUUUAUUAUACCCAACUUGGAUGCUCAUCAUUCUAGGACCAAAUUUGUAACCCAAAGCAAAUACCAUUCUGUCCUAGAAGACUCUCAAAAUAAUAUAAGUGAAGCAUGAGAGACUAGCAAUUUCUAUAAAAUCAAGCCACCGCCGUGCUCUAAAAGAUAUAAGUGAAGCACUAGAGCAAAAACUAUCAAGCUCAAAAGAUAUAACUGAAGCACAUAGCAAUUUCUAAUAAAUUCUAAUCAAAUAGGCUUCUCCCAAAAGGUGUGUACAGCAAGUAUGAUUGUGGUAAACUAAAAAGCAAAGACUAAUAUAAUACACGACGCUCCAAGCAAAACACAUAUCAUGUGGCGAAUAAAAAUAUAGCUCCAAGUAAAGUUACCAAUGAACAAAGACGAAAGAGGGGAUGCCUUCCCGGGGCAUCCCGAAGCUUAGGAUUUUGGAUAUCCUUGAAUACCUUGGGGUGCCUUGGGCAUCCCCAAGCUUAGCCUCUUGCCACUCCUUAUUUAGAAGUCCAUAAAAUCUUUACCCAAAACUUGAAAACUUCACAACACAAAACUCAACAGGAAAUCUUAUAAGCUCCGUUAGUGAAAGAAAACAAAACCACCACAUAAGGUACUGUAAUGAACUCAUUCUUUAUUUAUUUUGGUGUUAAACCUACUGUAUUCCAACUUCUCUAUGGUUUAUAAACUAUUUUACUAGCCAUAGAUGCAUCAAAAUAAGCUAACAACACACGAAAAACAGAAUCUGUCAGAAACAGAACAGUCUGUACCAAUCUGUAACUAACGCAAACUUCUGGGACCCUAGAAAUGCUACCAAAAUAGGACGUACUGGAAAAUUUGUUUAUUGAUCAGAAGCAAAAAGAAUCAAUGCAAAAGCACGUUUCUGUGAUUCAUUGGAUUUUUUCUCGUGAGCGCAAAGUUUCUGUUUUUCAGCAGAAUCAAAUCAACUAUCAUCAUAGUUUAUCCUAUAGGUUCUACUUGGCACAAACACUAAUUAAAAGAUAAAAACACAUCUAAACAGAAAGUAGAUGCAGAAUUCAUUACUAAACAGGAACAAAAACAAAAAAACAAAGAAAAUUGGGUUGCCUCCCAACUAGCGCUAUCGUUUAACGCCCCUAGCUAGGCAUAAAAGUAAAAUAGAUCUAAGUAGUGCCAUCUUUGGCACUUGUCUCAUCAAUAGAGCACUUAUAAUAUUUAGGGGUUUCUCCCUUUUUGGUAAGGAUUAAACCUUUGGGCAAAAAUUCAAUAAAUUCGUUUGUAGCAAAAGGUUCCUUUACUAUAGAAAGACAAUUGGGAUGAACACUUAUGGAUUUGUGAUCCGUGUCUCCCUUACUAGAAGAUUCACCCUUAUUUUUAGGAACAUAAAUAAACUUGGCGGUUUUUGUAGGGGGUUUUGGAGUGUUUUUCAUGGAAGAAAAUGCCGAACCUAAGUUGGUAAUUAUAUCCUCAAGUUUACCAAUUCUAGCAGAAUAUAGAUCUAUUUUUUCAUUAACUAUAGGUUCUUUCUCUUUAAUAUUUUUCAAAGUGACUCCAACCCUAGAUCCAUAUUGGGUGAUAUGAUUAUGAAUCAUUUUAUCCAAAUUUUCAAUCAACUCAACAGUGGAAAUUUUAUUUUCAAUAAUAUCAAGCCGUUGUAUAACGUGUUCUAAAGUUAAAAUAGUUCCGUUAACCAAAAGAUGUGGUGGGCCAAACAAAUCUAACAUAGCAUUAUAAGCAUCAAACAUAUGGCUACUCAAGAAAUCACCUCCGGCAGCAGUAUCAAGAACACAUCUAUUCCAAGGAGUGAUGCCUACAUAAAAAUUGCGGAGAAGAACGGAAGUAGAAAGCUUCCUAGUGGAUCUAUUUUGAGCAUUGCAAAUUCUAUGCCAAGCAUCUUUUAAAUUUUCUCCCUCCCUUUGCUUAAAAUUGAGGAUUUCGUGCUCGGGGGUAAUAAUAAAGAUAGGAGGAUUAGCCAUAACGAUGAGGCAAAUGAUCUAACACAUGAGCAAAAAGAAAAGGGCAAGCGAAAGAGAGGAGGAGAUUCGGAAAGAGAGGGCGAAUAAGACGGCAAAGAUGAAGUGGGGGAGAGGAAAACGAGAGGCAAAUGGCAAAUAAUGUAAAUGCGAGGGAGAUGAGUUUGUGAUGGUACUUGGUAUGUCUUCACUUGAGCGAAGACCUCCCCAGCAACGGUUCCAGAAAUCCUUCUUGCUAUGUCUUGAGCUUGCAUUGGUUUUCCUUGAAGAGGAAAGGGUGAUGCAGCAGAGUAGCGUAAGUAUUUCCCUCAGUUUUUGAGAACCAAGGUAUCAAUCCAGUAGGAGGCUCCUCAAAAGUCCCACGCACCUACACAAACAAACAAAGAACCCGCAACCAACGCAAUAAAGGGGUUGUCAAUCCCUUCACGGCCACUUGCGAAAGUGAGAUCUAAUAGAGAUAGUAUGAUAAGAUAGAUAUAUUUUUGGUAUUUUAUAAUAUAGAUGCAAAAAGUAAAGAUGCAAAUAAAAUUAGAUUGGAAGCAAAUAUGAUAAGAGAUAGACCCGGGGGCCAUAGGUUUCACUAGAGGCUUCUCUCAAGAUAGCAUAAGUAUUACGGUGGGUGAACAAAUUACUGUCGAGCAAUAGAUAGAAAAACGAAUAAUUAUGAGAUUAUCUAGGCAUGAUCAUGUAUACAGGCAUCACGUCCGCAACAAGUAGACCAACUCCUGCCUGCAUCUACUACUAUUACUCCACACAUCGACGACUCCUGCCUGCAUCUAGAGUAUUAAGUUCAUAAGAACAGAGUAACGCCUUAAUUAAGCAAGAUGACAUGAUGUAGAGGGAUAAACUCAAGCAAUAUGAUAUAAACCCCAUCUUUUUAUCCUCGAUGGCAACAAUACAAUAGGUGCCGUGCAACCCUUUCUGUCACUAGGUAAGGACACUGCAAGAUUGAACCCAAAGCUAAGCACUUCUCCCAUGGCAAGAAAGAUCAAUCUAGUAGGCCAAACCAAACUGAUAAUUCGAAGAGACUUCCAAAGAUAACUCAAUCAUACAUAAAAGUAUUUAGAGAAGAUUCAAAUACUAUUCAUAGAUAAACUUGAUCAUAAACCCACAAUUCAUUGGAUCUCGACAAAGAGACCGCAAAAAGAGAUUACAUCGAAUAAAUCUCCACAAGAGAGGGGGAGAACAUUGUAUUGAGAUCCAAAAAGAGAGAAGAAGCCAUCUAGCUAAUAACUAUGGACCCGUAGGUCAGUGGUAAACUACUCACAACUCAUUAGAACGGCUAUGGUGUUGAUGUAGAACCCUGUGUGGUCGAUUCCCCCUCCGGCAGAACGCUGGCGAAGGCUCCAAGAUGGGAUCUCGCGGAUACAGAAGGUUACAGCGGUGGAAAUUGUGUUUCGGGUGCUCCCUGGAUGUUUUUGGGGUAUGUAGGCUUAUAUAACAGGAAGAAAUACGUCGAUGGCCACCCGAGGGGCCCACAAGACAGGGGGGCGCGCCCUACAGGGGGGCACCCUCCUAUCUCGUGGCCGCCACAGCUGCUUCUUGACUUGCACUCUAAGUCCUCUGGAUCACGUUCGUUCAAAAAAUCACGCCUCCGAAGGUUUCAUUCCGUUUGGACUCCGUUUGAUAUUCCUUUUCUUCGAAAUACUGAAAUAGGCAAAAAAACAACAAUACGGGCUGGGCCUCCGGUUAGUAGGUUAGUCCCAAAAAUGAUAUAAAUGUGUAAUAUAAAGCCCAUAAACAUCCAAAAGGGGUAAUAUAAUAGCAUGGAACAAUCAAAAAUUAUAGAUACGUUGGAGACGUAUCACGCACCCAUGGGGAAGAAGAAAUCUAUAUUUUGGGGCCUGCCAUAUUGGAAAGACCUAGAGGUCCGCUCCGCAAUCGACGUGAUGCACGUGACGAAGAAUCUUUGCGUGACCCUGCUUGGCUUCUUGGGUGUGUAUGGGAAGACAAAAGAUACACCAGAGGCAUGGGAGGACCAGCAACGUAUGCACAGAAUCAGGCCAGCUACGCUCUUACCAAGGAAGAGAAGGAAAUCUUCUUUGAAUGCCUACUCAGCAUAAAGGUACCGUAUGGCUUCACGUCGAAUAUAAAGGGAAUAAUAAAUAUGGCAGAGAAAAAGUUCCAGACCCUGAACUCUCAUGAAUGCCAUGUGAUUAUGACGCAACUGCUUCCGGUUGCAUUGAGGGGGCUUCUACCAGAAAACGUUCGAUUUGCCAUUGUGAAGCUAUGUGCAUUCCUCAAUGCAAUCUCUCAGAAGGUAAUCGAUCCAUAAAUCAUACCAAGGUUACAGAAUGAUUUGAUGCAAUCUCUUGUCAGUUUUGAGUUCGUGUUCCCACCAUCCUUCUUCAACAUCAUGACGCACGUCCUAGUUCACCUUUGCGAAGAGAUUAACAUUUUGGGUCCUGUAUUUCUACACAAUAUGUUCCCCUUUGAGAGGUUCAUGGGAGUCUUGAAGAAAUAUGUUCAUAACCGUGCUAGGCCAGAAGGAAGCAUCUCGGAGGGCCAUGAAAAUGAGGAGGUCAUUGAGUUUUGUAUUGACUUUAUUCCUAACCUUAAGCCGAUUAGUGUUCCUGAAUCGCGGCAUAAGGGCAGACUAGAUGGAAAAGGCACGCUAGGAGGGGAUCAAAUAAUAUGUAUGGACGGGCAUUCUCUCACUGAAGCACACUACACAGUUCUACAGAAUUCCGCCUUGGUGGCUCCGUAUAUGGAGGAACACAAGAAUUUUCUACACUCAAAACACCCGGAGAAGUCUGACGACUGGAUUACACGUGAACAAACGAGGAGUUUCACCGGUUGGUUGCAGAAAUGUGCCAUGCAUGAUGGAGAUAUUGAAGAUGACCUGUACUCGCUGUCCCAGUUACCAUCUUCGAAUAUAAUGACUUUCAAAGGGUACCAGAUAAAUGGGAAUACAUUUUACACGAUCGCCAAAGAUAAGAAGAGCACCAACCAAAAACAGUUGUGUCCGCUUUGAUGCAACAACCAACACGGGAAAGGAAAAAUAUUAUGGUUACAUAGAGGACAUAUGGGAACUUAACUAUGGACGUGGUUUGAAGGUCCCUUUGUUUCGGUGCAAAUGGGUCAAUAUGACACGAGGCGGGGAACGGAAGACCCACAGUACGGAAUGACAACAGUGGAUCUCAACAAUCUUGCGUAUGCAAACGAACCAUUCAUCCUAGCCAAUGAUGUGGCGCAGGUUUUUUAUGUGAAAGACAUGUCUACCAGGCCGAGAGAAAGAAAAGAUAAGGAAGCAAAUGGAUCAUACGACGAGCCAAAGAACCACAUAGUUCUUUCAGGGAAAAGAAAUAUCGUGGGAGUGGAUGACAAGACAAACAUGUCAGAAGAUUAUGAAAAUUUUGAUGAAAUUGCUCCAUUCACAGUGAAUAUUGACCCGAGCAUCCAGUUAAAUGAUGAAGAUUUUCCAUGGCUAUGGUGCAAAGGGACACACACAAAGAAAAAGUUUCACACCCAAAGAUCUAGGAUGUGAUCGGCUUCACUAUCAUCACUUUCUUCUGUGUUUCACACCCAGGAGGGAAUCUCUGUAAUAGUUAGGGUAGUUAUGUGCAAACAAAUUCUUUCAUGCAUUUACUAAUUUUUUCAGCUAAAUGACCCUCAAAAUGAAAAGCAUUUCAAAUGAACUCAGAAAAGGUUGAAAGUUGGCAUGGUAUCAUAAUUUCACCCACAUAGCAUGUGCAAAAAAGCAGAGAGGGUUACGGCAAAAACAGGAUGCACUUCGUGUACAAAAUGGACAAUCUCUUUUGAAGUAUCAGGGUUACAAACGAAAACUCAUCUGUUACAAAGGCAUUUCAUUUUUUAAAUAACCUAAGCAUUACCAAAUUGAAUAUAAUGGUAAAACACACUAAUAAUAUUUAACAUAAAAAAAUCACUGAAAAAACAAUCUAAUUUAAAAGUUAAGUUAAUCACAAACUAGUGAUUCACAGAAAUUUCAAAUAAUUCAAAAUUUAAACUAUUCAAAUUUGAAAACUACUCGCACUAACCUAUAUCAAAAAUAUUCACAAAGAAACUCUAUAUACAGCAAAAAAAUUAAAGAAAAAAAUUUUAAGAAAAUUAAAAAGCCCACCUAAUAGGCCAGAGCGGCCUACAUACGCUAGAAACACAACGUUUUGUUGGGCCAGGAUGCAGGCCCGCAACGGCCCAGUAGGCCCACAAGGCAGCACAGAACAGGUAGGCCCAGUAGGCGUGCUUAGGAGAUGAGCUCGAGGGAGCUACUGGACUGGGGCUUAUAAACCAGUGCGGUCGCCCCUCGGCUAGCGAGGUGGGACUAAACUUGCCGCACCGCACUGCGCCAGCGCCCCACCUUUAGUACCGGGUGGUAGCUCCAACCGGUACUAAAGAGGGGGCCUUUAGUACCGGUUGGAGCCACCACCCGGUACUAAAGGGGGGGGCGCUUCCCACCGCUUGGCCUGGCGAAAACAGACCUUUAGUACCGGUUGGUGGCUCCAAUCAGUACUAAAGGGGCCUCCUAUAUAAGCAGCACUUACGAAUUUUUCGGCAGUUUCGUUCUCCCUCUGCUUCUUCUCCUCUGCCCCGUCACCGCCGCCCCUUGUCGCCGCCCCCAUCACCAUCGCCGCCCCGGCCGUCCCUGUCCCCGUCAACGCGCCCCGCCCUGUCGCGCCGCGCUGCGCCCCGUCGUCCCGUCGUCCCCGCCUGGCCUGUCCUCGUCCCCGUCAUCACCGCCCCGUCCCCAUCGUCCUGGUCACCGCGCCCGUUUCCGUCCCCGUCGCCACCCCCCGUUGCCGUGCCUCACCGGUGAGCUCCUGCCCCGGCCGCCAUGUCCCGCCCCCACACAUAUAAUUAGUAAUUUAGUUAUAGAAAUUUUUCUGUUUUUUAGUGAUAGAAAUAUUAGAAAUGUUAGUUAUAUAGAAAUAUUAUAAAUUUUUCCUGUUUUUUAGUUAUAGAAAUAUUAGAAAUGUUAUAGAAAUGUUAGUUAUAUAGAAAUGUUAUAAUUUUUUUUGUUUUUUAGUUAUAGAAAUAUUAAUAAAAAUGUUAGCAAUUUUUCUGUUUUUUAGUUAUAGAAAUAUUAGAAAUGUUAGUUAUAUAUAUGGAAAUGUUAGAAAUUUUAGAAUUAGUUUUAGUUAGAUGAAGUAUAUUAAUUAAUGUCAAAUUGUUAGAAUUUGCAUAUACAGUUUUAGUUAUCACAAUCCAAUCAUUUAAAAAAUGUUACUUUUUACGGGCAUGUAGUAUUUGUUCUCGAUGAUAUGCCCGGCCCGCAUCCUCGCCGUCGACCCGUUCGCGACGACGUCAUGCUUCAGAGGACCAAUGUCUGGGACUGGGCUCCACCGGGCUGGCACAUGGAGGUGCUACCUGGAGGGGCGCGCCGCUUGGUGAGGAACCCGACCUCGGGUCCCAUCGUCAACCCUGAUCUGCUUUGGUGGCAUUCGCGUGGGCCACAUUCAGUGCAGAGGCAGUCGGUCCCGCCGGAGGUGGUGCGUCGCCGUGUCAGGGAGGAAGACGAGCACGUCCAUCGCUGCAUGGCUUCUAUGGACGACGUCAAGUUCUCCACUACUUGGCAGGUUCUCUGGGCAGAUGACCGGCGAUAUGAUCCUGUGAUGGUUCCUUCUCUUUGGGUGUCCACCGCCCGCGCCCCAGGAACCGCGAGUGGCGCCCUAGAUUCUUCUGUAGUACUCGAUCUUUAUUAGGUACCUAUCCAGUGAGGUAUUUGAUAUAUAAUAUUCGAGACGAUGUAUUCGAGGUUAUAUAUAUUAUUCAAGACGAUGAUGUAUUCUAGAUUAUAUAUUAAUCGAGACGAUGCAUAUAUUAUGUACUAUAUGAUUCAGUUUUUCCUUAUUGAUUGCAUCCAUGCAUUGUAAUUUGAAUACUAAAUUGUUUUAUAUUUCUUCUGUAUUAGUUAAGUAAAAGCUAUGGCGGACAAUACUGGCAGAGAGAGAGAAGAGGAAUUGUUCGACAUCAUACGCGGCCUGGCAAGCUAGAUGAUCUGAAUGAAGCAAAUGACGGCUCCCAAUAUCUAAACAAUACCGGAGAGGGUGAUGAAAAGAUAUUCGAUCUCGAGGACCGAGCUGAUGAAGUCAUGAACUAUGAUUCUGAUUAUGAUGACACAAAAAAUGUUUAUGAUGACACAGACAAUGCUGGUCUUCAAAUAACAAGGACUACCAGCGAGGUAUAUUUAUAUAACACUACAGGAAACAGCUAAUUCGCCGUCAGGGGGCGCCUUUGCCGUCAACUUUUUGUCGGGCAGACAGCAAAGAAAGGGUUUGCCGUCAUCAGCAGACGGCAAAGAAACACAGACGGUAAAAUAGACUUUGCCGUCUGCGAAAAAAAACACAGACAACAAAGAGCUAACUUUGCCGCCUGCAAACCAAAACACAGACGGCAAAAUACUUUGCCGUCUUCGUUUUUCUCUACAGACGGCAAAAUGAGUACUUUGCCGUCUGUAAAAAAAACAAAGACGGCAAAGUAUUUUGCUGUCUGUAAAAAAACAAUUCAAGACGGCAAACAGAAAGCACAGCAUGCGGAUCAACUACACGGAUUGAUGGCAUGGCAGCGAUCCAACACCGUCCGCUCCUCAUGUGCACGAUCCACACCACCCAUCCCACCUGCCUGCACAACCACCCACCACACCACCUGCCACGCACGGACGCACCCAUGUGCCAUCUCCCUUAUCCUCUCACACGCGCACAAGGUCCACAUCCACCCACACACACAUGCCACCAGCCCACCAACCACCCAUGCCCAUGAUGGGAUGGCGACCGGCUGGCCCUUCCCCGAUGGCCGCCGCCGCCGCGCUCUGCCGGGCCCUCGCCCUGGCACCGGCGCUGCUCCUCCGCCGCCAGGCCCUCGUGCGCCUCCUCUCCACACAGGCCCAGUCCUCUACGGCCCCCACCAUCAGCCCCGCCGAGCUCAUCCGCAUCAAGAACUCCAUCCACAGCGCCGCCACGCCGCCCGACGAGCUCGCCGCCCUCUUCCUGAAAGGCAUCCCGCACCUGCCCUUCCUCGGCGACCGCUCCAUCUUCUCCCUCACCGUCUCCCGCCUCACCGCCGCCGCCCGCCCCGACCUCGUCUGCUCCGUGCUCUCCGCCUUCCUCACCGCCCUCCCAUCGCCGCACCCCUCCGAGGGCUUCCUCAUCCGCCUCAUCGCGCUCUACGCCGCCAUCGGCAUGCCCACACACUCCCUCUCCACCUUCCUCCUUGUCGUGGCCCCUCCGCCCUCCUCGCCGUCUACUACGACACCGGCUAGCCCGCCCGCGCCAUCUAGGCCUUCCGCGACCUCCCAGCCGAGCUCUCCAUCACGCUGGGCGUCGUGUCCCACAACGUGCUCCUCAAGUGCAUGGUCGCCAUGGGGGACGUCGCCGGCGCCCUCCAGGUGUUCGACGGAAUGCCUAGUUCGUCAAAUAGAGUAGUUUUUUUAGAAGUUGAAAUAGAAUUUGCUUGUUCGUGGAUGAGUGAGUGGUGCUGGAUAUAUACUGUAAAUGCACUAGUUCUAUCAUGUAAAAUCCGCUCGUUCGUCAUCGAUCCUUAUAUUGGUUGUUGCGAAAUUGCUAUGAAAAAUUCUGCAUACGCCUUCGACCAUGUACGGCCUCUGCACCUGCACUGUUGGUUCAUAUAUUUUUUGAAAUAAUAAAAAAUUCUUUGCCGUCUGGGAUAUAUGAGGCUGACGGCAAAGACGUAGUCUAGCUGACGGCAAAGACGUAGUCUAGCUGACGGCAAAGAUGGUUUUCUUUGCUGUCUGCUAUUACUGGGCUUCACAGCAAAGACAGAGUUGGUUGACGGCAAAGUCUUUGCCAUCUUCCCAAUAAAAAGCUGACGACAAAGUAUUCUUUGUCGACUUAUCUUUGCCGUCUAAGUUUGUCGUCUGCUUCCUGACGGCAAAAUCUUUGCCGUCUGGAUUUAGGUCUUUGCCGUCUGGGAUUCAUAGACGGCAAAUUACCUGUUUCCUAUAGAGUAAGCAGGCAUCAUGGUGAUCGAUCAUCACAUGUUUUUUUGUUUGAAGAUAUAUUAACGAAUCAUUCUUUCUUCUUUCAGCCCUCCGGAUCGAGAAAAUCUGCUUCUACAGACAGCAAGACAAAGCAAGGCCCGGGCAGAAAGUUGAAGGAUGGUGUAAAGUACAACAUCAAAUCCACCAAACCUAGUGGCGAACCCCUCAUUCCUAAGAACAUUGCGAACAAGUUUACUCGUCAGUGCGGAGUUCUUGUGAAGAACAAACUCCCGAUCUACAUUCAAGAAUGGAAAGAGCCAAAGACUAAACGUCCAGGUGUUACUUGGGUCGACGACAGAGCCAAAAAAGACCUUUGGGAAUCUCUGAUGGAACAUUUCACCCUACCAGAUCAUUUCACUGAAGCAGAUGUGGAGAAAGUCAAGGGCGCUGCUCUUAAGAAGAUGGCAAUUGCAUUCAACACCCACAAGAAAACUGUAUGGGCCAACUACCUCGCUGUAGAAAGGAAGACUCCAGAAUUCACGGGAACACUGGAGAAGCAAAGAGAACACUGGGACGAUUUCAUGAAAUUCAAGGAUUCAGAAUUAUCUAAGGAACGGUCGAUAAAAAACAAGGCCAAUGCCGCAAAAAAGACGCAGUUACGUAGGCUGGGUCCAGGUGGCUACACGGUGGGAAUGCCUAAGUGGGAUAAGUCUGAACAAGAGAUGGAGGAUGCAGGGGUCACUCCGAUUACUAGGAGCUGGCCUCCAGGUACAAAACUUGGUUCUAUGCGCAUGGGGGGCGUUGGACCUGAAGACAGGCCUGGUUUCGCAGAAGGCAAGUCUAAAAGGAGCCAAACAAAAGAUACUUGACGCAAUAGAAGAAGCUCGAAGGGGGGUGUUCACGCCCAACAGAGAGCACAACGAGCUUACGCGCGCCCUGGGAAAUCCUGAACACCCGGGAAGAACAUGAGGCAAGGGCGUUAUUCCCUGGUAUGAGGGCUUUUCGGACUGGAACGACGACUAGAGGUCCCGUGCAAGAAAGAAGAUGGAGGAGGAGAAGAAGAGGAAGCUGGAGGAGGAGCAGAGGAAGCAGGACGCAGAACGCCUUCAAGGCCUAGAAGCAAGGCACGCAGACUUGGCACUCAAAUUCUAACAGCAGCAGCAGUAGAUCGACUCACUUAGCCAGGAAAGGGGUCUCAGCAGCGGCAGCAGCAAGUGGAUGAUCGUCCUUCAUUGGAUAGCACCAUCCCAUCCAUGGCGAGAAGCAGCGUUGGUUCUGCCCCGGGUGACACACUGCUGGAUACAUACCAUGUGGAUGACGUCAUAGAGAACACUAACUGUGAGCUACACUCCAAAAUGAAGAACAUAUCCAUGAAGGUGGUGGAUGGCGUUGCUUUCACAAUUACCCCCGAAGCAACCUUCCAUUGCAUCCUGAUUCUAGAGGGCUAUGCUCGUGUCAUGGUUGAUGAAGUGGUGGAGCCAUAUUCGAUGCUAGCACUUGACAUUCCUGGAGGUGACGGCGAGCGCACACUCGGAGAAACCAUACAUCGUAUCAUCCUAUGGAGAAAGGAUUGUACCAUCUUUCCAAGUCCACCGACACCGCAUCGUCUGCCGGCUCCUCCUCGAAGUCCGCCACCGAGUCAGCAGACUCCCGCUCCUCCAAGUCCACGAACGCGUGAGCCGACUCCUCCUCGAAGUCCGCCACCUCUUCCAAGUCCCCGAACGUGUGAGCUGACUCCUCCGGUUUCAAGUCUGGCACAACGUCAGGCCACUUUUCCGGUUUCUAGUCCGGCACCGUGUCAGGCCACACCUCCUGCUUCAAGUCUGGCAAAUCGUCCGGCCACUUCUCCUGCUCCAACUCAGCCACGUCAGCCGUCUCCGCCAUCUCAGCAAUCACAGAAGAGACACGCCGUAGCUAUGGUGCGUAGCGGUACGAGUCAAGGUAGUUCAAGAAGUAUAGGCGGAGACAAGGCGAUAUAAAUAUUGUCCAAGCCACGCUCGUCUUCCUCAGAGGCCUCACGACAUGACCGAGGAGCAAAGCACAGCCAUAGUGCAGGCCCAAGUGGACGCCCAUUUUGCACCGAAACCGGCACCGCCGCCAAGGGAGAAAGUGCCUGAGGUAAAGAUUGACCACUUCAUUCGUAUGGCCAAAGCACCAGCUCCCAAGCCAGUUGACUCAGACUAUGAGCGCCAAAUCAGGAAGUCACAUCGAGCACGACUACAGAAGGAAGCGAGCUCGAGCUCGAGCGAACAAGCAGCGGGCAAAAAAUGCAGGAAAACCGUUCCCCAGCUGGGAGAACAUGCGGCGCAAUCGACCCCCUGCUUUUUGUGUGAUACGUCUCCGUCGUAUCUAUAAUUUUCGAUUGUUCCAUGCCAAUAUUCUACAACUUUCUUAUACUUUUGGCAACUUUUUAUACUAUUUUUUGGGACUAACAUAUUGAUCCAGUGCCCAGUGCCAGUUCCUGCGUGUUGCAUGUUUUAUGUUUCACAAAAAACCAAUAUCAAACGGAAUCCAAACGGGAUAAAAACGGACGGAGAAUUAUUUUAGAAUAUUUGGGAUUUUCCGGAGGAAGAAUCAACGUGAAACAGUGUCCGAGGUGGCCACGAGACAGGGGGGCGCGCCCACUACCCCCUGGGCGCGCCCUGGACUCUCGUGGGCCACCCGUAAGGUGGUUGAUGCCAUUCUUUUCCACAAGAAAGCUAUUUUUUUGAGAAAAAUCUAGGCGAAGGAUUCACCCCAACCGGAGUUACGCAUCUCCAGAUAUAAAUGAAACGGUGAAGGGGCAGAAUAAGAGAACAGAGAAACAGAGAGAUAGAUCCAAUCUCGGAGGGGCUCUCGCCCCUCCCAAGCCAUGGGAGCCAAGGAACAGAGGGCAAAACCUUCUCCCAUCUAGGGAGGAGGUCAAGGAAGAAGAAGAAGAAGGGGGCCUUUCUCCCCCAUGCUUCCGGUGGCGCCGGAGCGCUACCGGGGGCCAUCAUCAUCACCGCGAUCUUCACCAACACCUCCGCCAUCUUCAGCAACAUCUCCAUCACCUUCCCCCAUCUAUAUCCAGCGGUCCACUCUCCCGCAUCCCGCUGUACCCUCUACUUGAACAUGGUGCUUUAUGCUUCAUAUUAUUACCCAAUGAUGUGUUGCCAUCCUAUGAUGUCUGAGUAGAUUUCCGUUGUCUUAUCGGUGAUUGAUGAAUUGCUAUGAUUGGUUUGAGUUGCAUGUUUUAUUAUUGGUGAUGUCCUAUUGUGACCUCCAUGUCGCGCAAGCGUGAGGGAUUCCCGCUGUAGUGUGUUGCAAUGCUUUCAUGAUUCGCUUAUAGUGGGUUGUGUGAGUGACUGAAACACAAACCCGAGUAAGGGGAUUGUUGCGUAUGGGAUAAAAGGGACUUGAUGCUUUAAUGCUAUGGUUGGGUUUUACCUUUAUGAAUCUUUAGUAGUUGCGGAUGCUUGCUAGAGUUCCAAUCAUAAGUGCAUAUGAUCCAAGAAGAGGAAGUAUGUUAGCUUAUGCCUCUCCCUCAAAUAGAAUUGCAAUAGUGAUUAUCGGUCUAGUAACAUAGUCAAUUGCGUAGGGACAAUUCCACAACUCCUACCACCACUUUUCCACACUCGCUAUAUUUACUUUAUUGCAUCUUUAUCUAAACAGCCCCUACUUUUUGUUUACGUGCUCUUUAUUAUCUUGCAAGUCUAUCCAAUAACACCUACAAAGUACUUCUUGUUUCAUACUUGUUCUAGGUAAAGCGAACAUCAAGCGUGUGGAGAGUUGUAUCGGUGGUCGAUAGAACUUGAGGGAAUAUUUAUUCUACCUUUAGCUCCUCGUUGGGUUCGACACUCUUACUUAUCGAAAACUGUUGCGAUCCCCUACAAUUGUGGGUUAUCAUUGUGCCAACAACACAUGAGAGGAGGCCGCGCGCCCAAUAUUAUUGUGGGCAAACCGUUAACGUUCCCCAGCUAGGCGAUGUGGUAAUAACGGAGGAGCAUAUAAUGCAGGCUAAAAUGCUCAAGAUAUCUGUUGGACAACUCCUCGAAAUUGAGCCCAUGUCUCCGCUUAUAGAGGAGGAAAUAAAACGGAAAUAUGUCCGGCGCAACCUUUGGUCGAGCCAGACAAGGUCAAGAACCUCCCAACGAGAAUGUAUGAAUUGCAUCAAUGGUACAUGAACAUUACCAAGAUUUCCAAUCGAGAGCCCACUACUAGGAAAAGGGCUAUAGAUAGGACUGAUUCUAAUGGCGCACCAGGUAAGUAGUGCGCCACUACUAUAUACUAAUGGCGCACCGGUUGCUCGUGCGCCAUUAGUGUGGAAGACACUAAUGGCGCACCGUGAUCAUGGUGCGCCACUACUAUUGAUUUUUUCCCCAUUUUUCCAUACAAACUAAUGGCGCAGGAAUGGCAAAGUGCGCCAUUACUAGUUAGAACUUGUAAUGGCGCACGACCAAGACAGUGCGCCAUUAGUAUAUAAUUUUUUGUUUUUUACUUUUUUGCAAACCUACUAAUGGCGCACUAUGCCAAAGCCCAGUCGUGUUUAUACCCGAAGCCAAAUCCAAGACCGCGGGCGCAAACGUCACCGCGAAAAAUGAGCCAUGGGUACUGGCUUCCCAAGUUGACCAAUGCUUCUACAUUACCGACCCGCCAAAGCCCAGUCGUGUUGUCGUGAGGAGAGGCAAAAGGAAGAUCAUCGGAAUGGAUGGAGUAGCCAAUGAGCAAGACUUCGACAAGUACGGCGACCCGAAGAUCGAACAUGACGACGACGAUGAAGUAGCAGCACACACCACAAGAAGAAGCAGGACCACCCUACCUAAAGGACGUUCAUUCCACAGAAGAACUCCAUUUGCGAAAAAGAAGGGCAAGAAGAUUGUGAACAGAUAGCUAGCUAAGAUCGAUUGUAUUUAAAUCAUAGUCUUCAUUUCUCGAUUGUAUUUCAUGGGCACUUUUUGAUAUCAUGAAUAUUUUUAAAUUUCAUGGGCACUUUUUGAAAUCAUGAGGACACUUGAUCUCGAUCCCCCUCCAUCUCGAUCUCGAUUCCUCCUCCAUCUCGAUCUCGAUCCCCGCACCCUCCCCCGCUCCACCGCCGCCGCCGAUGAUAUUUUCAAGUAAGAAAUUUGAACAUAUUUUUUAAAAAAUUAUUACUGUUUUUUAAAAAAAUAUUACUGUUAUGAUUUAAACAAGUUUGAACAUAUUUAAACACAAAUAAAUAUAAAAAACAGCAUUUAAAAUGCAUAAAAAAUAUUGGGGAGCCUGGGAAUCGAACCCAGGACCUCCUGGUGUGUGUGCUGCGUGCUGACCAGUCGGGCUAGUCGAUGGGUUCUGUUGUAGAUAGGGUUAGGUUGUAGAUAUGGUUAGUGGGCUAGAUUAAAACAAAAUUCUAAUGGCGCACUGAGGGGUGGUGCGCCAUUAGAAUAGUCAUACUUAUGGCGCACGACUCGAUGGUGCGCCAUUAGAACCCUCCCCCUAGCUAUCCUCCCUCCCUCUCGCCAGAUCCCCUUCGACCCUCUCUCCGGCCCUCGCCACCAGAUCCACCCACGCGCUGCCCCGACCCACGCCGCCGCCGCCCCCACGCCUCCGUCUCCGUCGCCGCCCCCAAUCAGCCCCUGCCCUGCCCCCCAUCGCCGUCCGCUCCCAAUCCACCCCUCCCUCGCCUUCACCGCACCCACCCACCCCCUCCCUCGCCUUCCCAGCCCUCGAGCUCCACCGUGCGAGGCGACAUGCAAGGCGGCGGGCAGAAUCUGCUUCCACACCGGGCCGGCGAGCCACGGAACCAGGGCGCGACGGCGCUCGACCCCUCCACCUUCCCCCUCCACCUCUUCUUCCUCGGGUCGCCGCUGUCUUCCUCAACUUCGGCCACCUCUGUUGCUACUAAGCUGUUGUAGGGCCUCCUUGCGCCUCCCCGGUGAGCUCCGCCUCCUCUCCCCGGUGAGGUGCCAAGAAAUGCAUAGCAAUUAUUUGCUUCACUUAGUCAUUGAUGGUCAUUCAGUAUGAAAUUACAACCUGCAGGUAUUGGUUGGAAUGUGUAACUACAAUUUACAGGGGAAAUGUUUGCAGUUAAGUUAUGUGGUUGGAAAGAUCAUGUGUCAUUAGAAACUUGGAAGCUAAAAACAUUGCGAUCCUCACCAUAAGGAUGAUUAUAUCUUCCAUGCCUGUAUAGCUCUGCCUAAAUAAUAAAUAGAUAAAGGUAAAACUAAACCAUGCUCAGCGAUGAGUGAUGUCAACUGACAACCAAAGCAAACUUGUUCAUCAUUACAAAAGCAAACUCGUUCAACAUAACAAAAGCAAACUUGUUCAACAUAACAAAAGCAAACUUGUUCAACCACAUAACUACAAACUGAGACACAGUAGUAGGGGUCAUCCCAAUACCACAAACAACUCAAUAUCCCCAGUAGUAGGGGUCAUCCCAAUGAUCCUCCGCCUCUUGCCAGAGCUCCAAACCUUCUUUGGUGAUUUCAAUUUUCUUCCAUGCCUCGUAGGUGACGUACGCAUCUUUCGCGGCGUACUCGAUGAGCUUGUUUGGUAGUGGGCUGUCCCCCCAUAGUAGGUGGUCCGAUUUCCUGUCGAUCUUCUGCUUCAUUUCUGAAGGAAAUAUGCCCUAGAGGCAAUAAUAAAGUUAUUAUUUAUUUCCUCAUAUCAUGAUAGAUGUUUAUUAUUCAUGCUAGAAUUGUAUUAACCGGAAACAUGAUACAUGUGUGAAUACAUAGACAAACAUAUAGUCACUAGUAUGCCUCUACUUGACUAGCUCAUUAAUCAAAGAUGGUUAUGUUUCCUAACCAUAGACAUGUGUUGUCAUUUGAUUAAUGGGAUCACAUCAUUAGGAGAAUGAUGUGAUUGACAUGACCCAUUCCGUUAGCCUAGCACUUGAUCGUUUAGUAUAUUGCUAUUGCUUUCUUCAUGACUUAUACAUGUUCCUGUAACUAUGAGAAUUAUGCAACUCCCGUUUACCGGAGGAACACUUUGGGUACUACCAAACGUCACAACGUAACUAGGUGAUUAUAAAGGAGUACUACAGGUGUCUCCGAAGGUACAUGUUGAGUUGGCGUAUUUCGAGAUUAGGUUUUCUCACUCCGAUUGUCGGAGAGGUAUCUCUGGGCCCUCUCGGUAAUGCACAUCAUUAUAAGCCUUGCAAGCAAUGUGACCAAAUGAGUUGGUUACGGGAUGAUGCAUUACGGAACGAGUAAAGAGACUUGCUGGUAACAAGAUUGAACUAGGUAUUGGAUACCGACGAUCAAAUCUCGGGCAAGUAACAUACCGAUGACAAAGGGAAUAACGUAUGUUGUUAUGCGGUCUGACCGAUAAAGAUCUUCGUAGAAUAUGUAGGAACCAAUAUGGGCAUCCAGGUUCCGCUAUUGGUUAUUGACCGAGAAUAGUUCUAGGUCAUGUCUACAUAGUUCUCGAACCCGUAGGGUCCGCACGCUUAACGUUACGAUGACAAUUUUAUUAUGAGUUUAUAAGUUUUGAUGUACCGAAGUUUGUUCGGAGUCCCGGAUGUGAUCACGGACAUAACGAGGAGUCUCGAAAUGGUCGGGACAUAAAGAUCGAUAUAUUGGAAGCCUAUAUUUGGACAUCGGAAUCGUUCCGGGUGAAAUCGGCAUUUUACCGGAGUACCGGGAGGUUACCGGAACCCCCCCGGGGGGUUAUCGGGCCUACAUGGGCCUCGAGGGAGAAGAGGGAAGGAGGCAGGAGGGGGCCGCGCGCCCCUCCCCUUCCUAGUCCGAAUAGGACAAGGGAAGGGGGGCGGCGCCCCCCCUUUCCUUCCCCUCUUCCUCCUCUUUCCCCCCUUCUCCUAUUCCAACUAGGAAAGAAGGGAGUCCUACUCCCGGUGGGAGUAGGACUCCCCCCUUGGCGCGCCCUCCUUGGCCGGCCGCCUCCUCCAACUGGCUCCAUUAUAUACGGGGGCGGGGGGGCACCCCAUAGACACACAAGUUGAUCUACGGAUCGUUCCUUAGCCGUGUGCGGUGCCCCCCUCCACCAUAUUCCACCUCGGUCAUAUCGUCGCGGAGUUUAGGCGAAGCCCUGCGCCGGUAGAGCAUCAACAUCGUCACCACGCCGUCAUGCUGACGGAACUCAUCCCCGAAGCUUUGCUAGAUCGGAGCCCGGGGAUCGUCAUCGAGCUGAACGUGUGCUGAACUCGGAGGUGCCGUACGUUCGGUGCUUGGAUCGGUCGGAUCGUGAAGACGUAAGACUACAUCAACCGCGUUGUGCUAACGCUUCCGCUUACGGUCUACGAGGGUACGUGGACAACACUCUCCCCUCUCGUUGCUAUGCCAUCACCAUGAUCUUGCGUGUACGUAGGAAUUUUUUUGAAAUUACUACGUUCCCCAACAGUGGCAUCCGGGCCUAGGUUUUAUGUGUUGAUGUUAUAUGCACGAGUAGAACACAAGUGAGUUGUGGGCGAUACAAGUCAUACUGCUUACCAGCAUGUCAUACUUUGGUUCGGCGGUAUUGUGAGAUGAAGCGGCCCGGACCGACAUUACGCGUACGCUUACGCGAGACUGGUUUCACCGUUGCGAGCACUGGUGCUUAAAGGUGGCUGGCGGGUGUUUGUCUCUCUCACUUUAGCUGAAUCGAGUGUGGCUACGCCCGGUCCUUGCGAAGGUUAAAAAAACACUAACUUGACGAACUAUCGUUGUGGUUUUGAUGCGUAGGUAAGAACGGUUCUUGCUAAGCCCGUAGCAGCCACGUAAAAUUUGCAACAACAAAGUAGAGGACGUCUAACUUGUUUUUGCAGGGCAUGUUGUGAUGUGAUAUGGUCAAGACGUGAUGCUAUAUUUAUUGUAUGAGAUGAUCAUGUUUUGUAACCGAAGUUAUCGGCAACUAGCUGGAGCCAUAUGGUUGUCGCUUUAUUGUAUGAAAUGCAAACGCCCCGUAAUUGCUUUACUUUAUCUCUAAGCGGUAGCGAUAGUCGUAGAAGCAAUAGAUGGCGUAACGACAACGAUGCUACGAUGGAGAUCAAGGUGUCGCGCCGGUGACGAUGGUGAUCACGACAGUGCUUCGAAGAUGGAGAUCACAAGCACACGAUGAUGAUGGCCAUAUCAUAUCACUUAUAUUGAUUGCAUGUGAUGUUUAUCCUUUAUGCAUCUUAUCUUGCUUUGAUUGAUGGUAGCAUUUUAAGAUGAUCUCUCACUAAUAAUUAAGAAGUGUUCUCCCUGAGUAUGCACCGUUGCGAAAGUACUUCAUGCUGAGACACCACGUGAUGAUCGGGUGUGAUAGGCUCUACGUUCAAAUACAACGGGUGCAAAACAGUUGCACACGCGGAAUACUCAGGUCAUACUUGACGAGCCUAGCAUAUACAGAUAUGGCCUCGGAACACGGAGACCGAAAGGUCGAACGUGAAUCAUAUAGUAGAUAUGAUCAACAUAGUGAUGUUCACCAUUGAAACUACUCCAUCUCACGUGAUGAUCGGACUUGGUUUAGUUGAUUUGGAUCACGUGAUCACUUAGAUGACUAGAGAGAUAUCUGUCUAAGUGGGAGUUCUUAAGUAAUAUGAUUAACUGAACUUAAAUUUAUCAUGAACUUAGUACCUGAUAGUAUCUUGCUUGUCUAUGUUUGUUUGUAGAUAGAUGGCUCGUGCUGUUGUUCCGUUAAAUUUUAAUGCGUUCCUUGAGAAAGCAAAGUUGAAAUAUAAUGGUAGCAAUUACACGGACUGGGUCCGUAACCUAAGGAUUAUCCUCAUUGCUGCACAGAAAAGUUACGUCCUGGAAGCACCUCUGGGUGCCAGGCCUGCUGCUGAUGCAACUGACGACGUUAAGAACGUCUGGCAGAGAAAAGCUGAUGACUACUCGAUAGUUUAGUGUGCCAUGCUUUACGGCUUAGAACCGGGUCUUCAACGAUGUUUUGAAUGUCAUGGAGCAUAUGAGAUGUUCCAGGACUUGAAGUUAAUAUUUCAAGCAAAUGCCUGGAUUGAGAGAUAUGAAGUCUCCAAUAAGUUCUAUAGCUGCAAGAUGGAGGAGAAUAGUUCUGUCAGUGAACAUAUACUCAAAAUGUCUGGGUAUAAUAAUCACUUGAUUCAACUGGGAGUUAAUCUUCCUGAUGAUAGUGUCAUUGACAGAAUUCUUCAAUCACUGCCACCAAGCUACAAGAGCUUCGUGAUGAACUAUAAUAUGCAAGGGAUGAACAAGACUAUUCCCGAGCUCUUCGCGAUGCUAAAAGCCGCGGAGGUAGAAAUCGAAAAGGAGCAUCAAGUGUUGAUGGUUAACAAGACCACCAGUUUCAAGAAAAAGGGCAAAGGGAAGAAGAAGGGGAACUUCAAAAAGAACAGCAAGCAAGUUGCUGCUCAAGAGAAGAAACCCAAGUCUGGACCUAAACCUGAAACUGAGUGCUUCUACUGCAAGCAGACUGGACACUGGAAGCGGAACUGCCCCAAGUAUUUGGCGGAUAAGAAGGAUGGCAAAGUGAACAAAGGUAUAUGUGAUAUACAUGUUAUUGAUGUGUAUCUUACUAAUGCUCGCAGUAGCACCUGGGUAUUUGAUACUGGUUCUGUUGCUAAUAUUUGCAACUCGAAACAGGGACUACGAAUUAAGCGAAGAUUGGCUAAGGACGAGGUGACGAUGCGCGUGGGAAAUGGUUCCAAAGUCGAUGUGAUCGCAGUCGGCACGCUACCUCUACAUCUACCAUCGGGAUUAGUUUUAGACCUAAAUAAUUGUUAUUUGGUGCCAGCGUUGAGCAUGAACAUUAUAUCUGGAUCUUGUUUGAUGCGAGACGGUUAUUCAUUUAAAUCAGAGAAUAAUGGUUGUUCUAUUUAUAUGAGUAAUAUCUUUUAUGGUCAUGCACCCUUGAAAAGUGGUCUAAUUUUAUUGAAUCUCGAUAGUAGUGAUACACAUAUUCAUAGUGUUGAAACCAAAAGAUACAGAGUUGAUAAUGAUAGUGCAACUUAUUUGUGGCACUGCCGUUUAGGUCAUAUCGGUGUAAAGCGCAUGAAGAAACUCCAUACUGAUGGGAUUUUAGAAUCAGUUGAUUAUGAAUCACUUGGUACUUGCGAACCGUGCCUCAUGGGCAAGAUGACUAAAACGUCGUUCUCCGGAACUAUGGAGCGAGCAACUGAUUUGUUGGAAAUCAUACAUACUGAUAUUUGUGGUCCAAUGAAUGUUGAGGCUCGCGGUGGGUAUCGUUAUUUUCUCACCUUCACAGAUGAUUUGAGCAGAUAUGGGUAUAUCUACUUGAUGAAACACAAGUCUGAAACAUUUGAAAAGUUCAAAGAAUUUCAGAGUGAAGUGGAAAAUCAUCGUAACAAGAAAAUAAAAUUUCUACGAUCUGAUCGUGGAGGAGAAUAUUUGAGUUACGAGUUUGGUCUACACUUGAAACAAUGCGGAAUAGUUUCGCAACUCACGCCACCCGGAACACCACAACGAAAUGGUGUGUCCGAACGUCAUAAUCGUACUUUACUAGAUAUGGUGCGAUCUAUGAUGUCUCUUACUGAUUUGCCGCUAUCGUUUUGGGGUUAUGCUUUAGAGACGGCCGCAUUCACGUUAAAUAGGGCACCAUCAAAAUCCGUUGAGACGACACCUUAUGAACUGUGGUUUGGCAAGAAACCAAAGUUGUCGUUUCUUAAAGUUUGGGGCUGCGAUGCUUAUGUGAAGAAACUUCAACCAGAUAAGCUCGAACCCAAAUCGGAGAAAUGUGUCUUCAUAGGAUACCCAAAAGAGACUAUUGGGUACACCUUCUAUCACAGAUCUGAGGGCAAGAUUUUCGUUGCUAAAAUCGGAUCCUUUCUAGAGAAGGAGUUUCUCUCGAAAGAAGUGAGUGGGAGGAAAGUAGAACUUGAUGAGAUAACUGUAUCUACUCCCUUAUUGGAAAGUAGUUCAUCACAAGAACCGGUUCCUGUGACAACUACACCAAUUAGUGAGGAAGCUAAUGAUAUUGAUCAUGAAACUUCAGAUCAAGUUUCUACUAAACCUCGUAGGUCUACCAGAAUAAGAUCUGCACCAGAGUGGUAGGGUAAUCCAAUUCUGGAAGUCAUGUUGCUUGACCAUGAUGAACCUAUGAACUAUGAGGAAGCGAUGAUGAGCCCAGAUUCCGAAAAAUGGCUAGAGGCCAUGAAACCUGAGAUGGGAUCCAUGUAUGAAAACAAAUUAUGGACUUUGGUUGACUUGCCCAAUGAUCGGCAACCAAUUGAGAAUAAAUGGAUCUUUAAGAAGAAGACUGACGCAGAUGGUAAUGUAACUGUCUAUAAAGCUCGACUUGUUGCGAAAGGUUUUCGACAAGUUCAAGGAGUUGACUACGAUGAGACUUUCUCACCCGUAGCAAUGCUUAAGUCUGUCUGAAUCAUGUUAGCUAUUGCUGCAUUUCAUGAUUAUGAAAUUUGGCAAAUGGAUGUCAAGACUGCAUUCUUGAAUGGAUUUCUGGAAGAAGAGUUGUAUAUGAUGCAGCCAGAAGGUUUUGUUGAUCCAAAAGGUGCUAACAAAGUGUGCAAGCUCCAGCGUUCCAUUUAUGGACUGGUGCAAGCAUCUCGGAGUUGGAAUAAACACUUUGAUAGUGUGAUCAAAGCAUAUGGUUUUAUACAGACUUUUGGAGAAGCUUCUAUUUACAAGAAAGUGAGUGGGAGCUCUGUAGCAUUUCUGAUAUUAUAUGUAGAUGACAUAUUAUUAAUUGGAAAUGAUAUAGAAUUUCUGGAUAGCUUAAAGGGAUACUUGAAUAAAAGUUUUUCAAUGAAAGACCUCGGUGAAGCUGCUUACAUAUUGGGCAUCAAGAUCUAUAGAGAUAGAUCAAGACGCUUGAUAGGACUUUCACAAAGCACAUACCUUGAUAAACUUUUGAAAAAGUUCAAAAUGGAUCAGGCAAAGAAAGGGUUCUUGCCCGUACUGCAAGGUGUGAAGUUGAGUCAAACUCAAUGCCCGACCACAGCAGAAGAUAGAGAGAAAAUGAAAGAUGUUCCCUAUGCUUCAGCCAUAGGUUCUAUCAUGUAUGCAAUGCUGUGUACCAGACCUGACGUAUGCUUAGCAAUAAGCUUGGCAGGAAGGUACCAAAGUAAUCCAGGAGUGGAUCACUGGACAACGGUCAAGAACAUCCUGAAAUACCUGAAAAGGACUAAGGAUAUGUUUCUCGUAUAUGGAGGUGACAAAGAGCUAGUCGUAAAUGGUUACGUCGAUGCAAGCUUUGACACUGAUCCGGACGAUUCUAAAUCGCAAACCGGAUACGUGUUUUUAUUAAACGGUGGAGCUGUAAGUUGGUGCAGUUCUAAACAAAGCGUCGUGGCGGGAUCUACAUGUGAAGCGGAGUACAUAGCUGUUUCGGAAGCACCAAAUGAAGGAGUCUGGAUGAAGGAGUUCAUUUCCGAUCUAGGUGUCAUACCUAGUGCAUCGGGACCAAUGAAAAAUCUUCUGUGACAAUACUGGUGCAAUUGCCUUGGCAAAGGAAUCCAGAUUUCACAAGAGGACCAAGCACAUCAAGAGACGCUUCAAUUCCAUUCGGGACCAAGUCCAAGUGGGAGACAUAGAGAUUUGCAAGAUACAUACGGAUCUGAAUGUUGCAUACCCGUUGACUAAGCCACUCUCACGAGCAAAACAUGAUCAACACCAAGACUCCAUGGGUGUUAGAAUCAUUACUAUGUAAUCUAGAUUAUUGACUCUAGUGCAAGUGGGAGACUGAAGGAAAUAUGCCCUAGAGGUAAUAAUAAAGUUAUUAUUUAUUUCCUAAUAUCAUGAUAAAUGUUUAUUAUUCAUGCUAGAAUUGUAUUAACCGGAAACAUGAUACAUGUGUGAAUACAUAGACAAACAUAUAGUCACUAGUAUGCCUCUACUUGACUAGCUCAUUAAUCAAAGAUGGUUAUGUUUCCUAACCAUAUACAUGUGUUGUCAUUUGAUUAAUGGGAUCACAUCAUUAGGAGAAUGAUGUGAUUGACAUGACCCAUUCCGUUAGCCUAGCACUUGAUCGUUUAGUAUAUUGCUAUUGCUUUCUUCAUGACUUAUACAUGUUCCUGUAACUAUGAGAAUUAUGCAACUCCCGUUUACCGGAGGAACACUUUGGGUACUACCAAAUGUCACAACGUAACUGGGUGAUUAUAAAGGAGUACUACAGGUGUCUCCGAAGGUACAUGUUGAGUUGGCGUAUUUCGAGAUUAGGUUUUGUCACUCCGAUUGUGGGAGAGGUAUCUCUGGGCCCUCUCGGUAAUGCACAUCAUUAUAAGCCUUGCAAGCAAUGUGACCAAAUGAGUUGGUUACGGGAUGAUGCAUUACGGAACGAGUAAAGAGACUUGCCAGUAACAAGAUUGAACUAGGUAUUGGAUACCGACGAUCAAAUCUCGGGCAAGUAACAUACCGAUGACAAAGGGAAUAACGUAUGUUGUUAUGCGGUCUGACCGAUAAAGAUCUUCGUAGAAUAUGUAGGAACCAAUAUGGGCAUCCAGGUUCCGCUAUUGGUUAUUGACCGAGAAUAGUUCUAGGUCAUUUCUACAUAGUUCUCGAACCCGUAGGGUCCGCACGCUUAACGUUACGAUGACAAUUUUAUUAUGAGUUUAUAAGUUUUGAUGUACCGAAGUUUGUUCGGAGUCCCGGAUGUGAUCACGGACGUAACGAGGAGUCUCGAAAUGGUCGAGACAUAAAGAUCGAUAUAUUGGAAGCCUAUAUUUUGACAUCGGAAUCGUUCCGGGUGAAAUCGGCAUUUUACCGGAGUAUCGGGAGGUUACCGAAACCCCCCCGGGGGGUUAUUGGGCCUACAUGGGCCUCGAGGGAGAAGAGGGAAGGAGGCAGGAGGGGGCCGCAUGCCCCUCCCCUUCCUAGUCCGAAUAGGACAAGGGAAGGGGGGCGGCGCCCCCCCUUUCCUUCCCCUCUUCCUCCUCUUUCCCCCCUUCUCCUAUUCCAACUAGGAAAGAAGGGAGUCCUACUCUCGGUGGGAGUAGGACUCCCCCCUUGGCACGCCCUCCUUGGCCGGCCGCCUCCUCCCCCCUGGCUCCUUUAUAUACGGGGGCGGGGGCACCCCAUAGACACACAAGUUGAUCUACGCAUCGUUCCUUAGCCGUGUGCGGUGCCCCCCUCCACCAUAUUCCACCUCGGUCAUAUCGUCGCGGAGUUUAGGCGAAGCCCUGCGCCGGUAGAGCAUCAUCAUCGUCACCACGCCGUCGUGCUGACGAAACUCAUCCCCGAAGCUUUGCUGGAUCGGAGCCCGGGGAUCGUCAUCGAGCUGAACGUGUGCUGAACUCGGAGGUGCCGUACGUUUGGUGCUUGGAUCGGUUGGAUCGUGAAGACGUACGACUACAUCAACCGCGUUGUGCUAACGCUUCCGCUUACGGUCUACGAGGGUACGUGGACAACACUCUCACCUCUCAUUGCUAUGCCAUCACCAUGAUCUUGCGUGUACGUAGGAAUUUUUUUGAAAUUACUACGUUCCCCAACAAUUUCCUUGUAGGAAGGGUGGAUGAGGCUGCCUGCAAACUCAGCCAAAGACUGCCACUUCUUUUCAUUGUUUGGAAAUCUCCAUUUGCACUGCAAGUCGACGUACUUGUCAGGGUUGAUCUCUAAACCAGACAACUUCAGCUUAUCCUUGUCGCCUCCAAUGGAGAAGCCAACAAAGGUGUACAGCUUCUUCUCCUGCAGGAGCGGGCGGAGCUCCUUGGGCCUGCAUCAAAUUAAUCUGGUGCAUCAAAUUCAUCUACUUCAAAAACUUCAGAAACUACAGAAUUAAAAUGGGUUCAGUUGAAGCAAAAUUCAGUUAAAAUAGCAUCUUCAGUUCUGACCAAAAUUCAGUUAAAACAGUAUGAUCACAACAACUACUAAAUGAUCACAACAACUACAAGACAACAUUCUGUAUGAUCAAAACAGCAAGCAUAACAUCUCAAUGAUGUAUUUUUUUUUGCAAUCUUUUGCAUUACAAGACAACAUUCAUAACAGCUACUAAAUGAUCACAAAAACUUCUAGACAACAUUCCGUAUGAUCACCAAAAAACUACUAAUUAGACAGAAACUUCAUAACUUCAGAACUAGUAUUGCAUCUACUUCAGAACUUUAGAACUAUUGCAUCUACUUCAGAAACUUCAGAAACUACUAAUUAAAACGAAACUUCAGAACUUCAGAAACUUCAGAACUUCAGAACUAGUAUUGCAUCUACUUCAGAACUUCAUAACUAUUGCAUCUACUUCAAAAACUUCAAAAACUUCAGAAACUACUAAUUAAAACAAAACUUCAGAACUUCAGAACUAGUAUUGCAUCUACUUUAGAACUUCAUAACUAUUGCAUCUACUUUAGAAACUACUAAUUAGACAGAAACUUCAGAACUGGAUGUUUUUACCAUUUGGUUGUCGCGGUGAUGUGGUAUACCAGGACGAGAUCCUCCACGCAUAACUGCAGAACUGCAGCAAUUUGCGGAGGUUUGUCUUCCCUGGUAUACUCGACAUCAAUGCCGAUAUUCCGAGGAAGCAUGCCGCCGAGCCUCCUCCUCAUCUUGCGGAUCAUCUUGUCGGCUUCGUCUGGAUUGCUGGUGCAUACGACAUCCAGCGGCUCCUUCAGGUGGAUAUCAACCUUGAGCGGCACGGUGUUGUCCCGCUUCUGCCCAGGGAGGAAGAUGGAGCGGCAGUGGAAUAGGAAGGGAGUUACCUGGACGUGGGAAGAAAACCCCUCUGCGUCGUGGGGAGUUGCCAGUGGAGGGGAGACGUGGGGAGUUGCCUCGAAAACUCAAACGUCCUGCCCUUUCGAGGGGAGACGUGGGCCCGCGAAAACUCUGGAGGGGAGACGUGGGCCCUCCUGUUUCUGAAAUGUCCAGGAGGGGAGACGUGGGCCCUCCUGUUUCUGAAAACUACACCUAUAUCUGACGAAACUGAAGGUGUUCUUCAGCAGCUGAUUAAAAUUCAGUUAACAACAACAUCAGUAAAAUUCAAUUAAUUAACUGAAGAAGAGAAGAGAGAAAGUAGAGAGCAAGAGGAGUACUUGCAUUAACUGAAACGUUUUACUUUAAACUUGCAUGCAUUCUUUGCUUGUUUAUAUAUAUUCGUACUGAUGCAGUUACUUGCAUGGGCCUGGCUGAUGAAGAAAAACUUUAUAUAUAUUCAUACUGAUGUUGACUCUAUAAAUCAUACUUAUUGGACAUGUUUUAUGUGUUGAUCCAUCAAUUGAUCACAUUGAGAAAGACCAUUGUGUCUCCGACCAUUUUGCAAAGGUCAUGUCUCCGACCAUCGUGUCGGGUGAAUUUGCAGGUACCCCGAGAGGCCCUUGAGUUUUUCGGAAUGUUGAUUAACUUCCGUUCCGGCAAAUUCGGGUACUCCAUAUGUCCUAUUUUCAGCAAAGGUCAUGCUGAAAUUUUCCUUGCUGCAUUAAACCAUAGGUGGCAAUAGAUCCAAGUGAUUAGGCCCAACUUAGAAUUCUCCUUAGCAUCGAUAAACCCUAGAUGAUAAACCCAACAUAGGUGGCAAUAGAGCCAAGUGAUUAGUGCCAAGUGAUUAGGCCCAACCUAGGGUACCUCGGCAUCGAUAAACCCUAAAUGAUGAAAAUUUAACUUGGCUGCCCCGGAUGCCUCGGUGUCGAUGAGAACCUAAAUGAUGUACGCUUAGGCUUUUAGGGUGCCUCGGCCUCGACAAACCCUAAAUGAUGAAAGCUUAGGCUUUUAGGGUGCCUCGGUGUCGACAAACCCUAAAUGAUGAGACCAUGAUCUUGUUCCUUGACAAUAACCAACUUUUUGACCAAACUUUUUUCCUAUUUAGAGCGAAACAUGGCCCACAACGAUGAGGCCGGUGGUUCGGGCGGCAAGCAAUUCUGGGAGCUGUCCCAGGAGAUGGAGGAACAACCUCACCGCUAUGAGGACGCCGCGGAAGACACCGAUCCUGAUUACACAACCCCUAGUGGCGUCGGGGAUGACACCACUGAUGGUGCCGCCGAGGAUGCCACCACUGAUGAUGGCGGCGCACACACAGAUGGCAGCCAAUCGAAGAAGCAAAGGAAGGACCGGCGUCCGAAAGCGCUCCGCACCGUCAAGGAGGAAUUCACUCAAGUACAAGGGUAAGGUUCCCAGAGUCUACGACGACUGGGAGGAGUGUCGGAGACAGGUUCACCAUUUCAGCGGUAACAGUUACAAAGGGUACACCACUAGGGCGGAGGCCGAAUCUAGAUAUGCCCGCUAUCUAGCGGGAGAGAGGAGGGAGCGUUGGAGGAACCGGAUGAGGACCAGUUUGAUCGCGAUGAUGCUCAUCGUGAUGACCACUACUCUCUUUUAUGUGAUGGUAGUUUAGAUGAUCGAUAUCGACUUGUAAUGUGAAGACAAACUCGAUACUCGCGGUCUUGAGACUUGUAAUGUUUUAUCUUUGUUCGGUCUUUUGAAUUGGGAGACUAAUAUGAUGAAUUGUAUUCGGAGAAUAAUCUUCUAUUGUAUUCGAUGAAUCUGAUGUUGCUGUGUGCUGCUGUCUAUAUUCUGUCCAAUAAUAUAUUUUGUAACCUGUGCAAAAAUCAGAAAAGCAAAAAAAAGAAAACCAAAUAUUCAAAAAAAAUAUUCAUACUAAUGGCGCAUUAAGGCAGAGUGUGCCAUUAGUGUGCCAAAGGAUACUAAUGGCGCAUCAAGGCAGAAUGCGCCAUUAGUGUGACAAAGCACAUGGUUAUAUAUGGACCCCCGGGAGGCAUACUAAUGGCGCAUGGAGUUACACACUAAUGGCGCACUGUCAGGUGCGCCAUUAGUAUACCAGAUACUAAUGGCGCACCAGUGGUGCGCCAUUAGUAAAAAAUUCUAAUGGCGUGCUACUAAUGGCGCACCGGUAGUGCGUCAUUAGUAGGCAAAACCGGUGCGCCAUUAGUAGGCCUUUUCCUAGUAGUGUCCCCUCAUGGUGAAUGUCAAGGCGGAGCAUUACUACCAUGAGAAAGCUCUGUGCGUUGAGUAUUCAGAACUAUUUCAGUUAUACAAUCAAGACGCACUCGACAAAUCUAUCGUCAGUUGCUAUUGUCUGUAAGUGAUUUAUUUCUGUAAUUUUUCAUCAAUCAUUACAUGUAAUUAUCCUCACUUUAUAUUCUUUUCUGUGGUAUUAUAUGCAAGAUGAAGAUGUAUGAAAUGAAAAAAUCUGUACGCUAUGGCAUUGGGUCAUUGGCCCAAAUACCAUUAAUGAGUACACAUGGAAUCUUGUAACUUCUCAAGCAAGUGUAGAGGAAAGCAUGCUAGAGUUCUUGAAGCACCUCAAUAGCAAUUAAGAUAUACUACUUUCUUACAACUUCCUGUGAGUCACACUGUCUUAUAAUACAAAUUCUGUUUUUGCUUACUAGCUAGCUAGAUGUUAAUAAUUAAGUGUAUACGGUUCACGAUAGUUGAUUAAUUUUAUGCACAUGCCCGCUUAAUUAAGUCAUGCAAAUGCGUGCGCAUGCAGUUUCCACAGGAUCUUGUUAGACAUUAAAGUUGACAAAGGAACAGUUAAAGUACUAGACUCACUACUUAAAGAAAAUAAAGACUACACCAUCAUGAAGGGGAUAGUCAUCAGGUAAUUUCAAUCAUUAUUCACUAUAUCUCGGCCUAUUAUUAGUUUGACAUUUCCUGAUAUGAACUAUUUAAUAACCCCUUUAUUAAUUUUCUUUGCCGGCGGGCAGGGCUUGGGAAAAGUUCAUCAAGGUGACUCCAGGCAAAUGGCCAAAAAGUUGUUUUGACAUCGACCAAAGGUAAGUAAUUAAGUAGUACUAGCUAGUUAGCCUCUCUUUAAUUCUUGUUUCAAUAUCAUUAAUUAAUUACCAUGCUUGAUUAAUCAUUAUCUGAUUCAAUUCCAUUCUCGUAAAGGCAUUGAAGCAGGCGUUGGGGAAUGAUCUGUGUGCAUUCUACGUUUACGAGAACAUCCGUAUGAUGGCGUCGAUAUCAGGACUCGGUACGUUUGUCAGAAUACUAUUCACACCAUUAUCGAUAUCUUGUCACACAACUAAUACACAUGCAUAUUGAUCUCCUCCUUAACAAUUCAGAGAAGUGCGGGAUAAGCUCCUACCAGCGGACCGCAUACUAGCACUUCAAGAGGAAAUAGCCAAAUUUUUUCUCGACCAGGUCAUAGAUCCCAAAGGAGAAUACUAUUACCCGCUACCGCCCCCAUGAACCACUUGUCAUCGUGCUCCGAAGGCACCAAGGCAACAUGUAGGAGAAAUUGUAUAUGUAUAUACAUGUGUAUACACUAAAGGCCGUUAUGAACCGGCACUAAAGGCCAGUUCUGCACUAGUGGUCCCGCCUAUUAAUAGAUUUCCAAAUUAGCUGAUUUAAUAAUCUAGACGAAUUUUUACCAAAAACAAAAUAAGUGCAUUUUAUUGCUUGCAAUCCUCCUGCAUGGGCUGCAACCUAGUAAAACUUUAAAGUCGCAGAAAAAUUUGAACAUAGGAAUCCCACAAUACAGAGCCACAGCCAAAAGCCCGCAUUGUUCAUUACAAUAGUUCGAUCUCUGUCUGCAUCAGUUGCGAGCUGCAUCUGACCACCAGCGAUUCUUCAAUGAUCAUAGUGGAUACUAAGGGGAAUACUUGGUGGAAAAUUUGAGUGUCACUCAGCUGAAAGACAUGUCGGAUUAUUGUUUUAUCGUGCAGUCUCAGGGAUCCCUGUAUGCAAUGCAUAUGGAUUACAAUAGUGAUGAUUGCCAGCUCUUGUGGCUGCUUGAAGAUUAUGUUAGUGGGCAGUGGAACCUGAAGCAUACAACUAACAUGUGCCAAGUGUUAGGCCAUGAAGAGGUGUGUACAUUUUUUGUAGUCGAUGAGGAAUGCAAAUUGAUUCUUUUUUCAAAUCAAUGGAUGGGAUGAAGCUUGUCUAAUGCGAGAUGGAAAAGCAAAAAUUUCAUGUUAUCUUCAGUUUCGAGAGAUGCUUUAAUCUCGGGUGCGAACCUUUAUUCCAAGUUACACGGAAUGGUUCUUAGGUGGUUUGUUGAAACCAGCACCCUGAAUCCGUGAUUGCUUACGAAUUUGCAAUGCCACUGGUACCUUCAUAUAAAUUAGUUGUUAAUGUUGGAAUUUUACUAGUAGGCCUUUGGCAGCCAAACUAAAAUUUUGAAAUUUUCUUGGCCCAUUUAUGCACACAUGUGAGUGGAGUGAAUAAAACUAAAGUUUAAUCCCACCACGGAAGUUGAGUGAGACUUGCACCUCUUUAUAAGGUGAGCUCUUCUAAUACUUGUAUGAGUAUGAGAAGAGGAGACCUACACGCGCGCUCUUCCUCGCUCGCCUCGCCACGCCACGCCUCGUCAUGACGCGCCACGGGUUGCGGAAUUGAGCCGAGCCGAGGAUAGAUCGAUGCACGUUGUCUAUAUUUUUUGCUGCCUAGGAAAAUUAAUGAGUCAUUAAUUAAUAAUUAGCGGACGCAUUAAUUACUGAACCAUUUCCGAUUCUUUUGGAUCGCGAUCACUCGGACUUGGGGUUUACUCCCACGACCUACCCGUCCCGCACUAUAUAGUCAGGCAGACGUCUACCCUAGCCGCCGUCACUUCGUAUGGUUUCGCACCACCGUUCCAGAUCAUUGUGUCGCCACGCAAGUCUUCUUCAUCCCUCCUUCCCGCGUGCACCGCGAGAAGGGACAGCAGGUCUCCUGAACCCCGCCUCUUGUGAUCUUGUACGGGAGAGUGGCGAUCAGGUUUUUGGGGAGCGCACUCGCGCGACUGCUGGCAGCGAUGACUUCGCCAACGACGACUUCUUCCCCGACCUCAGCAACCUCAUCCUCAACGACAUGGGCGACAACAUCAACGGUGUUGCUCCCGCUGCACCGUAUAUGAUUCUAUCCUUCUUGUUUGAGAUCGUGGUAGAAUUCAUGUUUCUAGUAUGGGUCCUAGAUGUGAUCUGUUCAUCUACUAUGCUAGUUCGCAUGAUUAGUCUCUGCUAGUGUUGUUAUGAUUUAUCUUCUUUUUAUUCGGAUUAAAAAUCAUAGUAAUUUUCUCAUAUAUUCAACAGUUAAAUAUGGGUCAGAUCUUCUAAGCUGCUUGGUUUUCUUUUAUCCAUGCCUUCGUGCAACAACGACGAGAUCAUAUCAUGAUGAGGAGAGCCUGUAUGGUUGUGCCACUACCUUGUCAGGUUAUAUGUCAAUGACGGAACCGAUUCCUCGUUGGCAUCGACCACAUUUGCUCGAUGACCACCAUGUCUCCGGAGCCGGUGAAGGCCGCUGGCAUGGCAUAAGAGGAUCAGAAGAGGAUGCGCCUGUAGGUAGACUGACCUGAACGGGAGGGGUACAUAUGGAUCCGCGGGCCACAGCGGCAAGAUCCGCGGGCCACGCUGCAUUCUUCUACCCUCUCGUUUAGGGUUUUACGCCUCUGGCGGCGCCGCCUCCGCCGUCUAGAGCUUUUCCGCUCGGAUCUCACGCCGGUGUGCCCUCUGUUGAUCCCGCCCAGGUGCGGGGAAGCGGAGGGGAGGAUCGGCUACCCUCGUUUCGUCCUGUGGCGGCGCGCAGACCGUGGGUUCACCCCGAUGGCGACCGAAGCAGGAUCAUCUUCUACAGGGUGGUUGGGCAAGAAAUUAGACGAGAUGCUACAGCACCUUGAUCUCAAGGAUGAUGAACUGGAUGACGUGAUUGUGGGAGAGGAAGAUACAAAGAAGUAUGAGGCAGACGCACGAUGCCUGGCGAUCGGGAAGGUAAACACAACUUGGCAGUUUAGUUCAUCUGCGAUGUUCGAAACCAUGAAGUCCAUCUGGGGACUUGCACAAGUGCCAACAUACAGAGAAGCUGGGGAGAACCUGUACAUCUUUCAGAUGUUUGGCCUUGGAGAUUGGAAGAAAGUGGUUCAUGGAGGACCCUGGCUGUUCAGAGGGAUGGGGAUGCUCAUUGAAGAUUAUGAUGGCAAGCAAGAACCAUCUUCCUUUGUCUUCGACGGCCUGUAUGUCUGGGCCCAGAUCCAUAAUAUCCCCGAACUUUAUUGCAAGAUUGAGGCGGUUGAUCAACUUGCUCGUCGGAUCGGCCGGGUCAAGGAGACACAGCUAUCGCCUAGGCUCUUCUAUGAGGGUGAUUAUCUUCGGGUCUGUGCUAGAAUUCUGGUGAAUAAACCCCUCACGAGGGAUACUCCGUUGAACAUAGUGGGCGAGGGAAUGAGACUCCUCCCUGUCAAAUAUGAAAAAAUCCCGUAUUUCUGCCAAGUUUGUGGUUUCAUGGGUCACAACCAUGAGGAGUGUGGAGAUGGAGUUUGGGAGGCGAAAGAUAAGCAAUGGGGUAGCUGGAUGCUGGCACAACAAAGGGAAGUAGCUCAGGAGCAGUUGGGUGGCGGCCAAGCCUCUCGAGGGGGCCGUUUUGGAGGCCGAGGCAGAGGAAGAGCAGGCCGGGGUGCCCCACCACCUCGCCAACCAUCUCCAGUACGUAAAUGUACAUCUCAGGAAGCAGGGCUGAAUUCAGAUGCAGAAGAGGAAGACGAAGAAGUUACCAGCCCCUUGAAACCAAUCAGUUCAGAGCAAAAGGAACAUGAAGCUACGGGAGCCCGAAGAAACUUGAACUUCUUUGUGACUAGCAGCACACCAGGCCAAAUUCAGCAAACCAACGGAGGAGGAAGUUCAGAGAUGAACCAGACAGAGCCGGGCGCUGCAGGAUGGGCUAUGGUAGCUGUCCCUCCACCACCCCCACAGUAUGUAUCACCUAGAGAUGCAAAGAAAGCGAAGAAAGCAUCAUCACCAAUGAAACAGAACACAAACAAUUCGGCAUUGUUGGCGGGCUCCGAUCUGGGGCGCCGCCAGGCCCAAUGAAAAUCUUAUGUUGGAACUGUCGUGGGAUAGGCGAUCCUGCGACAGUUCGUGAACUCCGCGAUCUUGUGGAGAUUAGUUUGCCUGCUAUCUUAUGUUUAGUUGAAACUCAAUUGCAAAAAAGUCGUGUUGAAGGUCUCAGGACUAUGUUAGGUUAUUUGCAAAAAAGUCGUGUUGAAGGUCUCCGGACUAUGUUAGGUUAUGAUUUCAGUUUUGGAGUUGGUAGCACGGGUCGCAGUGGUGGCCUUUGUAUCUUUUGGAAAAACUCUUUUGAAGUUGCAAUAAAGAAUUAUUCCGAGUAUCAUGUCGAUGCAUGGGUCAUGGAACCAGGGAAAGAGCAAUGGAGGUUAACUUGUUUUUAUGGAGAGGCCACUAGAAGCCUACGAUACAAGACAUGGGAUACUAUGAAGCGUUUGUGGGGUGAGAGCACUCUCCCGUGGCUGUGCAUAGGUGAUUUCAACGAGAUCUUGCGGCCGGAAGAGCAACAUGGCCCUCAUGAGCGGGACAGCUUGCAGAUUGAUGCAUUCAGAGAAGUGGUGGACAUAUGUGGUCUAGCGGAUCUGGGAUAUCCAAGAUUAGACUGGACUUGGGAGAAGAAGGUCGCCGGCGGUCACUUCUGCCGCGUUCGUUUGGACAGAGCCUUGGCUACACCUUGCUGGUCGGGUCUUUUCCCGUUUGCUUCCCUUGAGCAUCUCACGGCGGCCAAGUAUGACCAUGUUCCAAUCCUUUUGGAGACUGAUCUAGCUGACACAAGUGUGCGGGCCAACCCAAAGCGCUUUCGCUAUGAAUGCAUGUGGGAGAGGGACACGCGGUUUGGCGACAUACUCUCUGAAACAUGGAAUUCAACUGGCCGAGCCAAUACUGUAACGGAACUUUCGGGCAAGCUAGCAUCGGUGGCGGACAAGCUACAGAGCUGGGGGCGAACCACCUUCGGUGCGGUGAGGGCAGAACUUCGCCGACUACGUAAGUAGCUUGAGGCGCUACGCUCGCUCCCCAACCGAAUGGAACCAUUGAGAGAAGAGGAAAGAGUGGAAGCUCGUAUGGUAAAAUUGUGCCUAAGGGAGGAGAUUAUGUGGCGCCAGAUGGCACGAAUCCAAUGGCUUGCGGAAGGAGACAACAACACUAAAUUUUUUCACCGUAAAGCAAGUGCUCGGAAGGCCAAAAACAAGAUCAAUGAGUUACAACGUCCAGAUGGUUCUGCAUGCACGGACGAAUAUGAGAUGGCGGAGAUGGCUAGAACGUUCUACAGCAAUCUGUACACCUCGAAAGACACGGUGGGCAUCGAGGAAGUUUUGUCACAUAUACCCUUACGGGUAGAUGCUUCUAUGAACGCAUCGCUUAUUGCACCGUACAGCAAUGCCGAGGUGAAAAUGGCUCUUUUUCAGAUGUUCCCGACCAAGGCCCUAGGACCCGACGGCUUCCUUGCGCACUUUUUUCAACGACACUGGGAGUUUUGUGGUGAUGAGGUUACUGCGAUGGUGCUCAGAGUUCUUCAAGGAGAGGAUUCCCCGGAGGAGAUCAACAAAACGUUCAUUGUUUUAAUACCCAAGAUUGCUAGUCCAAAAAUUUUAGCACAGUUUCGACCGAUAAGCUUCUGCAAUGUGAUCUACAAGAUUGCAUCCAAGGCUUUGGCAAAUCGGCUCAAGCUCAUUCUCCCCCACAUCAUUUCCGAAGAACAAUCCGCAUUUGUUCCAGGAUGUCUUAUUACAGACAACUUCAUAUCAGCCUAUGGGUGUCUCCACUUCAUGAAAACCAGGAAGUUGAAGGGCAACAGGUAUUGCGCAUUAAGACAUGAUAUGAUGAAGGCCUACGACAGGUUAGAGUGGAAUUAUUUGGAGAGAGUUAUGCUCAAACUGGGAAUCAGCCCUCUUUUUACACAAAAAGUGAUGCGGUGUGUCACAUCGGUCUCGUUUUUGGUCAUCUUUAACGGUGGCAAGCAGGAGGAGUUUCAGGCUUCCAGAGGACUCCGGCAGGGCUGCCCUAUAUCCCCAUAUUUACUUUUAUUGGCUGCUGAAGGACUCUCUUGCCUUCUGAAAUCCACGCAACCGGACGAGACUGUAAAUGGCAUCACGGUAGAACCUGGCGCACCUGAGGUAAAUCACUUGCUUUUUGCAGAUGAUAGUCUUUUAUUCUUUAAUGCUACUCCUGAGAUGGCAAGCAGAGUGGAUACCCUCCUCCAGAAAUAUUGUGCAGCUUCGGGACAACGAAUUAACAAGGAGAAAUCCUCCAUAUUCUUCAGCAAGGGAUGCACAGAAACCUCGAGGCAAGAGGUAAAGCAAAUACUUCAAGUUCAAAAUGAGAAGUUGUCCGAAAAAUAUCUGGGCCUCCCUGCCGAUGUAGGGAGAGCCAAGGAGGGAUCUUUUAAAUACCUUAAGGACAGGAUUUGGAAGCAAGUGCAAGGUUGGAUGGAGAAAGCACUUUCACUUGGAGGGAAGGAGGUGCUCAUCAAAUCUGUGGCUCAAGCAAUUCCUACAUACUCUAUGGCGUGUUUCAAACUCCUUAGAGGCUUAUGCCAGCACAUCAAUGGCAUCUUGAGGAAGUUUUGGUGGGGAUCGAAAAACGGAGAAAGAAAGACCACUUGGGUAUCGUGGGAAGUCAUGACGCAGCCGAAGUUCGUGGGAGGUAUGGGGUUCCGCGACAUCGAGCUCUUCAACCUAGCCUUGCUUGCAAGGCAAGCUUGGCGUCUUCUCCAGGAGCCAAACUCUCCGAGCGCCCGGAUUCUUAAAGCAGUUUACUACCCUACCUCAUCCAUCCUUGAAGCUGAACUAGGCAAGAACCCCUCACAGGUUUGGCGCUCCCUGAUGGAAGGAAGAGACACCUUACGACUGGGAUUAGUAAAACGAAUUGGCUCCGGUGAACAUACUAACAUGUGGAGUGAUAAUUGGAUACCACGAGACUUCAAGCUCCGACUGGUAUGUCCCAAAAUGCUGAACCCUCCUCAGCUGGCUUUCGAACUUAUUAACCCGAUCACAUCAUCUUGGGAUAUGGACAAGCUUGAGACUCACUUUUACAUGAUGGAUAAGGAAGCAAUCUGCAAUAUCCCGCUAAGCUACCGUGUACGGGAAGACUUCUGGGCAUGGCAUUAUGAACGGAAGGUAAUAUUCACUAUCAAGUCAGCAUACAAGCUUCUGUCCGCAACAAAAUAGCAACGCACGGACUGGCUGGAAAACAACGAGGUUCACUCACGUGUUGAUUCAGAUCGCAGGUCUUGGUCUAUGCUUUGGGGCGUUGCAGUUCCCUCAAAAGUACGUGUUUUUGCCUGGCGGUUGGCGAAGAGUUCUAUUCCUACAGGAGAGGUAUGGAAGCAUCGGAGCAUGACUGGCUCGGCGGAAUGUUCGAUCUGCCACGCAGCAGUCGACACUUGGCGCCAUUCUCUCUUUGACUGCCGCAUGGCCCGGUGUGUCUGGGCCCUCACCGAAGAGGACCUGUUGGAAACAAUCAUCUCAAACAGGGAGACGGAUGCUAAGUUAUGGAUGUUAUGGCUUGUUGACACUCUACCUUCGGCGGACCUAGCACAAGUGCUGGUCACCAUGUGGGCCAUCUCGUGGGCAAGACGUCGGGCUAUACACGACAACCAAUUUCAGAGUCCACUAAGCACACACACUUUCAUCAAGAAGUUUUUAGCCGAACUAGAGAUGCUACCAGACAGAAAAUCAAGACCCAAGAACGUGCAUGUAACGUCCAGGGACUUGCAUGUAAAUAGCAGGGACCCUGCAUGCAACAGAAGGGGAUCACGUGGUUCCCAAUCGGUCCAACUGGCUCCCGCCCGAGCAUCAUGACGCUAAAAUGAAUGUGGAUGCCGGGUUUUCCAAGAUCGGAGAUAGAGCGGCCUCAGCAGUGGUAUGCAGGGACAAAUGGGGCAAGUACCUAGGUGCCUCGGCAGUCAUCUAUGAAGGCCGAUCUGACCCUACCAUCCUCGAGGCACAGUCUUGCAGUGAGGCUCUCUCACUUGCAGCAGAUCUGCAUAUUCAAUCAUUUUGUGUUGCAUCAGAUUGUCUGUAAGCAGUGUCGAGCAUACAAGCUGAAGUUCCCUGCAACUAUCAUUCCAUCUUGCAGGAUAUUAAAUAUCAAAGGCGGCAAUUCCAGGAUGUAGAGUUCAUACAUAAAAAUAGAAAGCACAAUGGAGAAGCCCAUGCCUUGGCAAAGGCAGCGGCUUCUCUAAGUCCCGGGCGCCACAUGUGGCAUAGCAUUUUGCCCGAAAUUAUCUGUAUCCCCUUGUUUUUGAAGUUCUAAUAAAGGAUACAGCAGCUCAAAAAAAGCAGACCCGUAUAAUAGCAACCCGUAUAAGGCGUUUACAGUUCAAUUGAAAACUGUUUUGCGGGUCGAAAUCGUGCGCAGCAGAGUAGACCUCAUUUGUGAAACUAUAUAAUUUGAAAAAAAAACUUUCGCCGGAGAAAUUGCAACAACACUAGUUCAUCACAAACUACAUGAUCAUACACUAGUUCAUCACAUAUUACAAGAUUAUACAUACUACAUUCUUCUACAAGUACUAGAGGGGGGUGGGGGAUCUCGCGACGGCGAGGCCGAGGUCAAUGUACCAAAAUGGACGAGCUCGCGGCCAAGGACGACGCGGUGGGGGAGCUCAGUCCUCGUAGUCGGAGAUGACGAGAUCGAUGAACUUCUGCCUCUGCUCCUCGUGGAUGCGCUGCCACUCGUCGUCCUUGUCUUUCGCGACAAGGUUCGCCGCAACCGCAUGCUUGAGCAUGAGGUCUUUGAGCUCCUCAUCGUGGCCGGCACUCCGUCUCGUCGCGCAAGCUCCGUUUGGCAAUGGCGGCCGUGACCGCGACCGUGUCGACAUCCGCCAUGAAAUCUUCAUGACCGACUACCCCUCGACGCUCGAUCUCCUCCGGCUCCUGCUUGAUGGCGACGAGGUCGCGGUCAUCCGGCUCCUCCGACCACUCCCUCUUCACGGGGAGAAGCGACGCGCCAGAAGAGGAAGAUUUCGCAGCAUGAGAAGAGCCCGCGGCCGAGGAGGGCGUACGCCUGUGCCGACGGUCGUACUCCUCCUUCUCGUAACGGAGGAGCCUCGGCGGCAGCUUGAGGCCCUUGUUUGUCCACUUCCUCACCGUGCGCUUCCUCGCGCCAUCCGAGCGGACUCGCCGCUCGAGCUCGGGGUUGCCGCCCCCGCCGGAGCUCCACAUGCGUCCCCACAUGGCGGUUGGAGGCGGAAGGGGGCUCACCGGCGGCGAGAAAUGUGAGGGGGAGUGGGGAAUUGCGGCAAAACGCGACAGCGGGGGGAUAGGGUUUCGACCCGUAUCUUCCCCUCAAACCCGUAGAUAUACUGCUUCUGGGGGCGGUUUACGAGCUACGGUAAAAAAAAUUACGGGCCGGGCGAGUAUACGGGCUCUGUUCUGGCAAGAAAAUUGGGCCGUGCCCAUAUACUCGCCGGAAUUAUGCGGAUUCGCGAGAUAUAUGGGGUCUGCUAGAGUUGCUCAAAGUACGUGUAAGUUGUGAGAGAUGUGGGCUGGCAGCGUUUCGCUGUGCCUUGGUCCAUGGGCUUGGCGAAGCGUGUGGGAACACUUAGGACGAAGCCGAGCGAACCAAUCUGUGGUUGGAUGGUUAGAGGGCGAAGCGUGUGGGAACACUUAGGACGAAGCCGAGUGAACCAACCUGUGGUUGGAUGGUUAGAGGGACAGUAGUAUCCCAGCCCACUCGGGUUCAAGUCCAGGUGCUCGUAUUAUUCCUGAAUUUAUUCCAGGACUUCCGGCGAUGCGCUUUCAGUGGGAGGAGAUGUUCCCGUCACGACGAGGUGCCUACGGUGAUUUCGUAAAUCUCAAGAUGAUAUGCCGGCUCAGUCUCUCGAUGGUGCUUGAUAGGGUGUGCAUAUGUGCGUUCAUAGGGGUGAGUAUAUGCGUGUAUGUAUGAGCGCUUGCGUUUGUACUGUGUUAAAAAAAAUUAGGAUGAAUCCGAUGGUGGAACACGGUCCUGCGGCAAGAAAACGAACGUUGCAUAUUUUUUAUAACCCCUAAAAAUAUAUUUUUAAGUAAAAAAAUAAAGUUGAGAUAAGUACUAAAAAUUAGAGAUUUUGCAUGUUCACCUCAACCCUAAUAUUGGGAGGCUGGCUGACUUCGUGAGAGCAACUAGUUAACGAGCGCUCCUUCGGGAGCCUCGUAACGAUCAACGCCAUUUCGCGCGCUCUCAGCCGCCCGCCACGUGUCGCGCUCUGGACGCUUCCUUCGAAUUUUGUUUCAUUUUAUUUCUACAUGCAUUUUUAGUUUUUUAAAUGGUUUUUUCCAGGUUUUUUCGACAUUACGGUUUUCCACUGGUCUUCCUUAGCUUUUGGAUCAAAAAUAAAUUUAAAAAAAACAAUUUUUUUGCGUCAAAAAACGUGUUUUCUUUCUUUCACGAGAUUCGCGGUUUUUCUUUCGCCAGAGGCACGGUUUUGCUUUCGCCAGAGCCACGGUCGUUUCUCUCGGAAACGAAAAGAAAAACACGUUUUCUGUUUUUUCUUUCGCGAGAGGCAUGAUCGUGCUUUCGUGAGAGUCACGGCCGUGCCUUUCGGAAACGAAAAAAAUGUGUUUUUUGUUUUUUUUUCUUCCGCGAGAGGCACAGUUGUGUUUUCGUGAGAGUCAUGCCGUGCCUCUCGAAAAUAAAAAGAAAACGUGUUUUCUGUUUUUCUUUACUUCCGCGAGAGGCACGGUUUUGCUUCCGCGAUAGGCACGGUUGUGAUUCCGCGAGAGGCAUGGGCGUGCUUCUUUCAGAAAGGGAAAAAACCCGUGCUUCUGGUUUAGUUUUUUCGCCGGAUUUUUUCGUGAAAAAAAGUUCAUCAAAACCUAUCAACAUUAAAUCUAGUUUUGAAGAUCUCGAUGCGAGGAAUGCAACGAUGAAAACUGUUCGAGAUUUGUACGCACUAUUUAAGAGAUAAAACAUUUUGAAUGAGCAGAUCUAUGAAAAAGGGAAAACUCCCAGGUUGCGGCAAGUGGCACACAUGCAGAGAAAUAAAGAUUGCAUAUUUAAGAGGAAUGUGGUCGAGGUGGGUGUGGCCGUGUGGGUGAUGAAGAGGUGGUCNNNNNNNNNNNNNNNNNNNNNNNNNNNNNNNNNNNNNNNNNNNNNNNNNNNNNNNNNNNNNNNNNNNNNNNNNNNNNNNNNNNNNNNNNNNNNNNNNNNNNNNNNNNNNNNNNNNNNNNNNNNNNNNNNNNNNNNNNNNNNNNNNNNNNNNNNNNNNNAGAUGGCCUACCCCUCCGCCUCCACGCCCUUGCGCUACACCUGGGCGCGCCAGCGGUACUCCUCCUCAUCAGUGAGCACCCGGUCGAGCACCGAGAGCAGCCUUCUCCACGUGCCCGUUGGGCCAGAGACGGUGGAGGCGGCCGCCUUCUUCGAGGCGAGCGCCUGGAAGCGGGAAACCGUGCCGGGGAUGUGGAGAGGAGGCAGCGGCGGGUGAGGCAGAGCGGGGCGAGGGAGAGGAGGGAGGUAAUGGUCACGUGGGGGCGGCGGAGAACCGAUCGGCGGCGGGGAAGGUGUCCGUGGGUGAGGUGGGGGAGAUAGCAGUCCUCUUUUUCAGUUUUUCUUCAGAGAAAGAGUUGGAGAGAAACAAAGAAAUCUUUGAUUGUUUUUCCAUAAUUAAGCAGAUCGUGGGGAGGGAGAUCCGCAAACCGUGGGGAAGGAGACUGCAGGCCACACACAUCUGCGGCAGAACAUUGAUGGUGUGCCGUUCGAUCCGAAGGCAGACCAUCAAAUUAAUAUGAACUAUUAUAUCUCAUUACAUGGAUCCGAUCGGAUGAUUCAGGUUAUCCCGUGUACACUUUAUGGGUGUGGCUUUUAUGGGAAUUUAUAUUUGUUGUUUUUAUAGUAGUAUAGAAACAGCAAGGAAACUUGUGCCAAGUUGCCACACCAUCGGACCACAUCCACGACAAACAACAAAACAGAAAAUAAAGCAAGUGGUGCAAACCGGAAUUGUAGACCCAAAAUGUAGUGUAAAAUGGUCGAAUUCUAAAAUAUGUGCAAAUGUGUCAAUUUGUGACGAACGGGUGCUCGAAACUAGAAUUAACUUCUUUUUUAAUUUAGCUUUACAGGUUUCAUGUCAAAAGAUCUACCAGAAGUCCAUAACCAUUGAAUAAACAUUACAAUACUAGACUGUGAAGGCGCGCGUUGCCGUGCCUGUCCAUUCUAAAAAUUAUAAUAGAAAUAUGUGAAUGAUAUUUGGGAAUUUCAAAUGAUUUAUAUAUUUUGAAUGGUUCAUGUUACAGUGCCUUAUGUCCACAGCCAUAGAGAAUGAUUGUCUGAUUUUUUAUAGAAGAAAUAUUAUUUAAUUAAGCCACACUCUGCUUGAAUAUGCGACUUCAAGUUCAGUUCUAACACAAAUAUGUCACCGAUAAAUAGAUAGCCUCCAGUUCUGAAGCACUAAAAUACCAUUGCUUUUUUGUGUAAUUGUGUUUGAACACCAAUGGGAUGAAUAUAUAGAAAUGCAAACCUUCCUCCUGAUAGGACAUAUGUGAAAAUUCAAGGUCUUAAUUAGGUUGACGUUCAGUUGAGCUAACACUAACACUACAUACACAUUUCACAUUGCCAAUAUUUCUACCAUCAGCACGUGCUUUACCGGUACCAUUGUUCUGAACCAAGGGUAUAUGCUUUAGUUCUAAUGAAUGGGAUGAUGUCUUUGAAUAUGACUCGUUGCAACUAAUCCAAAUAGAAUCAGAAAUUCAGAAUUAAGAAAAAAACAGCUAGUAAUAUGCUCAGGUCAAGCAGCAAUACAUGAUACACGGGCAGAUGCGAAUGAUGUAUAUCCCAUAAUGACCCGUGAGAAUCAGUCAACAAAAUACAUUCACCCGAUCAAAGAGAAGAUUGUAAUUUGUACCAUCCUCGCGGUGUAGUGACAGUCUUCAUGUUGACUCAAGUUCAGAGGAAGUAGAAGGAAAAGGGGAGAAUGGAUGUCUCUCCUUCCCGCUAGAAAUAUAUCGCCGUUGCCAAAGAUCCCUUUGGUCGGUUGCAAGAAUUGGAUCCGAGUCAUAGAUGGAGGUGCUAAUAGCCAGAAGGUUUCCAGCGGCAUCUACACACCGUCUCUUCUUCACUGCUUCUUUUUCUUCCCCAUCAGCGAGCACCCUAGCAUCAAAGGAAGCUACCGCAAAACCAUGAGCCUCUGCUUCCUGCCGCUGGGAGGGUCAAUGUUGUGCGAACAGUGAUGGAGGAUCAGAUGACAUAGAGGAUGUUGUGGUCUGCUGCUCAGGGAUGGCGUACGACAGUCAGGCAUAGGUUUUAGGGAGGGUCUGCGGCACUGUGAGGAGGCCGCCGCCGCCGCCGCUGCCAUCCAUCACCUGGAGAGGCAUGCGACCCUUGUGUGCUCCCCUGCCCCAUGCGGACAUCUCGACCGUCUAUUCACGAUCGAAGGCUACAACGCAUCACUGAAUUAGAGGGCCUCCAGGUCGUUCUUCGGAGCAGCAGCCCGUUUAGUGUUGGGCCAGCUGAGACGUUUGUGGCGGAGAGGUAAAAAGGCUGCGGGGCACGCGCAGUGAAACGACGGGGCGAUCCACAACGUUCAAUGAGCUAAUCCAACGGUUUACAAUGCCAAAUCGCUGUGGAAGGGCCUAGGUGGCUGCAUUUUACUGUUUAGCAAUAUGAAAAUAAAAGAACUAGAAGAUUGAUUACAAUAUUUUAAUGACAGAUGGUGGACAAAACGAUCUGCAAGUUGCAAUCAUGGACAACAAAUAAAGGAAGGUUCUUCAGAACUGGAUUUAGUUGGACAAGAACAACGUAAAAGUUAGUGGUGCCCAGAUAUGAAGGUACCAACCAGUGGCGUGCAAACUUAGUAGGCAAUCACGGUGCUGCUUUUAGCAAACCAUUUGACAACCAUUCCGUGUAACUGGGGAUACAAGGAUUGCAUCGAAGAUUAAAAUCCCUCUCAGAACUGAAGAUGAGACAAGAUCUCUGGUUUUCCAUAUCGUAUGAUACGAGCUUUUCAUUCCACGCAAAGACAUGGAAAAAGAUCGAUUUGCAUUCCAUAUCGACUGCGACAAAUGUACAAACCUCAUUGUGGCCUGUAGUCUUUGAAUGGGUCAGAUGUGUUGAAUCUCCGCAACUUGCUCUUUUUAUAUUACUAGUAUAUAUGAAUUAACUUUGGCAAGUAACUAGAUUUCCAAGAUCUAAUAGAAGGGGAAAAUGGUUCGAUUUUAUUAGUUGCAUCGGAAAAAUAGAACACAAUAUGCGGAUGCCAUGAAAAACUUUUUUUCUAUUUGUCCAUCGACCAGAUCAACCUUGCACGGAGUGCCCAACUCAAAAGUGAACAAUGUAACCUGCAAAUGAUAUUAAAAAUCUCUUAAUUAACUAAUUUCCAUACAUGGAGAUAGUAAGUAAGCAAAGAUAUGUGACAAUAUAAACAAUUUUUCUCAAAGAAAACACACAUAAACACAUCAAUUAUACGUUAAUAUCAACAACAAAACAAACCUGCACAGUUGUCUCCUUCAUGCAACGCGUUGCCGCACGAACGAGUGACGGCAGCCCACCUCUGUAGACUGAUCUGAGCCAAAUCUGCGGCGGUAAAUGCAUUGCAAAUUGCCAGGAGGUUCGCUGAAUGCGUCACUACUUGGCAGCAUGCGCGGCUUGGUUCGAAUGGCCAGUGCGCACCUUUUCUAAUAUUGAACUUACAGUGUUCCAUCACCUCAUCUUUUUCAAUGGCAGCUUGAGACUUACUUGCCCAUGUAUGGUUUGGGAAAAAAGAGACCGUCACAAAAACUACGAGGUAGAACAUGGCAACCGCUCUAGCACUAGCCAUAUCAAUCAACUUUGAAAGAUGCAGACCAAUACUUAUGCAGGCAGGUGACUCGGUAUAUGUAUGUUUUUGAUCGAUGUGUGAUUGUGUAUCACCUAGGCUCUCUAUUUAUAUAGGCAGUGUGCUAUGGGAAAUGCCACUUAUCUUCAUGCUUAAGUUAUGCAUGGGUGAUAUCUUGCUAGAAAAUUUAUUGGUUGCAUUUGAUUCAUUUAGUAGGUUCUACUCCCUCCGUCCAGCUUGAUUGGACCCAUAAGCCAACUAGCGGAGUCCCUAUUGGUAAGGCCCGGACAUUUAAAGCACUAAGUUUCUGCCCUUAAUUCUUGAGUUUUUCACUUUGUUGAUUCCAAUGAAACGCAUGCAACCACUUAAAUCGCUGCACUUAAUUAGGCCUGGCGAGUAUGCAGCCAAUUACAUGCAAGCGCACGCAUGCAGUCACUUAAAUCACUGCAACCAAUGCCUCUAAAUUACUACGCAUGCGGUUAAUUGUGCCUAGAAGAGUGUAUGACUUGGUCUUCGUAUUUUGGCUCUAGGGCCCAAUAAACCCAGACGGAGGGAUUAAUUAUAAAAUAGGAUAUGUAUUAGUAUCUCGAUGUGUUGUCAUUAAUUUAGACACAGCUAAUGCAUGUACUCCCUCCUUUCCGGUUUAAUUAUAGGGCUUAAAUUUGAAAUCUCAUCAACCAAGGCAGAUAAUGAGUGGAGAAAUGUAUCUCAUAGUUUACAAAAAUAACCAACUUUAAUCUACAUUAAUCACAAUACAUGCAUGGAUGACCACUACUCCCUUCGGCCGGGUUUAUUGGGCCCAUGAGCCAACUAGCGGAGUCCCUGUUUGUAAGGCACGGACAAUUAAAGCACUAAGUUUUUCCCAUUCGUUCUUGAGUUGUUCACUGUAUUGAUUCCAAUGAAAUGCAUGCAACCACUUAAAUCUCUGCACUUAAUUAGGCCCGGCGAGUAUGCAGUCAAUUACAUGCAAGCGCACGCAUGCAGCCACUUAAAUCACUGCAACCAAUGCCUCUAAAUUACUGUGCAUGAUGUUAAUUGUGCCUAGAAGAGUGUAUGACUUGGUCUCCGUGUUUUGGCUCUCAGACCCAAUAAACCUGGACGGAGGGAGUAAAUGAGUAGGAAUAGUCACAUGCAUUUGUUGGUUUCUUUUCAUCCUUGCAUGCAUCAAUUUAAUGUACCUUGGAACGUGAACAUGCGGUGGAAAGAAGUGAAAAUAAGACUUAUAAUAUGAUAAACCAAGAAAAUGAUAUGAGAGAAAACAGUCGGCGCCAGCACCAGUCUCAUGAACAACUUGUUUCUUGACGACUUCGCCUCUAAUGGCGACAGACAUGGCGACCGACGUGCGAUGGCGAGUCUCCUACACCGCCGACUUUGUGACGGGCAAGCUCGCCUUCUCCGAUGUGGUUCUUCUCCUUCGACGAGAGGCUCUCCGUCUGGUGCUGGUGGAUGUGCGCGGCGUCACGAUUGAUGUGUGUUUCCCGCGGCCUGAUGAGUCCGUUGAAAUCAGAGACAUCGUGUCCUUCCCUUGCCAUUUUGCGAGAAUUCGAGGUCGACUACCACCGACGAGACUGGUGCCAGCGCCGACGAGUGCACCGACCGACAAGGAUACGGUACACGGGCGGUGCACGGGGAGACAUGCGGGUGGACCAACGCGGGCUGGUGCGGGCCCGAGCUCCCCCACCUACCCAUCCAUGGCGGAUGUGUUGGGGAACGUAGUAAUUUCAAAAAAAUUCCUACGCACAAGCAAGAUCAUGGUGAUGCAUAGCAACGAGAGGGGAGAGUGUCGUCCACGUACCCUUGUAGACCGAAAGAGGAAGUUUUAGAACAAUGCGUUUGAUGUAGUCGUACGUCUUCACGGCCCGACCGAUCAAGCACCGAAACUACGGCACCUCUGAGUUCUAGCACACGUUCAGCUCGAUGACGCCCCUCGAACUCCGAUCCAGCCGAGUGUCGAGGGAGAGUUCCUUCAGCACGACGGCGUGGUGACGAUCUUGAUGUUCUACCGUUGUAGGGCUUCACCUAAGCACCGCUACAAUAUUAUCGAGGACUAUGGUGGUGGGGGGCACCGCACAUGGCUAAGAGAUCAAGAGAUCAAUUGUUGUGUCUAGCUAGAGGUGCCCCCCUGCCCCUGUAUAUAUAGGAGCAAGGGGGGAGGGGCGGCCGGCAAGGGAGGGGGUGCGCCAAGGGGAGUCCUACUCCCACCGGGAGUAGGACUCCCUCCUUCCUUGUUGGACUUGGGGAAGGGGGAAAGAGGAGGGAGAGAGAGGAAGGAAAGGGGGGGGUGCCGCCCCCCUCUCCUUGUCUUAUUCGGACUAGGGGGGUGGGGCGCGCGGCCCUACCCUGGCCUCCUCUCCUCUUCUCCACUAAGGCCCACUAUGGCCCAUUAAGUACCUGCGGGGUUCCGGUAACCUCCCGGUACUCCGGUAAAAUCCCGAUUUCACCCGGAACACUUCCGAUAUCCAAAUAUAGGCUUCGAAUAUAUCAAUCUUCAUGUCUAGACCAUUUCGACAAUUCUCGUCAUGUCCGUAAUCACAUCCGGAACUCCGAACAACCUUUGGUACAUCAAAACUCAUAAACUCAUAAUAUAACUGUCAUCAAAACCUUAAGCGUGCAGACCCUAUGGGUUCGAGAACUAUGUAGGCAUGACCGAGACACGUUUCCAGUCAAUAACCAAUAGCGGAACCUGGAUGCUCAUAUUGGCUCCUACAUAUUCUACGAAGAUCUUUAUUGGUCAAACCGCAUAACAACAUACGUUGUUCCCUUUGUCAUCGGUAUGUUACUUGCCUGAGAUUCGAUCGUCGGUAUCUCAAUACCUAGUUCAAUCUCGUUACCGACAAGUCUCUUUACUCCUUAUGUAAUGCAUAAUUCCGUAACUAACUCAUUAGUUACAUUGCUUGCAAGGCUUAUAGUGAUGUGCAUUACCGAGAGGGCCCAGAGAUACCUCUCCGACAAUCGGAGUGACGAAACCUAAUCUCUAAGUAUGCCAACUCAACAUGUACCUUUGGAGACACUUGUAGAGCUCCUUUAUAAUCACCCAGUUACGUUGUGACCUUUGUUAGCACAGAAAGUGUUCCUCCGGUAAACGGGAGUUGCAUAAUCUCAUAGUUGUAGGAACAUGUAUAAGUCAUGAAGAAAGCAAUAGCAAUAUACUAAACGAUCAAGUGCUAAGCUAACGGAAUGGGUCAUGUCAAUCACAUCAUUCUACUAAUGAUGUGAUCCCGUUAAUCAAAUGACAACUCAUGUCUAUCGUUAGGAAACAUAACCAUCUUUGAUUAAUGAGCUAGUCAAGUAGAGGCAUACUAGUGACAUUAAGUUUGUCUAUGUAUUCACACAUGUAUUAUGUUUCCGGUUAAUACAAUUCUAGCAUGAAGAAUAAACAUUUAUCAUGAUAUAAGGAAAUAAAUAAUAACUUUAUUAUUGCCUCUAGGGCAUAUUUCCUUCAGGAUGUGCGCCACGUGGGGGUACAUCCAAUCCUCCAUUCCCAGCCGCGGGUUCGCGGUCAGGAUAUAAAAUCCAAGCCGAGCCUAGUCCUUGACCUAGAAACAGCCUUCUCCCACUUCUAGAUGGCUGAGAGAAACCCUAGAUCGAGUUUUCCGAUCUCCUACGGGUGGUGGAAGGGCAAGGUGAGAGGAGAUCCGCGUUCGUUCGCUGCGGUUGCGGCUUCCCCCCACUCCCUCCCAUGGAUGCGGGGCGUGGAUUUGAUGGGGGUCGACGCGGUGGUGCGGGAGCGGGCCGUGAAGCUCAGGCCGAGGAAACGGCUGGGGAGGAGAGAGGAGCAAGUACUCCUGGAAGCGCGAUGAUGGCGGCAACCGCACCAUCUCGUCGUCGUCUAAUGCGGCUUCGGGCUCGUUCGACACUUCAAGGUGGGAGGCGGCGGCGGCGACGGCUCCGACGCGCCGUGAUCCCAAGGAGGGGGGCAUCUGUGUGGAGAAGCACCAGAUAUCAUCGAGCUCAGGGGGCAAUGGAGGAGGACAGGAUCCAUCCUCACCACCUCAUCGUCCUCAGGAGAAAAAUCCCCGCCAGGUGCCUCCUACCAAAAACUCUAAACCCUGCCCUAUUUGCAAAUCUCAUGAACAUCUGCCUGUCCGAUGCCCACAAGGUUUAUGUGAACGUUGCAAUACCUUAUGCCAUCUUUCUUCUAUCUGCACGGCUUUUCUUCCUUGGGAAUGCAUUGCCCUGAUGUUCGCCUUUCAAUCUAAAGGGCAGGGUUUCUAUUACAUUCAUGAUUCUUGUACUGCUAAUCAGCUUAAGGAGAGAUCUAAUAGUGUUGUAGUCACCAUUGUCGAGGGGGAAACUUCCACACGCCAAAUGGAAAUUGAUCUCACAAAUUAUCUGGCCACUGGAUGGUGUUGUUCUGCCCAUGCCAUUGGCCCCAGGGUUUUUGUGGUUCAUUUCCCUAACCCAAGCUGAGUUGCUCAAAUUUUCUAUGUUGGGCGGGUGACUCUCAAAACCACUGGGGUUGUGAUACAUGCUUCUCCUUGGUCAUCUGUUAUUGGGUCAAAAGGGGUUAUGGAAGACGCUUGGGUCAAAAGGGGUUACGGACGAGGAGUUAACUGAUAUGAUGGUUGACAUGGAGUUUGGAGAACUGAUGAAAGACUGGAUAGAAGAUUGGUCAGAUGAUGAAAAUUCAGAUCUUGGAGAUCAGUCAGACAAUGGGAACGAAUGGGAAGAUUUUAAUGUGAGUGGCAUUAUCAUGUUGUAAUUUUUUGGUGCCAUCCGACAACAUUAUAUUUUUGUGUUGAAAUUUUAUAGAUUGAUGAGCAUGAUGAUGGUCAGGGAAACAAUUCGGAGCUCUCGAAUGAAGAUUACAUUAGUCAGGUACGUAAGUGAAAAAUUUUGUUGGCAUGCAAAUUGAAUUCAUUCUGAUAUAUAAUAUGAUAAGUAAUUAUGUAUUUGUGUUGUAUUUUUCAGUUCAUUUCCGAAUGUCAUCAUGCCUAUGACUAUUACGGUGAAUCCGACACGGAGACAGGCCUUAACGAUAAAUCAUUACACGCACCUGAUUUUGGGGAUGGGCAGUCGUCGGUCAUCAUGAGUGAUGUAUUUGUGUAAUCAAUGUUCUAUCGAAGUAAUGUUAAACCAUAGAAAGCUGUUUUCAUGCAUAUGUUUUGAUUGUGUAGGUGACAGAAGUUGAUGGGGCAAAGAAUGUCCAAGAUACUGCCAGUGCAGAUGAUAAGAGGGAUAAGUUCAGGCAGAUAAUGGAAAUGACUUUUAUGUCUCACGAUGCUGCGUAUGAUUUCUACAACAACUAUGCUAGAGUUACUGGUUUCAGCAUUAGAAAGAAUAAGGUCAAGUAUAGCAAAACCGAGUCACAUCAUAUGCGUUAUAGGCGGUUUGUUUGCUCCAGACAAGGGAAAUGUGAAAGCAAGUUGCUAACAGAGGAAGGACAUAGCCGUAGGCUCAGACCCGAGACACGCUGCUUUUGUGAAGCACACCUGACCGUCAAGCUUGACCAAAAGUGUGGGGUUUGGUAUGUUGAAAGUUUUGAGGACAAGCAUAGCCAUAUGUUGGUAGGACCGGACGAGGUACCUUUUAUUUGGUCCCACAGAAAAAUCAAAGAGUACCAGAAGCAUGAGAUAAUGUCCAUGGGAGCUGCAGGGAUUAGAAUUCAUGACAUGAUGGAUUCCUUCAUUAGCAAACAUGUAUGGUAUGGCGGUGUUGGUUUUACCAGCCGUGAAAUAUACAACCUUUGCGCCAAGGAGAAGAGGAAGCUGCUUUCAAAAGGUGAUGCUGCCACAGCCAUAGGCAUCAUGACUAGUAGGAAACAGAGGGAUCCUAGCUUCUUUUUCGAGUACAAGCUAGAUAAGGAAGGACACUUGAAUAGGAUGUUCUGGUGUGACUCCCAGUCUCGUCAUGAUUACGAGGACUUCGGGGACAUGCUUGUAUUUGACAGCACGUACAAGAUGAACCGCUAUGGUAUGCCAUACAUACCUUUUGUUGGUCUUAACAAUCACCGGAAGACCACUGUUUUUGGUUGUGCCAUAGUUUCGGACGAGACCGAACAGACAUACGUGUGGCUGUUGCAGGCUUUUUUGAGGUGCAUGUGUCAAAAGAUGCCGAAGAGUGUAAUCACGGACGCCGACGCUGCAAUGAUCAAGGCUAUUCGCGAAGUCUUGCCAGACGUGUGGCACCGUAUAUGCAUGUGGCAUAUAGAAAAAAAUAUGAAGACUCACCUCAGUCACAAGUCCUUGAAGGAGUUCCGAACUCUUCUGUACUACAACACAUCCACGGCCACAUUUGAGGAGAGAUGGCACGCAUUUUCCAAAAAAUGACAGUCGGAAAAAGUUGUAACAUGGUUGAGACGGAUGUAUAAGAAGAGGAGACUAUGGGCCGCGGCAUAUCUGACAGAGGGGUUUUGGCUUGGCAUGAAAAGCAACCAGCGGAGUGAAAGCCUGAACUCAUGCCUUCACCUCCACCUAGACGGUGAAAUGACCUUAGUGGAUAUGAUUUUGCAUUAUGAGAACGCUGUUGUACGUAUCCGUGAAAACGAGGCGCGAGAUGACUGCACGGCCUCACAGAGUUUACCGGUGCCAGUUACUAGCUCGAGGGAACUUGAGAUAGCAGCUUCUCACAUCUUCACUCCAGCAAAUUUCUAUAUGUUGCAACAAGAUCUUAGAAAAAUUGACGGCAUGGAGAUUGUAGAAAUUAAGCUGGGAGACGGAUCACAACAGUAUAUUGUGGCCUAGAAGAAUAACCGAAAGAGUCGUUUUUGGGUGGAGUAUACAGCAAUAAAUUCCGCAGAACCUAUACGGCGCAGCUGCAGAAGAAUGAUUCGAAAGGUCUACCUUGCAAGCACAUAUUCCAUGUACUGAAGUACUUGAACAUAUCUGAAAUACCAAAGUGUUUAGUUCUUGUUCGGUUCAUGAAACAAGCAAGGUUGGGACUGCCCGCGAGGCGCACAAGUGAUCUGUUGGGAUUUGGUUGGACUGGGGCAGGGGAAAGAAUGAAAUAUAGCCAGGUCAGCGUGUUAUGCGACAUGCAAACACCCAGCUUUGUGGGAUCAGUUACAGGAUAGUUUGAAGGCUGUGAUAGCUAAGAGUCAUGAGUAUGAUCUGCUACAGGAAAAUAUGAGCAAGAAUAGAAAUGACUUCAAUAAUGGUGGAGUUGAAUAUGUAGAUGAUGGUGAAGGCAACAUGGUUGCAGUUAAAGAUCCUACGAAAGUGUCAAGCAAAGUGCAACAAAGGUAGAUGAGAACCGCCGUGUCUCGAAAAAUGGUAGACCACUCUCUUUUGAUGAGUUGAAAACCCGGUGCGGUGCUUGCAAAUUGGUAGGACACACUAAACGUAGCAAGAAAUGCCCACUAAAUCAGAAGUAAGUGUUUGUAUGUUUUCUGGAUUAUUAAAAAGUUUCUCAUUCAUUAACUUAUCUUGUCUUUUAUCAUGUGCAGAAAAGUGGAGAAGGAAGAAGAGUAGAACACUUGCUUCAUUUUUUUUACGGAUGAAUCGACUGAACAGGACAGUAUAUCCUUUUCAUAUUAUGGCAUCAAAUUUAGUUCGACGUUUACCAUUGAGUGUUUGGUUCCUAUAUAUUGUAGCAACUCGAUUGACACUUUAUUUAGUGUGAGUAACCUUGGGAAUAGUUUGGACUGAAACCUUAGUUUCAGUUUGGUUUCCCUAUUGGAUUGUGUUUGGUUGGUUUAAAUGGGCCGAGAGUCUAAAAUAAACUGGUGUAGUUUCGAUUCGGUCAACUACUGGAUUGGACUGGUUUGGUAUGGACACAGACGAUUUGGUCCCAAACCGUUUCAAUCUGUGGACAGAAUUUUGGAUUCGAUUGGUUUGGAUGGAAGAGGUAGAGUUGUAUGGUUUGGGACCACUUCAGUUUGGUUUUGAAACUAUUACCAGGUUUAAGUGCGAGUGUCAACCUUUUACAUCUCUCAAUAAGCAACAAAAUCCGACCUAAAUAAAUUAUUUAUACAUGCUUGAGAAUAAUAUAUUGCAAUGCCACUGUGUUUUUUUUGUCAAUGGGCAGCUGCAUUACAUUCAUUCAGGAAAUGUUUCAGUACAAAUGAUGGUCCUGAUUACAUCAGGUACAACAUUAAACCAGCAGGACCCAGGGUUGUGUUCUGCAGAUCUAGCAAGAACAUGAGCUGCCACAUUACAUGAUCGGUUGACAUGAGUAAACAUACAAGAUUUAAACUUAAGAGCCCUACUUUUGAUGUCAUAUAUUAUGGCACCUAUUUGAGAUCUAUUAGUUGUCACAUUCUUCACCUUAUUUACUACAGUAGAACAAUCAGAUGCCAUAGUAUUUUCUCGCAAAAAAAUAUAAAAAAAUCAAAUGCCAUAAUAAUGGAUUGGAAGCCAGUGACCGGAGCGGGAGGUAGAAAGAAUAUUUCCCCUCCCCACCACGUCCUAACUGCCAUUAAAUAAGUAACUUACCACUCCCCACCACACAUUCACCCACCUAAAUCGCGCGCCGGUUCGAACUCCCCUUAUCCCCACCUACAGUACAUCGAGAAAACCCUCGCCGGCGAUCGCUGCAGCCACCUCCAUGAAGAAAAGCCUCAGCUGGCAGAGAGCGAUGAUGGAUCUCGCCGGCGAUGACGAGGGGUGGCGCGUCCAGUUGGCGGAGGUGUGCGGCUGGUUUCCCAGCACGAAGAUGUUGGUCAACCACGCGCAUGGCCUCGUCAAAGUCCUCACUGACGCCGAGAAGAAGCACGCCUUCCCCUAUGGCUGCGGCGAACCGCCGACUCUCCUCCUCGUCUAGGAAAUGCGAGAGGACACAUUGAGCGACUCCCUUGUUCAGCACGCAAGGUGGUGGAUGUACCGCUCCACCACCAUGACGCUGCAGCCAGAUCCAGCACGCGUCACGUCGAGGGCGGAGCACGUCGACGUCGAGCUCGCUCUCCCUGCGCUCGUGAACCCAGACUACCAGGUCCGCCACGUGCCGAAGCCAGUCCUGCCGUCGGGCUCUGACAUCAUGGAGGACGACGUGGACAAGGUACUGCUCAUCCCUGAUGACCCUGAGGAGGGCGAGGAGGAUGCCAUGCACAUGGUAGCGCCGGUCACCGUCGAGGGUGGCAACAUAAUGCCCAUCGACGUCGAGCUCCUUCCCCUCCACCCUGACAUAGUGAAGGUGGAAGAAGAGGAGGUGGCCCAGGAUCCAGUGGCGCAGCUGUCGAACAGGACGACGGUCAAGAAGAAGGCUUCUCCGUGUGUGGUGCGCCUCUCACGCCGCCUCAAAUUUCUGAAGAAGUGAAGAUGGGCACAAUUGCUGAAGGAGGAGGAAGCUGUUGGUUAUCUUAGGUAUGCUGUUAUAUGUUUCAGCAUAUAAGUUUGUUGUUCUCCUAGUUGCUGCUGGGCUCCUUCAACUCCAUGGUUGCUUUUGUUGUAAUAAUGAUCGAUGUAGGGUGGAUUGUGUCAUCGCUUGUGAACGUGUUUGGGUCAUUGCACGGUUUGGCUGGCCUGUGUUGGCCUUCUGGGAUGUUGCGAUGUCAUGCUGGUAGCGUUUUAGUCCUUCUCUUUUUAGACUGAACUUGGUUGUGAACUUUGGUGUUGUUCAGUACUGAAAAUGGGAAGGGCCUAGCCCUUCUUUGAUCAUAAAAAACAUUGGGCUUGAUGUUGGUUAGGUGUGCUUUUCUCCAGGUAAUUAUAUAAGUUAUGCAAUCGAUACGGUUUGAUCGGGUUCUUUGUGGCUAAAGAACUGAAUAUCUACUACUUACCCUAAGUGUGAAGUUCAGUUAAAUUUCAAAAUAUUGAAUAUGUACUGUUGUUUUCCUUCAGUGUUGAAUCAAAGGUGUAGGUGCUGCUAGAUGUUGCUCCUAUGUUGCAACAAGACAAUGAAGUGGGCUGCUGCACAAAUCAGUAGUGUUGCUAUGUGAUGUGCCCAUGUGCAUCACUUACCAAAUAUAGAACAUGACAGAAGUGCAGUGUCUGCCAAAUGUAGAACAUGCCAAAAGUGCAUUGUGUACCAAUCAUGAUGGCCCCAUGUUAUUUCUGCUGCAAUGUCUAUUACACUUUGCCCAUAAACUGAAUAGCAAAUAAUUCAUCAGGAUUCAAUCAUGUCAACUACAAUGAUGUCAAUAACUUUAUGAACAAUCUAAUUGGUAACUAUGACAACAAUCAUAGUGGCAAGCAGGCCAAGAUACAGACACUACUAGGAAAAGGCCUACUAAUGGCGCACCGGUUUUGCCUACUAAUGGCGCACUACCGGUGCGCCAUUAGUAUUUUUUACUAAUGGCGCACCUGUGGUGCGCCAUUAGUAUCUGGUAUACUAAUGGCGCACCCGCUGGUGCGCCAUUAGAAUAGCCCACGGUGCGCCAUUAGUAUCUCGUAUACUAAUGGCGCACCACAUAGAGGUGCGCCAUUAGUAACAAUAUUUUUUCAAAAAAAAAAUCAAAUUUUUUUCAAUUUUUUUCUUAAUCUCAGUUCACUAUGGCUUAAUCUCGUGUCAAUAUGCUUAAUCUCAGGUCAAAUCGCACUCCGUGGUCAAACUUCCCGAAAGGUCACCCAUCGUCACACUACUCCAGCCCAAACACGCUUAACUUCAGAGUUCUAUCCAAUUCCAGCAACAGCUCACUUCACAGGCACUUGUUGAUAUAUCUAACAUAUCAAUCCUAUUAUACCUUGUUGAUGUCUAGGACUUUGUUCAUGUUCAUGACUAUGAUGAAAAUUUGAAAAAUAUUUCAAACUUCCCGGUAAUAUUACGUACCAUUUUUUUCUAUUACUAGUGGCGCACCACAUCUACGGUGCGCCACUAGUAAGUUUUUGAAUUUUUUUGCCUCUAGAUCUUGAAAGCCCCGUAACUUUUUUCUGUUCGGUUUUUGGGGAUUUUUAAAAUGUUUAACGGGGUUCCCCACGUUAAAUUUGGAUGUAACUUUUCGAGUAGAUGAUUUUUCAUAUAAAAAACUUUUUCAUCCGAGUUCGUAUGCAAAAGUUAUGCCCAUUUUACAAAUUUCCAAAGAGAUUUUGCAAAUAAAGUCAAAANNNNNNNNNNNNNNNNNNNNNNNNNNNNNNNNNNNNNNNNNNNNNNNNNNNNNNNNNNNNNNNNNNNNNNNNNNNNNNNNNNNNNNNNNNNNNNNNNNNNNNNNNNNNNNNNNNNNNNNNNNNNNNNNNNNNNNNNNNNNNNNNNNNNNNNNNNNNNNNNNNNNNNNNNNNNNNNNNNNNNNNNNNNNNNNNNNNNNNNNNNNNNNNNNNNNNNNNNNNNNNNNNNNNNNNNNNNNNNNNNNNNNNNNNNNNNNNNNNNNNNNNNNNNNNNNNNNNNNNGUAUGGUGCGCCAUUACUAUGUCAACAUAGUAAUGGCGCACCACUCCCACCGUGCGCCAUUAGUAGUUUUGAAAAAAAAACUAAUGGCACACCGUGGGACGUGGUGCGCCAUUAGUAUUUGCACACUAAUGGCGCACCAACACAGUGCGCCAUUGGUAUUUAGUAAUGGCGCACCACAUGUAUAGUGCGCCAUUAGUGUCCAUCCCAUCUAUAGCCCUUUUCCUAGUAGUGAGAAGACCUCCAAAUCCUAAAAUCCUAUCCCUAUAGAGCAAUAUUUCCUUGUGCAUCUUAACCAUUGCCCUCUUUUCUUUCUCAUUCCUUUUAAUUUUAGCUUCACAUUCUGUAAUCUUAGUCUCCAGUUUCUUGUUCUUCAUGGCAAGAUACUUAAUGACUAACUUUGCUUUGCUAUCCCACUCCCCAUCAACCCAUUCAACAUACUCAUAAGUGACAUCAUCCUAAAUAAAUCAUGAGCAAUUCAAGUCAAUUUAUAAUUGAACUUGUCACUGCAAGCGUUAAACACUGAAAUUUUUUGCAGCUUGACCGCAGUAGCAGUAUUAGUUUGAAGAUCAUGCUCAGUACACUAACCUCAAACACACAACCCACUAAUGUGCUGUCAAAAUCUGCAUUUAUGCACACACGACCACCCAGAGUUUCCUGAUGACCAAAUAGAUGGAGCUUGUAAGGGCCACAGGUCAUGAUUUGUGGGCGACUUCUGUGAUGUAAAGAACAAUGGUAAAGAACUUACAUUUUUGCCACCAAAGUGUAGCACUGAAGAAACCCUAGCCGUCGGUUCUCCCGGCCCUCCGCCGCCCACGAAACCCCCCUCCCCUGUUCCACUCGAUCCGCUGUCGCUGCCUCCUGUUCCACUGAAUCCGCCCCACCUGCUUCCAGGACCCAGGGUUCGACCUAACUUGCAGUCGCCACCACUCUUCUUGCCGCAGCCGCCGCCGCCCGACGCCCUGCUCGCUGUCAUGCUUUCGCCGUGGAGAUUUGCAGGCGCAAAUGGAGAGAGAGGGCAAGGGAUUUGGAAGGGAAACGAGAAAAGGGGAACCACUCGUUUCCAAAAUCAACCAUAGUCGUUGUUUCCAUGUAUUCAAAUGAUGGCCCCACUAUUCCUUUGAUAAUGCAACUAACCCAGCCAUGCAUGCACGUGUAAUUUACAACCGCACUAGAAAUUCCGGCUGGGCUCACUCAUCGUUCCAUCCCUCAAUUAAUCAUGUCCCAAAAGUAAAUUAUACGUAAAAUAAAAAAACGACGGGCUUGUGAAACAAAAUAGAAAAACAUGAUGCCUGAUAACACGCGAUAGAGCCAACGAGCUAACAUGACUAUUUUUCAUAAUCAUGUGAUGAGGGGGAAUUACCAGGAGAUUAUGCAAGAUGAUGACAUGCAGAUAGCUAAGGCAGAAGGCUAAAGUUUGAUAGAGUUUUAAAAAAGUAAAGAAUGUGAAAAUUUUAAUAUGAAACUUCGGAGAGCAGUUGAAGAGAAAAAUAGAAUGCGAAUACUAUAAAAAAUUGGAGAACGAGAAAAAUAUUAAGCAUGAACAAUUGAUAGUUGAAGCCAAAACUUUAUUGCUACGACCAAAUUGUCUUCUCCGAGUGAAUUGUAUGACCGAAUUGUCUGGUACGAGCCUAUUGUUUGACAGACACAUACACAUGUAUGUGUCACAAUAUUCGAGAUGCCCUGUUUAUUACAUAAAAAUGAUAGAAACCGUAAGAUAAUCAUGCCAUCGAAACCUUCGACCGGACUAAAUCCAAAGCACUAAAACUUGACUGCUGCAUGCCGCAUGAAUUCUUCAGGCGUGCCUUUUCCUUGCGAUUUCAUGAAUUUUGUUCUUCACACACUCCAUCGUGUUCGAAGGUGACAUAAUCAACUCGGCGACGAAACGUCUUCACCUUGCAUCAAAGCUGGCCUGCAAAAAAUGACAUACAGGUUACAUGAACCGAAUUUUGUACACGACCAUAGUAGCUACUCUACAAACAUAAAUAACAGCAUACCUGUGGAAAAUCGCGGGUCAUUCGGUCCCUGUCCCAAUGCUCUAGACAUUCUAUGACAAAAAGGCCACAAGAGUUCCUGGUAUAUAUGCAAACAUUAGCGGUGGGCAAUACGAACAUGUGUAUUGUUGUUUGAAUGUGCAUGAUGUCCUACUAACUCACCCAUCCUCUUGCUGCGGCAUGUCAUACUCCUUGAUAGGCCACUUACAUAUGUCCGGAUAUUUCCUUGGUGUAAUAAGAUUUGCUUGGCGCAUAUCUUUUGCUAUAGCCAUUCGCUAUAAAGAUGAUAGUGUUAAAGAAGAAUCAUAAACAACAUGUAAGACAAAUGGUACAAAUGUUGGUUAUAUUACCAGUGCUUUCACAGUCUUUUCUGUCUGGUCCAGAGGAUAGAGUGAAUCGAGAACUUGGAAUUCUUGCUUGAUCAAGUGCAUGACCACAGUCAUCUAGUGGGCAUUUUCGAUAUUCAACGCGAUAUACGUCUAAAGUGCAAAAAACCAUUAUGGAUCAAACGAAAUACUAGAUGAAAUGUCCUGAAGUGAAGAAUUACAAACAUAACGUACCUUAUCAUGCACAGUAUACUCUUUCGUGACUCUAUUAACUGCUCUAGCUUUGGACAGAGCAUUGUCCACGUUGCAGCUCGACGGCAAUGGAUCGUCUCGUGUGAUAGCACGUUCUACAAGGAAUUUGGACCUCCACGUAGGACAGAGGUAACGAUCAUGACCAACGCGCAGCUCCAAAUGUCCCAUAUAAGAAUCAAUAACCUUCAUAGAAUAUCAGGGCAUUACAUGUUGAAAGUUGAGACAUAGAUUAUUGACAAUUUAAAUAACAGAACAUGCAAGUAGUACUUACAUCGUCCGACAGCCAUCUAUGAGUUAGUACCGGUCGAAUCCUUUCGGAUGUCAGAGAUAUGCCACGCCCUUCACUGUAGUAAACUUUCUUCCCCUUAUUCUUGUGGGUGCUAGAAGCUAACUCGACAAAUGAAACAGCUGCAUCAAUUAUUUCCGGCGUCAACUCAUCUGCCACACCCCUCGGCUCAUCAAUUUCAGAAAAGAGAGUUACAUGAAAUAAUAUGAACGUCAACAAUGGUGAUCAUAUGCAUUCGUAGUAUACAACAAACCAAGAAAGUUAGUUACGAUACCCCUACUAGCAGAACGGGUACCGGUGGGUUUCUGACCAUGGUUGGUACGCCUGGUGGGCUUGUCAAGUGCGUAGGAGGAUUCAAAUUUCUUGGGAACGGUCUGCUUCCGCUUACCGGACAUAACUUCCUCAUCCUUAUCGACUGUUGCACCAUUUUUUCCAUUCGCCUUAGCCAUUAACUUGCUGACAGAAGAUGGACAAAUGUCUAUGUCCGAUGAAGGUUCUUGUGUAGAAUUACCAACGACCCAAGGGUUUUCGGGUGUAGCGCCACAUUCAUCAUUACACUUAAUAGGUGAAGCUUCCUUGUGUCCAUUCAUCUUUGCUGGGGUUUUCUGUUUGGCAAACAAAAUGGUGUGAACAUUUCAGCCUGUAAAAAAAUGGAAGGAGAAAAUUAUAGACAGAAAUAUAUAUAUAUAUAUAUAUAUAUAUAUAUAUAUAUAUAUAUAUAUAUAUAUAUAUAUGUAGUACCUCAGGUACAGAUUUAUGGUUGGGAACCACUUCAUCAGGCUGCGUCAUGUCAAUGACAGGCUCUCUGUGUGAGUCUAUGGCAUCCUUGUACACGAAUUCCUUCUUUUCAUAUGGACCGUUCUCGAAAGAAUCCACUUCUUGAUCCACAUCAUUGUCCACGGAUGGCACGGCAGCAGCCGGCUUGUACAUGACACCUGAUUUGUUCAUCUUCUCCAACAACCUCUGCAAUAGAUAUAUAAAGUUAAUAAUGCUUGCAUGGUUUAAAACAGGGAACAAACUGUAAACUAUUAUGUUAUGGUGUCACACCUCAGCAACUUGAUCAGGGAUUUGCCUCAUCUGGGUGUGUAUGAAGUCCAUGCACCGCUUCAUUAGAAGCUCCAUCAAAUCUUCGGACAUUGGGGCUGUCGUUGACUUCUUUGCAUUUCCAUUUGCAGGUUUGGUUUUUGGCUUCAUGGUACGCACAUUAUAUGGGAUUUUGGGCUCCUGCGCCCUAUACUCUUGGGUGAUAUUAUUUUUGAUCUGCAUGCGAUAUUGAAGUACAUGUGAUGAAUUAAAAAUAAAUAUUAUUUAGUUACAAAACAUUUAAGAAAGACAGAACACAAUGACUUACCUUGACGUUACCACGGCCGCGCCCAUUGUCAUAGUCGAACCGAUCUCUCCUAGUGGCUGCAUAUUCGGUCCAGUUCCUGAUAAGAGGUUGUAUGGACAAGUUGGGAUUAUAGGUGCAAUCGCCUUCGACAAGUUGCACCUUCUCCCAGUACAAGUACUACAAAAAAAUAUAAGAAUUUAGAGUUAGUUCAAUACAUCACAGAAAAUUGCAAUGAUAUAAUAAUUGACAUUAUGCAACAUGUCUCAUUUGUGUACCUGCAACAGAGCCAGAUUGCCUUUCGGCCAUUGGCGUACGUGUUUGCCUUUCUUGACUAUGCGAAGGCAAUCGAGGAGAACAUGCAGGGUGAAGGCAUUCCAGUUAAUCUUUGAAAUACGUUUCACAUCAUGGACCAAAGUGUAGUACUGCUUUGGCACAAUCUUGCUCGACAUGGGAGCAAUAAUUGUUACUAACGGGACAAGGACUAAUUUCCAAAAAAAAUCAUCGUUGGUGGCUUUACUUUUAAUUAUGUCCUCAAUGAGAUUAUAUAUUACUAUGUUUUCUGAAGUCUUACUAAGAAAUUGUUGCGGCACCCGCUCCUUCAUGUCCUCUCCUUCUUCAAUCAGAAUGUCCGAAGCGGAGAGUCCUUGGUUCUCGAGGUUAAAGAUGCACUCAACGUCGACCGCACCGAGAGUCACCUCCCCAACCUUGUCACAUCCCUAGCUGCUGGUAGUGCUCUAGGCUAGCUUCAUGUUUGCAUCAUGUUUAAAUUUUGCCUAAAUUUGAAAUGGGGAUGUUCAAACCCUAGCAUUAAAUCAACUCAACUAGGGUGAAUUAAAAUCUUUUCAAUAAACCCAAAAGGUUCCUAAGAAAAGUUCAUGAUUUCUGGUUAAGGUGGAAACCUCUGCCAAAAAUGAUGAUUAUAUUCUUAGGUCAUUUUUGGAUUUUUGAAUUAAAUCAUAUUGUAUUUGACUUUGGGCAUUUAAAUACUAUAAAUAAUUUAAAUGCUCAAAUAAAUGUUGGAAAUUGAUAAGGGUCACUGAAAUAAUUCAGAAAGUACCCAUAAUUAUUUCCAGGAUUUUAUAAAAUGAUUUGAUAUUUUAAAACAAAUCAAAAACAAAUUGCAGAAAUAGAAAAAAAUAUAAAACAGAAUAGAAAUAAAAGAGAGGAGAGAAACAUUACCUGCAGCCCACCUGGGCCACUUACCUGCUUACCAGAGCCGGCCCAGUUCCCCCAGCCGGCCCAGCCCACCUCCUCCUCCUUUGUCCUCUUCCUCCUCUGCCAGGAGGACGAGCAGAGGCGAGGCGUGGCGCUCGCCGACGCUGCCCCGGCCACCUCCUGCUUCCCCCCCCCUAGCCACCUCCUGCUUCCUCCCCAGAGACGCCCCGGACGACGCCACGCACCUCCUGCACCGCUCCCCUCUCCCCGUGCCCCUCUUCCCCCCCUGUUCGCNNNNNNNNNNNNNNNNNNNNNNNNNNNNNNNNNNNNNNNNNNNNNNNNNNNNNNNNNNNNNNNNNNNNNNNNNNNNNNNNNNNNNNNNNNNNNNNNNNNNNNNNNNNNNNNNNNNNNNNNNNNNNNNNNNNNNNNNNNNNNNNNNNNNNNNNNNNNNNNNNNNNNNNNNNNNNNNNNNNNNNNNNNNNNNNNNNNNNNNNNNNNNNNNNNNNNNNNNNNNNNNNNNNNNNNNNNNNNNNNNNNNNNNNNNNNNNNNNNNNNNNNNNNNNNNNNNNNNNNNNNNNNNNNNNNNNNNNNNNNNNNNNNNNNNNNNNNNNNNNNNNNNNNNNNNNNNNNNNNNNNNNNNNNNNNNNNNNNNNNNNNNNNNNNNNNNNNNNNNNNNNNNNNNNNNNNNNNNNNNNNNNNNNNNNNNNNNNNNNNNNNNNNNNNNNNNNNNNNNNNNNNNNNNNNNNNNNNNNNNNNNNNNNNNNNNNNNNNNNNNNNNNNNNNNNNNNNNNNNNNNNNNNNNNNNNNNNNNNNNNNNNNNNNNNNNNNNNNNNNNNNNNNNNNNNNNNNNNNNNNNNNNNNNNNNNNNNNNNNNNNNNNNNNNNNNNNNNNNNNNNNNNNNNNNNNNNNNNNNNNNNNNNNNNNNNNNNNNNNNNNNNNNNNNNNNNNNNNNNNNNNNNNNNNNNNNNNNNNNNNNNNNNNNNNNNNNNNNNNNNNNNNNNNNNNNNNNNNNNNNNNNNNNNNNNNNNNNNNNNNNNNNNNNNNNNNNNNNNNNNNNNNNNNNNNNNNNNNNNNNNNNNNNNCCACCGAAACUCGCCGCCGUUCGAUUCGCCGCCGAUAGGACAUCCCCGAGCCCACUGACCAACCCUGCGGAACCGCUGUGAGCUCCUCUGCCGUUCGCCCCUUUUUCCCGUCGCUCCGCACGCUCCCUAGCGCUAGCGCUGCCGUGCCCGAAGCUUGCCGCCGCCGCGCCUCAUCGCCGGCGUAGCUAGAGCCACCACAGCUCGAAUCCGAGCACACCGCUGUGCUCAGAGAACUCCCAGGAGGCCGUAGCGGCCACCAGCCCUCCUCCCAUGCACCAUAGCGCCAUCUCCGCUGUUACCCGAGCUCCGGCCGCCGCCGCGAGCUCGCCUCCGGCGAACCCCGGCCACCCCCGCACCUCCCGUUGGUUCCUCUAGAUGCGCACGGGCGCGGGCUACCUCCUGGUGCCCUUGGCUCGUCGAUCCGAUGCCCCUAGCGCAAGUCCGGCGUUCCCCCGCCGUGCGGAAUGGUCGCCGCCGGCGAAACUCCGGCAGGAGCUGAUGUGGCCGGUCAUUAGGGACUAACUACCCCGCUAAUCACCCACUAGGCCACUGACAGCGGACCCCACCCCUGGUCAAACCCCAGUCAGCGCUGGGUUUGACCGGGAUUAGCUCCUGUGUCACUGAUGUGUGGCCCCCACACGUCAGGUUUGACCUGGACCAGCCCGUUGACCCUGCUGACGUCACUGUGACGUGGGGCUGACGCAAUAAACCAUUUUCUGGAUUUUUGUUAUAAUUCAGGAAAUUCCAGAAAAUUAUAUAAACUUCUAUAAAUCAUAGAAAAUUAACCGUAACUCCAAAUUAAAUAAAUUAUAUAUGAAAAAUUAUCAGAAAAAUUCAAGGAAUCCAUCUGUACCAUUUUCAUGCAUGUUAGAACAACUUAUAGCUGCUGUUUAGCACAAAUCAAUUACAUGGCAUUUAAGUAAUCACAUAUGGAGUUUAAAUUUGAAUCUUGUAUUCAAACCAACCCCAUUUAAUCUGGUUUUAGAUGCAUUAGCCCAAAACACAUUCAUUUUGCCAUGUCAUAGCAUGCAUCAUAUUGUGCAUUGCAUUGAUCGUGCUUUUUCUGUAUUGCCGGUAUUUGUCCCCUCUCGAUAGACGUGUACCGAUGAUGCGAUCGUUGACACUGAUGAAGACUCAAGGCUAUCUUCAGAAGUGCCAGGCAAGCAAAACCCCCUUGUUCAUUCCGAUACAAACCUACUCUCUCGCUCCUGCUCUCUUUUACUGCAUUAGGACAACACCGAUUCAACUGUUACAUGCUGCGGUAGCUGAACCCCUUUAUCCUCUCCAUGACCUGUCAUUCCACAGUAAUUAGAUGAAACCCACUAGCAUGAGUAGGAGUUGUUUGAGCCCUGUUGUGCCUAAUCAUUCAUGUUUUUUUGUCAUGCCUGCUACUGCUUAGAGUUGAGUCAGGUCUGAUUCAUCGGGGAUGAAUCAGAGGCGUGUGAACAUGUCCCACUGUGUGUGAGCUAAGUGUAUGAACACGAUUUGGUAAAGGUAGCGGUGAGAGGCCAUGUAGGAGUACAUGGUGGGUUGUCUCAUUGCAGCCGUCCUCAGGAACUGAGUUCUGUGUUUGUGAUCCAUGAUUCAGCUACUACCACGCAUUGGGCCCGAAACCAAUGGACCCUCUCGGCUUCUUAAUCACCCUUGUCCUCUGUCCAGGAGUUGCAAGUAGUUUCUGGUGUUUGUAGUAUGCUGGAGGCCGUGCGCAGCGCUGACCGUAGGGGUGGGCUGUGAUGCGGUAGGCACGUGGCACGGUGUACCGGGCGCCCGUUUGGUGUCUCGGGAACCCUGUUCACAUCGUUUGGGGCUGUGAGCGAAACUCCGGCCGGAUCUCCUCAUGGAUGGAACCCGAAUAGGCGAUAAACCUGGACUAGAGACUUGAGUGUUUAGGCAGGCCGUGGCCGACACCCACGUUGGGCUUCCGCUUGAAGGUUGCCGAGUACAUGUCGUGUAAACGGCGGUAAGUGGUGAGAGCGUGUGUGAAGAAGUACACCCCUGCAGGGUUAACCUAAUCUAUUCGAAUAGCCGUGUCCGCGGAAAAGGACUUCUGGGUUUCUUAUAUCAGUUCAUAGACAAGUGAAAGUGGAUGCUCUAAAAUACGCAAGAUAAGCGUGAGUGCUAUGGAUGGCGUUCUCGUAGGGAGACGGGAGUGGAUCCAUAGUGGUGUAUUGGUUGGUGAAUAUGUGGACUCGUGUGCGCCACCUCAAAGAGUUACUUGCAGUCGUAGUUCAGGAUAGCCACCGAGUCAAAGCUGGCUUGCUGCAGUUAAACCCCACCAUCCCCUUUGUUGAUAAUGAUGCAUAUGUAGAUAGUUCUGAUGUAAGUCUUGCUGGGUACAUUUGUACUCACGUUUGCCUAUUUUAUGUUUUUGCAGAGAGACUUCGGUCUCGCUAGUAGUUCCGUGUGGACUUCGACGUUUAGCUUGAUACCUCGGCUACGAUCUUGUGCCCUCGGCAGGAUCUGGUAGAUAGUCAGGCUUCUCAGCCUUUUUCAUUUAUAGAUGUCUGUACUCAGACAUGAUAGCUUCCGCUUGUGCCUUGACUUGUAUGCUCUGAUUGUUGGGUCAUGAGACCCAUGUUUGUAAUGUCUCGCUCCUCGGAGCCUAUUGAAUAAACUACUUGAGUCGUAGAGUCAUUUUGUGAUGCCAUGUUGUAUUGCACAUAUCGAGCAUAUUGUGUGUAUGUUAUUAAAAUGCUUGGUAUGUGUGGGAUCUGACUAUCUAGUUGUUUAUCUUUAGUAGCCUCUCUUACCGGGAAAUGUCUCCUAGUGUUACCGCUGAGCCAUGGUAGCUUGCUACUGCUCUGGAACACUUAGGCUGGCCGGCAUGUGUCCUUCUUCGUUCCGGUGUCUGUCCCUUCGGGGAAAUGUCACGCUUUGAGUACCGGAGUCCUGUUAGCCCGCUACAGCCCGGUUUACCGGAGUCCUGCUAGCCCAGUGCUACAGCCCGGACCCACUUGCUGAUGACCGACACGUUCGAAGCUGGGUCAUGAAUGCCUGUCCCUGUAAGUCUGUGCCACUUUGGGUUUACGACUAGUCAUGUCAGCCCGGGCUCCUUAUCAUAUGGAUGCUAGCGACACUAUCNNNNNNNNNNUGCGUGAGGCCGCAAAGUGAUAUGAGGUGUUACCGGCUAGAUCGAUGUGACAUCGAGUCGGGGUCCUGACAGCGUUGGUAUCAGAGCUUGACUGCCUGUAGGAUUACCAAGCCAAACUGGUCGAAGUUGAGUCUAGAAAUUCUUUAGUUAUAUAAGGGAAUUGAUUGUGGGAUGGAACGUAAGGCUCUUUUUACUCCUUAUACCUCAUGGCCUUCUGAUCUGAGUCAUCAUCUUCUCUUCUACGGGGAUUAAGAACUAGGCUUUCUCUUCUUUCUAUCAGGAUCACGUGUUACUAAUCCGUAGACUUAUAAGAUUGUUGGAUUUAAGCUUGAGUUCAGUUUCUACUACUUCCGUAUGUUAAUUGUUGAUCUCGAAACCUUGAUAUCGUGCUUCUGAGUGGUUAUGCCACCAUUUUGUGAAUGUCUCAAAUCUUUUCUGAACAUUUACAGCCGUUAUGCUGUCCGAGUCAUCCCAGGUUUCUAAAUAGUUUGAAGCAAUUUGCAAAAUCCUUUCCCUCUGGUUUCGAUGUUCCUUUAUGCCAGCUCAAUCACACUAAUUGUUGAGUUGAGGUAAUUUAUUGCCCUGACAUAUAUGUUGGAGCUAUUAUUAUGACCCUAGGUGUCUUAGGGGAUCACCUAGUAAUUUAGCCAUGAUUGGUGUCCCAGUGUGAUGAUUCUGGCCUUUAUCCUCGAAAGCAUUCCGUGAUGCUACUUAGUAAUAGGUAUUCUGUUCCUGGGUUCUUGAACCCGAGAUUCACUCCACCUACUUCGUGUUGAUAGUAAUUGUUAGUGCCUUCAGGAUAUUAGUAACCUUUGCGAUAGUCCUUGAAGUCCGUGGUAUCUUCUUCUUCCAGAUACCAUGAACUACUUAUGGCAGAAGUUCCUCGUUGAACUGAAAUAUCACAACAGUAUUAUUUUUGAUGAGUUCUCCAUUAUAUAUUGUGGCUCUGCCAGUUCUACCUUUCCGCAUGGGUUAUCCGGAAGAAAUAUGUUGAACUUGGUUCGACAUACUAAUCUAUGCAUCCACAACUCAGAAAAUUAUAUGUUCCUUUGAGUUGUUCUCUUUAGUUGCAUUCUGACCUUCGUCUAUCAAUUGAUAGUCAAGAGUAUGCGUGUGUUCGUUUAUUGAUGCCUAUUACUCUUGUGGUCCGUCAAGCCAUUCUAUUCCGGAAUGACUAGGAGAAACAAACUCCAGUACCUCUUCCUUAUCUAGGAUUGGGUCAAAGAAGUUGUGCUCCGCAGAUCAAAAUGCCAAUCUAGCUUCUGGUCUGCUCUACCCUGAAGUAUUAUCUUCUUUAUGACAGGAAUUUCAUGAGAAUUGCACCACAUUUUGUGAAUUCUUGACAUAGUGAUACCUCUUGCCAUCAUUAGUCAUUCCUCGGUCUUCGUGUUGAUGCAACCGGAAUACCGACCAAUGAAUUGUGAUGUGUGAAAUCAAUACGCCUAGCAACCUCGUUGCUUGGUAGUUAAAGGAUAAUAAUUUCAUUCUUAGCAUGUUGGUUUUUGAAUCAUCCUUCUAAGACUUAUCGUGCUACCUAGUCCUUAUUUCGGUGCACCCUUCGAUUGAUGAGUUAGGAUCUUGUCAAGUCCUCACUCAUUUGAUCAUAUCGUCUUGCCCUCAAAAGCGAGAUUGUUCUCGAGCUUAGUAACAUACCGGUGGUUCGUGAUUUUCUGAAUGUCUUCUCGGAAGUAUCACCAGGUCGUCACCUGACCGUUAUGUUGAGCCCGUGAUCAAGUUGGUUUCUUGUGAACCACCUUCUCUCCAAGAAUCGGUGUUAGAUAUCCCUGAGCUAGUUGGUUAAGCUAGACAACAACUUGGAGAGUUGGAAGAUAAAAGCUUGCCUAACUUAGUUCGUUCCAAAGGGAUAUUCUUGUGUAGUGUGUGUUGAAGAAAGAUGAUAUCUUCAUCGAUUGGUCCCUGUGAUCAGUUGCUGGACCUAUUGUCUUAUCAAUCCUUGAUUUGAGUGUGGGCUAUCGUCAAAUCAAAUCAGUACCAACGAUGCUCGUAAUGUUGUCUUAUUCGUGGUUGAUCCCUCGAGCAUACACCAUUACAUCUUUGGUCUGACCAAUGCUAUCACCGUGUUCACUUAACUAUGGAAUUCCUUUUAAAAGGAAACCUAGAUGGAUUGUUGUUGAGCCCAUUGACAACAUCCUUAUCUCCUCCAUGAUUUUGUUGAACAUUAAGCUAGUGUUGGAAACUUUUGAAAGCAUUUGUUCAUGCUAGCUCAUGAAGCAUAUGUUUGGAUGAAGGUAGUGACUUCCUUUAAUUCAUGUGCAUCUGAUGCAAGUUGCCGCCGUGGAUUCGAGAAAGUCAAUGUUGCUUUCUUUGGAAUCAUUCCAAAUCAGUCAUGCACACGUGCGAAGAAUGCUGUGGUUUGAAGACUUGCAACCUUCAAUCUAUAUGUAUCCCUAGCACACCAAGCCACUGAUUGAUUUGUUCAAGGAGAAGGAGUUCCUUCAUAAGAGCUAAUCCGGACUUAUGUAAGGACUUCGAUACCCUCGUUGAUGGUUCCCCCUCCUGAACUCGGUAGUGUUUUAUUAUAAGACUACCACGUGGUCAUGCUUGUCUGGGACAACGUGUUCACAUGUUUGUAGCAGAACCAGCUCAUGUUUUGGAGCUUGCUAUCGUAGUUCAUCUCCCGAGAAUCCCGCAACGUCAUCUCGUCGAUUUGUGUUGCAAACUUUCAUUUUUCUUCCUAGACUCGAUGGGUCUGGAAUAUUCUGACACCAACCAGAUCUAAAUCUCAGGCAGAUAUGAUGGUUGGAACAUUUCCCUAAGAACUAUAAUAUCGGUCCCUCGGAAACCGGUAAAGUGGAUGUCGUGGCCAACACACCCAGCCGGAAGACCUGUUAUUAUAAUAUCUUGAUUGAGGAAGUUGGCCACCUCCCCAUAGGGAUUUCGUAGGGUUUACUCCCUAGUUGCCCCUAUGGAUUUAUGAGAUCCCGAAGUCCGACUUUUUUUUUACUUGAUGUUCUAGAUAUCAAACCAUAUCUAUGAAUGGGUUACACUAGCACAUCAAGGAGAACAUUAGAAGCGGAGUGCUAAAUGUCUCUCGGUCGAUCAUCCAGAUUUCGUCCCCCUGGCCUCGCUAAGGUGAAAUCUGAGAAGGUGUUAUCCUCCUUUGCAUCUGCAUCGUCCAUCGCUAUUCAUCAUGGUAGUAUGUUGUGUUGUCAGCACCCUUGACGCGGUUGUUGAUAAAACCUUGAUGAUUGUGGAAAUGCUCAAGUUCUUGAGAGCACGCACAAGCGCUACGUCUUAUCAUCGGCACUAGCUGGGAUUGCCCCAGAUUUCCUCGGUUAUGCUAUAACCACUCCAACAGUGAAUUCACUCUCUAUUGUUGGGUUCUUCCCCAGUUACCAGAAUCAUUCCCAGCAUUUGCAUUUUGUUCCCAGCUUGCACCGCCAAUGUGCCAUUCUACCAUGGGUCUCUUCCAUUUCCGGUGAUAAGCAAAAUCAUCCAUUACGUUGUCUUCAACAAGGUAAUCCACAUCAUCCAAGUCCAAGUAUGUCAUUCUACCGACCCCGCCAAUCGACUGCUGUGAUUUGCCUUAGGCUGAUAUAGAGAGUCUUAACGAUCUCUAUAUCAAAGGUAAUUCUUUUUGCCACUUAAGAUAAUAAUCUACGAAUCACCCCCUCCAGGAUGUUUCGUCGUGGUAUCAUGGCAACUCAACUCCUCGCUACGUUGACAAUCGUUUACCACCUUCCUAGGUGUGGAAUUGUUGUCUACCUAGUGAACCUUCGUCAUCCGUUUCUUUCCACCCCUCUUGAUGUGUAUCUCGUGUCUCAACCCGAGAGAUGGUUCUAUGUCUCAUUCCGGAAGUUAAUCCUGAGUUGUUCGAUCUUCGAGAAGACCGAUCCUUCCAGAGUUUUCCUUUCCUCUCCUUGUCANNNNNNNNNNNNNNNNNNNNNNNNNNNNNNNNNNNNNNNNNNNNNNNNNNNNNNNNNNNNNNNNNNNNNNNNNNNNNNNNNNNNNNNNNNNNNNNNNNNNNNNNNNNNNNNNNNNNNNNNNNNNNNNNNNNNNNNNNNNNNNNNNNNNNNNNNNNNNNNNNNNNNNNNNNNNNNNNNNNNNNNNNNNNNNNNNNNNNNNNNNNNNNNNNNNNNNNNNNNNNNNNNNNNNNNNNNNNNNNNNNNNNNNNNNNNNNNNNNNNNNNNNNNNNNNNNNNNNNNNNNNNNNNNNNNNNNNNNNNNNNNNNNNNNNNNNNNNNNNNNNNNNNNNNNNNNNNNNNNNNNNNNNNNNNNNNNNNNNNNNNNNNNNNNNNNNNNNNNNNNNNNNNNNNNNNNNNNNNNNNNNNNNNNNNNNNNNNNNNNNNNNNNNNNNNNNNNNNNNNNNNNNNNNNNNNNNNNNNNNNNNNNNNNNNNNNNNNNNNNNNNNNNNNNNNNNNNNNNNNNNNNNNNNNNNNNNNNNNNNNNNNNNNNNNNNNNNNNNNNNNNNNNNNNNNNNNNNNNNNNNNNNNNNNNNNNNNNNNNNNNNNNNNNNNNNNNNNNNNNNNNNNNNNNNGCCCCCCCGGAAGCCCCGCAACGCCGCCACCAUCGCCGUUCCGUCGCCGGCCACCGAAGCUCGCCGCCGUUCGAUUCGCCGCCGACAAGACAUCCCCGAGCCCACUGACCAACCCUGCGGAACCGCUGUGAGCUCCUCUGCCGUUCGCCCCUUUUUCCCGUCGCUCCGCACGCUCCCUAGCGCUAGCGCUGCCGUGCCCGAAGCUCGCCGCCGCCGCGCCUCAUCGCCGGCGUAGCUAGAGCCACCACAGCUCGAAUCCGAGCACACCGCUGUGCUCAGAGAACUCCCAGGAGGCCGUAGCGGCCACCAGCCCUCCUCCCAUGCACCAUAGCGCCAUCUCCGCUGUUGCCCGAGCUCCGGCCGCCGCCGCGAGCUCGCCUCCGGCGAACCCCGGCCACCCCCGCACCUCCCGUUGGUUCCUCUAGAUGCGCACGGGCGCGGGCUACCUCCUGGUGCCCUUGGCUCGUCGAUCCGAUGCCCCUAGCGCAAGUCCGGCGUUCCCCCGCCGUGCGGAAUGGUCGCCGCCGGCGAAACUCCGGCAGGAGCUGAUGUGGUCGGUCAUUAGGGACUAACUACCCCGCUAAUCACCCACUAGGCCACUGACAGCGGACCCCACCCCUGGUCAAACCCCAGUCAGCGCUGGGUUUGACCGGGAUUAGCUCCUGUGUCACUGACGUGUGGCCCCCACACGUCAGGUUUGACCUGGACCAGCCCGUUGACCCUGCUGACGUCACUGUGACGUGGGGCUGACGCAAUAAACCAUUUUCUGGAUUUUUGUUAUAAUUCAGGAAAUUCCAGAAAAUUAUAUAAACUUCUAUAAAUCAUAGAAAAUUAACCGUAACUCCAAAUUAAAUAAAUUAUAUAUGAAAAAUUAUCAGAAAAAUUCAAGGAAUCCAUCUGUACCAUUUUCAUGCAUGUUAGAACAACUUAUAGCUGCUGUUUAGCACAAAUCAAUUACAUGGCAUUUAAGUAAUCACAUAUGGAGUUUAAAUUUGAAUCUUGUAUUCAAACCAACCCCAUUUAAUCUGGUUUUAGAUGCAUUAGCCCAAAACACAUUCAUUUUGCCAUGUCAUAGCAUGCAUCAUAUUGUGCAUUGCAUUGAUCGUGCUUUUUCUGUAUUGCCGGUAUUUGUCCCCUCUCGAUAGACGUGUACCGAUGAUGCGAUCGUUGACACUGAUGAAGACUCAAGGCUAUCUUCAGAAGUCCCAGGCAAGCAAAACCCCCUUGUUCAUUCCGAUACAAACCUACUCUCUCGCUCCUGCUCUCUUUUACUGCAUUAGGACAACACCGAUUCAACUGUUACAUGCUGCGGUAGCUGAACCCCUUUAUCCUCUGCAUGACCUGUCAUUCCACAGUAAUUAGAUGAAACCCACUAGCAUGAGUAGGAGUUGUUUGAGCCCUGUUGUGCCUACUCAUUCAUGUUUGUUUGUCAUGCCUGCUACUGCUUAGAGUUGAGUCAGGUCUGAUUCAUCGGGGAUGAAUCAGAGGCGUGUGAACAUGUCCCACUGUGUGUGAGCUAAGUGUAUGAACACGAUUUGGUAAAGGUAGCGGUGAGAGGCCAUGUAGGAGUACAUGGUGGGUUGUCUCAUUGCAGCCGUCCUCAGGAACUGAGUUCUAUGUUUGUGAUCCAUGAUUCAGCUACUACCACGCAUUGGGCCCGAAACCAAUGGACCCUCUCGGCUUCUUAAUCACCCUUGUCCUCUGUCCAGGAGUUGCAAGUAGUUUCUGGUGUUUGUAGUAUGCUGGAGGCCGUGCGCAGCGCUGACCGUAGGGGUGGGCUGUGAUGCGGUAGGCACGUGGCACGGUGUACCGGGCGCCCGUUUGGUGUCUCGGGAACCCUGUUCACAUCGUUUGGGGCUGUGAGCGAAACUCCGGCCGGAUCUCCUCAUGGAUGGAACCCGAAUAGGCGAUAAACCUGGACUAGAGACUUGAGUGUUUAGGCAGGCCGUGGCCGACACCCACGUUGGGCUUCCACUUGAAGGUUGCCGAGUACAUGUCGUGUAAACGGCGGUAAGUGGUGAGAGCGUGUGUGAAGAAGUACACCCCUGCAGGGUUAACCUAAUCUAUUCGAAUAGCCGUGUCCGCGGAAAAGGACUUCUGGGUUGCUUAUAUCAGUUCAUAGACAAGUGAAAGUGGAUGCUCUAAAAUAUGCAAGAUAAGCGUGAGUGCUAUGGAUGGCGUUCUCGUAGGGAGACGGGAGUGGAUCCAUAGUGGUGUAUUGGUUGGUGAAUAUAUGGACUCGUGUGCGCCACCUCAAAGAGUUACUUGCAGUCGUAGUUCAGGAUAGCCACCGAGUCAAAGCUGGCUUGCUGCAGUUAAACCCCACCAUCCCCUUUGUUGAUAAUGAUACAUAUGUAGAUAGUUCUGAUGUAAGUCUUGCUGGGUACAUUUGUACUCACGUUUGCCUAUUUUAUGUUUUUGCAGAGAGACUUCGGUCUCGCUAGUAGUUCCGCGUGGACUUCGACGUUUAGCUUGAUACCUCAGCUACGAUCUUGUGCCCUCGGCAGGAUCUGGUAGAUAGUCAGGCUUCUCAGCCUUUUUCAUUUAUAGAUGUCUGUACUCAGACAUGAUAGCUUCCGCUUGUGCCUUGACUUGUAUGCUCUGAUUGUUGGGUCAUGAGACCCAUGUUUGUAAUGUCUCGCUCCUCGGAGCCUAUUGAAUAAACUACUUGAGUCGUAGAGUCAUUUUGUGAUGCCAUGUUGUAUUGCACAUAUCGAGCAUAUUGUGUGUAUGUUAUUAAAAUGCUUGGUAUGUGUGGGAUCUGACUAUCUAGUUGUUUAUCUUUAGUAGCCUCUCUUACCGGGAAAUGUCUCCUAGUGUUACCGCUGAGCCAUGGUAGCUUGCUACUGCUCUGGAACACUUAGGCUGGCCGGCAUGUGUCCUUCUUCGUUCCGGUGUCUGUCCCUUCGGGGAAAUGUCACGCUUUGAGUACCGGAGUCCUGUUAGCCCGCUACAGCCCGGUUUACCGGAGUCCUGCUAGCCCAGUGCUACAGCCCGGACCCACUUGCUGAUGACCGACACGUUCGAAGCUGGGUCAUGAAUGCCUGUCCCUGUAAGUCUGUGCCACUUUGGGUUUACGACUAGUCAUGUCAGCCCGGGCUCCUUAUCAUAUGGAUGCUAGCGACACUAUCGUAUACGUGAGCCAAAAGGCGCAAACGGUCCCGGGCAAAGGUAAGGCGACACCCGUGGGGAUACCGUGCGUGAGGCCGCAAAGUGAUAUGAGGUGUUACCGGCUAGAUCGAUGUGACAUCGAGUCGGGGUCCUGACAAACCUGCUCUUGUAUAAUGAAUCUGGACUUGCUGGCAUCAAAAUUCUUAAUCAUAUACCUAAUCAGAAGGGUACGCAUCUUAAUAGAUGGUAUCUGCAGCAUGCUGCACAAUGUUGUAUCAGCCACUCUAGCGCGUUGACCGCUCGAUAGAGCGGCAACAAGCUUGCACCAUUUUUCAAUGGCGCACACUAUUUCUCCAUUCAGGUCGUCCAUCCUAUAGAAAGAAAAUAUAAAACUUUGUGACAAUUUCCAACACUAAUGCAAAAAUAACAAUAGACAUGCAAAAAUAUAAAACUUUCUGGCAGUAGCAAAAAAAAUGCAAAAAUAACACUAAGGCAAAUAUAAAACUAGCACCAUGUAUACAGCAACAUGCACCCAAGUGUGUGCUAAUAUGAGGCAAUAAAAAAGUAACUACAAUUGUUAAUUGAAUUUACUUGCAUCUGAUCAAGUUCUUUGAGUGUCAGAUAAAUUGUUAACAGGGUGACAAAUUGAGCAGUUGUAAAUAACUACAAUAUAUAGCAAUGGUACCUAUUUGAGGUUCAUCAACAUCUAAUGCUUAUAACUCUUUAAUGUUCUGUGCCUACAAUAAUAUAAUUGGAUCGUGUGACAAAAAUAUAAGUGGAUCAUGUGACAAAAAAUCUAUUGCAUUAUGUUUCUCAAGAAACAACAUCUUAUUCUACCAUGAUAUGAAAGAUUUAGUUCAUGUACACCUUCUGGUCAAAACGCAUCUAGUCGACUUGAUACUAGCUAGUUGAAACUAUGUGGUAAACCUAAGUCCAUGAAAGCAACAAUACGGAGGAACUAGCUUGCUAUGAAGGCGUGAGGUAAGUGAUGUCUACUACACAACCUUCUUCUUGUAGACGUUGUUGGGCCUGCAAGUGCACAGGUUUGUAGGACAGUAGCAAAUUUCCCUCAACUAGAUGACCUAAGGUUUAUCAAUCCGUAGGAGGCGUAGGAUGAAGAUGGUCUCUCUCAAACAACCCUGCAACCAAAUAACAAAGAGUCUCUUGUGUCCCCAACACACCCAAUACAAAGGUAAAUUGUAUAGGUGCACUUGUUCGGCAAAGAGAUGAAGAUACAAGUGCAAAAUAGAUGGUAGAUAAAGGUAUUUGUAAUCUGAAAUAAUAAAAACAGGAAGGUAACAAGCGAUAAAAGUGAGCGUAAACAGUAUUGCAAUGAUAGAAAACAAGGCCUGGGGUUCAUACUUUCACUAGUGCAAGUUCUCUCAACAAUAAUAACAUAGAUAGAUCAUAUAACAAGCCCUCAACAUGCAACAAAGAGUCACUCCAAAGCCACUAAUAGCGGAGAACAAACAUAGAGAUUAUGGUAGGGUACGAAACCACCUCAAAGUUAUCCUUGCUGUUCUAUCUAUUCAAGAGUUCGUAGUAAAAUAACAUGAAGCUAUUCUUUCCGCUCAAUCCAUCAUAGAGUUCAUACUAAAAGAGCACCUUAAGACACAAAUCAACAAAAAACCUAAUAUCACCUAGAUACUCCAUUGUCACCUCAAGUAUCCGUGGGCAUGAUUAUACGAUAUGCGUCACACAAUCUCAGAUUCAUCCAACCAACAUAAAAGUACUUCAAAGAGUGCCCCAAAGCUACUACCGGAGAGUCAAGAACGUGUGCCAACCCCUAUGCAUAGGUUCAUGGGCGGAACCCGCAAGUUGGUCACCAAAACAUACAUCAAGUGGCACAUGAUAUCCCAUUGUCAGCACAGAUAAUCACGGCAAGACAUACAUCAAGUGUUCUCAUAAAAGACUCAAUCCGAUAAGGUAACUUCAAAGGGGAAACUCAAUUCAUCACAAGAGAGUAGAGGGGGAGAAACAUCAUAAGAUCCAACUACAAUAGUAAAGCUCGGGAUACAUCAAGAUCGUGCCAUAGAUGGAACACGAGAGAGAACACGAGAGAGAGAGAGAUCAAACACAUAGCUAGUAGUACAUACCCUUAGCCCCGAGGGUGAACUACUCCCUCCUCGUCAUGGAUAGCGCCGGGAUGAUGAAGAUGGCCUUCGGUGAUGGGAUCCCCCUCCGGCAUGGUGCCGGAACAGGGUCCUGCUUGUUUUUUGGUGGCUACAGAGGCUUGCGGCGGCGGAACACCCGAUCUAUCUUCUGUUCUGGAAGUUUUAGGGUACGUAGGUAUAUAUGAGUGCAGGGGGGACGUCGGAGGAGCUACGGGGGCCUCACGAGGCAGGGGGCGUGCCCAGGGGGGCUGGGCGUGCCCCCCACCCUCGUGGGCAGCCCGUAUCUCCCCUGACGUGCACUCCAAGUUCCUUGGGUUGCUUUCCUUCCAAAAAUAACUUCUCCAGUUGAUUUCGUUCCAUUUUGACUCCGUCUGAUAUUCCUUUUCCUCGAAAUACUGAAAUAGGCAUAAAACAACAAAUCUGGGCUGGGCCUCCGGUUAAUAGGUUAGUCCCAAAAAUAAUAUAAAAGUGGAUAAUAAAGCCCAAUAUUGCCUAAAAUAGUAGAUAAAGUAGCAUGGAGCAAUCAAAAAUUAUAGAUACGUUGGAGACGUAUCAGUAAGGAGGACAACUUACUUGAUCGGUCGACGAAGAUGAAAGAAGUCGGCGAUGCGUUGUCGACGUAGUUCGUCGAGGGUGGCCAGCAUGUGCGGACGACCUUGAUCUUCUCGGGGUUUUAGUGGCGUGUGGGAUGUGGCGGACGGAGCUGUCAAUGACUCGCCAACAGGAGGCGAUCUAGAGGAUGACAUGUGCGAGGAGGUUGAGAUUAUAUACGAGGUCGUCUCCUAGGUCGUCGUAUCUUCCCUGUGGCCAAUCUCGCGAUCUAUAUUUUCCUCCGUUUAAUCGAGGCUGAACGUGCUCCUCAGUUGUAGGGAUUAGGAACAUAUGGAUUAGCACGAUCCCAGAAUUGUGUAACAGAACGGCAACUACUCCCGUGAUCGACGUGCAUGGAAAGCGCAGCAUGGUGGGCCCCCACAUUAUGGAUGCGACCGUUAUUUGCGGUCUGGGCCGGCCCAUCUACCUCCACAUUGUGUUUUCCUCAAAAUAAAUAUCAUUGUUUCUUCCCUCAAUAAAAACUAUUUGUGACACCUAUUAGUUAUUGUAUACUUGUAUAUGUUCAACAAUAUUUAUAGUAUCUCUAUCAUUUCUGCAAUAUUAUAUAUUCAAAUGUAAUGUUCCUCUUUCCCUUUUAAUUUGGUUUUCCUGUUAUUCUAUGUUUUCUCCUUCUUAUUCCUAAUGGUUUUUUCAUGUUUCAUAAUUUCAUAUCACUUCUUCUCAUCUUUUUCAAAUUCAUUUCAAAUAUGUACGAUUAAAUGUUGUCAUAUUUAUGACUUGCUAAUUGGUGGGACCGGGAAGGUAAACCACUUUCAGACCUGCCCUCUGGCAGACCCGAAUGGUCCUGCUUGUACAUGGUGCAUGUGGAGGCAUGCAUGAGAUGACCCCAACUUUUGGGACCAUGUGGGCAAGGCCAAUGUGGUCCCCCAGGCAAGGUGUCCACAAAUUCGAACACAAAAUGCACGUUGCGUCACGUGGGGGCAUUGUUGUAGGGUUUUGUCGCCAGAAAAACCCUAGAAAAUGCAUCGAGUGUGGAAAAUGAACGAUACUUGUCAUGCAUGCAUGCCAUGAUCAUCCUUGGGUAUGCANNNNNNNNNNNNNNNNNNNNNNNNNNNNNNNNNNNNNNNNNNNNNNNNNNNNNNNNNNNNNNNNNNNNNNNNNNNNNNNNNNNNNNNNNNNNNNNNNNNNNNNNNNNNNNNNNNNNNNNNNNNNNNNNNNNNNNNNNNNNNNNNNNNNNNNNNNNNNNNNNNNNNNNNNNNNNNNNNNNNNNNNNNNNNNNNNNNNNNNNNNNNNNNNNNNNNNNNNNNNNNNNNNNNNNNNNNNNNNNNNNNNNNNNNNNNNNNNNNNNNNNNNNNNNNNNNNNNNNNNNNNNNNNNNNNNNNNNNNNNNNNNNNNNNNNNNNNNNNNNNNNNNNNNNNNNNNNNNNNNNNNNNNNNGGAAAUGAACGAUACUUGUCAUGCAUGCAUGCCAUGAUCGACCUCUGGUAUGCAUAAAGUUUGGGAUCAUUCGGUGGGCCCGGGAAGGUAAACCACUUUGACACCUGCCCUCCGGCAGACUCGAAUGGUCCUGCUUGUACAUGGUGCAUGUGGAGGCAUGCAUUAGAUGACCCCAACUUUUGGGACCAUGUGGGCAUGCCCAAUGUGGUCCGCCAGGCAAGGUGUGCACAAAUUCAGAACAAAACAUACGUUGCGUCACGUGGGGGCAGUGUUAUAGGGUUUUGUCGCUGGAAAAACCCUAGAAAAUGCAACGAGUGUCGGAAAAGAACGAUACUUGUCAUGCAAGCAUGCCAUGAUCAUCCUUGGGUAUGCAUUAAGUUUGGGAUCAUUCGGUGGAACCAGGAAGGUAAACCUGCUUCUAGUACAUGGUGCAUGUGGAGGCAUGCAUGCGAUUGUCCCAAGUACAUUUGAUUUAAUAAUAUUUCAAGAAUGAAACAGAAAAGAAAAUUUAUAAUUGUAAAAGACAACCAGGAAAAGUGAAAUAAAAGACAACAUUAUAUCAUACAUUAUUUAAAUUUAUAACCGUCAGAACAAAGAAAAGAGGAGAAUAUAGAAAACAGAAGAAAAAUUCGAAUGAUUAAGUGCAAUAAAAGACAACAUAUUAUCUUACAUUUAAAAAAUGAUUAAAAUAUAAAAAAGAUAAGAUCUAUUAGAAUGAAGAAGUGAAAUAAAAGACAACAUAUUAUCUUACAUUUUGAAAAUAUUUCAAAUAUAAAGAAGAGAACAAAUAUUAGAAUGAAGAAGUGAAAUAAAAUAGAAAAUUUUAUCUUAUGAACUAAAAAUAUUUCAAAUAUAAUAAAGAUAAUAAAUAUUAGAAUGAAGAAUUGAAAUAAAACACACCAUUUUUGUUUAUAUUUCGUAAAUAUUAUCAAUAUAAAAAAGAGAACGAACAAAUGAAAUAAAACGCAACAAAAUUUGGCAUACUUUUUUUAUAUUAGUAAACACUAUUAGAAAUAAUAUAGAAAAAAAGAGAUUUGAUUUAAAUAUUAGAAAUAUAAAUAAGAAAAUAAAUUUUGGAGUUAAUAAGUGAAAAACAAAGUAAUUUAAAAAACACAGAUCAGCGCGCAGCGGGUAAGGCUGCCCUGGGCUAGCCCGCCCGAAUUGGGCCCAAGGCAGAGACGCACAUGGCACAGCGCAGCGCACAGCCGUGGGGUGGUGGGAGUUUAGUCCCACCUCACCAAGCGAGAGAGCGCUGCACCAGUUUAUAUACCCGGCUGCGACUCCCCUCACAAGCUUCUAUCAAAUGCAGGCAGUACAUUGCCUAACUCUCGUCCCCCUCUGCCCGGUGGGGCCUAAUAGCAGCACCGAUAUUCUGCACCACGGGCCUGUAUCCUGGCCCAUGAACGGCUGGGUUCCUAGUCGUUUGCAGGCCGUGGUGUUAAGAAUUAUCCUGCUCUGGUAGGUGGGCACUUUUUUUUUGGCAUAUUGCCAUGUGUUUUUGGCAUAUUCUCCUGUUCUUCAAAUCACACACUAAAUUAUACACAUGCUCACUUGCAUUCAAUGCACAUUUUUUUUGCAUAUAUGCCAAGUUAAUGUUUCUAUGUUCAAAACACCUAGUAUUUUUGGCAUAUUGCCAUGUGUUUUUGGCAUAUUCUCCUGUUCUUCAAAUCACACAGUAAAUUAUACACAUGCUCACUUGCAUUCAAUGCACAUUUUUUUUCAUAUAUGUCAAGUUAAUGUUUCUACCUUCAAAAACCUAGUAAAUUUUACACAUGCUCAUUUGCACACAUGGCUAUUAAUGGGAUUUUUUUUGAAUUUAUACUUUCCUCUAGACUGCCUGCUCAAAACAUUGGUCUAUACCUCAAGGGGGCAUUCUAAAAUAUAUUUUUUCCGAAUUUACUUUGAUAGCCAUGUUUGGCACAUGUGGGUCACCAUUUACAAGAAAAUUUGGGUGAUUUGGAGGUGCUGGAAAAAAUCACCUAUGUUCAAAAACUGGCUUAAGUUAGACCAAAUGGCCCCUCUGGAAUGCGGUGAUUUUUUUGACCACCUCCGAAUCACCUCUAUUUUGGCACACAUGAUGCAUUGCACAAACAAAGCUAGUUUUCCAAGGUUUUAUAUUUUUUUUGAAUAUUUUACAAAUUUAUAAUGCCCUCUAGACUGACUGGUCAAAACAUUGGUCUGUACCUCAAGGGGGCAUUGUAAAGUUUUAUUUCUCCAAAUUUUCUUUUAUAGCCAUGUUUGGCACAUGUGGGUCACCAUGUACAAGCAAAUUUGGGUGAUUUGGAGGUGGUGGAAAAAAUCACCUAUGUUCAAAAACUGUCUUAUGUUAGACCAAAUGGCCCCUCCGAAAUGUGGUGAUUUUUUCGACCACCUCCAAAUCACCUCAAUUUUGGAACAGAUGAUCUCUUGCACAAACAAAGCUAGUUUUCCAAGGUUUUAUACUUUUGAAUUUUUUAUUAAUUUAUAAUGCCCUCUAGACUGACUGGUCAAAACAUCGAUCUAUACCUCAAGGGGGCAUUGUAAAGUUUUAUUUCUCCAAAUUUUCUUUCAUAGCCAUGUUUGGCAAAUGUGGGUCACCAUGUACAAGCAAAUUUGGGUGAUUUGGAGGCNNNNNNNNNNNNNNNNNNNNNNNNNNNNNNNNNNNNNNNNNNNNNNNNNNNNNNNNNNNNNNNNNNNNNNNNNNNNNNNNNNNNNNNNNNNNNNNNNNNNNNNNNNNNNNNNNNNNNNNNNNNNNNNNNNNNNNNNNNNNNNNNNNNNNNNNNNNNNNNNNNNNNNNNNNNNNNNNNNNNNNNNNNNNNNNNNNNNNNNNNNNNNNNNNNNNNNNNNNNNNNNNNNNNNNNNNNNNNNNNNNNNNNNNNNNNNNNNNNNNNNNNNNNNNNNNNNNNNNNNNNNNNNNNNNNNNNNNNNNNNNNNNNNNNNNNNNNNNNNNNNNNNNNNNNNNNNNNNNNNNNNNNNNNNNNNNNNNNNNNNNNNNNNNNNNNNNNNNNNNNNNNNNNNNNNNNNNNNNNNNNNNNNNNNNNNNNNNNNNNNNNNNNNNNNNNNNNNNNNNNNNNNNNNNNNNNNNNNNNNNNNNNNNNNNNNNNNNNNNNNNNNNNNNNNNNNNNNNNNNNNNNNNNNNNNNNNNNNNNNNNNNNNNNNNNNNNNNNNNNNNNNNNNNNNNNNNNNNNNNAUCACCUCUAUUUUGGCACACAUGACCUAUUGCACAAACAAAGCUAGGUUUUCAAGGUUUUAUGUUUUUUUGAAUUUAUACUUCCCUUUAGACUGCCUGCUCAAAACAUCAGUCUAUACCUCAAGGGGGCAUUGUAAAAUAUUCUUUUUCAAAAUUUUCUUUGAUAGCCAUGUUUGGCACAUGUGGGUCACCAUUUACAAGAAAAUUUGGGUGAUUUGGAGGUGGUGGAAAAAAUCACCUAUGUUCAGAAACUAGCAUAAGUUAGACCAAAUGGCCCCUCCGGAAUGCGAUGAUUUUUUCGACCACCUCCAAUUCACCUCAAUUUUGGCACACAUGAUCUCUUGCACAAACAAAGCUAGUUUUCCAAAGUUUUAUAUUUUUUAGAAUUUUUUAUUAACUUAUAAUGCCCUCUAGACUGACUGGUCAAAACAUUGGUCCAUACCUCAAGGGGGCAUUGUAAAAUAUUAUUUUUUUCCAAAAUUUCUUUCAUAGCAAUGUUUGGCACAUUGUGGGUCACCAUGUACAAGAAAAUGUGGGUCACAAUUUUUGAUUUUUUUCUGAUUUUUUUAUGCCCUGCCCAUUGCCGGUUCGAAACAAGCGACUUCACAGAACCACUAUAAGUUGUACAAAAGGAGAUCUUUCAUAUUUCAAAUAAUCAACUUGCAUUUCAUGAAAAAAACUCCUUCAUAUUGCAAUUAAUCAUUACACCUUUAUUCAAAUGUUGUUUUUUCCGCACACACACACCAUCUUUAACUACCUUUUUAUUAGUAUUUCAUGAAAUGAUGGAAUAUGUGCUCAGUUAUUGGAGUAUUUGAUCAUAUGGUGGAGUAUUUGCUAUUUUUGCUUCCUCAAAUGAAGGAAAGAUGUCAUAUGUGGGGAUGAACAAUUUCCACUUACUUCACUAAACAACAUUAAUUAACUUAACGCAAAGUUUUACAUUUGGUCCGAUUUGCUUAUGGGCAGAGCAUGUUGCACAUGGCCACAACAUGGGAAUUUAUUGCACCAUUCCACAGCAUGUUCCACAUGGCCGCAACAUGGGAAGUGUUUGCAGCAUGCCUGAUCAGUGAAGCAACACUGAUGCAGCAUGUCUGAUCAUUGCAGCAGCUAAAUUCAAGCAAAUCAUACUUCUAAGGAACCAUACAUCUAAGGAACCAUAGUGGCAAAUUUAAGGGACACAAAUAUAGAUAGCAAUAUAUAUUACUACCAUAGACAGCAGCAUGCACACUACACACUUGCUGAUGUAGACCACUAGCAUAUUAGAUAUGUUUAGACCACACAUCACAGUACUACACUUAGAUAAAGUUCAUACUAAAUUACCACUAAAGUUUCCACCAUCAGAAUACCACAUAAAGUUCACCAAAAGGACUGAGCCUUCCUCCAUCAUACGAUAACCAGGGUCUAGGGCAACUACUUGUUACGGUUUUUCAGGACCUUGUGGAGGGCAGAAUAUUGAGCACUAAUCUUGUACUCAUCACUGCUAAUGGAUGUAGCCCGAAAAUGUUCCAUCAGAUGCUCCAUCAACCCAGACCUGGGCUUGGGCCUGCUGCAGUAGGGGCACCGGUACUUGUCCGUCUUCCAGUUGUAGUACAUAGCACAUCCUUGGGCCCUGAUCUUCUGCACCACCUUCUCUUCAAAGGACUCGGUGUUCCCCUCAUCCACAUCAUCUCCAGAUUGAUAUUGCACACAUUAAUGACUGACAUUAAUACAUUAUGCAUUCAAAUACUAUAAACAUCUAACACUAAGUCAAUGCACAAAUAACAUUUCAGGUAGGCCUUACCUCGUACGGCUCAUCCUCAUCACUGUCAUAAGGGUAGUAGCCAGAUGAGUCCCACUUCCUCUUGUUGCCAACAAGAUCCUCCUUCUGCUAUAUUGUCAACCAAGCAAGUCAUUUACAAGGAUUUGAAUUGCAGUUCAAAUAAUGUCAUUACAAACAAGUUGAUUUUGCAUAAUGAUGGAAAGCUCCUAACUAUAUUGAAAAGGUGCACAGGUUACACAUGGUACGUACAUUUCAACAACUAAUUCAUAGACUAUAUAUCAAGCUAUAUAGAUACUAAACAAUUGGGUUAUGAACAUACAAGUUCAUUCAUAUGGACAUACAAAUUCAGAUUUUGCUUUUGAACAUGCAUAUGAAGGUAUAAAUGAAUAUCAUUCCUCUCUUAUUAACCAAUGAGAUAGCAGUUUUUGAUAGACAAUGCAAAUAGGACCUUUAUAUAUAACUUCACAAAGAUGUCAGGUUUUCAUUUCAAUUGUAAAUAUUAAUAAAUAUUUAGUUCAGAGCAGUUCUCGAUGAUCACUCAUAUGUCAGAAUAAGUGAAGUGGUGAAGCCUAACUCCUACAUCUAAUUAGAACACCCUAACUCCAGCAUCUAAUUAAAAAACACUAACUCCUAGAUCCACUGGAACAUUGAAUCAAAAAAUUUCCUUACAUAUAUCAUUGGAUAUAAAUGAAUCCACUACAAAUAACACUAACUCAUACAUCUAAUUAAAAUAUCAUAACUCUUACUUCUACUGCAUCAUUCAGUCACACCAUUUAAUUACAUUUAUCUUUGCCUAUAAAUGAAUCCAAUACAAAAGAAACCUAACUAAAUAUCUAAUUAGGAAACACUAAUUAGUACAUCUACUACUUCAUUCAAUCACAUAAUCUAUAUAAUUGUCUAUAAAUGAAUAAUACAAAUAAACCUUAACUAAUCAACUAAUUAAUAAAACCAUAACUACUACAUCUACUAGAUGAUUCAAUCAUAGAUCAUACAUAUAACUGGCUAUAAAUGAAUCCAAUACAAGAAAACCCUAACUAAACAUCUAAUUAAAAAACCCUAACUACUACAUCUACUGGAUGAUUCAUAUGACAUUCAUGCAUGGAGUUAUGCAACAACAAUUUAAUAUGAGUUGGUCAUCUGGCAUAGUUGCAUGUCUAGCAAACCUACUUAUGGUUCACUUUAUAAGUACAGGAAUCCUACAGAUCAAAAAUAAACCUACCUAUAAUUUGAGUUUAUAGAUAAUGAAGUGAAGCUCCUAACUAUUUUGAAAUUGUGCACUAGUUAAACGUACUGUGUUCAUUUCAACAAUUAAUUGAUAGACUUCAAAUGAACAAAGUAGGAUUUAACCUCAUUUGUACAAUAUCAACUUUAAUAGAUACACUGGGUGGCGGCUCAGCCCCUGCCGUGGCCCACUGAGGGAAUAUGCAAAACAAAUCUAAGAACAUAUACAACACAGAACAAAAUCUGAGCACAUGAGGCAAUCCAGAUUCUAAUUUAAAAACAUAACUCUCAUUAUGAUCUCUCUAACAUUCAACCAUGAAUCAACUAUAAAAAGCCCUAACUCUCUAAUGGGGUUCCCCAUUCAAUCAAAAAACCCUAACAAGCAGAAGGGGGUGCCGCAUUCAAUCACAAAUCUACAAUAAAAAAAAACCUAUCUACUAAAUCUUUGCUUAAAAACUACAACUAAGAGAGGAGGGGAACGAGAAGGAUUACCACAUCCACCACCUUCUCGUCGCUCGCCUCCGCACCUGCAUCCAGUGCGCCGCGAGACACCGUCACCACCAGGUCUGGCACGACGGAGUCCGAGCCCACCACCCCCUGCUCCACCAGAUCCGCCGCCGCAGCGACCGAUCCAGCGACUACGGGUGUAGCAUCUCCCGCACCGCCGACGGCGACCACUUCUUGGACGGCAUCUGCCGCGGCCUCGGCCGCAACUCCGUGCACAGUGGUGGCAGCGCCACCACCUUGCGCCAUUGAAGCCUAAGAGAACCCACCGGAGAGAGGGAGGCCUUGGGGUUGAGCGAGUAGGUGCGGUGGCGCGGCGAUGGAGAUGAGGGGGAGACGAUGCGGCAAAGAGAGAGGGAGUGAGCCGAUUUGGGGGUAAAUGGUGGGGGCGAUGCUGUCGGUGGUGGUUCCCCUCCCUCUUUAUAGGAUGUGACGUUUUUGGAAGUUUUCGUGCGCUGCGUGGCCGCGUGGCUAGCCCACGACUGCCGCCGCCCACGCCCACGACCGCCGCACAUGACAAGGGAAAACGAUACGCCGACGUACAAUACAUGUAUAUCCUUAGUGUACAAAAGUAAUCGGGCCGGUGCGGGCUUGUACAAGGUUGUACGCGCGCCGGUGCGGGCUUGUACAUGGCUGUACGCGCGCUCUCCUCGGGCAUAAAAAGACAAUCGUGCCCCUCUUCACGAAUCGUUUUUGACAGAUCUCAGCCGACCUUGUGUUUCUCCCCCUCGUGUUCAACCCAGGGGGGAGCACCGGAGCAGAAACGGCACCCAAGAUCAAGGACCUCAAGUUCAGAUGCGUUUUCUCUAGGAAAACCUACCGCGCCAUGCCGCCAUCCAGCCAACGGGACUUGGUGGCCAGCGUCGACGGCGCCGCCGUCUGGUAUUUGGUCGACGAUGGCCCGUGCCCUACUCUCCAUGACAUCCUCACCGGAGCCGUCGUCAAGCAUCUCCCCCCAUUCCCCAAGGAAAUCAUAGAAUGCAUCAGCAAGGGGACUACCAGUAAUUAUACACUUGGGCAUGGCCUCCACAGCAUCGUCUACGGUGACGGCACCACACUUCUCUAUGGCCUGUACGAAAUCGACCUGCAGGACGACGACCUUAUUGCUAACUUCUGGGCAGCCAUCCUGCCUCCCGGAGAAGGCACGGGGACGGUCGUCGAGAGGACGCUUGAAUGCCCGGAUAUUACCAACUUCUACAUCACGUAUCACCGUGGAAACAUAUUGGUCACCGGCGGGUCUGACCUAUGGCACACCGUGACACUGGACGAUUACCACGACGCCAUUCGAGAUGUGGUGGUGCCGAGCCCCUGGAUGCCAGGGGAUCAUCUAAACUACUUAGACAUAUACAACUACCUUCUCGAGUCCCACGGCGAGCUUCUCUGGGUGUCAGUUCACGUCCGCAAAGAUUACAUGGAUUAUUGGCGGCGCCGUUGUGUGGCCUUUGUCUCUUUCCUUCUUGGCGCCCUCUCGGUGUCCAUUCGUGCCCUAGAGGGGGAGGCGCCGGAGAAAAUGCGGUGGGUGAGGAAGGAUGGCGAGAGCCUAGCUAACCGCGUCUUAUUCCUGGGGUGGCCCAACAUCUUUGCCGUGGAUGCAUCGCGGCUAGGCGGUGAUACCGUGUCCACCGGAUGUGCAUAUUUUGUUUUCUUUAACGAAGACGCCAGAUGCGUCCGGCUUUAAAUUAAUAAAGCCCCAACGGCAGAGGAACACCAAUAAGUCUUUGAUGUCUACUACACAACCUUCUUUUGUAGACGUUGUUGGGCCUGGAAGUGCACAGGUUUGUAGGACAGUAGCAAAUUUCCCUCAAGUGGAUGACCAAAGGUUUAUCAAUCUGUAGGAGGUGUAGGAUGAAGAUGGUCUCUCUCAAACAACCCUGCAACCAAAUAACAAAGAGUCUCUUGUGUCCCCAAUGCACCCAAUACAAUGGUAAAUUGUAUAGGUGCACUAGAUCGGCGAAGAGAGGAAGAUACAAGUGCAAAAUAGAUAGUAGAUAAAGGUAUUUGUAAUCUGAAAUAAUAAAAACAGCAAGGUAGCGAGCGAUAAAAGUGAGUGUAAAUGGUAUUGCAAUGAUAGGAAACAAGGCCUAGGGUUCAUACUUUCACUAGUGCAAGUUCUCUCAACAAUAAUAACAUAGAUAUAUCAUAUAACAAGCCCUCAACAUGCAACAAAGAGUCACUCAAAAGCCACUAAUAGCGGAGAACAAACAUAGAGAUUAUGGUAGGGUACGAAACCACCUCAAAGUUAUUCUUUCGGAUCGAUCUAUAAAAGAGUUCAUACUACAAUAACACCUUAAGACACAAAUCAACCAAAACCCUAAUGUCACCUAGAUACUCCAUUGUCACCUCAAGUAUCCGUGGGCAUGACUAUACGAUAUGCAUCACACAAUCUCAGAUUCAUCCAACCAACAUAAAAGUACUUCAAAGAGUGCCCCAAAGCUACUACCGGAAAGUCAAGAACGUGUGCCAACCCCUAUGCAUAGGUUCCCAAUGUCACGAAACCCGCAAGUUGAUCACCAAAACAUACAUCAAGUGGCACAUGAUAUCCCAUUGUCACCACAGAUAAUCACGGCAAGACAUGCAUCAAGUGUUCUCAUAAAAGACUCAAUCCGAUAAGAUAACUUCAAAGGGGAAACUCAAUUCAUCACAAGAGAGUAGAGGGGGAGAAACAUCAUAAGAUCCAAAUACAAUAGCAAAGCUUGGGAUACAUCAAGAUCGUGCCAUAGAGGAACACGAGAGAGAACACGAGAGAGAGAGAGAGAUCAAACACAUAGCUACUGGUACAUACCCUCAGCCCCGAGGGUGAACUACUCCCUCCUCGUCAUGGAUAGUGCCGGGAUGAUGAAGAUGGCCUCCGGUGAUGGGAUCCCCCUCCGACAGGGUGCCGGAAUAGGGUCCCGAUUGGUUUUUGGUGGCUACAGAGGCUUGCAGCGGUGGAACUCCCGAUCUAUCUUCUGUUUUGGAAGUUUUAUGAUACGCAGGUAUAUAUGGGUGCAGGGAGUACGUAGGUGGAGCUACGAGGGCCCCACGAGGCAGGGGGCGCGCCCAGGGGGCGCACCCCCACCCUCGUGGCAGCUCGCGUAUCUUCUGACGUAGAGUCCAAGUCUAUCCGGUGGCUUUCCUUCCAAAAAUAACUUCUCCAGUUGAUUUCGUGGCGUUUUGACUCCGUCUGAUAUUCCUUUUUCUCGAAACACUGAAAUAGGCAUAAAAUAGCAAAUCUGGGUUGGGCCUCCGGUUAAUAGGUUAGUCCCAAAAAUAAUAUAAAAGUGGAAAAUAAAGCCCAAUAUUGCCUAAAACAGUAGAUAAAGUAGCAUCGAGUAAUCAAAAAUUAUAGAUACGUUGGAGAUGUAUCAAGCAUCCUCAAGCUCAAUUCCUGCUCGUCCUCGAGUAGGUAAAUGAUAAAAAGAGAAUUUUUUAUGCGGAGUGAUACUUUGGCAUAAUUUCAAUGUAAAUCUUCUUAAUUGUGGUAUGAAUAUUCAGAUCCAUAAGAUUCAAGACAAAAGUUCAUAUUGACAUAAAAGUAAUAAUACUUCAAGCAUUCUAAUAAAGCAAUUAUGUCUUCUCAAAAUAACAUGGCAAAAGAAAUUCAUCCCUACAAAAUCAUAUAGUUAGGCUAUGCUUCAUUUUCGUCACACAAAGAUGUUCCCAACUUCUAUACCCCCGAUGACAAGCCAAGCAAUUGUUUCAUACUUAAAUAAUCUCAAACUUUUUCAACCUUCACACAAUGUAUGAGCGUGAGCCAUGGAUAUAGCACUAUGGGUGGAAUAGAAUAUGAUGAUGGGGAUUGUGUGGAGAAGACAAAAAAGGAGAAAGUCUCAUAUUGACGAGGAUAAUCAACGGGCUAUGGAGAUUCCCAUCAAUUGAUGUCAACAUGAGGAGUAGGGAUUGCCAUGCAACGGAUGCACUAGAGCUAUGAAUGCUCAACAAAAGAAAACUAGUGGGUGUGCAUCCAACUUGCUUGCUCAUGAAGACCUAGGGCAUUUGAGGAAGCCCAUUGUAGGAAUAUACAAGCCAAGUUCUAUAAUGAAAAAUUCCCACUAUAAAAAAGACAACUUACGAGACUCACUACAUGAAGAACAAGGUUCUACUUUGAAGCACAAUAUAUGAGACUCACUACAUGAAGAACAAGGUGCUAAUUUGAAGCACAAGUGUGGAAAAAGAGAUAGUAGCAUUGCCCUUUUUAUUUAUUUUCUCUUUUUUGGGGCCUUUCUCUUUUUUUUUGGCCUUUCUUCUUUUUUUUCUUUUGGGAAAUGCUCUAAUAAUGAUGAUCAUCACACUUCUAUUGAUUACAACAUAAGGAUUACAACUCGAAACUUAGAACAAGAUAUGACUCUAUAUGAAUGCCUCCGGCAGUGUACCGGGAUGGUGCAAUGAAUCAAGAGUGACAUGUAUGAAAAAUAAUGCAUGGUGGCCUUGCCACAAAUACGAUGUCAACUACAUGAUCAUGCAAUGGCAAUAUGACAAAAGUAAUGUAUGUCAUGAUGAUGAUGGUGGAAGUUGCAUGGCAAUAUAUCUCGGAAUGGCUAUGGAAAUGCCAUAAUAGGUAGGUAUGGUGGCUGUUUUGAGGAAGAUAUAAGGAGGUUUAUGUGUGAUAGAGCGUAUCGUAUCACGGGGUUUGGAUGCACCGGCGAAGUUUGCGCCAACUCUCAAGUAGAAAGGGCAAUGCAUGGUACCGAAGAGGCUAGCAAAGGCGGAAAGGUGAGAGUGCGUAUAAACCAUGGACUCAACAUUAGUCAAAAGAACUCAUAUACUUAUUGCAAAAAUUUAGAAGUCAUCAAAAACCAAGUACUACGCGCAUGCUCCUAGGGGGAUAGAUUGGUAGGAAAAGACCAUCGUUCAUCCCCGACCGCCACUCAUAAGGAUGCACAAGCCAGGUACAGUUCAUGUUUCAAAUUUGUUACACAACUUUAACCAUACGUGCAUGCUACGGGACUUGCAAACUUCAACACAAGAAUUUUCUCAAAUUCAAAAUUACUCAACUAGCACGACUUUGAUAUUAUCACAUCCAUAUCUAAAAACAAUUAUCAAGCAUCAAACUUAUCUUAGUAUUCAACGCACUCAAAAGAAAGUUUCACAUAUCUUGAAUAUACCAAGUAUAUUAACAUUAACCAAAUUACCAUGCUAUUAACGACUCUCAAAAUAAUAUAAGCGAAGCAUGAGAGUUCAAUAGUUUCUUUAAAACAAAUCCACCACCGUGCUCUCAAAAUAUAUAAGUGAAGUACUAGAGCAAAAAUUAUCACGCUCAAAAGAUAUAAGUGAAGCACUAUGAGCAAACGACAAACUACUCCAAUAAGAUAUAAGUGAAGAUCAAUGAGUAGUCGAAUAAUUAUGCAACUAUGUGAAGACUCUCCCAUUUAAUAAUUUCAGAUCUUGAUACUUUAUUCAAACAGCAAGCAAAGCUUAAGAAAACUACAUUGCAAGGAUAGCACAACUCAUGUGAAGAAGCAAAAACUUAGGCUCAACCGAUACUAACCGAUAGUUGUUGAAGAAGAAAGGUGGGAUGCCUACCGGGGCAUCCCCAAGCUUAGAUGCUUGAGAUUUCUUGAAAUAUUAUCUUGGGGUGCCUUGGGCAUCCCCAAGAUUGAGCUUUUGUGUCUCCUUAAUUCAUCUCAUAUCAUGGUUCCUCUUCUUUUAUCAAAAGCUUCAUUCACAACAAACUUAACAAGAACUCGUGAGAUAGGUUAGUAUAAGCCAAUGCAAAACCUUAUCAUAUUCUACUGUAACAAAUCCCUAAUAUAAUUAUUCAACGUUGAAUACUAAAUUCCUCUGAAUAUUUAAUACUCCUAUCCUCAAAUAGAAUCAUUGAACAAGCAAACAUAUGCAAACAAUGCAAACAUAACAGCAAUCUGUCAAAACAGUACAGUCUGUAAAGAAUUCAAGAGUAUCAAUACUUCCCUGACUCCAACAAUUAUGAACUAAAAUUCCCACUUUAACAAAUUUAUCAGAGCUUAAUAUGCAAAAAUAAUUAACGGUAUACCAUUCUCUGACUUUUCUAGGGACUUUUUGCAACAGCGGUAAACUUUCUGUUUUCAAACAGCAACAUGUAUACUAGCAAAAUAAGCAUGGCAAAGGCUAUCCUUGAAUUUUUUAUUGAAACUAAAGAAUAAAAACAUUAUUCUAACUAACAGCAAGCAAAACUAACAAAAUAAAAUGACGCUCCAAGCAAAACACAUAUCAUGUGGUGAAUAAAAAUAUAGCUCCAAGUAAAGUUACCGAUGAACGAAGACGAAAGAGGGGAUGCCUUCCGGGGCAUCCCCAAGCUUAGUUGCUUGGUUGUCCUUGAAUUUUACCUUGGGGUGCCUUGGGAAUACCUAAGCUUAGGCUCUUUCCACUCCUUAUUCCAUAGUCCAUCGAAUCUUUACCCAAAACUUGAAAACUUCAACCACACAAAACUCAAAACAAAACUCGUAAGCUCCGUUAGUAUAAGUAAAUUAAACCACCACUUAGGUACUGUAAUGAACUCAUUCUAAAUUCGUAUUGGUGUAAUAUCUACUGUAUUCUAACAUCUCUAUGGUUCAUGCCACUUAAUACUAGCCAUAGAUGCAUCAAAAUAGGCAAACAACACAUAGAAAACAGAAUCUGUCAAAAACAGAACAGUCUGUAGUAAUCUGUAUCAAACGUAUACCUAUGGAACCCCAAAAAUUAUGAAAUAAAUUGCUGGACCUGAGUAAUUUGUCUAUUCUCGUGAGCGCAAAAGUCUUUUUUUACAGCAAGAUCAUAUAAACUUCACCCAAGUCUUCCCAAAGGUUCUACUUGGCACUUUACUGAAACAAAAAGCUAUAAAACAUGAUUACUACAGUAGCAUAAUCAUGUGGACACACAAAAACAAUAAGGGUAAAUAUUGGGUUGUCUGCUAACAAGCGCUUUUCUUUAAUGCCUUUCUAGCUAGGCAUGACGAUGACAAUGAUGCUCACAUAAAAGAUAAGGGUUGAAACAUAACGGGAGCAUCAUGAAGCAUAUGACUAGCACAUUUAAGCCUAACCCACUUCCUAUGCAUAGGGACUUUGUGAGCAAACAACUUAUGGGAACAAUAAUCAACUAGCAUAGGAAGGUAGCACAAGCAUAGCUUCAAGAAUUUAAGCACAUAGGGAGGAAACUUGAUAUUAUUGCAAUUCCUACAACCAUAUGUUCCUCUCUCAUAAUAAUUUUCAGUAGCAUCAAGAAUGAAUUCAACAAUAUAACCAGCACCUAAAGCAUUCUUUUCAUGAUCUACAAGCAUAGAAAAUUUACUACUAUCCACAUAAGCAAAUUUCUUCUCAUGAAUAGUAGUGGGAGCAAACUCAACAAAAUAACUAUCAUGUGAUUGAAAAUUAAGAUCAAGAUGACACGUUUCAUGGUUAUCAUUAUUCUUUAAAGCCUACAUGUCAUCACAAUAAUCAUCAUAGAUAGGAGGCAUGCUUUCAUCAUAGUAAAUUUGCUCAUCAAAGCUUGGGGGACAAGAAAUAUCAUCUCCAUCAAACAUAGCUUCCCCAAGCUUGUGGCUUUGCAUUUCAUUAGCAUCAUGGGUAUUCAAGGAAUUCAUGCUAACAACAUUGCAAUCAUGCUCAUCAUUCACAUAUUUUAUGCCAAGAAUUCUAUGUAAUUCUUCUUCUAGUACUUGAGCACAAUUUUCCUUUCCAUCAUACUCACGAAAGAUAUUAAAAAGAUGAAGCGUAUGUGACAAACUUAAUUCCAUUUUUUUGUAGUUUUCUUUUAUAAAAUAAGCUAGUGCUAAAACAAGAAACAAAAAGAUUCGAUUGCAAGAUCUAAAGAUAUACCUUCAAGCGCUAACCUCCCCGGCAACGGCGCCAUAAAAGAGCUUGAUGUCUACUACACAACCUUCUUCUUGUAGACGUUGUUGGGCCUGCAAGUGCACAGGUUUGUAGGACAGUAGAAAAUUCCCCUCAAGUGGGUAACCUAAGGUUUAUCAAUCCGUAGGAGGCGUAGGAUGAAGAUGGUCUCUCUCAAACAACCCUGCAACCAAAUAACAAAGAGUCUCUUGUGUCCCCAACACACCCAAUACAAUGGUAAAUUGUAUAGGUGCACUAGUUCGGCGAAGAGAUGAAGAUACAAGUGCAAAACAGAUCGUAGAUAAAGGUAUUUGUAAUAUGAAAUAAUAAAAACAGCAAGGUAGCGAGCGAUAAAAGUGAGCGUAAACGGUAUUGCAAUGAUAGGAAACAAGGCCUAGGGUUCAUACUUUCACUAGUGCAAGUUCUCUCAACAAUAAUAACAUAGAUAGAUCAUAUAACAAGCCCUCAACAUGCAACAAAGAGUCACUCCAAAGCCACUAAUAGCGGAGAACAAACGUAGAGAUUAUGGUAGGGUACGAAACCACCUCAAAGUUAUUCUUUCGGAUCGAUCUAUAAAAGAGUUCGUACUAGAAUAACACCUUAAGACACAAAUCAACCAAAACCCUAAUGUCACCUAGAUACUCCAUUGUCACCUCAAGUAUCUGUGGGCAUGAUUAUACGAUAUGCAUCACACAAUCUUAGAUUCAUCCAACCAACAUAAAAGUACUUCAAAAAGUGCCCCAAAGCUACUACCGGAGAGUCAAGAACGUGUGCCAACCCCUAUGCAUAGGUUCCCAAUGUCACGAAACCCGCAAGUUGAUCGCCAAAACAUACAUCAAGUGGCACAUGAUAUCCCAUUGUCACCACAGAUAAUCACGGCAAGACAUACAUCAAGUGUUCUCAUAAAAGACUCAAUCUGAUAAGAUAACUUCAAAGGGGAAACACAAUUCAUCACAAGAGAGUAGAGGGGGAGAAACAUCAUAAGAUCCAACUACAAUAGCAAAGCUCGGGAUACAUCAAGAUCGUUCCAUAGAGGAACAUGAGAGAGAACACGAGAGAGAGAGAGAGAGAUCAAACACAUAGCUAUUGGUACAUACCCUCAGCCCCGAGGGUGAACUACUCCCUCCUCGUCAUGGAUAGCGCCGGGAUGAUGAAUAUGGCCUCCAGUGAUGGGAUCCCCCUCCGGCAGGGUGCCGGAACAGGGUCCCGAUUGGUUUUUGUGGCUACAGAGGCUUGCGGCGGCGGAACUCCCGAUAUAUCUUCUGUUUUGGAAGUUUUACGAUACGUAGGUAUAUAUGGGUGCAGGGAGUACGUCGGUGGAGCUACGAGGGCCCCAUAAGGCAGGGGGGCUCGCCCGGGGGGGCGCGCCCCCCACCCUCAUGGCCGGCUCCCGUAUCUUCUGACGUAGAGUCCAAGUCUAUCCGGUGGCUUUCCUUCCAAAAAUAACUUCUCCAGUUGAUUUCGUUGCGUUUUGACUCCGUGUGAUAUUCCUUUUCCUCGAAACACUGAAAUAGGCAUAAAACAGCAAAUCUGGGCUGGGCCUCCGGUUAAUAGGUUAGUCCCAAAAAUAAUAAAAGAGUGGAAAAUAAAGCCCAAUAUUGCCUAAAACAAUAGAUAAAGUAGCAUGGAUCAAUAAAAAAUUAUAGAUACGUUGGAGACGUAUCAGUCUUACAACACCAAAAGCCACAUCGGGCCACGCACAGAGUUCGGACGAAGAUUAAGAUAACUACUGACGCAUUACAAGGCUUAGCCCGUAUAGAGCGCGCAGGCUCUUCAAGCACGCAAAAAAUACCACGGAGACCACCGUAGUCACAGCUCCCUAGCCGCCGCGUACACUUACAAUAUUCGUUGUUGAGCGAUCUUGAUUAAAUCAGCAUCCUUGUGCCUCCCCAACAGACUCCACUGCUUCAAAAGGAGAUUGCAUUUGAAGAUAAUAUUAGCCGGGUGCUUUGGCAAAGUCCCCUCAAUCGUGAGUUUAUUCCUAGUUAGCCACAUGGCCUAAAGAAGUGCCCCAACACAACUCCACACUACCAGUUUUGUUGGGCCAUGCAACGCGUCUAAAAUGUGAAUAAGCUCUGCUGCCGUGCGAGGGUCCCACUGGACCCUAGCCACGGACCUCACUGCGCUCCACGCAAACCGCGCUAAGGGGCACCGAAAGAAAACAUGAUCCGCGUCCUCUGGGUCCCCGCACAGCGCACAUGGCCCAUUGGCCGGACCAUUGUGUUUGGCCACGUUCAGGGAGGUGGGUAACUUAUCGCGGAACAUUUGCCAAAGGAAUAAUUUGAUCUUUAGUGGCAAACGCGCUUUCAAUAACCCUGCAACCACAAGCUGCGACGACCCCCGGCACAGCUUACGGUCAAGAGAGUUGACCAAGAACUUCCCAGAGCUGGUGAGCGCCUAGCUCACCGAGUCCGGUUGGUCUGAAAGAUCCACCCGUGCAAUCAGCUGCCGCAGGCUCUGUAGGCUGGCCUGCUCUUGCCCCAGGAGUUCACGUUUGAACUGAAUUUCCGGAGGGGUCGAUCGCAGCGCAUCAGACAUCGACAUGCCUGGAUCCACAACGAUGUCGUACAGAGCACGGAAUUCCUCCCAUAAGGGGCGGGUGCCUAUCCAAAGAUCUGUCUAGAAACGUGCUGAUCGCCCAUCUCCAAUCGAGAAUUUAGCCCCCAAGGCAAAGACCGCCUUGAUCGACUGGAGAUCAUUCCAAAAAAAAUGAGCCCCUUGCCCUACCUUCAAAGAAAUUCCCAUUCGGGAAGUACUUGGCCCUAAGGAGAUCAACCCACAAUCUGGACGCCCCCUGGACAAUUUUUCAGAUCCACUUACACAUCAUCGCGAUGUUAAGCAAUCUCGAGUUGGUGAUCCCCAGGCCCCCCAAGGCCUUGUGUCGGCACACCCAUACCCAUUUAACCAUGUGGUAUUUGCGGUCUGGCUAAUUCCUUCCCAAAAGAAUUUAGCGCGGGGUGUGUCGAACUUUUCAUGCACUCCCUCUGCAAGCAAAAACAAACCAAUAGCAAACAUUGGCAAGGAAGAGAGGCUUGAGUUCAUGAGAACUAGCCUGGCCGCUUUUGAAAGGAAUUUACCCCUCCAAGGGCACACCCUAACCCUCACCUUUGCACAUAGAGGUUCCCAAUCCUCUAUCGUAGGCCUUUUGGUGUGAACUGGGAGGCCGAGGUAUGCCAGCGGGAAUUUGCCCACCUUACAGUUGAGCAAAUCUGCAAUGCGCCUACCCUCCUCCGGCUCAACCCCCGUCGUGACCACCUCGCAUUUGUGGAAAUUUAUUUUGAGCCCCGACAUGAGCUCAAAACAAAUAAGAAUCGCCUUGACCGACGCAAUGUUGUGGUGGUCUGGGCGAAACAGAAGCAGCGUGUCAUCUGCAUAUUGUAGAUGCGUCACUCCCCCUGGAAUGAGGUGGCAUACCAACCCUUGGAUAUGGCCAGCUGCGGCUGCUUUCCGAAGCAUCGCAGACAGAGCAUCCACAACAAAAUUGAACAGGAGAGGGGACAUCGGGUCACCCUGCCUGAGUCCGCGUUUGUUCCGAAAGAAAUGCCCUAUUUCUCCGUUCACCGAAACUACAGUUUGGCCUCCCGACACCAGUUGCAUAAUUCGGUGUACCGCAUAUUUUGUCUACAACAUAGAGAACGACAUGCCUGGUCGAUCGUGUUAUGUGCUUAGGUAUAAUCUCCUCAACGGCAAGACCAAAUUCGUGGAGCAGUUGCCUGAUGGAUGGGAUGAUGAUAUGUGCAUGUGGCUCUUCCCCCUGCCCGCUGUUGCUCCAAACCAGGUAUACAUAAUCAUAUUUACACAUCUUUCUUUCUUUUUCGUCGAAAUGCAAUUAUAUUUAGACGUAAUAACUCCACAAACGUUAUAUCUCAUACUGAACAUGACUAUUUCACAUUCAACUUUGAUAUUGUUAUUUCUUUGACGACAUUCACAGCUGUGCGAUCAAAUCUUCUCGUCCGUUUGUGAUUCGACCAACAACCUUAGACCUUGGCAUCAACUUAUAAGUGAGGAAGAGUUAUUUUCUUGGAAAUAGACAAACCCUUUUUUGCUAGUUCGGUGACUAGCGCUAUACUUGUAAAAUCACAUUUAUACUGACAACACGCAUGCAUCAUGAGCAUUAUUCAUUCAAUGUAGCGGUUAGUAGUGCUAUAUUUUUUUUAAUUUAACAAAUGUCAUAGGAUAAGCUGAUGGUUAAACUGUGUAUUAGUACAUCCUUCUAAUAUUGGUUAGAUAAAUGUACUAACCCUCUCCCGCUAUAAAUUUGAUUUUGCUGGAUCAGGAAAUCAGUCAAAGGUGUGAUAGUUUAAAAUGGUGGAAGAGGAAAAACCUGCCUCACAGGGUGAUAGUUUAAAAGGACUACAACUCCAAAAAGCACUAUUCACAUAGAGAGACCUCAGCAACAACAUUACUAGUCUUAUUUCACGGUGAUCGUAAACAACCUGCCUCACAGGGUGAAUAACUUUCAGCUGCGUCGGUUCUUCAGCCAGCACGGUAAGGUGUCCCAAGCUAAGGUGAGAUGUAAGAAGAAGACCAAUAUCUCAAAGGGAUUCAGGCAUGUGACCAUGGAGAUGGUCGAGGAACAUGCUAAUGCUCUUGCUACACUUGACGGACUGGUAAGUGCAUACAUAUUAUGGCUUAACUAGAUGAUACCCCACGUAUUGCCGUGGGACUCAGUUGCAGUAUACUUUCAUGAUAUUUUAUUAUUUUGAAUAUGAAUAUUUGUGUGAAUAAUAUGAGAACUGAAACUAAAAACAUAUAUGAUUUACUAUAUUUAAUUAUUGUUGAGGUGGGUCUUUUUCCCAUGCAUGUUUGCAUGACGAUGUGGGUCUUUUGCAUGCAUGUGUAACUUGAUGAGGUGAUGGGCCUUUUGCCAUGCAUGUUUGCAUGAUGAGGGUAGGUCUUGUGCAUGCAUGUUUACAUGAUCAGAUGGCAUGUGUGCAUGUUCAGAGAAAUAUGUUAGUGGGCUAGUUAUUUAGAUAUAGAAGAUUAGGGGUGUUUUCAAUUAUCAAAUUAUGCAUGAUCAUCUUUGGUUGGUUUGUAGAUGUGUAAAAAUCAAUGGAUGCCUUCUUUAUCUUGUUCCAGGUUUUGGGUGGAUGCAUCCCUGAAGUGAGCAUCGUGAAGGUGAUGUGGAAGCCAGAACAACAUGUGAAUUUUGCCGGAUCGGGAGAGUAUAGUCUUGACCAUUAUAUAUAUAUUGGCUUGGGGCUAUUACUUUUUGCUUUUGUAAUGUUGUGGAAGAUUAUUUAAUUACGUGCAUUAUACUCCUGGAACAGGAUCACAGUUGACUCGGUCAAAACUAGAGCCGCAUUUUGUGCCUUCAUCGAAGAUAUCCCAUAUACCCCACAACAUCUUGUUGUCCAGAAUUGUGAUGCCUUUCCUUAGAUCUUUAGGAAGUUGUAAAAGUUAUCUCACCAAAGACUCUGCUUUGUUGAUGAAAGGAAACAUUUUCCACUGCUUUUUGAGCCAUCUACGAUGAUGGUUUAUGUAUUAUUUGCGAAGAAUAUGUAAUAAGUUUUCGGGUAGGUGGUUGAAUUGAAGCAUUUUUUUAAAAUUUGUUCAAUCUUUUACUACAAAAUAAUGUAUGGAAAUUCUUAAAACACCGGGUGGAUGAGUUGCACUACUUGGUUUAGGUUUGGCUCAACUUUUACUUUGUGAAACAUCCUUUGUGUAUUUGUAAAAGGUAAUUCCUGAAUUUUUUUUACAUUUGGCCGUGCAUUGCAAAGUUUGAAUACUAGCUUAAAUUAAAUUUAUGCUUAUUUAUAUUACAAAACUAGCUUAAUUUUGAAUUGUGUGCAAUCUUUCGGUGCAAAAUGAAAACAAUGAUGCAUAUUCUUCCCUCUUCUCAAGAUAUUUCGUCCAUGACAUCUCUCUCACUCUCUCUCUGUGCAGAAAUACUCUCAAGCUCCUUGCUAGGACCGUACCAAGCGCUUUCGAUGGGAUUGGAUCCGUGCGAAUUUUGUUCGAGGUAAUACUGCUGGUCAAAGAAAUUUUACCAAGACAUCAGAACCUAAUAAAAAGAUAUGUGCAUGUGGCUCUUCUCCCAGCCCGUCGUUGCUCCAAACCAGGUAUAUGCGAUUAUAUUUGGACCUCUUUUUUGUUGAAAUGCAAUUAUAUUUGGACUUAACUCCACAAAAGUUAUAUCUCAUACCGAACAUGACUAUUUCACAUUCUACUUAUGUAUUGUUAUCUCACAGUUGUGCGAUCAAAUCUUCUCUUCCAUUUGUGAUUCGACCAACAACCUUAGAACUUGGCAUCAACUUAGAAGUGAGGAAGAGUAAUUUUUUUGGAAAUGGACAAACCCUUUUUUGAUAGUUUGGUAAACAACGCUAUACUUUCUAAAAACCACAUCUAUACUGACAACACGCAUGCAUCAUGAGCAUUAUUCAUUCAAUGUAGCGGUUAGUAGUGCCAUAUUUUAUUUGUUUUAAUUUAACAAAUGUCAUAGGGAUAAGCUCAUGGUUAAACUGUGUAUUGCAUCAUUAUAGUAUUUGUUAGAUAAAUGUACUAACCCUCUAUUCCGCUAUAAAUUUGAUUUUGUUGGAUCAGGACAUCAACGAAAGGUGUGAGUGUUCAAAAUGGUGGAAGAUGAAAAACAACCAGACGACUACAACUCCAAAAAGCACUAUUGACAUGGAGAGACCUCGGCAACAACAAUACAAGUCUUAUUUCAUGGUGAUUGUAAACAACCUACCUCGCAGGGUGGAUAACUCUCAGCUGCCUCGGUUCUUCGGCCAGCACGGUAAGGUGUUCCAAUUAGCUAAGGUGAGAUGUAAGAAGGAGACCAAUAUCUCAAGGGGAUUCGGGCGUGUGACCAUGGAGAUGGCCGAGGAACAUGCUAAUGCUCUUGCUACACUUGAUGGACUGGUGAGUACAUACAUAUUAUGGCUUAACCAGAUGAUACCUCGCGUGUUCCUGUCAGACUCAGUUGUAGCAUACUUUCAUGAUAUUUGAUUAUUUUGAAUAAUAUGAGAACUAAAACUAAAAACAUAUACAAUUUUCUUUAUUUAAUUAUUGACGAGGUGGGCCUUUUCCUAUGCAUGUUUGCAUGACCAUGUGGGUCUUCUUGCAUGCAUGGAUAUCUUGUUGAGGUGAUGGGCCUUUUCCCAUGCAUGUUUGCAUGAUGAGGGUAGGUCUUGUGCAUGCAUGUUUACAUGAUGAGCUGGCAUGGGGGCAUGUUCACAUAAAUAUGUUAGUGGGCUAGUUAUUUAGAUAUAGAAGAUUAAGGGUGUUUUCAAUUAUCAAAUUAUGCAUGACCAUCUUUGAUUGGUUUAUAGAUGUGUAGCAAUCAAUGGAUGCCUUCUUUCUCAUGUUUCAGGUUUUGGGUGGAUGCAUCCUUGAAGUGAGCAUUGUGAAGGUGAUGUGGAAGUCAGAACAACACAUGAAUUUUGUCGGAUCGAGAGAGUAUAGUCCUGACCAUGAUAUAUAUUUUGGUUUGGCACUAUUACUUUUUGCUUUAGGGUUGUUGUGGGUUAUUAUUAAAUUAAGUGAAUUGUACUCCUGGAAUAGUAUCACAGAUGACUCGGUCAAAACCGGAGCCACAUUUUAUGCCUUCAUCUAUGAUAUCCCAUAUCCCCCACCCCAUCUCUUCGUUCAUAAUUGUGAUGCCUUUCCUUAGAUCUUUAUUAGGAAGUUGUAUGAUUUAUCUCACCAAAGACUUUGCUUUGUAGAUGAAAGGAAAAAAAUUCCACUUCUUUUUGAGCCAUCUACGAUGAUGGUUUAUGUAUUAUCAGCGAAGAAUAUAUAAUAAGUUUUUGGAUAGGUGGUUAAAUUGAAUUGGUGCACCUUUUUAAAUUUGUUCAGUCCUUUGCUACAAGAUAAUGUAUGGAAAUUCUUACAACAUUGGAUAUAUGAAUUUCACUACUUGGUUUUAGUUUGGCUCAUCUUUUAGUUUGUAUUUGGUAAUAUCCUUUGUGUAUUUGUAAAAGGUAAUUUCUGAUUAUUAAUUUUACAUUUUACAGUUUACUUCAAAGUUUGAAUACUAGCUUAAAAUAAAUGUGUGCUUAUUUAUAAUAGAAAAAUGGCUUAAUUUUUGAAUUGUGUGCAAUCUUUUGGUGCAAAAUGAAAAUAUUGAUACAUAUUCUUCCCUCUUCUCAAGAUGUUUCGUCCAUGACCUCUCUCUCUCUCUCUCACUCCCAAGCUCCUUGGUAGGACCGAACCAAGCGCUUCUGAUUGGAUUGGAGCCGUGGGAAUUUUAUUUUAGCUAGUACUACAUGUCAAAGAAANNNNNNNNNNNNNNNNNNNNNNNNNNNNNNNNNNNNNNNNNNNNNNNNNNNNNNNNNNNNNNNNNNNNNNNNNNNNNNNNNNNNNNNNNNNNNNNNNNNNNNNNNNNNNNNNNNNNNNNNNNNNNNNNNNNNNNNNNNNNNNNNNNNNNNNNNNNNNNNNNNNNNNNNNNNNNNNNNNNNNNNNNNNNNNNNNNNNNNNNNNNNNNNNNNNNNNNNNNNNNNNNNNNNNNNNNNNNNNNNNNNNNNNNNNNNNNNNNNNNNNNNNNNNNNNNNNNNNNNNNNNNNNNNNNGUCAUGUAGUACUAGAGCAAUGAUAUAGAAAAGGGGAUGGGACAUUAGUUAUGGAGGCAGGGUGCCGGCUACUGUUGUAGCAUGACGCUUGAAACCUAAUUAGUUGAGCUUUUUGUAUGGUACCUUAUACCGCGGUCAUUUCGCACGGUUAGGCUCCUACCAGUAGAUCUCACACCACCCAUAUUUUCUGAGAUGUGUGUUAGCUAUGGCCCAUCUAGAUGUAUAACAGUAGUAUAAUUGUUGUAUAUUUUUUUUCAUCAAAUCAGUGUCAGUUUGAUGGGUCCAAAGUACUUACUUUUGCCACAAAAGAUGUGCAUGCAUGUACCUUUGUUCUCUCUCCAUCCCAAACAAAUCCCUUGACUUUACUUCAUCUUAGACAAUCGCUCAUAUUUUUAAAACUAUAAACUCAUUUUUUGAAACUUUUUAUAUAUUUGGACUCUUGGCAUCAAGCCCUUUAGAACUAGACCAAUUUUGGAUACAUUUCUAACAUGUUUGAAUUUUGACAUUUCACAUUCCAUACGUCAAAAAAACACAUCUCACUAAAAAUAUGAAACAACCCAAUUUCACUAGAAAUAUGUGAAAACAACUUGUUUCACCGAAACAUAUAUACUUAACCAAAAUAUGAAACUGAAAUGUAAAUUUGUGAAACUAAUUAUUUGAAAAUGGGUAACCGUUUUCUUAAGAGUGAAAUAUGUUAUUUAAAAAAAUAUGCAAAUGAAACAGAUGUGAUUUUUGUGAAACAAGCCAGUGAAAUGUGAAAUGUACCUUCUGAAAGUGAAAAAAUGCAUUUUCUGGGCCAAAUCAGUAUCAGUUUGAUGGGCCCAAAGUACUUCCUUUUGCCAAGAAAGAUGGGCAUGGAACUCUCUUCUCUCUCUCAAUGCCAAACAAGUCCAUUGACUUUAUUUCAACUUAGACAACUUAAAUCACUCAUAUCUUUUAAACAAUAAACUCGUUUUGAAACGUUUUAUAUAUUUGGACUCCUAGUGUCAAGCCCUUUAGAACUAGACUAAUUUUGGAUACAUUUCGAACAUGCUUGAAUUUUGACGUUUCACAUUUAAUACGUGAAAACACAUAUUUCGCUACAAAAAUAUGGAACAAACCAAUUUCACUAGAAAUAUGUGGAAACAACCUGUUUCACCGAAACGUACUUAACCCAAAUAUGAAAAUGAAAUGUCAAGUUGUGAAACUGAUUAUUUGGAAAUGUGUAACAGUUUAUUUCAAAAUAGUGAAAUAUGUUAUUUUAUAAAUAUGUAAAUGUAGUAGAUGUGAUUUUUGUGAAACAAGACAGUGAAUGUGAAAUGUACCUCCUGAAAGUGGAAAAAAUGUUAAACUGAAAUGUCAACUUGUGAAAUUUAAAUGUUUGAAAUGUGUAAUAGUUUAUUUAAAAGGAGUGAAAUGUGUUAUUUCAAUAAUGUGAAACUGAAAUUAGUGAUUUUCUGUAAAACAAGCCAGUGAAAAGUGAAAUGUAACUUCUGAAAGUGAAAGACAAUAUGAACUGAAAUGGCAACUUGUGAGACCGAUCAUUUUCAAAUGUGAACGGUUUAUUUUAAAAUAGUGAAAUAUGUUCGUUCAAAAUUUUGCAAUUGAAGUAGAUAUGAUUUAUCUCAUAUAAGCCAGUGAAAAGUAAAAUGUAAGUUCUGAAUGUGAAAAACAACAUAAAACCGAAAUAAGAACUUUUGAAACUGAUUCAAGUCAUUUUAUUCAUAAGAUUUCAAGCGAGUGAAAUAUGCUAAAUGUGUUUCUUAAAUUUUAAAAUCACUUGAAAUGUAUCCGAAAUCGGUCUUGUUUUAAAGGUCUUUGUGGCAGGAGUUCAAAUAUAUAAAAAGUUUUAAAAUCGGAAGUUUGGUUAAGAGAUAUGAGUGAUUUUAAGUUAGCAAAGGUGAAAUAAAUGGAUGAAUUAGUUUGGGAGAGGGAAGAGAAAGAAUGGGAAGCACAUGCAUACAAGACACAGUGUCAUCUGAUCAAACGCUAACAUUUGACGGGACCCAUGUACCAUGUUUGUAGGCUGUAUAGCUAUAUAUUUCCCAAACAGAAUACUUCACUUUUUAUACUAUACAAUGUUGCAUGAUCUUCAGACUACAACGAUCGGCUCCAGAUCUACCGGUACAUGCGAGAACCGCUCAAUUUUCCAUUUCGUACCUUAUACUACUAUAGAGUGGAGGGAGCGGUACACUAAUCGUUGAUUUCCUGAGGUUAGUAUAGUCUCGUUAUAAACGUAACAACAUUUCCUGAUCGCCGUUGCUACUGCCGUCGUACCACGCGGUUGGUUAUCCCUAUUCGCCACCCUCAGAACAACUCCCUGGUUACCGGCUCCAUGAUUCCCUAGUCAAACGCGUGGUCGUCUCUGACCCUGGUCCUCCAGUCACGGGCAAUCUUUUCGAAAAUCGUUUUAGAAGUGGGGAAGAGGAAAGCGAGAGGCAUAUGGUGAAUAAUGUAAUGCAAGAGAUGAGAGUUUUAUGAUGGGUACUUGGUAUGUCUUGACUUGGCGUAGAUCUUCCCAGCAACGGCGCCAGAAAUUCUUCCUGGUACUUCUUGAGCUUACGUUGGUUUUUCCCUUGAAGAGGAAAGGGUGAUGUAGCAAAGUAGAGAUAAGUAUUUCCCUCAGUUAGAGAACCAAGGUAUCAAUCCAGUAGGAGAAAACACACAAGCCACCAAUACCUGCACAAACAAUCAAACAACUUGCACCCAAUGUGGUAAAGGAGUUGUCAAUCCCUUCACAGUUACAUGCAAAAGUGAGAUCUGAUAGAGAUAUAUAAACAAAAGUAAAAUAAUUUUGGGUUUUUUGGUUUAUAGAUCUGAAAGUAAAAGACUGCAAAAUAGUAGAUCGAAAACUAAUAUGAUGGAAAAUAGACCCGGGGGCCAUAAGUUUCACUAGAGGCUUCUCUCAUGAAGGCAAAUAAUAUUGUGGGUGAACAAACUACUAUCGAGCAAUUGAUUGAAAAGCGCAAAGUUCUGAUGAUAUCCAAGGCAAUGAUUAUGAAAUAUAGGCAUCACGUCCGUGUCAAGUAGACCGACUCCUGCCUGCAUCGUACUACUAUUACUCCACACAUCAACCGACUCCUGCCUGCAUCUAGAUUAUUAAGUUCAUGAAGAACAUGAUAACGCUUUAAGCAAGAUGGCAUGAUGUAGAGGAAUAAACUCAAGCAAUAUGAUGUAAACCCCAUCUUUUUAUCCUUGAUGGCAACAAUACAAUACAUGCCUUGUUGUCCCUACUGUCACUGGGAAAGGAAACCGCAAGAUUGAACCAAAGCUAAGCACUUGUCCCAUUGCAAGAAAAACCAAUCUAGUUAGUCAAACUAAACCGAUAGUUCAAACAGAAUUAUAAAGAUAUCAAAUCAUGCAUAUAAGAAUUCAGAUAAGAUUCAAAUAAUAUUUAUAGACAAACAGAUCAUAAAUGCACAAUUCAUCGUUUCUUGACAAACACACCGCAAAAGAAGAUUGCAUCCGAUAGAUCUCCAAGGACAUUGAGGAGAACAUGGUAUUGAAAACCAAAGAGAGAGAAGAAGCCAUCUAGCUACUAGCUAUGGACCCGUAGGUCUGUGGUAAACUACUCACGCUUCGUAGGAAGGGCAAUGGAGUUGAUGUAGAAGCCCUCCGUGAUUGAAUCCCCCUCCGGCAGGAUGCCGGAAAAGGCCCCUAGAUGGGUUCUCACAGGAACAGAAGGUUGCGGCGGUGGAAAAGUGUUUUCGUGGAUGCCUCUGGUGGUUUGGGAAUAUUUGUGAAUACAUAGAACAAAGAAUUAGGUCAGGGGGUGUUGGGGUAGGCCACAAGGCUGGGGGCGCACCCACCCCCCUAGCUAGGGCGAGCCCCUGUGCCUUAUGGUAAUAGUUAAUUCUUAUGUCCAUAUUUUGUUUCCAGUGGUUAAUACUUGCCACCAGAAAUUUGAACAUUCGUGUGCAGGUGAACAGAUGCCUCACUUGAAGUCACUAUAGGCCAACCAAGUGAACCAAAAUCAAUUAAAUAUUGUUAGAGGCAAACCAAAUUACCGAGGUGAGGAAUCUGCACGUAGAGAUAAAUAUAUGUAUAGUUAUGCAGUUCCGACACUAAUGUAAAUAUCAAUAUUCUAUUGGUUCCCCAACAUCAACUUUUGAAUAUGAAUGUAUUUGUUCAACAUUUUAAGCCAUAUUUCCUGUUCAUUCAUCCGAUAUGUGAAUGUUUCCUGCUCAUGAAAGGCAGGAAGUCCCGCAUAAAUGCGCGGAGUAUAAUCUAUUUUUCAAAAGUGUUAGUAUAUUUAAAAAGAAUGCUCAUGCAUCUAGAACGUGUUUACCAAUGUAAUUAAUUUGAAAAGCUGUUCACAUGUUUUAGGAAACGUUCAAAUAAAUUUUAAAGAAAAAAACAUUUCAAGACAAUGUUCUUGUGUUUUAAAAUUUUAUAUAAUUCAAAAAAUCAUACAUUUUAAAAAUGUUUCACACUUCUUAAAAAAGUGUAUUUUUUUGAAAAGUCUUCAUGCAUUUGAGAAAAGGUUCACUCAUUAUUUUAAAAUGUUCACACUUUUUGGAAAACACAUCUAAAAAAGUGUUCAUGCAUUCAAAAAAAUUUCACGCGUUCUAGAUAUUUUUUAUGCACUUUUUAAAACUGUUCGUUACUUUUAUAAAAUGUUCAAAUUUUUAAAUUAUUUAAUUUCUAACAAGGGAAAAGAAAGGGAAAAAUGAAUAAGUAGAUGAAAAAUAAAAGGAGAACAAGAAAAAGUAAAAAAAAGAUAAAUAGAAGGAAAAAAACACAAGGAACACAAAAAAUGUGCAACGACAUACCCACAUUACCCCAGAGAAAACCAAACUAUCCAUGAAGAAUCAUGUAAAAUCGUACGCAUCAUCAGUACUUAGGCCACGAUGUAUGCCUCGUACGACUUGGACACUCUCUUGAUAUUAGCAUUGUAUAAGCAACAAAUAAUAUUUGCUCCCAUACCACAUCACUGCCACAAACCAAUAUGCAUCUAAAAAAAGAAGCUCAUGUUGACGAUCCCUCGAAAAAAGAAAAGAAAAAUAGGAGAGAUAGAUACACAAGCCUUAACCUACAUCGAUCCGACCACCCCACAAAGAAACUACGUCUAACCAAUCAACCUAAAAUCACCUUACGGAGUAGGUAACAAUAGCCAGGCGUGGCGGAGCACGCCAUCUCCUCUAGUCCCAUUGAACGCUGGCCUAAGUCCUUAUAACAUCAGUGCCACUGCUGCUUUUAGUUUUUUUGCCAUUGUCUAAAUAACGGAGCCAUGUUGAGGAAGCAACCCAUCAUUGAGCUCAUGAAGAAACCAAGUUCUGAAUAAGUCAGCAUGCCUUUCUCUAAUCUCUCGCCGUUUCACCAUCACAUAGAAAGACCUACAUGACAAUUGUGAUACCAUUAUAAGCACCUUAAAAUGUAGUACAAGACUGAAUCCAUCAAAGAUAGAUGUACAAGAGUGAAGAAUGUUGUGACUGCAGAUGUACGCGCGGGGACGAAUCUGAGCCGUUGCAUAAAGAUCUGACGGUAGUUCGAAAACUGACACUGAGGUGGAAAAUAGUCGACCGAUAAGUACACGCUCCAAGGACGAAGCAGCCCCCCGAACGGCCAAACCCCAGAUCGCAUCGCAGUCCAGCAGGAAUGGCCGCCGCCGCCGCCGACGCCGCGAAGCUCUCGGUCUCCAUUCAGGCCUUCGCGGCACUCCUCGACUGCUGUGCGGCCGCCGGCGGGGACUGCGACGGGAUACUCCUCAGCCGUGCUGCCCUCCCCCCUUCCUUCUCCGACGACGAUCCGGCCCCAACCCUACACAUCUACGUCACCGGCCACUCCUCGCUCGCCCGACCCUCCGCCCUCUCCAACGCACUUAGCUGCUUCAACCCCUACUUCCCCGCCCGCUCGGGCACGGCCACCGUCGGCUUCUUCUCCUCCCGCCACAGCGCGUGCACGACGCGCCGCCCCUCCAUGCGCGAGGCCGCCGUCGCCCGCUCCCUAUCCAAAUCUCUGGCCCUCGCCCACCCCGUCGUGUUUCUCCUCUUAGCCCACUCUGUCGCCUCCGACCUCUCCAUCCACUCGUUCGCCCACCGCGCCUUCCUCCUCGUUGAUUCCCGCCUCGUCCCCACCUCCCUCACGAUCGUCAACGUGGGUCCUCGUUACCGGGGCCAGUACCAGUGCCACACCUUCGCCCCGGAGUCGCCAAUGCCGCGGCUGCCGCCUCCGCCGGCAAACAUCGGAGAGCAAGCAACCGAGGAGGAGAUGUAUUCCGGGAUGCUAAGGAGGUUGGAUAGGCUUGCUCAGGAGGUGGAGGAGUGCAAUAAGCGUCUGUUCCGUCAGGUCCGAGUUCGCUCAAUGCUUUGCUUGAUCUGUUUCUGUAAAAUUCAUUUGUUUGGGUACGUGGAAAUAUGCAUCGCUUUGGUUGUGCAUCGGUUAUUAGACUCACAUGAAACAACAUUUGCAUGGCAAGCAAUAUCGUGCACAUAUUUUAGUCAGAAUCCAAGGAAUUUUGGCAUGUUAGUUGGCAAACUGGAUAUAACUUAUUAGGUCUGAUUGUCAAGACUUGACUCCCCCUUCAAAUGCUAAGGUAGAGUUUUCAUAUGAAAUAGUUACCAGAUAAAAAGGUUAAACCGGUCUCUGUUGGACGUGCUGAUUCGAACAGCAGGGGGCCCACUACUAAUAACAACUUCUUUCUGCGUGAUCUAUUUUUGCCUGUUUAAAUCAGACCUUAUUCAUUAGAGAAACCCCUUGCUUUUCUUGUUAACCUAUAAGUGCUCAUAAAUUGUGUGAACAAUGUAGCAUUUGUUUGUUCAAAAGAGAUUGCAUUGCUUGGAUAUGUAAUAUGCUUGCAUUGCAUAUACAUGGCCCGUGUGUGCAAUUCUGCAUGUACAGGACAUAGAGUGUCAGUUCAUCUUAUUGCAGCAUUUAUAGAUUUUGCUAUGUUUCCCUUAAUCUGCGCAUGCCAUCUCUCUUUCAACAAAAUUUGAAUUCUUGCUAGCAUCUGUCAGAAUCUCAUGAGGUCUGAGCUGCAAAAUGUGAAAAUUAGAUUGGGACCUCAUAAGUGAGUUGGAGAAGUAGCUAAUAUGUCAUUCCACAUACAUCCUUUUGGAAAGCUCAUUUCGAGAGCAUUUCGAUGUCUUUUGUCAUAAAUGUGACAAUUGGAACUAUCAAAAGUCAAAACAAAGUGGUAGUUUCCUUUUUCUGGAUGAUUAGUUGGUAACACUUUGAGUAGUUACAUGUACAAGCUAUGCUAUUUUGUUAGUUUAAGUGUUGACCUACAGCUAUAGGAAGUAUUGUGCAAUGUACAGUUGCAACUAAACUACUGAAGUGUUCAUUAAUCUUGUAUCCCCUCUGUCCGGGUUUAGUAGGCCCCCUCUAAUUUUUGGGUCAAAGUACCAUCGAUUUAACUAAUAAAGUGUAAACUAUAUUUCAUAAAAAAUUAUACCGUCAAAAACUCUUUCGAAUACAAAUCCNNNNNNNNNNNNNNNNNNNNNNNNNNNNNNNNNNNNNNNNNNNNNNNNNNNNNNNNNNNNNNNNNNNNNNNNNNNNNNNNNNNNNNNNNNNNNNNNNNNNNNNNNNNNNNNNNNNNNNNNNNNNNNNNNNNNNNNNNNNNNNNNNNNNNNNNNNNNNNNNNNNNNNNNNNNNNNNNNNNNNNNNNNNNNNNNNNNNNNNNNNNNNNNNNNNNNNNNNNNNNNNNNNNNNNNNNNNNNNNNNNNNNNNNNGAUGGAGGGAGUUCUUGAACCAAUUGCCAUUUUUAUUGCUAACUGAAAUGGUUACAUCCUUCAUAUAUUUGAUUUAAAGGUUGAUUUACAGAUUAGGAGUCAAUAUUCUACUUUAUAUUGCGUGCAUGUUGCUGGAUAAACUAUGUGUGGUUGGACCAUUGAUAAUGUUGGUCUAUGCUAGCGUAUAGGUUUAUUGGUUGAUAUGCGUGCACCUGUCUCUGUCUUGAACUUCAGUUUGUUUGAAUGUGAUAUCGAUAACCAUUAUCCAUGUAGUUUUGCAUUAAAGGGAGCAUCAUCCAAACAUGAACUAGAAUGAGACAUUUACAGAUUCAGGUUUUAACAUGUCUUCAGAUUUAACAGGAUGCAUUGUUGUAUGCUAUUCUUAUCAUUUUGUUGUUGCUAUCUCUACCAGUUCAUUCCUUCACCAUCAGUUUUGCAAGGAUUAUCUUUAGAUAUGUUAUUGAGAUCACUGGCCCCCUAGUCACUGGCGCCGUGCAGCAGGUCAUGGAGACGAUGCACGCACCCAUCUACUUUGAGACCUAGAACGUCCACGAUGACAUGCCCGCCGUGCUGCCCACCGUCAUCAACUCCAUCUGCCGCAACAACGUCUACCUCAAGAGUGGCCUUGCCACCCCCGUCGGCACAGGCGUCUCCGCCCUCAACAUGCAGCUCCGCAAGGAGCUCUCCCUCUUCACCUCCCUCGUACAGUGAUAAGAUCAGAAUCUUAUUCUCAGUCGGACAGAUCAAUCCAACAUUCAACUUCAUAGGUCUGUUUCUUUUUUCAGUUAAUCCCAAUUUGGACAACCACAAGUUGACAAUUUACAUAAUUCCGAUUUGCACCAUGCUUCAUUUUUAGGAUCUGCUCAUGUGCACCUUCAGUCUGAAUCAAAAGGUUGGAAAGAACUAUAGUCGGUGUCUAAAACCCUGGUCCCGCUCUCUACUUAUAUAGAGCUAUUGUAAGAGAGGGCAUGCAAGCAACUGAACCAAUGACCUCUAGGUCCAGCAGCAUGAAUAGGCUAAUCAGGAAUUUAAGAUGGAAAAAUAUUGGUCAUGGACUGGUUAUUAUUAACAAAAGAAAAAAUAAGAUAACACAAUAGUGUUCAUGGAUCAGGAUGGUUACUGGUGAACUUUAGUCUUAACUGUGCGAAUCAAUAUAUCAAAAGAAAUAGAAGGAAAUGAAUUUGUUGACUAGGACAAAGUUACUUCACAACUUGCAUUGCAGCAGCGAACAACAAACGGGAGAGUCAUUCAUCCAGUUUCCAAAUACAUACGAAUGUGGUUCAGGUGAACAUGCAGAUCAUUACAGGAAAUAAAUCAAAAGAAAUGUGAAAAUGUAGGUAAUCCCAAGCAUAGGUAACUUAUUCUUAAAUCCACGGAUUUGCCACCACAGGAGUGACUCACAAGUGACCACGAUCCACAACUAGUACAUGAAAGCAAACGAGUUGAAGUUACUACGGACUAAGUAUAAUCACAAUAGCAGACCCUUUUUAAAUAACACUGUUCAAAGCGCCACAAAGGCAUGGACUAGAACAUCAAACUUCCAGAAGAAAACCAAGCUGCGUACAUAGAAAAUCUGACCCAUAUUCAACACCUGACUCAUAUGAAGGUACCAACCGGUCGGGUGCAAACUCGGUAGGCAAUCACAGUGCUGCUUUUAGCAAACCAUCUGACAACUAUUCCGUGUAACUGGGGACAUAAGGAUCGCAUCGGAGAUUAAAAUCCCUCUCAAAAACUGAAGAUGACACAAGAUCUCUGGUUUUCCAUAUCGUAUGACACAAGCUUUUCAUUCCACGCAAAGACAUGGAAAAAAGAUCGAUUUGCAUUCCAUAUCGACUGCGAGAAAUGUACAAAUCUCAUUGUGGGCUAUCGUCUUUGAAUGGAUGCGAUGUGUUGAAUCUCCACAACGUGCCCUUUUUAUAUUGGUAUAUAUGAAUUAACUUUUGGUGAGUAACUAGAUUUGCAAGUUCAAAUAGAAGGGGAAAAUGGUUCAAUUUUAUUAGUUGCUUCGGAAAAAAUAGAACACACUACGCAGAUGUCAUGAAAAAUAUUGUAUCAUAAUAUUUCUUUUUCUAUUUGUCCAUCGACCAGAUCGGCUUUGCACGGAGCGCCCAACUCAAAAGUGAACAAUGUAUCCUGCAAAUGAUAUUAAAAAUCUCUUAAUUAACUAAUUUCCAUACACGGAGAUAGUAAGUAAGCAAAGAUAUGUGACAAUAUAAAGAUUUUUUUCUCAAACAAAACACAUAUAAAGUUAUAAACACAUCAAGUAUACGUUAAUAGCAACAGCAAAACAAACCUGCACAGUUAUCUCCUUCAUGCAAGGCGUUGCCGCACGAACGGGUGACGGCAGCCCACCUGCGUAGAUUGAUCUGAGCCAAAUCUGCAGCGGUAAACGCAUUGCAAAUUGCCAGGAGGUUUACUGAACGCGUCACUACUUGGCAGCAUGCGUGGCUUGGUUCGAAUGGCCAGUGCGCACCUUUCCUAAUAUUGAACUUACAGUGUUCCAUCACCUCAUCUUUUUCGAUGGCAGCUCGAGACUUACUUGCCCAUGUAUGGUUUGAAAAAAAAAAGACCGUCACAAAAACUACGAGGUAGAACAUGGCAACCGCUCUAGCACUAGCCAUAUCAAUCAACUUUGAAAGAUGCGGACCAAUACUUAUGCAGGCAGGUGACUAGGUAUAUGUAUGUUUUUGAUUGAUGUGUGAUUGUGCAUCACUUAGGCUCUCUAUAUAUAGGCAGUGUGCUAUGGAAAACGCUCACUUAUCUUCAUGCUUAAAUUAUGCAUGGGUGACAUCUUGCUGGAAAAUUUAUUGGUUGCAUUUGAUUCAUUUAGUAGGUUCUAAUUAUAAACUAGUAUAUAUACUUAUCUCGAUGUGUUGUCAUUAAUUUAGAGGCAGCUAACGCAAGUACAUAUUAAACGCUAGGAGGGUAGGUCCCACCUAUUAAUAGAUUUCCAAAUUAGCCGAUUUAAUAAUCUAGGCGGAUUUUUACCGAAAACAAACUAAGUGCAUUUUUUUCUUAGAAAUCUCACACACUUUAUUGAUGGGUAAUAAUGUUCAUAGGUAUAUAGUUCAUGUUGUGAGGAUUGCCCAACCACACAUGUCUACCUAUGCCCUCUGCUCUGACCCUGGCCUCUGCAAGAGGUUGCCUCAGGCCCUGUCUGGAUUCUUCUGCUACGCCCACUACCAGAAAAGAGUCCUACCCCGACGGCCAAAACAAUGCUGACGGCCGCCGUCGGUCUAGAUUGAGCUAUGGCGACAGCCACAUCCUGGCCGUCGGGCUACUCCGGUCUAAGCCGACGGCAACCGUCGGCACAAAAUAGCCGCCGGCCUAGCUGAGAACACGCCGACAGCUGCCGUCGGCAUAAACUAGUCGUCGGCAUACACGUGGGCCCGGUGAACCCACCCGUGACCAUCGGCUAACAUUGUCAAAUCUAUGCCGAUGGUGGGGAUGGGCGGCCGUCGGCAUAUCUCCGCAUGCCACGUCAUUGAUCCGCGGCGCACCGUCCAACACGUAUGCAAACGGCUGCCGUCGGCAUACCAGCCACGUCAGCGAUCCGCGGCACGUCGCCCGCCUAAACCCUGUCGUCUCUAUGCCGACGGCAAUGCCGUCGGAUUGCCGUCGGCAUAGUUAUUUUUAUGCUUUUUUUAUUAUAUUAACAGACAUGUAGCAUAUGCUUUUUUAUGUAUUAUUAUAUGCAUAUAUAUGUAGUUUUGUAAAAAAAAAUCAUAGAUUAUGAAUAUAUAUAUAGUUUGUAUUUUUUCAAGCACGUUAAUAAUGUGUCGUCAUGUUCUUUUGAAUAUAGGUCCUUAUAUUUUAUUAAAAUCAAAAACAGCUAUGCCGACAGAAGUUUUGUGGCGGUUGCAAACGCCCGUCACCCGUCUCCGGAGUGUGACCCCCUCACGUCUGCGGUGUGCCCCCCUCACGGACGGCGCCGCCGCCGGCACCUAGAGGGCGGAAACAGCCACAUCGGGUCUAUACGGAGGGGACGUUGCUCCCAAGUGUUUCUAUGGGAUGACCUAGUACAACCGGGUGGUGUUGUGGCAUGUCCGAAGAGGCGGCACGCAUCUCCGGGGCGUGGCCCCCGUAACAGACGGCGCUGCCGGCGGCACCUGGAGGGGGGAAACAGAUGCGUCGGGUCUACACGGAGAGGAUGUACCUAUGGGUUUGGCCCGGAUGUUGCUCCCAGGUGUCCCUCUAGGCUGACCUGACACAACCGGGUGGAGAGGUCCACUGGUCAACCGCUCCAGGGAUAGGCGAGAUGGAGCCCUGGGGGGUAGCAAUGCCACCGAAGCGUCNNNNNNNNNNNNNNNNNNNNNNNNNNNNNNNNNNNNNNNNNNNNNNNNNNNNNNNNNNNNNNNNNNNNNNNNNNNNNNNNNNNNNNNNNNNNNNNNNNNNNNNNNNNNNNNNNNNNNNNNNNNNNNNNNNNNNNNNNNNNNNNNNNNNNNNNNNNNNNNNNNNNNNNNNNNNNNNNNNNNNNNNNNNNNNNNNNNNNNNNNNNNNNNNNNNNNNNNNNNNNNNNNNNNNNNNNNNNNNNNNNNNNNNNNNNNNNNNNNNNNNNNNNNNNNNNNNNNNNNNNNNNNNNNNNNNNNNNNNNNNNNNNNNNNNNNNNNNNNNNNNNNNNNNNNNNNNNNNNNNNNNNNNNNNNNNNNNNNNNNNNNNNNNNNNNNNNNNNNNNNNNNNNNNNNNNNNNNNNNNNNNNNNNNNNNNNNNNNNNNNNNNNNNNNNNNNNNNNNNNNNNNNNNNNNNNNNNNNNNNNNNNNNNNNNNNUGUGGCAUGUCCGAAGAGGCGGCACGCGUCUUCGGGGCGUGGCCCCCCUCACGGACGGCGCCGCCGCCGGCACCUGGAGGAGGGAAACAAACGUGUCGGGUCUACACGGAGGGGAUGUACCUGUGGGUUUGGCCUGGAUGUUGCUCCCGGGGGUCCCUCUAGGCUGACCUGACACAACUGGGUGGAGAGGUCCACUGGUCAAUGAUGACCCACAAGUAUAGGGGAUAUAUCGUAGUCCUUUCGAUAAAUAAGAGUGUCGAACCCGACGAGGAGCAUAAGUAAAUGACAAGCGGUUUUCAGUAAGGUAUUCUCUGCAAGCACUGAAAUUGUAGGUAAUAGAUAGUUUUUUGAUAAGAUAAUUUGUAACGGGUAACAAGCAAUGAAAGUAAAUAAAUUGCAGCAAGGUGGCCCAAUCCUUUUUGUAGCAAAGGACAAGCCUGAACAAUUUCUUAUAAUGAGAAAAGCGCUCCCAAGGAUACAUGGGAAUUAUCGUCAAGCUAGUUUUCAUCACGCUCAUAUGAUUCGCGUUCGUUACUUUGAUAAUUUGAUAUGUGGGUGGACCGGUGCUUGGGUACUGCCCUUUCUUCACUAGUAGAAUAACCUCCAUUCGUCCCAGUUGGUUAGGGCCUUUUGUCCCGGUUGUUGAACCAGGACUAAAGGGUCAUUACUAAUGCCCUAGACCUUUAGUCCCGGUUCUAACACGAACCGGGACAUAUGGGCCUCCAUGUGGCCGGUGUGCCGAGCCCAGGCAGGAGGGCCUUUGGUCCCGGUUGGUGGCACCAACCGAGACCAAAAGGCAUCCACGCAUCAGCAUUUCAGGGGCUGGGUUUUUUGUUUUUUUAGGGGGGGGGGGUUGGGGGUUUUGGGGGGUUAAUUUAGGUGUUUCAUAUAUUGUGUUAGCUGGCUAAUUAAUAGAGAGAAGUGUCCUCUCUUAUGUCCGUGCUUGGUCGACGCUACGUACUAUACAUAGAGAGGCCCUCCACACGCUAGCUAGUAAGAAAAUGAAGGAAACCAUUAAGUACAGAAGUUCGUCAUGCAUACCGAGAGAAGUGAUCGAUCGACCUCUCCUUCUCCAAGAGAUUGGUCGAACAACAAGUUUUCGUAUUAUCUAUCCGACGCUACUGGCUACAUACAUAUACAAUAUCUAAGAUCUCUUACAAUCCCCUAGCAUUUGAAAUCAACUUCCACAUGGUAUUCUCCGACUUUAUUGAUGACGUGGUCAAGAAAGAAUCCCGCCAAUUCCUCUUGAAUUGCUUUCACGUGAUCUUGUGGUAGGAGUUCAUUCCGCAUCUGCCAUGUCUAAUUUGAAGAAGGGGGUUAAUACAUAUAUAUGAACCAAACUCAACAGAAAUGAUGGUUCAAUAAAAUGAAAUUGCGAAUAUUAUUGCUUACGAACUUUAUAUUGUCUUUUACAGUAGCCCCGCUUAUUUUUCCAAGUCGCGUUGUAGAUGAACUCGCACAUGUAGUAUCCACAGUAAUCAUUCCCUUGUUCCUGCCACAAGCACUUUACGAGAAAUAGAGGUCAAUCAAACUGAUAAUGAAGCAUUAUAAAUGGCAUUGAUGAAAGUAUAGCUAUAGAAUCAACGGGAGAUGCACGCAACUAGCUAGCUAGUAGUACUUACUUUCGGGUAUGUAUAACGCAGCUCCUUCAGCACUCCCGGAGCUUCUGCGGUGAACUGUUUCCAAACCCUGCAAGACAAAGAAAAUAAUUAUUAUUACUUGAGAUAUCAGGAAAUGAACAAAAAGUUGCCGAUAUGGUGCGAUAAUGGUCGAUUGAACGUACUUGUUGAGCAUUUUAGUCAUGUCCGCAUAGGUUUCGGGAUCUUUUUGUCUCGAGUCUAAGAAGGUUACUAGUCCCCGCUCAAGCUUAAUCUCCAGAAGAACAUAGUGGAAGCUGCGCACGCAUGCAUAACUCAUCAAUUACAUUACUAUAACCUCGCUUGAGUAAAGGGAAACCGAAUAUGCACACGACAGUAACACUCACUCGAAGUUGUAAGGAAAGAGCAUUAAAUCUUUGUUUUGAUUUUUGAUCAACAAUUGUAGCAAGUUGCCCUCGGCCUCUUCGACGUUCUUUGUAACCAGAAAUUCAUCUAUGAUAUUUGUGUUAAUGAACCCAAUAUCAUACAUUUCCUGUUUUUUGCAAUCGAGGAUCUUCAAUCUGCAUAAUAUAGUGAGGAUAAUUAAUUAUAAAUACAUGCAAUGAAACAGCUGAGCUAUAUAUAGAGACUUAAUGACAUAAAUAGUACUUACAGACAGUAGCAAAAGACCGUUAAUUUAUCGAGGGCCUUUUGAUUGAAGAACUCGAAGAACUCCUCAAAUGGAACAGGCAACAGAUAAGUUCCAACGAGGUCGUGCUCCUCUUUAAUUCUCAGAUACAAAGUAUUCGUCCCCCAGACUCUCUGCAGGUUUUCAUGUACCAAUUAUGGAAUCUUCGCAUCAUCGUUGUUAGAGACUUUUCAUCUUUGACGAGAGGCUUCUCGUACUCGUAUCUAUGUUUGUCCACCUCCAAGAAAUCAAAAUGUACAUCGUCAGGCAAGUAAUAUCUAAGAUUGCUAUAACCGGGCACCAUCCCCAGAGCAUUAGCGAUGAUGUCGCUAGACACAUUGAGCGGGGGGCACGAUUGCUUUGCUUGUUCGCUGAGAUGGGAAAAUUUUUUCCUAGCUGCUCGUUCUUUUAACCUUUGAUCACUGACAGUACUUCCCGACCGCUCCACUUUGAGAUAUGCCUGUUCAGUAAUGCGCUCAUAGUUGGUUCUCGGCAGAGACUUUGGUGGUUUCCUCAGGGCAUCGAUAGUGCGCUUUGCUUUCACCGGAUCUACCUUCUCCUCCGGAGGUGGAUGUCUCUUUGCUUUCAACCCUUCAAAGAAGUCCUUCACUUUGGUCGGCACGAUCUUUGCGUUUUCCUCCUCGGUCCUCUCGUACGGUAACUUCUCUAGAGGCUUGAGAGGUGGACCGUAUCUGUAUUGCCUCCCGCCUCUGGCUGUACUGCUAGACACCGGAGCAGACGGAGCGGCUGCGGCGGUCUUCUUUUGUGCUUGCUUACGAGGCAGAGAAGGACUACCACGCGCCGGAGCAGCCGGGGCGGCGGCGGGUCUCUUCCGCCCUUGCUGGCAAGGCGGAGAAGGAGGAGGUUGUUGGCUGCUCGGGCGCGCCAGUGCAGGCGGAGAAGGAGGCGGAGUACCACCACGCGGCGGAGAAGGAGGCUGAGUGCCCUGAUCGUCACUCACUGAAGGAGGAGGCGGUGUAGGAGGCGGAGUGCCCUGACUCGCCGGAGGAGGAGGAGGAGGCGAAGGCGUCCAGUUCGGAAGGUUGAUGAACUCCUUCCGCCAUAGGCAUGGAGUAUUCAGAGCAGAACCCAGUCGAGUCUCCCCUUCACCAGUAGGGUGGUCAAGCUGGAGGUCCUCAGAUCCCUCCCUUAUUUCGUCCACCGUCACCCUAGCAUAUCCUUCUGGAAUUGGACGAUAGUGAAAAGUUGUGCCGGCUUCAGAAGGUCGAACAGAGCCGACAACUGCCUUGACCUUUUAAAUUCUGCCAUUGCGUCAUAAGGUGGCAAUUUUGAGACUCCGUGAUAGCAUCCACGGGGUAGCUAGCAGGAGCCGUCAAGACAUGCUCCGGCUGAAGCAGCUCGGUGGAAGCCAUGCUGCUUCUCCGCUGAGAUGGCGGGGUAGCUUCGGGGGAAGCUUCAGCAGUUCGUUUGCUGCGAUUUGCUUCUCGUUCCUCUAUCGCUUGUACCCUUGCAUGCAGCGCCUGCAGUUUGGUCUGCUGCACUUUCUUCCUCCUCUCCUGGCAUUUGUAACCGCCUGCGUCCGGAAACCCAACCUUCCAUGGAACGGAGCCUGGCGUGCCUCGUGUCCGUCCAGGGUGCUCAGGAUUCCCGAGGGCCAUUGUGAGCUCGUUAUUCUCUCUGUAUGGAACGAACAUCCCUUCCUGCGCUGCAUCGAUAUAGUGCUGAAGCCUCUUGACUGGUAUUUUCAUUUGCUCGUCUGUCCAAAGGCACUUCCCUGAUAUAGGGUCCAAGGUUCCGCCAGCCCCGAAGAACCAAGUCCGGCAACGGUCUGGCCAGUUCAUUGUCUCUGGUUCGAUCCCUUUAUCAAGCAGAUCAUUCUCAGCCUUGGCCCACUUAGGCCGGGCUUUGAGGUAGCCACCUGACCCCGUGCGAUGGUGAAGCUUCUUCUUUGCAGCAUUUUGCUUGUUUGUCGCCGACAUCUUCUUACUCUUUUCCGAUGUCUUGUGGGCCACAAAUGCGGGCCAGUGAUCUCUGAUCUUCUCAUAUUUGCCGAUGAAUUCUGGUGUCUCUUCUUUGUCGACAAACCUUUUCAGCUCAUUCUUCCACCUCCUGAAUAGGCAUGCCAUCUUCUUAAGAGCAUGAUACUUGAUUAAUUGCUCUUUAACUGGCUUCUCCGGAUCCUCCUCUGGCGGUAGGGUGAAAUUUGCCUUCAGCUCAGUCCAAAGAUCAUCUUUUUGCAUAUCAUUGACAUAAGAUACCUUAGUGUCUUUGUUCUUAGGCUUAUACCAUUGGUGGAUGCUAAUCGGGAUCUUGUCCCUAACAAGAACCCCGCACUGAGCAGCAAAUGCAUCCUUUGUCCGGAUGGGUUCAAUCGGUUUGCCGUCGCACGCGAUUGCUGUGAUCUCAAACCUUUCAUCCGAGCGCAACUUUUUCUUCGGGCCUCGUCUCUUUACCGAAGUUGUGCUCGAUCCGGAGGGCUAGAAAAAGAAGAAAGACGAGAAUUAAUUAAUAUGUGUACAUAUACCAAAACAAUGAAUGCAUCAAUUAGCUAGUUAGCACAGGCUUAACUAAUAUAUAUACCUGGCCGGAAUCGGUUCGGUCAUCGGAGCCGUCAUCACGGUCUCCUUCUUGCACCGUCAUUGGGUCACCGGAGCCAUCAUAAUCAUGUCUUUCCUCCUCCAUUCUUCGAUCACCGUAGCCUGCUUCUUCACCCUGUUCUUCCAGACCAUCAUUGUCGUUAAGAUACGACAAGAUAUCACCUCCGGCUAAGAUUAUGUCCACCAACACCUCUUCUGCUUCCCCGUCUCGUAUGUGCUCCAUUGUUUCUGCAAAUAUUAUAACAUGACAAUUAUUACACAAACAUGAAAGCAGGUGGAUAUAUUAGUGGCAAACGUAGACCGAGCUUAUUCCGGGUUUGGGGUGGCCUCGGCAACGCUUCAAGGGUAGGGGCGCGGCCGGAGGGGUAGGAGACCGACAUCGUGUCACGACCGGGUUUUUCCGGGUAAUAAAUUUCCAGAAAAGACCGUCGUGCUCAUCAGCCCCAGGAUUACUGUUAGCUGAUGAGGCUCCAACUUGAUACAGAAAUUCCAAGCAAAAAUACAAAAUAUCUAGUACAAGACCAUUCUGGCCUGUGAGUACAACAAGGGUUUCUAGUGGUUGAUGGCAGAAGCGGUCUGUGAGACGUCAGGGUCUAUGGGACUCCAUUUCCCACGGGAACAGCUGACCAGGUUAAUUCCUAUCUUGGCGAGGCUGCUAUCUCCAUUGAGUGGGUUCCGGGGCUGGCAUCGCGUCGCUCCUCUCCGUGCAGGAUAAUCUGGCCAAGACAAUAGCCAGGGACAAGCCAGUGAGUACUUUGAAUGUACUCGCAAACAUUAUGAACACAGGUAUAAUAUAACAAUGAUGUGCUAAAAAUGUUUUAUGCUCAUGACGUCAAUCACAACAGAUAAAUGAAACUCUGAUGCGUGCAAGCAAGUUAUUUAUAAAAAUGCAAUAACAUGGUAGUAAAAAAAAUUAUGAAACAAAUAACAAGCAAUGCCACAGUCGGGCGUCUUAGCGACACCACAUAAAUGGCUUUAAAAGAAAUGCCACAGUCGGGCGUCUGAGCGACACCACAUAAAGGGCUUUUAAAGAAAUACCACAGUCGGGCGUCUGAGCGACACCACAUAAAGGGCUUUAAAAGAAAUACCACAGUCGGGCGUCUAAGCGACACCACAUAAAGGGCUUUAAAAGAAAUGCCACAGUCGGGCGUCNNNNNNNNNNNNNNNNNNNNNNNNNNNNNNNNNNNNNNNNNNNNNNNNNNNNNNNNNNNNNNNNNNNNNNNNNNNNNNNNNNNNNNNNNNNNNNNNNNNNNNNNNNNNNNNNNNNNNNNNNNNNNNNNNNNNNNNNNNNNNNNNNNNNNNNNNNNNNNNNNNNNNNNNNNNNNNNNNNNNNNNNNNNNNNNNNNNNNNNNNNNNNNNNNNNNNNNNNNNNNNNGCGACACCACAUAAAGGGCUUUAAAAUAAAUACCACAGUCGGGCGUCUAAGCGACACCACAUAAAGGGCUUUAAAAGAAAUGCCAUAGUCGGGCGUCUGAGCGACACCACAUAAAUGGCUUUAAAAGAAAUGCCACAGUCGGGCGUCUGAGCGACACCACAUAAAGGGCUUUAAAAGAAACAAUCAUAAUGAAUAUCCCGGAGGUAGAACCAUCCCAGAGAUAUUCGGUAAUAACAAUAAUAUCACGGGUUAGUCAACAAUAAUAAUAAUCAUAGAUAUCACAAGUCACAAGCAGUAAUUCCAUUUCUGGUUACCCGUUUCACCCCCGAAGACCGACGCUAAGACCGACACCUGACCCAUCCCAGACUGUAAUCCUUAACCAUGGACACAGCUAUUCGAAUAGGUUUAUUCUCUGCAGAGGGUGUACUCUUUACCCACGAGUAACGGAUUUCUCUAGUCCAGCAGGACUAGUUCCGUCUACGGUCUUUUUGUUGAAAACACACCUAACUUGCACACACCAGCUUAUUUCACACGUGUCUGGAAUCACCCACGACACCUGUUAAGCAAACUCUAAGUGGGGAGGCUACAACCUCGCGUAGCAUGGGAUCAAAUUUAUAUCGCGCGCUCUAAGGGGUGGCCUCCCCUCUCGGUCCCAACCGGAAACACCCAUGCCCCCGGACCAGGUGGCCUGCCUACGAGCUACAACCGGUAUCUUCCACCAUGGCCUCUCUGUACGGUGUGUGCUGGAAAGAGGUUGACAACUUCCUGAACCGUACUCUACUUGCUGUAGAGACGAGUGGUAGUACGAAACAAGUAUGGGGUUUACUGGAACAAGACUCGAUCUACGGUCGACUCAGGAGGUUUAAGUAUUCCCUGCAUGAUUAGCAUAACGAUUAUAUUUCAUCCAACAGAGUCACCUCUCAUAUCACCUUACCAUGCCAUACCAGACAUAACCGUCCCGACGGAGACCGGCGACAAACUCAUGCCUACCCAAGGCAGAGGUUUUCCCGGGUUCCUGCCGGUAUGCAUGCAAGGCAUAUGAGGGUGAUUAUCAUCACAAGUGUGUUCAUUACCAACAGCAUGGAAAUCAAUAACAUGCACCUAUGCAUAUGAUCAUAUCACAUGAAAUAACAAGUCCUUCGAAAUGCGGUGGUGUUAUAAAUGUAUCAACGAUCACACCAAAAAAUAUUAUGCCGGGGGUUCAGAAUGCUUGCCUUCAAUGUGUGGAAAGGCAGGGUGCACUCCAAAACUUUUGAAAGUUUCUUCUCUCUCCCCAAAAUCCUAUUUAAAAAUAUAUUUGAAUUAACACAUAUUUCAAAAACAGAACCAAAAAGUUGUUUGAAAAUUUUUCAAUUAAAUCUUAAAAUAAACUAGACCAAAUUUAAGGAAGGUAGGAAAAAGAAUCAACUCAUUUGGAGUUAUAUUUAAAAAGUUAUAGCCAGUCAAAGAUUUGGUCAAAUCUGUUUUUAAAAUAAGACAGAAAAGAAAACGAUUCAGAUAGAAAUACGCUUUCGGUGCAGAGGAGGCGUACUUGAGGCUUUACGCCUCCAAUUAACCACGUGGACGGCGCGGGGUGUCACUGACAGUGGGCCUGCCUGGCCCACUGGUCAGGUUUGACCAGUCGCCGCGCGUCGUCUCCCUCCUUUGCCCGAGCGGAGCGGGGCUCCGGCGAUCGUCGCCGGCGUUUGGCUGCUCCUCGCGGGCCCCCGAGGGUGGGGAUGGAUCCGUAAGGUUGGGGCGGUCCUCCCGGUAGUCGUUGGGUCGGCGGGGACGGAGUGAGCUGCCGGCGGCGAGCUCCGCGGCGGAAGAGGGCUUCGGUGGCGAAGUGACUUUGUGGCGGCGUUGGCUCCCGAUCAAAAUCAAGUAGGGGAAAAGGCUCACGGGAGGAUGUGGAAGCUCUUGGUGAAGAGAACGGAGAGGGGGAAGCCCUGAUGGCGCCGGAGUGAACGAGAUAGUGGCGGCGGCAGGAGUUGCCGGAGAUGAGGAAGGCAGUGUUUCCCUGACGAUUGCGGGCUAUGGGGGUCCCAUGGGGGUGGCCUGAGGUCGCGUGCGUGCUCAGAGGGGCUCGGGGUGUCUAUUUAUAGCGCGACGAGGUCGGUUCCGUGGCGGCCGUGGAUAAGCUCUCCGGCGAACCGCCUCUCUGUGGCUUGGGCGACGUGGCGGCGACGAGCGCUAGGGGACGAAGUUGUGGAUGAGCACGCACUGCUCACAGGGGCAGGUGGCGAGUGGGAGUGGCUUGGGCGGCACCGACAUGGCCAGAGGCUGUCGGGCGGCGGCGGCGGCUAGCGCUUGGCCUGUCGGGCGCGGCGGGGCUGCUUGGCGUGUUGCGGUGAGAAGGGGAGUGCGUGGCGAGGUGCUGCAGAGCGGGCCAAAGCCGUGGGGCCAGUGUGUCAGCUCGGGCGCGGGUCGUGCAAUACGCGCGCUCUGCUCGCGCUCCGGGCGUGCACGGGACGUGUUCGACACUAUGCCAGAGCACGCUAGAGGUCGCGGUCGAGGCUGGCAAUUAACAGACCCAUGUUAGGAGAAACUGGAAUCCUAGUGGACAUGCUAGUAUGAUCCGAGGUGCAAGGUCACAAUGCAAAGACAAAAUCAUGUCAAAACUGGCCAUGCACACCAGGUGUUUGACAAAAUGUUAAAGGCUGCUAAGCAACUCUUGGGGUGGCCAAAUCUCCAGAUCAAGAUCUGCUUAGAUGCAAGAGAGAGUGGUGAGGUUAUUUGGCCAAAAGCAGAAACUUGCUAGUGUAAUUUUAGCAGAAUUUCAAUUCUGGACAGGGAAUAGAUGACAUUAUUUCAUGAACCAAAAAUGAUCCAAAAGGUGCAUGCUCCUGGACUUAAGGGUUUAACAUGGGGGACUACAAGUAGGAGAAAUAAUCAAGGGUUAAAGAGCAAGUAAAAACAUGGUUGCUGUACAAACCAUCAAGUUGGUCCAGAAUGAAGAUGAGGUUGAUUCACUCAAAUUUUUCAAAGAACAUAAAUAGGUUUUUGCACAAAGUGAAAUAAUAGGCUCCUACUGACCUCCCCUAAUUUUGGUAGAAGUUUUAAAGAAAUAUUUAAAUAGGUUGUAGUGCAAAAUGCACUCUGGACCAGAGAAGACAAAUUGAGUGUAGGGCUCAAAAUGUUUCAUGAAUGAAAUAUAUUUUUGCAUCAAAGUGAUUUAAAAACAUCACAUGACAUCUCCAAAUUUUUCUGGGAAUUUUAAGUGAAUUUAUCAAAUGGUUGUAGUUCAAAUAAGGCCAUUUAACCUUAAAAAAACCAUUUUUCAAGAAAACAAUAAUCAAGCAACUAAAUUAGUUAAUUAGUUAUAUUGGAUAAGGGAAAGUUUUACUUGAGAGGUUAAUCAAGUCCAAUAACACAUUUGAAAAGUUUUCUCUCUAGGAAAAACUCAUAAUAACAGGGAAGGAAAUGAUUUAAAAAUCAAAAAUGGAGCUCAAAAAUUCAAAGUUUUAAAUCCUGGCAAAAUUUUAUUCCAUUAAAACAAGGCCAAAUUUUAGGGUGUCACAAUACUAACCCCCUUAAGAAAAAUCUCGUCCUCGAGAUUUGCUAAAAGCGGUGUGAAGAAAUAAUUACGCAAUGACGAUGUGGCUACAGUGAGAGGGCAAUAAGUGGUGAAAAACCACAGUGUGAAAACUGGUGCUGCGUGGAAGAGUCUACGGUUCGGGACAAAAUCGGGUGAUUUCUACGCUGGAUAUAAAUUUAGAAUAACUCCUAAAUUUAAAUAUACGCUGGUCGUACCCGAGAGUAUAGUGCUCCCUCUGGCUGUCAGGUGGACCCGGGGUCCACUGUCAGUCUCCUCUUCUUCUCCCUCUGGCCCUUUCUUCUUCCUCUCUCCCGCGCGCUUUCUCCACCGGCGACGCCUAGUGUGUAGGGCAUCUAGGCCGUACCGUGGUAGUGCACGACGUGCUAGCUGCUGGUGCAGCGUGCACUCACCUCGCGGGCCAGCGCGCUGUCGGCACUGCUCGCGGAUUCGACUCCGAACACCGGCGAUCGGCGACAAGCGGCGUUGGUGGACUUCGCCCACCGUACACCGAGCUCGAGCUAUAAAAACGGCCGGGGUGCCCCUCUCUUCUUCCUCACACCUGGCCUCACUUCUCCUCCUCCUUCUUUCUCCAUUACUGCUUACAGAAGCUCGGUCGAGGCUCUAAUGGCGGAGGCGAUGCCGGACUGGUUUGUGAUCCUGAUAUGCGGAGGGUUGGCGACGCUGCUGGGGCUCUUUGUGCUCGUGUGCGCGAUGAUCUUCGACGAGUAUCGCGACGCUGCGGCUCGGGUGUUGGCUCUCCGCGGUGGUGGUGAUCAUGAAGACUAGAUGGAGUGUGCCGGGUGCUAACUGUUGUUAGGGGGUGAUUAGCUGGAUGUAACACCGUUGCAAAGUUUUGCAAACAGUGCAUGUGUUCGAAUGGUAAGGGUUGUGAGUCUGCUGCCUGGUGCUGAGUGAAAUCAAUUAAUCCAUGUCGUGAAGUGGCAGGUGUAGCAAUUCAGGGAAAAGAAGUCUCACUCCAGGAUUUUGCGAGGGAAAAACAGUUAAUUUAAAGGAGCAUAAACCACAACAAAAACUACACACAUUAGCAGAAGCCAAAUAAUUGACUCGUCGUACAAACUCAGGUUAUCACGCAUAAGUCACACACAUAAAUAAAUGCUGCAAAGAACAAAUACAAUAGUGACGUCUAAAAUGAAAAUGGUAACUGGGUGGAGUCCUGAUAAAAUGUCUCUGGCAAAGGAAUACACUCCUCUUCUAUCGGAGGAAGUGGGUUGACCAGUCGAUGUAUGCGUCUCUCUGUGUCGGGUCUUAGUGGUCUGCCGAUGGCAAUCUGAGGAUUUAAAUCUGCGAGGCUCUGGAGAUAAUCCAUCACUCGCUGGUUUAAAUGCUCUUGAGCAAUGAUGUACAGGAUAAGGUUGGCCAGAACUGGGUCUCUCUCAAUAUGUCCACCGGGAAAAGAUGUAACUUCUCCGGGUGCUGCACGGCUCGGAAAGUAAUAAUAUCCUCGUUCGCGGGCAUAGGGUACUGCGGAUCGAAGACGAGCAAUCGCUUCUUUCGCAGCAGCUUCUAUAGCCAAGUGUGGGGUUGGCAUAGAUUUCCCCAUGAAGGAAACUUCUAUUGGAUCUUGGUUGGGGUCUACAGGGGGAAUGUGUAGUGCUGCCCAAUAUUCCGAGGUGGAUGGGGUGAUCCUUGAUUUGAACAGCUCGUACUGGGGUGGCUGGGUAGAACCCAUGGUACUGCGGAUAAAAUCCCACAAUAUUUUGACAAAGCUACCUGGAGUUGCAUCUGGGGUUCUCAGAUGAAUUCUGGGGCUCGGCAUGACAGGAAAAAGCGUGAGUGUUGUGCACAAAGUGAGGGUUGCUAGGUAAGGUCACAAGGUGGCCUUUAUAUAGCAAUGGAGCCAGGUCGUUUUACUGUGGUGAAAGGUAAUAAAUUUGCCAGCUUAGCUCCAAAGGUCGGGUCAGUGUCAGAGAUACACAUAUCUCAUAAAGAGACGUGUUACUGUGGUUGUCGUCGGGUUGGUUUUGGUAGUUGUCCCAGAAAAAUAUGCAGCUAUGCGCUGACCAAAUAUGCAAGGCUACUAUUAAAACAGAGGCACAAAGACAGGCUGCGUUAAUAUACGCGGUCGCAUGAUUACAAAGCGAGGAUACAUUGAAACUUGGUGCUACUCAUACGGCUUAGUCUACCUCGUUUAUGUCUAAACGGGCGUGCCUGGUGGAUGUCGAGGCUUCUCCACGUGUCUCUCUGCCGGGAUUAGUCGGAGAUGGCGGAGGAACUGCAGGGUCGGGGUAGUGAGAAUGACCAUCGCGGGGAUUGUUGGCCACAACCCCGUUGGAGUGUGCUCCCAAAAGGCGACGAAGCACUUCUUGGGUUAUCGCAGCACCUUGGCCGAUGCUGGGGCAGAUCUCGGGGUCUCGAUCGGUUGUCCAAACAGCACGACUGGGUUGUCGGUGUUGGGCUCGUUUUCUUCUCUCGCCGGGGCUCGACGAACCAGCUCUCCACGAGCUGCGAUUAGAUCAAUAGUGAUCUGGUCGAACAGUGCCUCUAGUGCACUUACAUAGCGCACUAGGUGCAACAAUGCGGGGUCCGUCUCGUGAUCUCCAUUGGCAACUUGGGGUGGUCUACCAUACCCUUCACGUCUGGGAUAGUAGUGGAACGAGCGACAGUUAACCCUGGGCGACAAGUGCCUGAGAUGAACUAUAGCCUCUCGAGCGGCUAGCUGGAUGGCUUGUGGCUCAAAGGAAGUUGUUCUUCCGGUGAACCGGUAGGGGCGCUCGGGUGCUAGACUCCUACCGUAAAUGUGCACAGUGGCCCAGAAUUGGCGGUCUUCACCGCUCAUGGGUCCUUGAUACACAACAUAUUCUGGUGGCUCCUCUAAUGCGUAGGCACGACGGGUGAGGUUUGCGAGGAUGGUCACAAAACCUCCAAGGUUGGUUGUUGUGGUUUCGUUGUGCACUAUAGGUCCAGGCAUUGUGGCUCGGUUUGGGGUAGCGGCUGUGCUGUGCUGGUUUGGUGCUAGCGCGCCCUUUUUAUAGGAAAAAGGGGACGGAAUCUUCCUUCGAACGCUUGCGAGAAAGGACUAUUUAGGGGCCGGUCACUGGCGCAUGAGUGACAGGUUAGGUUGAUAGGUUGGGCACCGACUGUAAAAAGGAGUUGGGUCACUGUGUGGCUAUCUUGCACGAGAAGCUUGGCUGGGGUUUGGUUAAGGUCUGGUGGGUUGGUUUGCCUAAGUUUAUUGACCUGGCUAAGAUAGGAUUAGCCAAUGGUCAGCCUGGCUCUGAUACCAAGUCUGUCACGACCGGGUUUUUCCGGGUAAUAAAUUUCCAGAAAAGACCGUCGUGCUCAUCAGCCCCAGGAUUACUGUUAGCUGAUGAGGCUCCAACUUGAUACAGAAAUUCCAAGCAAAAAUACAAAAUAUGUAGUACAAGACCAUUCUGGCCUGUGAGUACAACAAGGGUUUCUAGUGGUUGAUGGCGGAAGCGGUCUGUGAGACGUCAGGGUCUAUGGGACUCCAUUUUCCACGGGAACAGCUGACCAGGUUAAUUCCUAUCUUCGCGAGGCUGCUAUCUCCAUUGAGUGGGUUCCGGGGCUGGCAUCGCGUCGCUCCUCUCCGUGCAGGAUAAUCUGGCCAAGACAAUAGCCAGGGACAAGCCAGUGAGUACUUUGAAUGUACUCGCAAACAUUAUGAACACAGGUAUAAUAUAACAAUGAUGUGCUAAAAAUGUUUUAUGCUCAUGACGUCAAUCACAAUAGAUAAAUGAAACUCUGAUGCGUGCAAGCAAGUUAUUUAUGAAACAAAUAACAAGCAAUGCCACAGUCGGGCGUCUUAGCGACACCACAUAAAGGGCUUUAAAAGAAAUGCCACAGUCGGGCGUCUGAGCGACACCACAUAAAGGGCUUUUAAAGAAAUACCACAGUCGGGUGUCUGAGCGACACCACAUAAAGGGCUUUAAAAGAAAUACCACAGUCNNNNNNNNNNNNNNNNNNNNNNNNNNNNNNNNNNNNNNNNNNNNNNNNNNNNNNNNNNNNNNNNNNNNNNNNNNNNNNNNNNNNNNNNNNNNNNNNNNNNNNNNNNNNNNNNNNNNNNNNNNNNNNNNNNNNNNNNNNNNNNNNNNNNNNNNNNNNNNNNNNNNNNNNNNNNNNNNNNNNNNNNNNNNNNNNNNNNNNNNNNNNNNNNNNNNNNNNNNNNNNNNNNNNNNNNNNNNNNNNNNNNNNNNNNNNNNNNNNNNNNNNNNNNNNNNNNNNNNNNNNACCACAUAAAAGGGCUUUAAAAGAAACGCCAAAGUCGGGCGUCUGAGCGACACCACAUAAAGGGCUUUAAAAGAAAUACCACAGUUGGGCAUCUAAGCGACACCACAUAAAGGGCUUUAAAAGAAAUGCCACAGUCGGGUGUCUGAGCGACACCACAUAAAGGGCUUUAAAAGAAAUGCCACAGUCGGGCGUCUGAGCGACACCACAUAAAGGGCUUUAAAAGAAACAAUCAUAAUGAAUAUCCCGGAGGUAGAACCAUCCCAGAGAUAUUCGGUAAUAACAAUAAUAUCACGGGUUAGUCAACAAUAAUAAUAAUCAUACAUAUCACAAGUCACAAGCAGUAAUUCCAUUUCUGGUUAACCGUUUCACCCCCGAAGACCGACGCUAAGACCGACACCUGACCCAUCCCAGACUGUAAUCCUUAACCAUGGACACAGCUAUUCGAAUAGGUUUAUUCUCUGCAGAGGGUGUACUCUUUACCCACGAGUAACGGAGUUCUCUAGUCCAGCAGGACUAAUUCCGUCUACGGUCUUUUUGUUGAAAACACACCUAACUUGCACACACCAGCUUAUUUCACACGUGUCUGGAAUCACCCACGACACAUGUUAAGCAAACUCUAAGGGGUGGCCUCCCCUCUCGGUCCCAACCGGAAACACCCAUGCCCCCGGACCAGGUGGCCUGCCUACGAGCUACAACCGGUAUCUUCCACCAUGGCCUCUCUGUACGGUGUGUGCUAGAAAGAGGUUGACAACUUCCUGAACCGUACUCUACUUGCUGUAGAGACGAGUGGUAGUACGAAGCAAGUAUGGGGUUUACUGGAACAAGACUCGAUCUACGGUCGACUCAGGAGGUUUAAGUAUUCCCUGCAUGAUUAGCAUAACGAUUAUAUUUCAUCCAACAGAGUCACCUCUCAUAUCACCUUACCAUGCCAUACCAGACAUAACCGUCCCGACGGAGACCGGCGACAAACUCAUGCCUACCCAAGGCAGAGGUUUUCCCGGGUUCCUGCCGGUAUGCAUGCAAGGCAUAUGAGGGUGAUUAUCAUCACAAGUGUGUUCAUUACCAACAGCAUGGAAAUCAAUAACAUGCACCUAUGCAUAUGAUCAUAUCACAUGAAAUAACAAGUCCUUCGAAAUGCGGUGGUGUUAUAAAUGUAUCAACGAUCACACCAAAAAAUAUUAUGCCGGGGGUUCAGAAUGCUUGCCUUCAAUGUGUGGAAAGGCAGGGUGCACUCCAAAACUUUUGAAAGUUUCUUCUCUCUCCCCAAAAUCCUAUUUAAAAAUAUAUUUGAAUUAACACAUAUUUCAAAAACAGAACCAAAAAGUUGUUUGAAAAUUUUUCAAUUAAAUCUUAAAAUAAACUAGACCAAAUUUAAGGAAGGUAGGAAAAAGAGUCAACUCAUUUGGAGUUAUAUUUAAAAAGUUAUAGCCAGUCAAAGAUUUGGUGAAAUCUGUUUUUAAAAUAAGACAGAAAAGAAAACGAUUCAGAUAGAAAUACGCUUUCGGUGCAGAGGAGGCGUACUUGAGGCUUUACGCCUCCACUUAACCACGUGGACGGCGCGGGGUGUCACUGGCAGUGGGCCUGCCUGGCCCACUGGUCAGGUUUGACCAGUCGCCGCGCGUCGUCUCCCUCCUUUGCCCGAGCGGAGUGGGGCUCCGGCGAUCGUCGCCGGCGUUUGGCUGCUCCUCGCGGGCCCCCGAGGGUGGGGAUGGAUCCGUAAGGUUGGGGCGGUCCUCCCGGUAGUCGUUGGGUCGGCGGGGACGGAGUGAGCUGCCGGCGGCGAGCUCCGCGGCGGAAGAAGGCUUCGGUGGCGAAGUGACUUUGUGGCGGCGUUGGCUCCCGAUCAAAAUCAAGUAGGGGAAAAGGCUCACGGGAGGAUGUGGAAGCUCUUGGUGAAGAGAACGGAGAGGGGGAAGCCCUGAUGGCGCCGGAGUGAAAGAGAUAGUGGCGGCGGCAGGAGUUGCCGGAGAUGAGGAAGGCGGUGUUUCCCUGACGAUUGCGGGAUAUGGGGGUCCCAUGGGGGUGGCCUGAGGUUGCGUGCGUGCUCAGAGGGGCUCGGGGUGUCUAUUUAUAGCGCGACGAGGUCGGUUCCGCGGCGGCCGUGGAUAAGCUCUCCGGCAAACCGCCUCUCUGUGGCUAGGGCGACGUGGCGGCGACGAGCGCUAGGGGACGAAGCUGUGGAUGAGCACGCACUGCUCACAGGGGCAGGUGGCGAGUGGGAGUGGCUUGGGCGGCACCGACAUGGCCAGAGGCUGUCGGGCGGCGGCGGCAGCUAGCGCUUGGCCUGUCGGGCGCGGCGGGGCUGCUUGGCGUGUUGCGGUGAGAAGGGGAGUGCGUGGCGAGGUGCUGCAGAGCGGGCCAAAGCCGUGGGGCCAGUGUGUCAGCUCGGGCGCGGGUCGUGCAAUACGCGCGCUCUGCUCGUGCUCCGGGCGCGCACGGGACGUGUUCGACACUAUGCCAGAGCACGCUAGAGGUCGCGGUCGAGGCUGGCAAUUAACAGACCCAGGUUAGGAGCAACUGGAAUCCUAGUGGACAUGCUAGUAUGAUCCGAGGUGCAAGGUCACAAUGCAAAGACAAAAUCAUGUCAAAACUGGCCAUGCACACCAGGUGUUUGACAAAAUGUUAAAGGCUUCUAAGCAACUCUUGGGGUGGACCAAAUCUCCAGAUCAAGAUCUCCUUAGAUGCAAGAGAGAGUGGUGAGGUUAUUUGGCCAAAAGCAGAAACUUGCUAGUGUAAUUUUAGCAGAAUUUCAAUUCUGGACAGGGAAUAGAUGACAUUAUUUCAUGAACCAAAAAUGAUCCAAAAGGUGCAUGCUCCUGGACUUAAGGGUUUAACAUGGGGGACUACAAGUAGGAGAAAUAAUCAAGGGUUAAAGAGCAAGUAAAAACAUGGUUGCUGUACAAACCAUCAAGUUGGUCCAGAAUGAAGAUGAGGUUGAUUCACUCAAAUUUUUCAAAGAACAUAAAUAGGUUUUUGCACAAAGUGAUAUAAUAGGCUCCUACUGACCUCCCCUAAUUUUGGUAGAAGUUUUAAAGAAAUAUUUAAAUAGGUUGUAGUGCAAAAUGCACUCUGGACCAGAGAAGAAAAAUUGAGUGUAGGGCUCAAAAUAUUUCAUGAAUGAAAUAUAUUUUUGCAUAAAAGUGAUUUAAAAACAUCACAUGACAUCUCCAAAUUUUUGUGGGAAUUUUAAGUGGAUUUAUCAAAUGGUUGUAGUUCAAAUAAGGCCAUUUAACCUUAAAAAAACCAUUUUUCAAGAAAACAAUGAUCAACCAACUAAAUUAGUUAAUUAGUUAUAUUGGAUAAGGGAAAGUUUUACUUGAGAGGUUAAUCAAGUCCAAUAACACAUUUGAAAAGUUUUCGCUCUGGGAAAAACUCAUAAUAACAGGGAAGGAAAUGAUUUAAAAAUCAAAAAUGGAGCUCAAAAAUUCAAAGUUUUAAAUCCUGGCAAAAUUUUAUUCCAUUAAAACAAGGCCAAAUUUUGGGGUGUCACACAUCGGUUUUUUUUCUAGGGUUGGGUGUCCUCGAGAGUUUUGGUCGAGCGAGAGGGGGUGGCCUCGAGAGAGUUUGUCGGGUAGGGGUGCGGCGGGAGGGGGUAGGAGACCGACAUCGUUUUUUUCUAGGGUUUGGGUGUCCUCGAGAGUUUUGGUAUAAGUUAUCACAGUCGAGAGGGGGUAAUAUCGAUAACGACGACAUACAUACACCGGAAAAUAAUGUUAUCGGGGAGGGGGUUAUCGACCCCCCACGUGUUGAAGUUAUCGGGAGGGGGUUAUAUCGACAACAACGACAUACGUACAUGGGAAAAUAAUAUUAUCGGGGAGGGGGUAUAUCGACCCCCCUCAUGUUGAAGUUAUCGGGAGGGGUAUAUCGAUGACGAAAGACCCGAUAAAACAUAAGAAAAUGAAGAAGAAAUAAAAAGAGGAGAAGAAGAAAGGAACAGAGGAGAAGAUCAAAGAAAAAAAAAGAAGAAAAAAAAGAAUUUUUUUCUUCUUCUCCUCUAUUCCUUUCUUCUUCUCCUCUUCUUUUUCUUCUAUUUUCCUCUUCUUAUUUAUUUCUCCUCUUCUCCUCCUUUCUUCCUCUUCUUAUUUUCCUUUUUCCUCUCAUUCUUUUAGUAUUGCUUGUUUAAAAAAAAAUCAAAUAGAAAAUUUUGAAAAAAGUAAAGGUUUUGCCUAUUGCAUUGUUAAUAUGAAUAUACAAACAUUUGCAUAUUCUACAAUAAUUAAUAUCACCAAAAAAAUCUAUGAACAAAAAAAAUCCUAACUUUUCUAAAAAUCUAUCUUUUGCAUAUAUACAUGAACAUAUAUAUACAUAGAGAACAUAUAUACAUACAUAUAUACAUUUUUAUAAAAAUGCAAAAAUCAAAAGAUCUAAAAAAAGGACAUAUAAACAGAUAUACACACAUACAUAGACUCAUACAUAUUCAUAUAAUCAGGAAAAAACAUCAUAUAUAUGUGCAGAAAAAACAGGGAGGAAGGGGGCGGUGCAGGCCCUGACCAAAGGAUGAGAGGUGCGGCGUGGUCGUGGUAGGGGCAGAGGCACGACGCGCGUCAGGGUAGAUGCGACGGCGGCAUGGUCGGGGCAGGGCAGAGACGACGACGGCGUGGUCGAGGCAGGGCGAGGCAGAGGCGACGACGGCGUGGUCGGGGCAGCUAGGGCGACGACGACGUGGUCGGGGGAGGGGCGCGCGGCGUGGUCGGGGCGGGCCGCCGACGGCGUGCUCAGGGCAGGAGCGGCUGCGCGUCGACGAGGUAGCAGAGGGCGGCGACGGUGUUGAUGGGGCGAGCUCGGGCAGCAUGGCGGCGGCGUCGGGGCGGGGGAACUGAUGCAGAUGAAUCUGAAAAACGCGAAGUGCUUUCUUAUAUACUGAGAGCGUUGGUCCUUGUUCGUGGCACCAACCUGGACCAAUGCCACCCUUUAGUCCCGGUUGGUGGCACCAACCGGGACCAAAGGUCUCUUUUCAGUAGCCCAAAGUGCAGGAAGCGGCGGCCUUUGGUCCCGGUUGGUAGCACCAACCGGGACUAAAGGGCGGACAUUGGUAUCGGUUGGUGCCACGAACCGGUACCAAUGUCACGGCCAAAGUUUAGUCCCACCUCGCUAGCUGAGAGAGCUCGAAAGUGGUUUAUAAGCGCUGCUGCGCCCACCCUCUCGAGCUCCUCUCAAUUGUAGGCUUUCAAGCCUAACCGUACGCUGUAGGCCUGUGGGCCUACAGGGCCUCCUGCGGGCCUGAAUCGCGGCCCAUGGUAGGGUUUCUAGUCGUAUUCAGGCCGUGGGGGCCCAGUAGGUGGCACUUUUUUUCUUUGUUUCUUUAUUUAUUUUAUUUGUUUCUACUUACAACUAAAUACUUAUUGUUGCUCUUUUUAUUUAUUUUAUUAAAGUUUAUUUUUAAUUUUUUUUCUUUUAGGUCACCAAAAUUAUAAACUUUCUAUUAGUUCCAUUAGUUUUCAAUUUUGAAUAGUUAAAAUUACUGUGUUUAAUAUUACUAUGUUUAAAAUUCAAAGUUUUUUUCCAGUUUUUUUGUUUUGUUUUUUGCAUUAUUUAUUUUCUUUUGUUUUUUGCUUUAUUUUUUAAUUCUUUUUUUCUUUUAGGUCAGCAAAAUUAUAAACUAUAGAGAAAAUUUGAAUUCGUUGAAAUUUGUGUGAAUCACAAGUUUGUGAUUAACUUUCCUAAAAAAAUGAGCAUAGAUGCGCCUAUAGAGAAAAUUCAACCUAAAUUCAUAAUAAAUUUCUAUGAAUUUCAGAGAAUUUCAGUAUGAAUUUAGGUCAAAUUCCCUGUAUAAGGGCAUCUAUUUUCACUUUGAGAGGAGCUCAACAAGGCAGAGCGGGAGGGGCUUAUAAACCGGUGUGAGUGCCCUUCGGUUGGCGAGGUGGGACUAAACUCUGACCGCAACGAGGAUCAACCCUUUAGUACCGGUUUGUGGCACAAACCGGGACUAAUGGUCAUGGGCCAGGGGCAAGGCGCAUUGGUCCCGGUUCGUGCGUGGGACCGGGACCAAAAGGUCCAGACGAACCGGGACCAAUGGCCCACGUGGCUGCCCUCUUGAGUGUUCUUGGUGAGAACAUAGUUGACAAUGAGCGAACCGGGAUUAAUGGUAUUAUGAGGGCCGAACCAUAAGACAUUAAAGCAUUUCAAAUGAACUCUGAAAAAGUUGAAAGUUGGCAUGGUAUCAUAAUUUCACCCACAUAGCAUGUGCAUGUACAAAACGGACAAUGGUAUCAUACUUGUCUGUUACAAAGUUGGCAUGGUAUCAUCAUAAUAGUUGCGGGAGAAAGUCUUCAAUUUGUCUUCGCUUGUGUCAUUUGCUUAUUGCGCCGUAACCAUGGAUAAUCUUCAUCGUUUAUCAGGAUGCUUGGGUCAGCCUUGACUUUGAAGGGAGGAAUUUCAUGAAACUUUUCAUAAUCUUCAGACAUGUUUGUCUUGCCCUCCACUCCCAUGAUGUCCCUUUUUCCUGAAAGAACUAUGUGGCACUUUGGCUCAUCGUAUGAUGUAUUCACUUCCUUAUCUUUUCUUUUUCUCGGUUUGGUAGACAUGUCCUUCACAUAGAUAACCUAUGCCACAUCAUUGGCUAGGAUGAACGGUUCGUCAGUGUACCCAAGAUUUUUCAGAUCCACUGUUGUCAUUCCGUACUGUGGGUCUACUUGUACCCCGCCUCCUGACAGAUUGACCCAUUUGCACUUAAACAAAGGGACCUUAAAAUCAUGUCCAUAGUCAAGUUCCCAUAUGUCCACUAUGUAACCAUAAUAUGUGUCCUUUCCCCUCUCGGUUGCCGCAUCAAAGCGGACACCGCUGUUUUGGUUGGUGCUCUUUUGAUCUUGUUCAAUCGUGUAAAAUGUAUUCCCAUUUAUCUCGUAUCCUUUGUAAAUCAAUACAGUCAAGGAUGGUCCCCUAGACAACAAGUACAACUCAUCACAAACAGUCUUGUCACCUCUGAGACGUGUGUCCAACCAACUGCUGAAUGUCCUGAUGUGUUCACAUGUAAUCCAGUCGUCGCACUGCUCCGAGUGUUUGGAGCGCAGACUGUUCUUGUGUUCAUCGACAUACGGGGUCACCAAGGUAGAGUUCUGUAGAACUGUGUAGUGUGCUUGAGACCAAGAAUAUCCGUCCAUGCAUAUUAUUGAGUCCCCUCCAAGCGUGCCUUUUCCAGUCAGUGUCCCCUCAUACCGCGAUUUAGGGAGACCUAUCUUCUUAAGGCCAGGAAUGAAGUCAACACAAAACCCAAUGACAUCCUCUGUUUGAUGGCCCAUGGAGAUGCUUCCUUCUGGCCUAGCAUGGUUACGGACAUAUUUCUUUAGGACUCCCAUGAACCCCUCAAAGGGGAACAUAUUGUGUAGAAAUACGGGCCCCAGAAUGACAAUCUCGUCGACUGGAUGAACUAGGACGUGCGUCAUGAUAUUGAAGAAGGCUGGUGGGAACACCAUCUCGAAACUGACAAGACAUUGCGCCACAUCACUCCUUAUCCUUGGUAUGAUUUCUGGAUUGAUCACCUUCUGAGAUAUUGCAUUGAGAAAUGCACAUAGCUUCACAAUUGCUAAUCAGACGUUUUCCAGUAGAAGCCCACUUAAUGCAACCGGAAGCAGUUGCGUCAUAAUCACGUGGCAGUCAUGAGAUUUUAGGUUCUGGAACUUUUUCUUUGGCAUAUUAAUUAUUCCCUUUAUAGUCGACGAGAAGCCAGUUGGGACCUUCAUACUGAGCAGGCAUUCAAAGAAGAUUUCUUUGUCUUCUUUCCUAAGAGCGUAGCUGGUAGGACCUUCAUACUGCUAAGGAGGCAUGCCAUCUUUUUCGUGCAAGUGCUGCAGGUCCUCACGUGCCUCAGGUGUAUCUUUUGUCUUCCCAUACACGCCCAAGAAGCCUAGUAGGUUCACGCAAAGGUUCUUCAUCACGUGCAUCACGUCGAUUGAAGAGCGGACCUCUAGGUAUUUUCGGUAGGGUAGGUCCCAAAAUAUAAAUUACUUCUUCCACAUAGGUGCGUGUCCCUCAGCGUCAUUCGGAAUAGUUAGUCCACCGGGACCCUUUCCAAAGAUUACGUGUAAAUCAUUGACCAUAGCAAGUAUGUGAUCACCGGUACGCAUGGCGGGCUUCUUCCGGUGAUCUGCCUCGCCUUUGAAAUGCUUUCCUUUCUUUCUACAUUGAUGGUUGGUCGGAAGAAAUCGAUGAUGGCCCAGGUACACAUUCUUCCUGCAGCUUCCCAGGUAUAUACUUUCUGUGUCAGCUAAACAGUGCGUGCAUGCGUGGUAUCCCUUGUUUGUCUGUCCUGAAAGGUUACUGAGAGCGGGCCAAUCGUUGAUGGUCACGAACAGCAACGCCUUUAGGUCAAAUUCCUCCUAUUUGUGCUCAUCCCACGUACGUACACCGUUUCCAUUCCACAGUUGUAAAAUUUCUUCAACUAAUGGCCUUAGGUACGCAUCAGCGUCGUUGCCGAGUUGCUUAGGGCCUUGGAUGAGAACUGGCAUCAUAAUGAACUUUCACUUCAAGUACAUCCAAGGAGGAAGGUUAUACAUACAUAGAGUCACGGGCCAGGUGCUGUGAUUGCUGCUCUGCUCCCCGAAAGGAUUAAUGUCAUCCGCGCUUAAAGCAAACCAUACGUUCCUUGGGUCACUUGCAAACUCAUCCCAGUACUUCCUCUCGACUUUUCUCCAAUGUGACCCGUCAGCGGGUGCUCUCAACUUCCCGUCUUUCUUACGGUCCUCACUGUGCCAUCGCAUCAACUUGGCAUGCUCUCUGUUUCUGAACAGACGUUUCAACUUUGGUAUUAUAGGAUCAUACCACAUCACCUUCGCAGGAACCCUCUUUCUGGGGGGCUCGCCGUCAACAUCACCAUGGUCAUCUCGUCUGAUCUUAUACCGUAAUGCACCGCAUACCGGGCAUGCGUUCAGAUCCUUGUAUGCACCGCGGUAGAGGAUGCAGUCAUUAGGGAAUGCAUGUAUCUUCUGCACGUCCAAUCCUAGAGGGCAUACGACCUUCUUUGCUGCGUAUGUAAUGUCGGGCAAUUCGUUAUCCUUUGGAAGCUUCUUCUUCAAUAUUUUUAGUAGCUUCUCAAAUCCUUUGUCAGGCACAGCAUUCUCUGCCUUCCACUGCAGCAAUUCCAGUACGGUACCGAGCUUUGUGUUGCCAUCUUCGCAAUUGGGGUACCACUACUAGAAAAACCGCUACUAAUGGCGCACCUAAUUUGGCCAUUAAUGGCGCAUCACCGGUGCGCCAUUACUAGCACGCCAUUAGUAAUUUUUACUAAUGGCGCACCAGUGGUGCGCCAUUAGUAUCUGGUAUACUAAUGGNNNNNNNNNNNNNNNNNNNNNNNNNNNNNNNNNNNNNNNNNNNNNNNNNNNNNNNNNNNNNNNNNNNNNNNNNNNNNNNNNNNNNNNNNNNNNNNNNNNNNNNNNNNNNNNNNNNNNNNNNNNNNNNNNNNNNNNNNNNNNNNNNNNNNNNNNNNNNNNNNNNNNNNNNNNNNNNNNNNNNNNNNNNNNNNNNNNNNNNNNNNNNNNNNNNNNNNNNNNNNNNNNNNNNNNNNNNNNNNNNNNNNNGAGGGGAGGGGAGGGGAGGGGAGGAGGGAGGAGGGAGGAGGGAGGUCGCCGGAGAGGAGGAGGAGGUCACCGGAGAGGAGAAGUAUGGUGGAGGAGAGAAGGGAAGAUGAAAUGAAGAGAGGAGGAGAGGACCAGCCAUAUAUACGGCAUACUAAUGGCGCACCGCGGGCAGGUGCGCCAUUAGUAAUUUUUUUUAUUUAUUUUGAAUUUUGAAGGCGGGAAGAUACUAAUGGCGCACCAUGGUCAGGUGCGCCAUUAGUAAUUUUUUUUAUUUUUUUGACUUAUUUUGAAUUUUGAAGGAGGGAAGAUACUAAUGGCGCACCAUGGGCAGGUGCGCCAUUAGUAAGUUUGAAUUUUUUUGAUUUUUUUUGCCUCUCUAGAUCUUAAAAGCCCCGUAUCUUUUUUUCUGUUAGGUUUUUGAGGAUUUUGGAAAUGUUUAACGGGGAUCCCCCAGUUAAAUUUGGAUGUAACUUUUCGAGUAGAUGAUUUUUCAUAUAAAAAACUUUUUCAUCCGAGUUAGUAUGCAAAAGUUAUGCCCAUUUUUACAAAUUCUCGCGAGAUUUUGCAAAUGAAGUCAAAAUUCAUAUUUGCAAAUUUUCCCAACAACUAGGCCACAUAUCACAUGGGAAACUUAUUUUCUUUUAUUUUUUUGACAUUUUUAUCAUUUUGUUUUAUUUUUUUUNNNNNNNNNNGAGGAGGGAGGAGGGAGGUCGCCGGAGAGGAGGAGGAGGUCACCGGAGAGGAGAAGUAUGGUGGAGGAGAGAAGGGAAGAUGAAAUAAAGAGAGGAGGAGAGGACCACCAUAUAUACGGCAUACUAAUGGCGCACCGCGGGCAGGUGCGCCAUUAGUAAUUUUUUUUUAUUUUUUUGAUUUAUUUUGAAUUUUGAAGGCGGGAAGAUACUAAUGGCGCACCAUGGGCAGGUGCGCCAUUAGUAAUUGUUCUUUUAUUUUUUUGACUUAUUUUGAAUUUUGAAGGAGGGAAGAUACUAAUGGCGCACCAUGGUCAGGUGCGCCAUUAGUAACUUUUUUUUAUUUUUUUGACUUAUUUUGAAUUUUGAAGGCGGGAAGAUAGUAAUGGCGCACCAUGGGUAGGUGCGCCAUUAGUAAGUUUGAAUUUUUUUGAUUUUUUUUGCCUCUCCAGAUCUUAAAAGCCCCGUAUCUUUUUUUCUGUUAGGUUUUUGAGGAUUUUGAAAAUGUUUAACGGGGUUCCCCCGGUUAAAUUUGGAUGUAAAAAACUUUUUCAUCCGAGUUAGUAUGCAAAAGUUAUGCCCAUUUUUACAAAUUCUCGCGAGAUUUUGCAAAUGAAGUCAAAAUUCAUAUUUGCAAAUUUUCCCAACAACUAGGCCACAUAUCACAUGGGAAACUUAUUUUCUUUUAUUUUUUUGACAUUUUUAUCAUUUUCUUUUAUUUUUUUAAAAACUGAAAAGGCGAUCCAGGGGGGGUGCAUUCGGUGGAAGUGGUGGCCAAGGUUACUAAUGGCGCACCGUGGCAUGGUGCGCCAUUACUAGUUCAACUAGUAAUGGCGCACCACUCCCAUGGUGCGCCAUUAGUAGUUUUGAACAAAAUUUUAAAAAAAUAUUUUUGCUAAUGGCGCACCGUGGAUGUGGUGCGCCAUUAGUAUUUGGACACUAAUGGCGCACCAACACAUAGUGCACCAUUAGUAUAUAGUAAUGGCGCACCACAUGUCUGGUGCGCCAUUAGUGUCAAUUCCAUCUAUAGCCCUUUUCCUAGUAGUGUACAACCCUUUUUUUAUCCUCUAACAUGUGAUCGAACUUCAGCUUCUCCUUUUGACUUUCGCAUUGCGUCCUUGCAUCGACAAUGACCCGGUGGAGAUCAUCAUCAUCAGGCACAUCGUCUGGUUCCUCUUGAUCUUCAGUAGCUUCCCCCGUUGCAGCAUCAUUGGGCACAUCAUCUGGUUCCUCUUGAUCUUCAACAGCUUCCCCCGUUGCAGCAUCACCGUAUUCAGGGGGCACAUAGUUGUCAUCGUCCUCUUCUUCUUCGCCGUCUUCCAUCAUAACCCCUAUUUCUCUGUGCCUCGUGCAAACAUUAUAGUGUGGCAUGAAACCAUUGUAAAGCAGGUGGGUGUGAAGGAUUUUCCGGUCAGAAUAAGACUUCGUAUUCCCACAUUUAGGGCAUGGACAACACAUAAAACCAUUCUGCUUGUUUGCCUCAGCCACUUUGAGAAAAUCAUGCACGCCCUUAAUGUACUCGGAGGUGUGUCUGUCACCGUACAUUCAUUGCCGGUUCAUCUGCGUGCAUUAUAUAUAAUUAAGUGUGUCAAAAACCAUUACAGAACAUCAUGAGUUGAUAAUUAAGUGACCAAAUUAAUAGAAGUUCAUCAUCACAUCAAAACCAAAGUAUAUACAUAGUUCUCAUCUAACAACAUAAAGCUCUCCAGAGCAUCUAAAUUAAUUAAACCAUACAUUGAAACUAUGUAAAACAUUUCAAUGCAAAAACAAAUGCGAUCAUAAUCGCAACCAAGGUAACAAUUGAUCCAACGACAUAAUGAUACCAAGCCUCGGUAUGAAUGGCAUAUUUCCUAAUCUUUCUAAUCUUCAAGCGCACUGCAUCCAUCUUGAUCUUGUGAGCAUCGACGACAUCCACAACAUGCAACUCCAAUAUCAUCUUCUCCUCCUCAAUUUUUUUUAUUUUUUCCUUCAAGAAAUUGUUUUCUUCUUCAACUAAAUUUAACCUCUCGACAAUAGGGUCGGUUGGAAUUUUCGGUUCACAUAGCUCCUAGAUAAAUAAAAUCUAUGUCACGUUGGUCGGCAUAAUUUUCAUAAACAAUAAAUGAAGCAAUAGUUAUAAAGAUAAUAUAUACCACAUCCGAAUCAUAGACAGGAUGAGGGCCGACGGGGGCGGAUACCAAAACCAUCGCACUAUAUAAUAACAAGAAAUAAAAUAGUAAGAAAAUUAAACAAGUAUCUAUCUAAAGAAAGAAUUUUUUUUCUUUCAGAAAGAAGAUAAGAAGAAGAGGCUCACCACGGUGGUGCCGGCGACGAGAUCAGCGCGGGCGAUCGACGACAGUGAAGACGGGGACGGGGCGUGACGGGCCGCUAAUAUAAACCUAGACAAAUCUCGGAAAAAUAGAGUUCGGAGGUCGUGCUUAGAGAGGAGAAAGCUUAACUAGUGUGGCUCGGGCAUUUCAUCGAACACCUCAUGUGCAUAGGAGGUGAGCUAGAGCACCACAAAGCCCUCCCCUCCCCGGCCAGAGAAAAACAGAGCAGUGGAGUGGUCUGCUCGCAGGCGAGGGGUAUAUAUAGGCACCUCAAUGGUCCCGGCACGAACCGGGACUAAAGGGCAGCCUAUUGUCCCGGUUCAAGCCACCAACCGGGACCAAUGGUGGUGGGCCAGGAGCCAGGCCCAUUGGUCCCGGUUCGUCCCACGAAGCGGGACCAAAAGGUCCAGACGAACCGGGACCAAUGGCCCACGUGGCCCGGCUGGCCCCCUGGGCUCAUGAACCGGGACCAAUGCCCUCAUGGGUCCCGGUUUUGGACUGAACCGGGACUAAUGGGCUGACCCGGCCUGAACCUAAGCCCUAUUUUCUACUAGUGCUUGGACAAGCAUCCCACUUAUGAUUAACCCCUAUUGCAAGAAUCCGCAACUACAAAACAAGUAUUAAGGUAAACCUAACCAUAGCAUGAAACUAGUGGAUCCAAAUCAGCCCCUUACGAAGCAACGCAUAAACUAGGGUUUAAGCUUCUGUCACUCUAGCAACCCAUCAUCUACUUAUUACUUCCCAAUGCCUUCCUCUAUUCCCAAAUAAUGGUGAAGUGUCAUGUAGUCGACGUUCACAUAACACCACUAGAGGAGAGACAACAUACAUCUCAUCAAAAUAUCGAACGAAUACCAAAUUCACAUGACUACUAAUAGCAAGACUUCACCCAUGUCCUCAGGAACAAACGUAACUACUUACAAAGUAUAUUCAUGUUCAUGAUCAGAGGAGUAUUAAUAUGCAUUAAGGAUCUGAACAUAUGAUCUUCAACCAAAUAAACCAAUUAGCAUCAACUACAAGGAGUAAUCAACACUACUAGCAACCCACAGGUACCAAUUUGUGAUUUUGAUACAAGAUUGGAUACAAGAGAUGAACUAGGGUUUGAGAGGAGAUGGUGCUGGUGAAGAUGUUGAUGGAGAUUGACCCCCUAUCAAUGAGAGGAUCGUUGGUGAUGACGGUGGUGAUGAUUUCCCCCUCCCAGAGGGAAGUUUCCGUGGCAGAACAGCUCCGCCGGAGCCCUAGAUUGGUUCCGCCUCGUGGCGGCGGAGUUUCAUCCCGUAAGCUUGCUUAUGAUUUUUUCCAGGGUAGAAGACUUCAUAUAGCAUAAGAUGGGCACCGGAGGGCCACCAGGGGGCCCAUGAGGCAGGAGGGCGCGUCCAGUAGGGGUGGGCGCGCCCCCCACCCUCGUGGCCAGGGUGUGGGCCCCCUCUGGUACUUCUUUCGCUCAAUAAUUCUUAUUAAUUCCAAAAAUGACUUUCAUGGAGUUUGAGGACUUUUGGAGCUGUGUAGAAUAGGUUUCCAAUAUUUGCUCCUUUUCGAGCCCAGAAUCCCAACUGUCGGCAUUCUCCCUCAUCAUGAUAAACCUUGUAAAAUAAGAGAGAAUAGCCAUAAUUACCGUGAGAUAACGUGUAAUAACAUCCCAUAAUGCAAUAAAUAUCGAUAUAAAAGCAUGAUGCAAAAUGGAUGUAUCAACUCCCCCAAGCUUAGACCUCGCUUGUCCUCAAGCGGAAGCCGAUAUCGAAAAAUAUGUCCACAUGUUUAGAGAUAGAGGUGUUGAUAAAAAUAAAAUACGGACAUGAGGGCAUCAUGAUCAUUCUUAUAACAACAACAUAUAUAGAUUUUUCAUAUGAUUUCUCAUGCUCAUGUAACAAUCUAUUCACAAUCUCAAGUAUGGUUCAGAAACUUCAUUGAGAACUAACAAACUAUAAUCUCAGUAAUUGAAGCAAUUGCAAUUUGUCAUAACAUCAGAAAGAGUCAAAAAUAGAGCUUUUCAGCAAGUCCACAUACUCAACUAUCAUAUAGUCUUCCACAAUUGCUAACACUCACGCAAUACUUAUGGUUCUAGAGUUUUAAUCGGACACAGAGAAAGAUAGGGGCUUAUAGUGUUUCCUCCCAAUGUUUUACCUCAAGGGUAAUGUCAACUAUAAUAGUUCAUGCUAACUUACAUCCAAUUGGAUAUAUAUAUAUAUAUAUCAGGAUCUUUCCAACGCGAGGUGCUUGCCAAAGGAUAAAGUGAAAAAGGGAAAGGUGAGGAACACCUUGACUCUUGCAUAAUGUAAAAGACAUAAAGUAAAAGAUAGGCCCUUCGCAGAGGCAAGCAGAGGUUGUCAUGUGCUUUUUUUGUUGGAUGCACGAAAUCUUAAUGCAAAAGAACGUCAGUUUAUAUUGCCACUUGUGAUAUGAAGCUUUAUUAUGCAGUCCGUCACUUUUAUUAUUUCCAUAUCACAUGAUCGUAUAAAGCUUAUUUUCUCCGCACUAAUAAGUCAUACAUAUUUAGAGAGCAAUUUUUAUUGCUUGCAACAUGACAACUUACUUGAAGGAUCUUACUCAAUCCAUAGGUAGGUAUGGUGGACUCUCAUGGCAAAAAAUGGGUUUAAGGAUAUUUUGAAGCACAAGUAGCAUCUCUACUUGGUGCAAGGAAUUUGGCUAGUAUGAGAGGGAAAGGCAAGCUCAACAUGUUUGAAUGAUCCAUGACAAUAUAAUUUAACGGAGACGUGAGAAAACAUAACCCAUUAUGUUGUCUUCCUUGUCCAACAUCAACUCUUUACCAUGUCAUACUUUAAUGAGUGCUCACAAUCAUAAAAGAUGUCCAAGAUAGUAUAUUUAUAUGUGAAAACCUCUCUUUCUUUAUUACUUCCUAUUAAUUGCAAUGAUGACCAAAACUAUGUUUGCCAACUCUCAACAACUUUUAAGCCUCAUACUCUUUAUAUGUGAAGUCAUUACUAUCCAUAAGAUCAAUAUGAACUCUUUUAUUUCUUUUUAUUCUUUCUAUUUUCUCAAGAUCAUAGCAAGAUAGCAAAGCCCUUGACUCAACACUAAUCUUUAUUAUAUAUAGUUCACGGACUCGAUUACAUAGAGGGAUCGCAAAGCAAAACUCAAAACUAAUACAUACCAAAGAUUUAUUCUACUAGAUUUAGAUAUUACCAAAAGGAUCGAACUAAGUAAAAAACUGUAAAGGUAGGAGUGUGAUGGUGAUACGAUACCGGGGCAUCUCCACCAACACUACUAGGGAAAACCCUAGCAGUAGCGCUGGUUUUUUGCUCACUAGUAGCGCGGGUAGGCGCGCUACUAAUAAGGCGCUACAACUAUUGCUUAGCAGUAACGCGUGCCGGCGCGCUCUACUGCUAGGACAAAUAGCUGCAGCAUUUGUUCACCCCCACGCUACUGCUAAUAAAACUAGUGGCAGCGCGUUUUCUCUCCAUCGCUACUAGUAUUCAUUUUUUAUUUUUUUAUUUUUAGUGUAUUUAUGCGGUUUUCUCUCCUCGUACAAAUAUUGGUACAAUACCAGUUAUGAGGUUUACAUCAUUAUGUCCAUAACAGCGUGUCAAAUGAAGGUGGAUUAGGCUCAAGUGGAGGCAAUAUGUGGUGCAUGUCAAAAGUAUAGUACUAAUCCAAACUUGAUCUAGUUUGGACUAGUAGUACUUUCAAUGUGCACCACAUGUUGCCUCCACUUGAAUCUAAUCCGCCAGCACAAGCUAUUUAAUCAUCAUCAUAGUCAUUAUCACCAACAAUAUUUUUUUAAUCACCAAUAACACUAGCUAAUAAUAAUCAUCAUAGUCAUUACCACCAACACUAGCUAUUUUAUCAUCAUAGUAAUAGUGUAGCACAUCAUCAUCUUCAAACUCAUUUCUAGCUAGCUAAUCACUCCUGCUGCUCUCUCGCAGGUAAAAUAACAUAAAACAUGUAUAGCUCUCCUCCGUGAUCAAGGUGGAGCAUGCAGAUGAACCUAUCUCCUAAUCGUGGGUAGCGCAUCUGUUUGCUGCCCCCUAGUACUUCUCUGCGCUCCCCCAUCACAUAUUUGGUCCAGUCUUGCACUAUUAAGCAUCCGUCGCUAAUCUUGAAUGCACUAAAGUAAUCUAUAGGAUAUCUUGGCCGUAUGCUAAUAAUACUCAUGGUGCCUUUAGUCCCGAUCCCAUAAGGCACAACAUUCAUCGGGACUCCCUGUUGAAGAACAUCGUAUGGUAACAUACUUAGCAAUGAAGUUUAGCUUCAAAAAUAAUGUAUGGAAAAGAUGCACUGAGGACAAAAAUAAUGCAUGGAAAAGUUUAGCUUCCUAAAUAGAUGUGACCGUAGUUCAGUACGAACACUAUUGGUCGCAUGUUUUCAGUACUAACAUUUCUAAAUGCAAGAAGAAAAUUUGUCUUGACAGUAUCAAGAUCCGCAAGCGAUGAAACAUAAUGACUGAGCUCCUCGCAGUUGAGUUCAGCCCCGGCACAGUAUACGGUCCUGUCUACCAAGCGCUGGACAUGUUUGCUUGCACCGAAAUAAGCUAUCAAUAGAAAUUAAUUGUCAACUAUUUUUGAAUAAACAAUAUCAAAGACAUAAAUAUGGUUGAGAAACUCACAUUUUGGUAUAACUGGAGGCGUCUGCACAUCGACCCAGAUGUCGGUAUUACCUUCAAUAUUAUCUUCCGGACGAAUAUCAAAGGUGAUAACCAUAUCAGGCUCAAAUGCAUAAGUCUUGCAUAGUGCUCGCCAUGUUUUGCAUCCAAAAUAGGUGUAGUCAUCUGAAUUGUAUAAUUUUGUGUGGAAAAUAUAACCAUGCUCGGUCUUCAAGUGAAAUUUAUGUACCUCCAUAGUACAACUGCAACCUAUCUUAUCCAAUACAAAAACUCUUGCAUGGCAGGGGAUACGCUAGUAGAAUAGUAAAAAUAAAUUAUAAGUUGAAGCAAAUGAAGCAUAUGUCAUGCUUAAUUGCGAAAAAAGACUUGUCAUUGUGACUUACUGUAUCCACUUCGAAGUUCUCGUCCAGCUUGAUGCUGAAGCGCCUAUCAUCAUCUAGGAAGAUUCCGUCGCACAGGCCGCGCUCGUCUUCGCAGUAUUUGCAAAUACCGAAAUCCUUUUCGUCGUCAGACAUUUCCUAUGUUCAUAGUUAAAACAUUAAUUGAAAAUCGAUCAAAGACAACUACCAGGAUACUCAACACACAAAUCCGGGGCACUCGAUAUUUCCUACAUAUUCUGGCACAAGUCAUGCCAAAAUUCACGGAAAAAUCCGGCAUGACCUUUGCUAAAAUAGGACAUAUCGAGCGCCUAAAAUUUGCCGGAACAGAAAUGAAUCAACACUCUGGCAAAAUAUAGGCCACUCAGAGGUGUAACCUGCAAACAUGACCGGCCACAUGGGCAAGCACAUAUCCUAUUUGAGCAACACAAGAUAUAGAUUUUAAAAUAUCUUAUAGGACUCAAAUUAGCAUGCAUUGAAUAAGCAAAAGUAAAUCAUUUCAUGCGUGUUCGUACAUCGUCGAAUAUUAUCACUAAUACAUCCCGAAUAGUGUCAUACAUAUAACAUCACUAAUACAACUAAAACCCUAGCACACGAUGGGUAUCGGCGCGGGCGGUGGACACCCACAGAGAAGGAACCAUCACGGGAUCAUAGCUCCAGUGAGAUCCCUGGGGAACCUGCCAGGUAUUGGAGAACCUAUGCUCCAACGCAAACAAGUAGCAACGGACGUGCGCGUCCUCCUCACUGACACGGUGACGCACCACCUCCGUGGGGUCCUCGAGCCUCUGGACCAUCACUGGCCCACGCGACCGCCACCAAAGAAGGUUCGGGUCAAUGACAGGCUGGCUCCUCACCAACCUGCGCCCCCCGGUAGGUAGCGCCUCCCAGUACCACCCCGGCGGAGCCCAGUCCCGGACAUGGCCCAUCUGGUCAAGCACGUGUCGUCCUCCACCGACCCGACAACGAGGAGGCGGGAUAGGCAUCGUCCACGUCGAUGCGGGAAAAAUUGCUUUAACUAAAAAAAUAGCAACAAGUUCUUACUAACUAGUUCUAUUAAUUGAAUUAGCUUUUACUAAAAUAAACUUACUAUAAAUAAAAAUAAACUAGUACCUAGCUAAUUAGUACCUAGUUCUUACUAACUAAUUAGUACCUAGGAACUACUGCCCUAAUUAAAUAGGGUUAAUACUAAUUGUAAUUAACUAACUAGCACUAAAAAUAGCCUAGCGUUCAUACUAACUAGCACUAAAUAGCUAGGGUUCGUACUAAGCAAACAAGAGGGAUCGGAAGGGAAGAGUGCUUACAGAGGGCGGGGAGAGAGAUGGGGUCGGGGGAGACGGCGGCCCCUAGGCGCGGCGAGGCGGGGUUGGGGGAGACGGCUGCGAGGCGGGGUCGGGGCAGACGGCGGCGAGGCGGGUCGAGGGAGACGGCAGCNNNNNNNNNNNNNNNNNNNNNNNNNNNNNNNNNNNNNNNNNNNNNNNNNNNNNNNNNNNNNNNNNNNNNNNNNNNNNNNNNNNNNNNNNNNNNNNNNNNNNNNNNNNNNNNNNNNNNNNNNNNNNNNNNNNNNNNNNNNNNNNNNNNNNNNNNNNNNNNNNNNNNNNNNNNNNNNNNNNNNNNNNNNNNNNNNNNNNNNNNNNNNNNNNNNNNNNNNNNNNNNNNNNNNNNNNNNNNNNNNNNNNNNNNNNNNNNNNNNNNNNNNNNNNNNNNNNNNNNNNNNNNNNNNNNNNNNNNNNNNNNNNNNNNNNNNNNNNNNNNNNNNNNNNNNNNNNNNNNNNNNNNNNNNNNNNNNNNNNNNNNNNGAGGCGGGGCCAGGGGAGACGGCGGCGAGGCGGAGUCGGGGGAGACGGCCACGAGGCGGGGUCGGGGGGGGAUGGCGGCGAGACGGCGGCGAGGCGGAGGCGACAAGGGGGAGAAGAGAGACUGGGGAAUUGGGGGAGGAAGCAGAGGAGAGGGAAUUAGGCCGCGCGGGGGGUUAGGUGAAAAUAGCUUUAACAGUAGCGUGGGGAGGAAAAACGCGUUACUGCUAAAAUUUGUAGUAGUAGCGCCGUUUCUAGAAGGGCGCUACUACUAUACCUAGCACGUCGGGAACGGUGUGACAAUUAUAGUAGUAGCGCGUUCUGUUCCUACCGUGCUACUGCUAAGGGGGUAACAGUAGCGCGGUUUUGGUAGACGCGCUACUGCUAAGUAGCAGUAGCGCCUCAUUUUAACAAGCGCUACUGGUAAGAUUUUGUGUAUAAGGUUUUCCCUAGUAGUGCAAGCUUGGUGGUUGCCAAGGGGAGUGCCCAUACCCAUAUGAUUAUGUCCUCGGAGGUGAUGAAGAAGGAGUUGUUGAUGAUGUAGGUUUCUUCCUUAAUUUGCACUUCAUAAUGGAAAUUUGCUCCCUUAGAUCAUCGAUCUCCCGCUCAAGGCUUAAUAUCCUUUUGCAUAGUUCAUGUUUGUUUUCCUGCAAGAGAUGAAAAGGGAUCAAGUCGAUCUUGGGUUUCUUUGCCCUAUCAGGGAGCCUUGACUUUUUAAACUCCACGUGCAUGUCCCCAGGUUGAGGUAACGAGACUUCAUCUUCAUUUGAGCUCGUCUCCUCCUUUCUCUUAGGCUCAUAGUCUUCUUCUUCCUCAGUGGUCCAGCCACAAUCCUCCAAGACCCCGUAGACCUUAGGGUCUGCAAGGUAAUCAGUCACAUAGCUUUCUCCCUCCGAAUCCUGGGAUGACAUAUUGCUCUUAUCUGCGGCAGAAACAUCUCAAAACAAAGAUAGAAGAUUUUUAUUUUAUACGGUGGUCAAAACUUUAGGGAGAUUAUAUAAUGAUUUUUUACCGACCAAAAGAAGUAUCGUGCAUGAAAAUGGAGUCCGGAGAGCACACGAGGUGCCCAUGAGGUAGGGGGCGUGCCCAGUAUGGGUGGGCGCGCCCUCCACCCUCGUGGAGGCCUCGUGUCCUUCCUAGACUACUUCUUAUUUUCCUACGUUCUUAAAUAUUCCAAAACGGAGAAAAAUUGCUAUUAGAAUUGUUUUGGAGUCGGUUUACUUACCAAACCACAUACCUAUUCCUUUUCGGAGUCUGAAACAUUCUGGAAAGUGUCUCUUAUGUAUUCCUCUGGGGUCACGGUUUCAAUAAUAUUAGUUUCAACAUUAAUAGGAUUACAUGAGAUAUAAUGUUUGAUUCUUUGACCGUUCACCACCCUCGGACUUGUGCCUUCAAAGUUGUUGACUUUUAUGGCACCGGAACGAUAGACCUCCUCCUUCCCAUUUAGAGAGAAGUUUCCCUGCAAAAAAUCUUAAACGAGAGUUGAAUAGCAACACAUAAUCACCUAUGUUAAACUCACGCUUUUGUAUCCUUUUUUCAUGCCAUCUUUUACCUUUUUCUUUAAACAGCUUGGCAUUCUCAUAUGCUUGAGUUCUCCAUUCAUCAAGUGAGCUAAUAUCAAAUAACCUCUUCUCACCGGCAAGUUUGAAAUCAUAAUUGAGCUCUUUAAUGGCCCAAUAUGCCUUAUGUUCAAGUUCGAGAGGUAAGUGACAUGCUUUCCCAUAAACCACUUUAUAUGGAGACAUACCCAUAGGAUUUUUAUAUGCAGUUCUAUAGGCCCAUAAUGCAUCAUCAAGUUUCUUGGACCAAUUCUUUCUAGAUCUAUUAACAGUCUUUUGCAAAAUUAAUUUGAGAUCUCUAUUACUCAAUUCUACUUGACCACUAGACCAGGGGCGGAGCUCCGUAGGGGCCAAACCGGGCCAUGGCCCGCCCAGGAAUUUAAUAAUUUGUUUUGCCUAUGGGUCGUCUUAGCCCAGCCCAGGAACAGACACAACAUCUCCGUCCUCUCAUUCACGCACGCACAGGCACACGCAUCCCCUUCCCAAUUCCCCAUCCUCUCAGCAUGUAGCCGCCGUGGACAGGGAGCACCAUCCACCGGCCCGCUGACUCGUGGAGCAACCGCCGGAGACGCCCACACACUGGCCCGCACCCUGUGGGAUCUUGCCCCGCCCCUGCCCUGCUCCGGUGCUUCCUCGCGCGGUCGCGCCGCCCACUCGCCCAAACGCUCACUGUCUCGUGAUUCGUGAAGCUACCGUGGCGGUGACGUCUGCCGGGAUCUUGCGGCUGCCUAAUCCCUGGUUCUGCCCCCACUAGUAGAAAACAGGGCUUUCGUCCAGGCCAGUUUAGCCCAUUAGUCCCGGUUCAAUCCAGAACCGGGACCAAUGGAGCUAUUUGCCCCGGUUCGUGAGCCCAGGGGGGCGGCCGGGCCACGUGGGCCAUUGGUCCCGGUUCGUCCGGACCUUUUGGUCCCGGUUGGUGGGACGAACCGGGACCAAUGGUCCUGGCUCCUGGCCCACCACUAUUGGUCCCGGUUGGUGGCAUGAACCGGGACCAAAAGGGUUACCUUUAGUCCCGGUUCAUGCCACCAACCGGGACCAAUAGUGGUGCCUAUAUAUAGCCCCUCGCGCAAGAGCAGAGCACACUGCUCUAUUUUUUAUGGCCGAGGGGGAGAGGGCUUGGUGGUGCUCUAGCUCACCUCCUAUGCACACAAGGUGUUCAAUGGAAUGCCCGAGCCACACUACUUAAGGUUUCUCCUCUCCAAGCUCGACCCCCAAGCUCCAUUUUCCUCAAUAUUUAUCUAGGUUUAGCGGUCCGUCACGCCCCAUCCCCGUCUUCACCGCCGUCAAUCACCCGCACCGAUCUCAUCGCCGGCACCACCGUGGUGAGCCUCUUGUUCUUAUCUUCUUUCUGAAAGGAAAAAUAUUAUUACUUGUUUGUUUAGAUAGAUACCUGUAUUAUUUUCUUACUUUUAUUAUUGCAUCUUAUAUAGUGCGCCGAUGGUUUUGGUAUCCGCCCCCGUCGGCCCUCGUCCUGUCUAUGAUUCGGAUGUGGUAUAUAUUAUCUUUUCAUAACUAUUGGUUCAUUUAUUGUUUAUGAAAAUUAUGCCGACCAACGUGACAUAGAUUUUAUUUAUCUAGGAGGUUGUUGAACCGGAAAUUCCAACCGACCCUAUUAUCGAGAGGUUAAAUUUAGUUGAAGAAGAAAACAAUUUCUUGAAGGAAAAAAUAAAAAAAACUUAAGGAGGAGAAGAUGAUAUUGGAGUUGCAUGUUGCAGAUGUCGUCGAUGAUCACAAGAUCAAGAUGGAUGCAAUGCGCUUGAAGAUGAGAAAGAUUAGAAAAUAUGCCAUUCAUACCGAGGCUUGGUAUCAUUAUGCCGUUGGAUCAGUUGUUACCUUGGUUGCGAUUAUGAUCGCAUUUGUUUUCGCAUUGAAAUGUUUUACAUAGUUUCAAUGUAUGGUUUAAUUAAUUUAGAUGCUCUGCAGAGCUUUAUGUUGUUAGAUGAGAACUAUGUAUCUACUUUGGUUUUUAUGUGAUGAUGAACUUCUAUAACUAAAAGAGUUUCCAAAUUUGAAAACUAAUGGCACUAACAGAAAGUUUAUAAUUUUUCUAAAACUAAAAGCAAAAAGAAUUAAAAAAUAAAGCAAAAAACAACAAAAAAUAAAUAAUGCAGAAAACAGAACAAAAAACUGAAAAAAAAAUAAAAAUAGCAACAAUAAGUAUUUUGUUGUAAGUAGAAACAAAAUAAAAUAAAUAAAGCAACAAAGGAAACAAAAAAAGAGUUUCCAAAUUUGAAAACUAAUGGCACUAACAGAAAGUUUAUAAUUUUUCUAAAACUAAAAGCAAAANNNNNNNNNNNNNNNNNNNNNNNNNNNNNNNNNNNNNNNNNNNNNNNNNNNNNNNNNNNNNNNNNNNNNNNNNNNNNNNNNNNNNNNNNNNNNNNNNNNNNNNNNNNNNNNNNNNNNNNNNNNNNNNNNNNNNNNNNNNNNNNNNNNNNNNNNNNNNNNNNNNNNNNNNNNNNNNNNNNNNNNNNNNNNNNNNNNNNNNNNNNNNNNNNNNNNNNNNNNNNNNNNNNNNNNNNNNNNNNNNNNNNNNNNNNNNNNNNNNNNNNNNNNNNNNNNNNNNNNNNNNNNNNNNNNNNNNNNNNNNNNNNNNNNNNNNNNNNNNNNNNNNNNNNNNNNNNNNNNNNNNNNNNNNNNNNNNNNNNNNNNNNNNNNNNNNNNNNNNNNNNNNNNNNNNNNNNNNNNNNNNNNNNNNNNNNNNNNNNNNNNNNNNNNNNNNNNNNNNNNNNNNNNNNNNNNNNNNNNNNNNNNNNNNNNNNNNNNNNNNNNNNNNNNNNNNNNNNNNNNNNNNNNNNNNNNNNNNNNNNNNNNNNNNNNNNNNNNNNNNNNNNNNNNNNNNNNNNNNNNNNNNNNNNNNNNNNNNNNNNNNNNNNNNNNNNNNNNNNNNNNNNNNNNNNNNNNNNNNNNNNNNNNNNNNNNNNNNNNNNNNNNNNNNNNNNNNNNNNNNNNNNNNNNNNNNNNNNNNNNNNNNNNNNNNNNNNNNNNNNNNNNNNNNNNNNNNNNNNNNNNNNNNNNNNNNNNNNNNNNNNNNNNNNNNNNNNNNNNNNNNNNNNNNNNNNNNNNNNNNNNNNNNNNNNNNNNNNNNNNNNNNNNNNNNNNNNNNNNNNNNNNNNNNNNNNNNNNNNNNNNNNNNNNNNNNNNNNNNNNNNNNNNNNNNNNNNNNNNNNNNNNNNNNNNNNNNNNNNNNNNNNNNNNNNNNNNNNNNNNNNNNNNNNNNNNNNNNNNNNNNNNNNNNNNNNNNNNNNNNNNNNNNNNNNNNNNNNNNNNNNNNNNNNNNNNNNNNNNNNNNNNNNNNNNNNNNNNNNNNNNNNNNNNNNNNNNNNNNNNNNNNNNNNNNNNNNNNNNNNNNNNNNNNNNNNNNNNNNNNNNNNNCCCGCCCCCACUGCCGCCCCUGCCUCGACGCCUCCCCUCCUCCCUGUUCGGUCCGGCUCCGGCGACCCCCUUUCCUCCCUGUCCCCUCGAUCCUCUUCAUAUAAUUUUUUUUCAUAUAAUUUUUUUUCAUAUGCAUAUGUUGAUUAUAUGGAUGGAUGGAUGAUGUAUAUGUUCAUUAUAUGGAUGGAUGGAUGAUGUAUGCUUUUUUUCAUAUAAUUUUUUAGGCAGAUUUUUAGAAUUUUUUGUGUAUGUAUGUUAUGUUUAUAUGUAUGUAUGUAUGUUCAUAUGUAUGUAUGUUUAUAUGCAAAGCAUAUGCAAAGAAAAUGUAUGAAUGGUCAUAUGCAAAGAAAAAUGUAUGUAUGGUCAUAUGCAAAGAAAAUGUUUGUAUGUAUGUUCAUAUGAAAGAAAAAUGUAUGUAUGUAUAUCUGUUUAUAUGUCUUUAUUUUAAAAAAAUUUGUUUUUUGCAUUGUUAUAAAAAUGUAUAUAUGUUCUCUGUGUGUAUAUAUGUUUUAUGUUCAUAGAUUUUUAUUUGAACAUUAUUUAAAAAAACAAGCAAUACAAGAAGAAGAAAAAGAAUGAGAGGAAAAAGGAAAAAAGAAGAGGAAGAAAGGAGAAGAAGAGGGGAUAGGAAGAAGAGGAGAAAUAAAUNNNNNNNNNNNNNNNNNNNNNNNNNNNNNNNNNNNNNNNNNNNNNNNNNNNNAAAAGAAUAGAGGAGAAGAAGAAAAAAUAAAAAUUUUCUAUUUUUUCUUCUUCUCCUCUAUUCUUUUCUUCUUCUCCUCUUUUUUUUUCUUUUUUUUCUUCUUCUUCUUCCUUCUUCCUUCUUCCUCUUUUCUUCCUUUUCCUUAUUUUCCUUUCUCGAGGGAUAAGAAGAAAAGAAGAGGAGAAGAAGAAAGAAAGGAAUAGAGGAGAAAGAAGAAACUUUGACACGAGGGGGGGGGUACCGAUACCCCCUCCUCGAUAACAUUAUUUUCCCAUGUAUAUGUAUGUUGCGUCAUUGUCGAUAUAACGAGGGCGUCGAGGAUCACCGAGGGGUCGAGGGUCGGGAACUAGGGUAGAGGGUCGAUGGUCGUUAAGGGGUCAAGGGUCGAAGGUUUCAGGGUCGAGGGUCGAAGGUUCAAUAUCGUGCCCAAGAAACUGAGGCCAACUUGCUACGAUCGUUGGAAAUAAAUGAACACAAAGAUAUAAUACUCUUUCCUUACAACUUCAAGUGAGUGUUACUGUCUUGUGGCAUAUUCGGUUUCCUUAUUAGUCCAGGUUAUAGUAAUGUAAUAUUGAUGAGUUAUGCAUGUGUGCGCAGCUACCACUAUAUUCUCCUAGAGAUUAAGCUUGAGAAGGGAGUAGUAACUGUCUUAGACUCCAAGCGAAAAGAUCCCAAGGAGUAUGCGGACAUGACUGAAAUGCUCGAGAAGUAAGUUAAAUCGAUCAUUAUCCACCAUAUCAGCAACUUUGUUCAUUUCUGAUAUCAAGUAAUUGUUUUCUUUGUAUGGCAGGGCUUGGAGAAAAUUCACCAAAAAAGCUCCGGGACUACCGAAGAAGCUGCAAUUUAGGCACCCGAAAGUAAGUACUAUAUAGUAGCAUAUUCCAGGCAUCUCCUAGUGAUUCAAGCGCUAGUUUCAUCAAUACCAUUUAGCAUGCAUGCUAAUUAUCAGUUUGAUUGACCUCUAUUUCUUGUAAAGUGGUUGUGGCAGGAACAAGGGAAUGAUUUCUGUGGAUACUACACUUGCGAGUCCAUCCGCCACACGACCUGUGAGCGGGGCUACUCCGACAAACAAUAUGAAGUGCAUAAAUAACAAUAUUCACAAUUUUAUUUUAUUACCAUCAUUUGUGUUGAGUUUCAUUCAUUCAUAUAUAUAUAUAUAUAUAUAUAUAUAUAUAUAUAUAUAUGUAUGUAUUGACCCCCUUCUUAAAAUUAGAUGUUUUGGAUGCGGGAUGAACUCCUAGCACCAGAUCGCAUGCGAGCAAUUCAAGAGGAAUUGGCAGCAUUCUUUCUUGACCACGUGAUCGCUGAAGACGGAGAAUACUAUGUGGACCACGCGUCCGUAUUUUAGGAGAUUAUAUAUUUGUAAAAGAUAAUUAUUGUUUAUAUGUAGCCGGUAGUGUCGGAUAGAUAUACGAGAACUUGUUUGUUCGACCAAUCUCUCGGAGAAGGAGAGGUGGUCGAUAUCACUUCUCUCUGUAUGCAUAUAUGUUCAUGACGAUCUUCUGUUUGCUUACUAGCUAGCUAGCGUGUCUAGCUAGUCCUCUCUAUACGUAUGUAUGUAUGGUACGUAGCGUCGACCAAGCACGGANNNNNNNNNNNNNNNNNNNNNNNNNNNNNNNNNNNNNNNNNNNNNNNNNNNNNNNNNNNNNNNNNNNNNNNNNNNNNNNNNNNNNNNNNNNNNNNNNNNNNNNNNNNNNNNNNNNNNNNNNNNNNNNNNNNNNNNNNNNNNNNNNNNNNNNNNNNNNNNNNNNNNNNNNNNNNNNNNNNNNNNNNNNNNNNNNNNNNNNNNNNNNNNNNNNNNNNNNNNNNNNNNNNNNNNNNNNNNNNNNNNNNNNNNNNNNNNNNNNNNNNNNNNNNNNNNNNNNNNNNNNNNNNNNNNNNNNNNNNNNNNNNNNNNNNNNNNNNNNNNNNNNNNNNNNNNNNNNNNNNNNNNNNNNNNNNNNNNNNNNNNNNNNNNNNNNNNNNNNNNNNNNNNNNNNGCUGACGCGUGGAUGCCUAUUGGUCUCGGUUGGUGCCACCAACCGGGACCAAAGGCCCUCCUGCCUGGGCUCAGGGGACAGGCCACGUGGAGGCCCUUCUGUCCCGGUUCUAGAUUGAACCGUGACUAAAGGGGUCAGGGCAUUAGUACCGACCCUUUAGUCCCGGUUCAUGAACCGGACUAAAGGCCCUCACCAACCGGGACAAUAGGCCCUCUUUCUACUAGUGCCCUGCCGCAUCAUACUUUAAAACAACGUUUGAUGAAGGAAAUAUUCUGGAUAACAGAGUUGUUUGGCCAAGAUACAAAUUAAAGAACAAGAUAUUGUGAAUGUUGUCCGCCUAGUAUCCUCAACACCGCCUCGCGCAGACAGGAAGACAUCCCAUCUACAAUUUGAUUGAAAGAUUACUUCCUUUGCUCAUUACCCUUCCAGUUUCUACCUUGAGUGUUGAACAUGCAUUUUCUAGUAUGAAGACCAUUAAGACAAGAUUGCACAAUAAGAUGGAAGAUGAGAAUCUAUCAAAUAACUUGUUAGUUUACAUAGAGGGUGGAAUUCUCGAGAACUACAACCACGAAAUUGUCAUUGUAGAUAUUAUAAGCAAGAAGGAUAGGAGAGUUGAUUUCUAGUAUGUGAGUAAGUCCAUGUCUAAUGUCUCGGCACUUUUGUAUUAGCUAACUCAAUAGUGACUCAAUAUAUAGACACACACUAGCUCAAUCUUGUGACUUGGGUGCUUGUGAGAUGUCCUUAUGAGUCAGAAUUUGAAAAAAGUGUGCUUUUCUUUAGUCUGGCCUGCCCAACUUUUUUGUUCAAGCUCCGCCACUGCACUAGACUGCGGGUGAUAAGGAGAUACAAUUCAAUGAUUAACAUCAUACUUAGCAAACAUUUUACGGAAAGCACCAUGAAUAAAAUGUGAACCACCAUCAUUCAUUAAGUAUCUAGGGACUCCAAACCUCGAAAAAAUAACUUAUUUAAGCAUUUUAACAGAAGUGUUAUGAUCAGCAGUACUAGUUGGAAUAGCUUCUACCCACUUAGUAACGUAAUCAACAUCAACUAAAAUAUGUGUAUAUCCAUUAGAGGCAGGAAAAGGUCCCAUAUAAUCAAAGCCCCAAACAUCAAAUGGUUCAAUAACAAGAGAAUAAUUUAUAAGCAUUUCUUGACGUCUACUAAUAUUACCAAUUCUUUGACAUUCAUCACAAUACAAGACAAACUUACGGGCAUCUUUGAAGAGAGUGGGCCAAUAAAAACCGGAUUGCAAUACCUUAUGUGCAGUUCUAUCUCCAGUGUGGUGUCCUCCAUAUGGUUCGGAGUGACACUUGUGUAGGAUCGUUUCCUGUUCAUGCUCAGGUACACAACAUCUAAUAACGCCAUCUACUCCUUCUUCAUAAAGGUGUGGGUCGUCCCAGAAGUAAUGUCUUAAAUCAUAACCGAACUUUUUCUUUUGCUGGUAUGUGAAACUAGAUGGUAUGAAUUUAGCAACAAUGUAAUUAGCAUAAUCAACAUACCAUGAAGCAGUACGAGAAGCAUUUAUGACCGUUAAUUGUUUAUUAGGAAAGCUAUCAUCAAUAGGUAGUUGGGGUUGGCAAGGCGAUCGAGUUCGGCAACAUGCGGCAGGGGAAGCGCGCGCGCAGGUAGAAGAGAGGAGCGGCGGCCGACGCAGUAGGCGCGCGGGCGGCAACGGCGGCGGCGGCGGGGAGGAGGCAUGCGGCGGAGGCGGCGGAAGACUAGGGUUAGAACCCUGAAACUGAUACCAUGUAUGUUAAGGAAAUUGCACGACGUAUUCCUCAGGUGCAAACGCACAUAUAUAUGAUGUACAAGAGGCAGGCCACGGCGUCAACUAUACAAGGAACUAGGAGGUGGGCCCAAUACGCAGAUAUACACAACACAUAUACUCAACAGUUGGCAAUCGCUUAUGCAGCCUAAUAAUGAAUUUAAGAUAAGAAAAUAUUGGUCAUAGACUAGUUAUUAACCAAAGAAACACUUAAAAAACCACAAUAGUGUGCAUGGAUCAUGAUGGUUACUAGUGAACUUGUGCAGGACUUUAUAUUACAUAACAGUCUCAACUUUGCACAUCAAUCGUUCAAAAGAAAUAAAAGAAAAUUAAUUACAUUGACUAGGAUAAAGUGACUUCACAAAUUGCACUGCUUAAAUAAACUAUACUAGCCGAGGGUCAUGCAGUGCUUAGCCUGACAACAUUGGUGGGGGGGGUCGGGAAUGGUCUGGAAGGUCAACCCAAGAAGAAGGAGAGGAAGAGACGGCCAAAGAGAGGCUCUGCUGCCGCCAAAGCUGCCAAAGCUUCUAACAGCCGGUCGGCUCCGCCGACCGAUUUUGCAGACUGUGUACCGGUCAAAGGUGCAACGAUGUUCCAUGUCGCGAGCGAGUGGAUCCUAUAGCCGAAACCACUUGAGGGCAUAUCAGGGGAUCUUAGGAAACUGCAAAACCAUGUGCUGUCAACAGAGAAAAGUCUUCUCGCCUCGAAGGCUCCAUGAUUAUCGAUUUACGCGAUUCGUGUGCCUGAGGCGAAGUGCUACAUCGACAGACUCCCCGUGGAGGUGUUAUUCGUGUGGUUUGAUCACAUCUUUGAGAUUGUUUCUCACGAAGCGGCUCGAUUUUACGAUCGUCCGUCUUUUUGCUCUACAAAUGAACUUUGUCACCAGGAGAGAACAAAUCUCGCAAAUCUCGGUGGUGGAUCCAUACUUCAUGCAUGAGUCCUUCUUGAGUCUCGGCGACUUUGAACAUCAAGCUGCUAGGGAGUACAUCGAAAACUUCAUGAUAACGAAUAAGGACAAGAAAACGGUUCUCCUUCCUUCUCAACCGACAGCAAGCAAGAACGAUGGAUUCUACGUCCUUCUUCUCAUGAUGGAGUUCAGAAGGGAUCGCCAACAGCUUCGCAUGACAACUAGAAAUGAUGACCAUAUCCGCAAAUGGGCAGAAUCCUUAGGAGUCGAACUGGAUUGUAAACUCAAAGAUGACUUUUUUCGCAUCCAGAAGGACAUUGCAACGAUCAUCAUGAAAGAAGUCAUCGAAGAGAAUGGGAUGUUCCACCACGGCUCUAUAUAGCGAGAUGAUGUCCGAACUCACACAAGACUACAACAUUUGGACCUGACAUUGUCAUUCAAGAAGCUAGGGUGGAUCCUCCCAGAAAUGGAUCGAUGGAACUUCCAGUGAUUGACGAUGCCGAUGAUAAUGUGUCGAUUGAAUAUGUACUUUCUAUAGCGAUGAAACUUUCUGUAGCGAUGAUGUGAAGAAGUGCUAUGCCGUUUACACAAGGAGGGUUCCGGAAGUGUACUACUAGUGGCUAGAGUGUUAGGCCCAAGUGUCAGGGUUCUCGGGCGGCAGCCAGAAAGGGCUCGAUAGCAGACCAAAAGCGGAAGCUAGUUACUUGAGGUUCACGCUAGCUCGAGAGAGGAAUCAGAACUGGCGCCUCAUGUACUGCAUAAUUCCGCUCUUGCUCAUAGUGAUAGAUCUUCUCUUCUAUAUCAUUGUUUAAUGGAUGAUGAUGUAGCUGUAGGUAUUCGAGACAUGUCAUAACUUGUAUCGCUAUUUUUUAGAUGAUAACGAGAGACAUCAUUUGUGUUGCAAUGAUUAUGAUGAUGGCAUGAUUUGAUGAGACUAUUUGUAUGUAUAUGAUAUGAUUAGAUUUGUAUGUGUAUGCUAUGGUGAGACUAUUGUGUAUAUGAUAUGAGGGAGACUAUUCUAUAAAACCUAUACGAAUAUAUAGUAAAUAUGCUACAUAAAAAUAUCAGAAAAUAAUAACAACAGUGCAGAGUAUGUGUGUACCAGCAGCGCGGCCUUAGCAGUAGCACGUUAUAAAUAGCAGUGCGGCACCUUUUAGCAGUAGGACAGUAUUCUAAAACGUGCCACUUCUACAUAUGGAUAGCAGCAGCGAGGGGGCACUCGGACUACUGCUAAAAGUUAGUUGUAGCGCCAUACCAAUAGAGCAAGUUCCCGCGCUACUGCUAGGCGUUUAACCAGCGCUACUGCUAGAAUUUUCCCUAGUAAUGUUCUCGUAAAAUUUUGUAUGUUCUCGAAUAUUGUAUUGUCAUCCCAAAAUCAUAAAGUAGAAACCACCAUGAGGAUAUUUGUCAGACCAUAAACUUCAGAUAUCGCAUAUACACACACUAUGUUACAAAUCAUCCACCGAAGCUUAUGAUUUUUGUUUUCUUAUUUUCCCACAUUUAAAAACACUGGUUCUAACUAGAUAUUUUUAAGGUCCAAUGUAUACAAAAUAUGGUCCAAACUACCACAUUGCAUGCACAUUUCUCAACAAUAGACAUUACAAUUGUAGCACAAAGAACUAUAUUGUUAGUUUUAAAAAUAUUAUUAUCUGCUUAUAUUAAUGAAAAGUAACUUAUAAGAAAAUACAAUCUAGGAUUCUGAUAUGUACAUGCGUUAUAAAUAAGUAUAUAAGUUUAGUAUAAAUAUUUGGACCAUAUUUAUCAUCCAGUAAAUAAUCAGGACCUAACGGCGAUUGUUCUGGAUCUAUCACAGUGAGAAUCCUCAUAUGUUAUUAGGGAUGUCGAUUUAUUCAUGCAUACCUUGCCGACGAAGGCGGAAGAGCCGCCGAGUUUGGAGACGCCGCAUGCGAUGUUGGCGGUCGCCUUCACGAAGCCUCCGGACAUGUCGAGUGAGACGUUGGCCACGUCUGGCACGAUGUCAAUCAGAAUCUCACCAAAGGAGACGAUGAGGCCGGGUGCUGUAGCGCCGAUGACGGGAGCAACAACAUCACCGAGAGACGCCAUUGAAACUUGCUAAACAAACGAGAACGAGAGCUCUACUGAAGGAAUCGGUCCAGCUCGGGAGAAAAUUAAGUGUUCUUGGGGGGUGGGUUUGGGAGUCGAAAGGGGCCAGGCUUAUAAAGGGUUGCGGGCAGGUUAGCUUGGCCGAAGGUCCAAUUAUCUUCUUGUUAAGGGUUACUCUGGUUACUAUCAAUCUUAUCCUACUCAAGUUACUGUCAAAAAAAAAAGUUCGGGUUGGUAUAAUAUUUUUUUGCAAAUAGUGGUUUCGAUAAUCAUGAGAAAUUGGUCAAUUAAUGAAUGAUUUACCUUGAGAAUACAAUUUCUUCUCAUAAAGCAGUGCUUUUAUGAACUCACAAUAUAGAAUCAAGCGGAUACAAAACAUGAUGCUCGUGGAUUAACUCCAAAAGGAUAAAAACCGACAUAUAAGGGCUGGAUGAGGAUCAAUUAGUAGUGAGAGUUUAUUUGGGUGAGAAUCAAUUAGAGGUGGAGAAGUGCCCAACCGCCAGCCUGUCUCAAGGGCAUCUCCAUGGGGGAAAUAUCAGGUGACCCCAUGCUCCCACUUCAAAACAUUGAAUUUAAAUGUUUCAAAAUUUUCAGAAAACUAUUGUGAAUGCUCACGAGGAAUGUGACUACAACACCUAAAAAUUUCAGGUCCAAACUCGAAAAGUACACUGAGAAAAAAAAGACAAAUUCAGAUGUAAAUAGUGUCAAAUGUUGCUUUUGUCUUUUAUCACACUAUUUUUGCUAGAUUUCACAUUUUAGUGUCAAAUGAUGCUUGGGGUGCUCCCCAUACUCCAACUUCUAAAAAAAAAAUCAAUAUCGAAUAUUUCAAAAAAUUCAGAAUUUUUUUUGAAUGUUCACAAGAAAUGUAACUACAAGUCCAAUUUUUUCAGAUAUAAACUCUAACUGAAAAUUGAGAAACAAAAAUGUGAAAUCUAGGAUGAAUAGUGUGAUAAAAAGACAAAAGCAACAUUUGACACCAUUCACAUCUGAAUUUGUCUUUUUUUUUCAAUGUACCUUUCGAGUUUGGACCUGAAAUUUUUAGGUGUUGUAGUCACAUUCCAUGUGAGCAUUCACAUUUUUUUUUGAAGAUUUCGAAACAUUUAAGUUUGAUGUUUUGAAGUUGGAGCAUCGGGAGCACGCCAAGGAUGGGAGCAGCUGAAAUUUUCCCCAUCUCCAUGAGGCACGCGGGGCAGCGAGCGUUGCCCGGCAGCAUGGUCAAGUGGCAGUUGGGCAGCGCCAUAACAAAGCAAGCACAGCGAAGCACACAUAUUAGCACACAUCUAAGCCUGUGCGCCGUCGCGCGGGAGGUACUGAACCUCCAUCUUUUAGGUGAUCUCGCAUUGCUUGCAAGCUCCACGCCCCCCCCCCCCUCGCCGGGCGCAGGCCACGACACCGGCGCCGACGCGUCCNNNNNNNNNNNNNNNNNNNNNNNNNNNNNNNNNNNNNNNNNNNNNNNNNNNNNNNNNNNNNNNNNNNNNNNNNNNNNNNNNNNNNNNNNNNNNNNNNNNNNNNNNNNNNNNNNNNNNNNNNNNNNNNNNNNNNNNNNNNNNNNNNNNNNNNNNNNNNNNNNNNNNNNNNNNNNNNNNNNNNNNNNNNNNNNNNNNNNNNNNNNNNNNNNNNNNNNNNNNNNNNNNNNNNNNNNNNNNNNNNNNNNNNNNNNNNNNNNNNNNNNNNNNNNNNNNNNNNNNNNNNNNNNNNNNNNNNNNNNNNNNNNNNNNNNNNNNNNNNNNNNNNUUUUGUAGCCGCAGCAACCGCACCAGGGGCUGGGGUGGGGGAGGAGACGUCAGCGUUUCAGGUGCUGGCGUUUUUUGUUUUUUUUGAAAGGGGGGGGGGUUAGGGGUUUUUGGAGGGUUAAUGUAGGUGUUUCAUAUAUUGUGUUAGCUAGUUAAUUAAUAGAGAGAAGUGUCCUCUCUUAUCUCCGUGCUUGGUCGACGCUACGUACUAUACAUAUACAGAGGACUACACACACUAGCUAGCUAGUAAGCAAAUGAAGGAAACAGAAGAUCGUCAAUGAACAUAUGCAUAUAGAGAGAAGUGAUAUCGACCACCUCUCCUUCUCUGAGAGAUUGAUCGAACAACAAGUUCUCGUAUAUCUAUCCGAUGCUACAUACUGGCUACAUAUAUACAAUAUAUACAAUAUAAUUACAUCUUACAAUAUAAUCUCCUAAUUCCAAAUGAACUCAGGGUCCACAUGGUAUUCUCCGUCUUUAGCAAUCACGUGGUCAAGAAAGAAUGCCGCCAAUUCUUCUUGAAUUCCUCGCAUACGAUCUGGUGGUAGGAGUUCAUCCCGCAUCCGAAAUAUCUAAUUUGAAGAAGGGGGUCAAUACAUAUAUAUGAAUAAAUGAAACUGAACACAAAUGAUGGUAAUAAAAUAAAAUUGUGAAUAUUAUUAUUUACGCACUUCAUAUUGUUUGUCAGAGUAGCCGCGCUCGCAGGUCGUGUGGCGGAUGGACUCGCAAAUGUAGUAUCCACAAUAAACAUUCCCUUGUUCUUGCCACAACCACUUUACAAGAAAUAGAGGUCAAUCAAACUAUUAAUUAGCAAGCAUGCUAAAUGGUAUUGAUGAAACUAGCGCUUGAAUAACUAGGAGAUGUGUGGAACAUGCUACUAUAGUACUUACUUUCGAGUGUCUAAUUGCAGCUUUUGGGCAGUCCCGGAGUUUUUGAGGUGAAUUUUUUCCAAACCCUGCCAGUAGACAAAGAAAACAAUUACUUGAUAUUAGGAAAUGAAAAAAGUUGCCGAUAUGGUGCAAUAAUGAUCGAUUUAACUUACUUCUCUGGCAUUUCAGUCAUGUCCGCAUACUCCGUGGGAUCUUUUUGUCUCGGGUCUAAGACGGUUAUUAGUCCCUGCUCAAGCUUAAUCUCUAGGAGAAUAUAGUCAAACCUGUGCACGCAUGCAUAACUCAUCAAUUACAUUACUACUAUAACCUUGACUAAUAAGGGAAACCAAAUAUGCAGAAGACAGUAACACUCACUUGAAUUCGUAAGGGAAGAUUAUUAUAGCUUUGUUUUGAUUUACUACAAACGAUUUUAGCAGCUUGGCCUCGGUUUCUUUGGCAUGAGAUUUAACCAUAUAUGCAUCUAUGAGAUUUGUGUUAAUGAACCCAAUAUCACCGACUUGUCAUUUCUUCAAUUAGGCGAUCUUCAAUCUGCAUAAUAUAGUGAGGAUAAUUAAAAAUACAUGCAAUGAAAGAGCUGACCUAUAUAUACAGACUUAAUGACAGAAGUAGUACUGUACUUACAGGAAGUAGAAAGUGAUCAUUAAUUUAUCGAGGGCCUUUAGAUUGAAAAACGCGAAGUACUCCUCAAAUGGAACAUUCAACAGUUCAAGUCCAACGAGGUCAUGCUCCUCUCUGACCAUCAGCAUCAAAAUAUUGCUCCCCUCAGACUCUCUGUAGGUUUUCAUGUACCAUUCAUGGAAUCUGAACAUCAUCGUUGGUAGAGAACUUUCAUCUUUGACGAGAGGCUUCCCGUACACGUAUUUGUGUUCGUCCACCUCCAAUAAAUCAUAAUGUACUUCGUCGGGCAGGUAAUCUUCAGGAUUGUUAUAACCACGCACCAUCCCGCCCAGAACAUUAGCAACGAUAUCGCUAGACACCUGGAGCGGGGGGGGGGGGGACGAUUGGUUCGCUUGUUCAUCGAGCUGGGCAACUUUUUUCCCAGCUCGUCAUUGACCACUGAUAGUACUUCCCGACCGCGACACUUCCACAAAUGACUUUGUAAGAAUGCACUCAUAGUUGCCUUUCGCCGGAGACUUUGGCGGUUUCUGCAGGGCAGCCAGAGUACGCUUCACUUUUACCGGAUCUAUCUUCUCCUCCGGAGGUGGAUGUUUCUUUGCUUUCACCCCUUCAAAGAAGUUAUCCACUUCGGCUUGCACGAUCCGCGUGUUUUCCUCCACGGUCCUCUCGUAUAACUUCUCUGGAGUCUUGAGAGAAGGACCGUAUAUGUAUUGCCUCCUGGCUCUGGCUGUGCUGCUAGACGUCGGAGCAGACGGAGCAGCUGCGGCUGUCUUUCCUGUUUUACGAGGUGGAGGCGAAGGACUACGACGCGCCGGAGCAGCCGGAGCGGUGGCGGGUCUCUUGAUCUACCCUUGUUGACGAGGCGGAGAAGGAGGAGGCUGGCUGCUCAGGCGCACCGGCUCAGGCGGAGAAGGAGGCGGAGUGCCGCCACGUGCCGGAGAAGGAGGCUGAGUGCCCUGAUCACUCGCCGGAGGAGGAGGCGAAGGAGGAGGCUGAGUGACCUGAUCACUCGCCGGAGAAGGAGGCGGAGGAGGAGGCGGAUUGCCCUGACUCGCCGGAGGAGGAGGAGGAGGCGGAGGCGUCCCGUUCGGAAGGUUGAUGAGCUCCUUCCGCCAUAGGCAUCGAGUCUUCAGAGAAGAACCCAGCCAAAUCUCCCCUUCACCCGUAGGGUGGUCAAGUUGAAGGUCCUAAAAUCCGUCCAUUAUUUGAUCCACCAUCACCCUAGCAUAUCCUUCUGGAAUUGGCUGGCCGUGGUAGGUUGAGUCAGGUUUAUUAGGUAUAACAGAGCCAACAGCCACCUUGACUUUCAAUGUCAUCCAUCGCGUCAUAAGGUGGCAAUGUUGAGACUUCAUGAUAGCAUCCAUGGGGUAGCUAGCAGGAGCCGUGAAGACAUGCUCCAGCUGUUGAGUCUGCUUGGUGGAAGCCAUGCUGCUUCUCCGCUGAGAUGGCGGGGUAGCUUCAGGGGAAGAUUCGGCAGGUUGUUUGCUGUGAUCUGCUUCUCGUUCCUCUAGCCCUUGUACCCUUUCGUGCAGCGCCUGCAGUUGGCUAUGCUCCACUUUUUUCCUCCUCUCCUGGGUCUUGUAACCCCCUGCUUCCGGAAAGCCAGCCUUCCACAGAAUGGAGCCUAGCGUGCCUCGUGCCCGUCCAGGAUGCUCAGGAUUCCCGAGGGCCAUUGUGAGCUCGUCAUUCUCUCUGUCUGGGACGAACGUCCCUUGCUGCGCUUUCUUGAUAUACUCCUGAAGCUUUCUGACGGGUAUUCGCAGUUGCUCAUCCAUCCAAACGCACUUCCCUGUUACAGGGUCCAAGGUUCCGCCAGCCCCGAAGAACCAAGUCCAGCAACGGUCUGGCUAGUUAAAUGUCUCGGGUUCGACCCCUUUAGCAAUAAGGUCAUUCCCAGUCUUGCCCCACAAAGGUCGGGCUUUGAGGUAACCACCUGACCCUGUGCGAUGGUGAUGCUUCUUCUUCGCAACAUUAAUCUUGUUUGUCGCUGACAUCUUCUUACUCUUUUCCGAUGUCUUGUGGGCCACAAAUACGGGCCAUUGAUCUCUGAUCUUCUCAUACUUUCCGAUGAAUUUUGGUGUCUUUUCUUUGUCGACAAACAUUUUCAGCUCAUUCUUCCACCUCCUGAAUAGUUCUGCCAUCUUCUUAAGAGCAUGAGACUUGAUCAAUUGCUCUUUACCUGGCUUCUCUGGAUCCUCCUCUGGCGGUAGGGUGAAAUUUGCCUUAAACCUUGUCCAAAGAUCUUCUUUCUGCAUAUCGGAGACAUAAGACACCUCAGGGUCUUCCUUCUUAGGCUUUAACCAUUGUUGGAUACUGAUCAGGAUCUUGUCCCUCACAAGAACCCCGCACUGAGCAUGAAAUGUCUCCCUUGUCCGGAUGGGUUCAAUCGGCUUGCGAUCGCGCGCGAUUGCUGUGAUCUCAAACCUUUCAUCAGAGUGCAACUUUUUCUUCGGGCCUCGUUUCUUUACCGAAUUUGAGCUCGAUCCGGAGGGCUAGAGAAAGAAGAAAGACGAGAGUUAAUUAAUAUGUGUACAUAUGAAAACAAUGAAUGCAUCAAUUAACUAGUUAGCACGGGCUUAACUAAUAUAUAUAUACCUGGCCGGACUCGGUUCGGUCACCGGAGCCGUCAUCACGGUCUCCGUCUUGUACCUCCAUUGGGUCACCGGAGCCAUCAUGAACAUAGCCCUCUUCUUUUACCGGCAUUGAUGGGUCACCGGAGCCAUCAUAAUCAUAGCCUUCUUCACUACCCCGUCCUUCCUGACCAUCGGUGUCGUUGAGAAACGACGCAACGACAUCACUUCCUUGUGCGAUUAUGUCCCCCAACAUCGCUACUGUUGCUUCGUCUCGGGGAUGCUCCAUAGUUUCUGCAAAUAUUUACAACAUGUCAAUUAUUAUUCAAACAUGACAGAUGGAUAUAUAUUAGUGGCAAACAUAGAACUAGCUAGCUAAUCACAAUAAGGAAUCAUAUUAGUGGCCUCGACGCUGCUUCUCUAGGGUUUGGGGUGGCCUCGACAACGCUUCAAGGGUUUGGAGAGGCCUCGACACAACGCUUCAAGGGUUUGGGGUGGCCUCCAAGACAACACUCUUUUAAAUUGGUAAAUUUGGGUGGCCUCGAGAGAGUUUGUCGGGUAGGGGCGCGGCGGGAGGGGGUAGGAGACCAACAUCGUUUUUUCUCUAGGGUUUGGGUGUCCUCAAGAGUUCUGGUCGAAAGAAGAAGAAAAAAAAGAGGAGAAGAAGAAGGAAUAUAGGAGUAGAAGAAAAAAUUCUUCUACUCCUCUAUUCCUUCUUCUUCUCCUCUUUUUUUCUUCUUCUUCUUUCUCUUCUUAUUUUUUUCCGACGUCCCCCUCAUGUAAAUGCGGUGGAAACAGUUUAUGAAAAUGCGGUGGUGGCCGAGCCGAGCGGUUUUCUUUUCCUUCUUCAUUUUUUCCUUCGUUUUUUCUUAUAUGUUUGUUUUCGUUUUCACUCUACAUUUUCCUAAUCAUAUAAAUUAACUACACAUAUAAAUAAUCUAUAUAUGUGAACAUAUUUUUAUGAAUAAAUAUAAUUACACAUCUGAAAUUUUCCAAAUCUUAAUACUAAACUAAACUAAAAUAAUCUACAUAUAUGAACAUAUACAUAAAUUCACAAAAAAAAUACAAAAUUGACAAAAAAAUACAUUUAUGAAAAAAAAAUACUAUGAACAUGUACACACAUAUAUACACAUAUAAAGACAUAUACACAAAAAAAAUACAAAAACAUGCUAUGGAAAAUUCAGGGCAGGGGCGGCGGGGCGGCGCGCGGCGCCAGCGCUGGGCAGGGGCNNNNNNNNNNNNNNNNNNNNNNNNNNNNNNNNNNNNNNNNNNNNNNNNNNNNNNNNNNNNNNNNNNNNNNNNNNNNNNNNNNNNNNNNNNNNNNNNNNNNNNNNNNNNNNNNNNNNNNNNNNNNNNNNNNNNNNNNNNNNNNNNNNNNNNNNNNNNNNNNNNNNNNNNNNNNNNNNNNNNNNNNNNNNNNNNNNNNNNNNNNNNNNNNNNNNNNNNNNNNNNNNNNNNNNNNNNNNNNNNNNNNNNNNNNNNNNNNNNNNNNNNNNNNNNNNNNNNNNNNNNNNNNNNNNNNNNNNNNNNNNNNNNNNNNNNNNNNNNNNNNNNNNNNNNNNNNNNNNNNNNNNNNNNNNNNNNNNNNNNNNNNNNNNNNNNNNNNNNNNNNNNNNNNNNNNNNNNNNNNNNNNNNNNNNNNNNNNNNNNNNNNNNNNNNNNNNNNNNNNNNNNNNNAGGGGCGCAGGGGCGCGGGACGGGAGGGGCGCGGGAGCAGGCUGUCCUCACAGAGGGCGGUGGCGACGGCGAAGGUGAGCAGCCUGACGGCGGCGGUGGCUACGGCGACGGCGAAGGCGAGCAGCCUGACAGCGUCGGUGGCGGCGGCGACGGCAAGGUGGAGCAGGGGCGUCGGGUGGCGACGGCGACGAGGAGGAGCAGUGGGCGUCGGGGGAGAAGUGGGGGAUUUGGUCGAAACUGCUCAGUGCUGCUUAUAUAGCAAAGCCUUUAGUCCUGGUUGGUGGCACCAACCAGGACUAAUUCACCCCUUUAGUCCCGGUUUUUGCCACCAACCGGGACCAAAGGCCUCUUUUCAGUAGCCCAAAUGGCAGGAAGCAGAGGGCUUUGGUCCCGGUUGAUGGCAACAACCGAGACUAAAGGGUGGGCAUUGGUAUCGGUUGGUGCCACGAACCGGCACUACUAGGGAAAAGGCUAGCAGCAGCGCGGGUUUUAGAUGUAUCAGUAGCGCGGGGAUAGGCGCUACUAAUAAGGCGCUACGGCUAACAUAUAGCAGUAGCGCGUGCUCACCGGCGCUACGGCUACACAAGUGUAGCAGCAGUGCUGUUUGCGGAAGCUCGCUACUGCUAGUAUCUCUAGCGCGCUUUACCUGGACGCGCUACUGCUAUCGCGGCGCUGCUGCUAACUUUUGUACACUCGCUACUGCUAAUUUAAGUAGGUUUUUUUGUUAUUUUUUUUUGCAUAUUUGUUUUGUAUUUGAACAUGCUUUAUAGAAGAAUCUUUAGCACAUAGAAAUGUCAUCAUGAUACACAUACAAAUGUCUGCGAGACCACAAAUGUAAUCAUAGCAUGUACAUACAAAUAGUCUCAUCAUAAUCAUCAUCCAACACAAAGUGAUAUCUUGUCAUCAUCUUGAAAAUAGCGAUACAUGCAAGUCUCGAAUACUUGCAACUACAACAACGUCAUCCAUCUAAACAAAGGUAUACGCAAGAAGUGCUAUCACUAUGAGUGAGAGCGGAACUAUGCAGUACAUGAUGUGGCGGUUACGAGUCUUCUCUCGCGCUAGCGUGAACCUCAAGUGACUAGCUUCUCCUUCUUGUCUGCUUUUGAAGCCUUUAUGGCUGGCGCCCGUGCACCCAUUCACUUGCACCUGACACUCAUGCCACUCGUUGUACACCCUCGGAACCUUCCCUUUGUACACGACAUAGCAAUUCCAUCUCAACAUCAAGAAACUAGGUACCUAUUAGAGAUGCAUGUUCAUGAAGAGGAUGUACAAUCAUAUAUAUGCAACAAAAUAUACUAGAGCAACACCGAAAAAGAAAGGGUUAGCAACUAGAUGCAACAUACAGUAUGCAAAUUAAUUAACUAGAGGUAUGCAGGUCAUCGUACGCAAACUAACAAAGUAGCGUUACGCAAGUUCGGCACAUGGACCGUGGACAUCACAAAGUUUCAUCGCUACAAGAAGUAUACAAGUUGAACCGACACAUAUCAUCAUCAUCGGCAUCAUAAAAUCACUAGAAGUUCCAUCCUUCCAUAUCAUCGAGGACGAACCUUAGCUUCUUGAACGGCGUGAGGUCUAGACGUUGCAUGCCUAUGCGAGUUCGGACGUCAGCUCGCGAUAUAGGGCCGUGGUGGAACAUCCCCUUCUCAUCGACGACUUCUUUCAUGAUGAUCGUCGCAAUGUCCCUUUGGAUGCGAAAGAAGUCAUCUCUAAGUUUAUAAUCCGCUUCUCCAUGAGAUUCUAGCCACUUGUGGAUACGAUCAUCAUUUUUGCUAUUAAUGCGAAGCUUUUGGUGAUCCGUGUUGAACUGAAUCAUGAGAUGGACGAUGUAGAAUCCAUCCUUCUUGCUUGGUUUUGGGACAUGGAUGCAGGAGAAGUUAGUUUUAUGCGUGAAACCAAUCUUCUUGUUCCUUUGUUUCUUGAUCUGCACGUGGCCACAUCUAAAGUUGAAGCCUUGGAGAGCAUCAUCUAGAAUAUUCAUUAUCUGGGUGUAGUCUCUUUUCUCGUAGUCUCUGGAAGGGUCAAAAUACACGGCGUGGGAGACUUGCGGGUAAAGAACGAUAAGGACGGCGCGCCCGUUGCUGUGGGGAAAAGACACCUCAAAUUAUUCCCCAUAUAUAUGAGAGAGAAGGAAUGAUUGAAAUGUACGAAAGGGUUGUCCGGAACUGACUUACUUUGGAUGAUAAGGCACGAGGACAAUUUCCCGGUCCUUAUUCUGUACCAUGAAGUUUUGGAGGUACUCCCUAGCAGUUUCACGCUCAAAGUCGCCGAGACUCAAGAAAGACUCGUGCAUGUAGUACGGAUCCGCCACACAGAUUUGCGAGACUUCUUCACUCUUCAUGACGGAGCUCAUAUGUAGCACAAAAAGGCGGACGAUAGUAAAAUCAAGCUGCCUUGUUAGAAACAUCUCAAAGUUAUGGUCAAACCGCAGGAAGAACACCUCCGCGGGCCGUGUGUCGACGUAGCACUUCCCCUCAGGCACACGAGCCGCGUAUGUCGGAUAUCCUGGAUCCUUUGAGGCUAGUAGGCUUUUCUCAGUCGACAACACAUGGUCGUGCAGUCUCCUGAGAUCCCCUGAUAGUGCCUCCAGCGGUUUCGGCGGUAGCAUCGGCUCGCCCGUGAGAUGGAACAUGACCGCACUUUUCACGGGUACAUGCUCUUCAGAAUGCAUCGUCUGGCUGCUAUGUGCUCUGGCUUGUUUGGAGGCAGUUACCUUCCCCGAUCUCUUCCUCUCCUUUUUCUUGGGCACACCUUCCAGACCCUUCCUUAACCCCUGCCCCAGUGUUCCCAGGCUAAGUACUGCACGACCCUCGCGCUCGGCUAGUUGAGCCUGUGUUGAGGUGGCAUCUUCAGGCGUGUCCUGUGAGGAUUUCAUGAAGAGAGACUUUUUGCAAUCCAUGGUACGACCCUGCCCGGGCAUAUCAUCCAUAUCCUCAUUAGCAAGCUGAUAGCCGAUUCGUCAUAUGGUUGACUCAUCAUAUCUAUGUCUUAGUCAUACGCGUUUGUAUUGAGGUAAUCCAUAGGGUCGACCUCCGUCUCAUCAUCCAUUCUCUGUUCUACAGGAGAAAUUACAUCAGCCAGUACUAUUGCACCCCCUUCAUCAUGUCGUCCGCCGCUCUCACCCGGCACUACAGGAGCUGGUAAUUGCGUAGGCGGGGUGGUGGUCUUCGCACAUGCUUGUUGAUGGGUGGUAGUUAUUGGUGUGCUCUCGCCCGGCUCCAGACGAAUAAGAUUCUUCGUCCAUAGCAGCACCCAAUUCUUGCAGCUUCCAAUCCACGGCGGGGUCUCGUCGUCCGCUCCCACAUGCUGCACUGGAGGAGCCAAAUCCUCGUGCCCUGAUUUCACACUGGUCAAGCUAACCCUGAAGUGCCCAGCGGGGAUCGGCUGGAUGUGGAACGUGCAUUGAGAGGGGUCCAUUAUCAUCCCCUUUCCCACGUCCACCUUCUGGCCUUUGAUCAAGUAGAGUAUGGUGCACGGGGUUUCUUUCGCCUGCAAACACAUAUGUCUGUGGCGUAAAACAACCGAAAGGCAACAAAAAUGGAAUAUUAUAUAUAUAUAUAUAUAUAUAUAUAUAUAUAUAUAUAUAUAUAUAUAUAUAUGUUGGUGCGACAUGUAAUUACCAUGACGGCGUCGAGCUCAGCCAAAGACGAAGGCCCACCUAGCGCGCCUGAGACUAAGGACGGGCUGCUAUGAGUGGGAGCGGCUGCGAGAGGAGGCCCGGUUGCGUGAGCAAGUCAUGGUGCGAUGGUGUUGUUGUUCAUGGAGUUGCUCCAGACGAAACUGGGCAUCGGGAAAUCAUGUACCGUCUUGUCUGGAUUUUCCUUCGCCCAGUUGAUGAUAACUGGAACCAAGUUAGUAGCGAAAUCAUUUCUGCAGGCAGUUACAGCUGCAUUGACUGCCUGCUGUAGCAACUCAUAUUUGUCCUCGGCUGCUUUUUUCGCGUCCUCAGCUGCUUUUUUCUCGACCGCAAGCUUCACCUUUGCGUCGAUGUCCGCCUAACUAAACUUCGUUUUUAGCUUCUUGGCCUCCGGGCCCUCAUUGUAAAACACCUUCCACGUGGCGCCGUCUCCAGCGCCGUGCACACGACCAUAUUGCGGCCGCUGAUCCAAAGGGAGUCCGUUAAGUUCGUUCAAGGCCCGGUUGAGAGGGGUGUCCCACUUGGGCCUCAUCGGAGAAGUAGAGCUUUCGGCUACAAGCUGGUGUUGCUUCUCCAGUAGUCUAAUCAAUUUCCUCGUGAUCUUGUCCGUGUAAAAAACCUUUUUCUCCUUGUCCCACUUGUAGCGGGCCCUGAUGAAGUCAUGCUCCAAGGGGUUGGUUAACUUCACGAAGGGGUCCGGGAGACCAGCGGCUUCACGUUCCGCGUCCUCCUUAUCCCAUAUGGGCCUUUUACCGAGGUAGCCACGGCUUCAGAGGCGAUGCUUCCCCGUGUUCCUAUGUUGAAGGCUUUUGAAUUUCGCAGCCUUAGCCUUCGCUGCCUCGCUAGCGCAAGUGUCCUUGAACUUUUCGAACUCCUCUUCCGUAAGUGUCGGAUUUUCCUCCAGAAUCUUGGACAGGGGUUCAUCAGCCUCAAUAGCUCAUUUCACCCUCGUUUUCCAGGAGGCCAAAUCAUUGCUGAACAUGCCCAUGGCGUGAUUGUUAAUCUUUUUCAUCUUCGGAUCAUCCCACGGUUGUUCUAUGUUAUCAUCCCGGUAGGGGAACUUGAAUCUCUUAUGCAACUUUGUUAGGAGCAACUGCGUCAAAUGUUCUUUACUCCUUAAGUCAUCGUCGUUGAUGCUCGCGCAUUCCCGUAGGAUGCAUCCUACUUGGUUCCCAUAGCACUUGCGAGGUUCUUCCGGCUCUAACGGCUCAAACUUGCCAGGUGCCAUCUUUGUGAUCACAAGUCAUCCAAUCCCUAGUUUGUUAGGUUUUCAUAUCCUCUGCUUCUUAUGCUUCCUCUUUUCGGUAGUGGCAUCGGGGCCGGUACCUUCCCCACCGGUCUUGGUGCCGCCAUUGGUGCCGGCACUGUCGGUGUCGAUGUCGGCGUCAGUACCAUCAUCGAGGCCGACCUGCAAACGUUGCUUAGCAGUCAAAUAGUCGAGGUACUCUUGUUCACCCUCAUAAUCCAUUUCGUCUGCAUCUUGGUUAGAAGGCCCAGUUUCUUCGUUGUUCGACAUGUUUCCUAUGAUUAAGUGUCCUCAUUUAUUUCUAAAAGUAUGAAUAAAUGAGAAAUGACAUAAAAAGAAAUCUAUGUGCCAGCACUCGAUAUGCCAACUAUGUAGCACAAAAUCAUGCCUUUAUUCACGGGAAAUUUUGGCAUGACCUUUGCUAAAAAAUGGACAUGUCAAGCGCCUGAAAUUCACCGGAACGGAAAUGAAUCAACAUUCCGGCGUAACAUAGGCCACUCGGAUCAUUUUCCAAACAUUACAUGUCCAAAACAUGACAUAUGCACAUAUCACAUGUCCAGUUCAAAUUUGCACAUAUCACAUGUCCAGUUCAAAUUUUGAAACCUAGCUAAAUUCAUAACUAAAUAGAUAACCUAAUUAACAUACUGCCCUAACUAAAACCUAAGUAAAUUAACCGAAGAACCCUAGCAGAGAGAGAGGGGGGUUUACAGAGGGUGCAGGGGCAAGGAGGCAGGCCCGACGACGGCCGGGAGGGGAGAGGAGGGAGGCGAGGGCCGACGGGUCGAGGGCGAGCGCCGGUGCCGGGGUCGGGGGUGAGGUCCGAGUCGGGGGCGAGCGCCUGGGUCGGGGUCGGGGCGAGGGCCGGGUCGGGGGCGAGCGCCGGUGCCGGAGUCAGGGGCGAGCGCCGGGGUCGGGUCGGGCGCGGCGGUCCGACGGGGGAGAGUGGGGAUUUUUGGGGGGAAAAAGGCGGGAUGAAGCAGGGCGGGUGAGAAUUUUGGGUUAAGUGGACGUAGCAGUAGCGCAUUUGGACAAAACGCGCUGCUACUACCUUCAGUAGCUGUAGCGCUUUAUACGAAAUUCGCUUCUACUAACUUCAGUAUCUGUAGCGGUUUAGGCAAAACGUGCUGCUACUACCUUCGCUACUGCCAGUUUUCCUUUUUCUUUUCCUUUAUUUUAUCCCACUUUUAUUUCCCGAGGCCAGUGAACGAAGGGAGGCCGAUAUAUAUUGCAUCUUGACGGUUAAAUAUGUAUGCAAAAUAGGAACAUAUAUAUUACACAUCAUUGGACCCAUGCAUAAUAAUGGCUAAGUGUGUAUACAAAAUAGGAACAUAUAUAUAUAUAUAUAUAUAUAUAUAUAUAUAUAUAUAUAUUACAUCAUUUGACCGAUAACAUAAGUUUCCUCAGUGCUGACGUUUUCAUUUUUGAGUCAGCUUCUUUCCCUUUUUGUUCGUCGAAGAAUAAUUGAGCCCCUCAUUGUGAUUUGCCUUUUCCAUGGAGUAUGAUUUUUCUUAGGUAAUGUAGUAUUGAUUAUUCUUUUGACGUAUACUUCAUCAUCAUCAUCAUCUUCCUCGUUGGCGACUCCAUCCAUUCCAAUGAUGUUCCUUUUGCCUCUCCUCAGGACAACACGGCUGGGAUUGCGCGUGUCAGUUAUGAAGAAGCAUUGUGUCACGUGCUUAGCGUGUACCCAUGGCUCAUUUUUUGCGAUAGCGUUCACGGUAGCGCUCUUGGCGUCGGGUAUAGUCAUGGUAUUGAAAAUACGGCUUUCUCUUUCGACAUUCUUAGCCCAUCUGACACGGAACAUCAUCGUGUUGUGCAGUCUAGAGUAGUCAAGCUCCCAGAUCUCCUCGACCCAUCCAUAAAAUCAUUCAGUUGUGCCGUUGUCGCUGCCGGUCAUGCAUUCCAUCGUCACCCCUGAGUUCUGAUCAUCACUGUCCAUACCUUUGGCCUCCGUGUAGAACGUGUAUCCGUUGAUAUCAUAUGCCUUAUAGGUUACGAGGUUGGGCGAGGGGCCAUGUGCUAAGGCGUAUAUGAGCAAUCCAUCCUUAGAGCCCUCCUCCGGAGGAUUAGCAAUAAUAUGCUCUUUGAACCAAUGCAGGAAAGUGGAGUUGUGCUCUCUAGUAACUUCAGCAUCCGUCCUGCAUACCCCCGGGUCACGAUACUUCUUUGCGAUAAUUUCUUUGUGCAGUGCCACGAAAGGAUCUACCUCGUCUAGGUGUUAUAGCACUACCAAGUUUGCUCUGUCAAAGUCGCUGCAUCGAUCUGAGUAUGCCACGUGCAGUUCCCUGCGACCGUUGCAGUGACCAUCUCCUUCGAGCCUCCCAUCGUGCUUGUUAACGGGCAAACCAACACUUACACCAGGUGGCUGGUCUGCGCCAUAUAGAAAAUUCUCACAGAAAGAGAUGCACUCUUGUGCCAAAUAGCCCUGGACGAUGCUUCUAUCCGGACGGGACAUGUUACGAACGAAUCCUUUGAUGAUCCCAUUCAUCCUCUCAAAUAGCAUCAUGUUGUGCAGGAAUGACGGCCCCAGGUCUAUUAUGUCAUCCACAAUAUGGACACACAGAUGCACCAUCACGUCAAAAAACGCGGGCGGGAAGUACAUCUCAAGCUCAUUCAGUAUCACAACGAUCUCUUCCUGUAGCCUUUGGAGCUGCUUCACACUGAUCGACUUUCGAGAGAUGACAUCGAAGAAGUUGCAGAGACCAAUAAGCGUGUCACGGACGUGCUUGUCCAUUAUCCCUCUAAGGGCAACAAGUAGUAUCUACAUCAUCAUCACAUGAUAGUCAUGAGACUUCAUCCCGCUAAACCUUUUCUUGUCCGUGUCUAGAUAUCUGCUUAUCUUGCCAGAGUAACCGGAACUAACUUUGACUCCGGUAAGGCACUUAAAGAAGGCAUUGAUCUCAGCCUGACUUAAGGUGAAGCAAGAAGGGGGGCAAUAAUCCUCUUUCUUUAUUUUCUUGCCCUUCUUCUCCCGUGCCUCUGUCUCCGUCUCUGUCUCGUCUGACAUUUUACGGGGCGGCAUGUGCAGAUCUUCCCUAAUUUUCAAGUCUUGCAAGUCUUUUCUUGCCUUUGGCCCAUCCUUGGUCUUAUUCGGCAUGUUCAUCAGUGUUGCGAGCAAGCUCUCAAGGACAUUCUUACAGAUAUGCAUUUGAUCAAGGCAAUGAGGUGUAUCAAGUUUGUGCCAGUACUCCAAGUCCCAGAACACAGACCUCGUCUUCCAUACCUUCAGCAGCUGCUCCUGCGCCUUUCUCAUCGUCUUUCCCGGCGUGGGGCACUCCUUCCAGUUUUUCAAUAGCUCAUCGAUUUCUGCACCGCUCCGCUUACGUGGAGGUCCUCGAUGCUCAGCGUGACCAUUGAAUAGAUCUCCACGGUUUCUCCACGGGUCGUCCUGUUCAAGCCAUCUUCGAUGCCCCAUGUACACGAUUUUCCCAGACCCGCCAUCUUUCCUUGACGUUAGCUGCUGAGACGUCGUAUCAUCCAUGCACCGCGUGCAUCCACAAUAUCCAUGGCACACCUGGCAUGCCACAUAUCCGUAACCGAGAUAGUCCUGCACUGUCGUGAUCAGCGCGGCUCUCAUGUUGAAAUACUCACCUUUGCUGGCGUCCCAUGUCUUGGCCGGUGUUUUCCAUAACGUGUCUAACUCCUCUUGAAGUAGCCCCAGAUACAAAUUAAUAUUAUUUCCUGGUUGUUUCGGCCCUUGAAUAAGCAUGCUCAUGUGAAUGUACUUCGAUUUCAUGCACAACCAGCGGGGAGGUUGUACAUCCAUACUAACAUGGGCCAUGUGCUAUGGUUGGUGUUCUGGUUGCCAAACGGAUUCAUGCCAUCGGUACACGCGUCGAGCAUGAUGUUCCUUGCAUCAUGAAAAUGUUUAAUGGGGUUCCCCCUAUUAAAUUUGUUUGUAACUUUUCUGGUAGAUGAUUUUUCAUAUAAAAAACUUUUUCAUCCGAGUUCGUAUGCAAAAGUUAUUCCCAUUUUACUAAAUUCUAGAGAGAUUUUGCAAAUAAAGUCAAAAUUCAUAUUUGUAAAUUUUCCUAACAACUAGACCAUAUAUCACAUGGGAAACUUAUUUCCUUUUAUUUUUUUUGACAUUUUCAUCAUUUUAUUUUAUUUUUUAAACUGAAAAGGCGAUCCACGNNNNNNNNNNNNNNNNNNNNNNNNNNNNNNNNNNNNNNNNNNNNNNNNNNNNNNNNNNNNNNNNNNNNNNNNNNNNNNNNNNNNNNNNNNNNNNNNNNNNNNNNNNNNNNNNNNNNNNNNNNNNNNNNNNNNNNNNNNNNNNNNNNNNNNNNNNNNNNNNNNNNNNNNNNNNNNNNNNNNNNNNNNNNNNNNNNNNNNNNNNNNNNNNNNNNNNNNNNNNNNNNNNNNNNNNNNNNNNNNNNNNNNNNNNNNNNNNNNNNNNNNNNNNNNNNNNNNNNNNNNNNNNNNNNNNNNNNNNNNNNNNNNNNNNNNNNNNNNNNNNNNNNNNNNCCGGUUCGUGCCAUGAACCGGUACUAAUGCCUCAAACCCCAUUAGUACCGGUUCGUGGCACGAACCGGGACUAAAGGUCUAACCCUUUAGUCCCGGUUGGUGCCACGAACCGGGACUAAUGGGCACCGCACCCUUUAGUCCCGGUUCGUGGCACCAACCGGGACUAAAAGGUCCAGACGAACCGGGACAAAUGGCCCACGUGGCCCCUCGGCGCACGAACCGGGACUAAUGCCCCCAUUAGUCCCGGUUCUAGAUUGAACCGGGACUAAUGGGCUAACCCGGGGUGGACCAAAGCCCUCUUUUCUACUAGUGCAUGCUCCCACUUCAAAACAUUGAGUUUAAAUGUUUCAAAAUUUUCAGAAAACUAUUGUGAAUGCUCACAAGGAAUGUGACUACAGCACCUAAAAAUUUCAGGUCCAAACUCGAAAAGUACACUGAGAAAAAAAAGACAAAUUCAGAUGUAAAUAGUGUCAAAUGUUGCUUUUGUCUUUUUAUCACACUAUUUUUGCUAGAUUUCACAUUUAGUGUCAAAUGAUGCUUGGGGUGCUCCCCAUACUCCAACUUCUAAAAAAAUCAACAUCAAAUAUUUCAAAAAAAUUAGAAUUUUUUUUGAAUGUUCACAAGAAAUGUAACUACAAGUCCAAUUUUUUCAGAUAUAAACUCUAACUGAAAAUUGAGAAACAAAAAUGUGAAAUCUAGGAUGAAUAGUGUGAUAAAAAGACAACAGCAACAUUUGACACCAUUCACAUCUGAAUUUGUCUUUUUUUUAAUGUACCUUUCAAGUUUGGACCUGGAAUUUUUAGGUGUUGUAGUCACAUUCCAUGUGAGCAUUCACAUUUUUUUUGAAGAUUUUGAAACAUUUAAGUUUGAUGUUUUGAAGUUGGAGCAUCGGGAGCAUGCCAAGGAUGGGAGCACCUGAAAUUCCCCCAUCUCCAUGACGCACGCGGGGCAGCGAGCGUUGGCCGACAGCAUGGUCAAGUGGCAGUUGGGCAGCACCAUAACAAAGCAAGCACAGCGAAACACACAUAUCAACACACAUCUAAGCCUGUGCGCCGUCACGCGGGAGGUACUGAACCUCCAUCUUUUUGGUGAUCUCGCAUUGCUUGCAAGCUACAAGCCCCCCCCACACCCCCCCCCGGGCGCAGGCCACGACACCGGCGCCGAAGCGUCCACGGUGACACCUGACGUGCACCUCAGAUAGGGGUGUCCACGGGGUGGCACGGGCGCCUGAUUUUGUAGCCGCUGCAACCGCACCAGGGGCUGGGGUGGGGGAGGAGACUAUGCUAGCAUAGGGGCAAGUUUGAGUGUGGCCACCACGCGGGACCCCCCGCACAUACCGCCUCGACUCGCCAUGGAUGUCAUGCGCCUGCAAAAAACGCGUUCAAGCUUGAGCGGCAAAAGAAAGUUAGCGACGAUCCUCGGGAGAAGAAAGGUGCGGCCAACAGGGAGGGGGAGGUGCGGCUACGCGGGGGUAGGGAUAGGGCCACUAGUAGAAAAAGGGCCUAUAGUCCCGGUUCGUAAGGGCCAUUAGUCCCGGUUUUUGAACCGGGACUAAAGUGUCGGUACUAAUGCCCUAAACCUUUAGUCCCGGUUCUUGCAUAAACCGGGAUAGAUGGUCCUCCAUGUGGCCGGUGCGGCGAGCCCAGGAAGGAGGCCCUUUGGUCCCGGUUGGUGGCACCAACCGGGACCAAUAGGCAUCCACGCGUCAGCGUUUCAGGUGCUGGGGUUUUUGUUUUUUUUGAAAGGGGGGUUAGGGGUUUUUGGAGGGUUAAUGUAGGUUUUUCAUAUAUUGUGUUAGCUAGUUAAUUAAUAGAGAGAAGUGUCCUCUCUUAUCUCCAUGCUUGGUCGAUGCUACGUACUAUACAUAUAGAGAGGACUAGACACACUAGCUAGCUAGUAAGAAAAUGAAGGAAACAGAAGAUCGUCAAUGAACAUAUGCAUAUAGAGAGAAGUGAUAUCGACCACCUCUCCUUCUCUGAGAAAUUGGUCGAAUAACAAGUUCUCGUAUAUCUAUCCGACGCUACGUACUGGCUACAUAUAUACAAUAUAUACAAUAUAAUUAUAUCUUACAAUAUAAUCUCCUAAUUCCAAAUGAACUCAGGGUCCACAUGGUAUUCUCCGUCUUUAGCAAUCACGUGGUCAAGAAAGAAUGCCGCCAAUUCUUCUUGAAUUCCUCGCAUACGAUCUGGUGGUAGGAGUUCAUCCCGCAUCCGAAAUAUCUAAUUUGAAGAAGGGGGUCAAUACAUAUAUAUGAAUAAAUGAAACUGAACACAAAUGAUGGUAAUAAAAUAAAAUUGUGAAUAUUAUUAUUUACGCACUUCAUAUUGUUUGUCAGAGUAGCCCCGCUCGCAGGUCAUGUGGCGGAUCGACUCGCAAAUGUAGUAUCCACAAUAAACAUUCCCUUGUUCUUGCCACCACCACUUUACAAGAUAUAGAGGUCAAUCAAACUAUUAAUUAGCAAGCAUGCUAAAUGGUAUUGAUGAAACUAGCGCUUGAAUAACUAGGAGAUGCAUGGAACAUGCUACUAUAGUACUUACUUUCGGGUGUCUAAAUUGCAGCUUUUGGGCAGUCCCGGAGUUUUUGAGGUGAAUUUUUUCCAAACCCUGCCAGCAGACAAAGAAAACAAUUACUUGAUAUCAGGAAAUGAACAAAGUUGCCGAUAUGGUGCGAUAAUGAUCAAUUUAACUUACUUCUCUGGCAUUUCAGUCAUGUCCGCAUACUCCGUGGGAUCUUUUCGUCUCGAGUCUAAGACGGUUACUAGUCCCUGCUCAAGCUUAAUCUCUAGGAGAAUAUAGUGGAACCUGUGCACGCAUGCAUAACUCAUCAAUUACAUUGCUACUAUAACCUCGACUAAUAAGGGAAACCAAAUAUGCAGAAGACAGUAACACUCACUUGAAUUCAUAAGGCAAGCUUAUUAUAGCUUUGUUUUGAUUUACUACAAACGAUUUUAGCAGCUUGGCCUCGGUUUCUUUGGCAUGAGAUUUAACCAUAUAUGCAUCUAUGAGAUUUGUGUUAAUGAACCCAAUAUCACCGACUUGUCAUUUCUUCAAUUAGGCGAUCAUCAAUCUGCAUAAUAUAGUGAGGAUAAUUAAAAAUACAUGCAAUGAAAGAGCUGACCUAUAAAUAGAGACUUAAUGACAGAAGUAGUACUGUACUUACAGGCAGUAGCAAGUGAUCAUUAAUUUAUCGAGGGCCUUUAGAUUGAAAAACGCGAAGAACUCCUCAAAUGGAACAUUCAACAAUUCAAGUCCAACGAGGUCAUGCUCCUCUCUGACCAUCAGCGUCAAAAUAUUGCUCCCCUCAGACUCUCUGUAGGUUUUCAUGUACCAUUCAUGGAAUCUGAACAUCAUCGUUGGUAGAGAACUUUCAUCUUUGACGAGAGGCUUCCCGUACACGUAUUUGUGUUCGUCCACCUCCAAUAAAUCAUAAUGUACUUCUUCGGGCAGGUAAUCUUCAGGAUUGUUAUAACCGCGCACCAUCCCGCCCGGAACAUUAGCGAUGAUAUCGCUAGACACCUGGAGCGGGGGGGCGAUUGGUUCGCUUGUUCACCGAGCUGGGCAACUUUUUUCCCAGCUCAUCAUUGACCACUGAUAGUACUUCCCGACCGCGACACUUCAACAAAUGACUUUGUAAGAAUGCACUCAUAGUUGCCUUUCGCCGGAGACUUUUGGCGGUUUCUGCAGGGCAGCCAGAGUAUGCUUCACUUUUACCAGAUCUAUAUUCUCCUCCAGAGGUGGAUGUUUCUUUGCUUUCACCCCUUCAAAGAAGUUAUCCACUUCGGCUUGCACGAUCCGCGUGUUUUCCUCCACGGUCCUCUCGUAUAACUUCUCUGGAGUCUUGAGAGAAGGACCGUAUUUGUAUUGCCUCCCGGCUCUGGUUGUGCUGCUAGACGCCGGAGCAGACGGAGCGGCUGCGGCUGUCUUUCCUUUUUUACGAGGCGGAGGCGAAGGACUAAGACGCGCCGGAGCAGUCGGAGAGGUGGCGGGUCUCUUGAUCCGCCCUUGUUGACGAGGCGGAGAAGGAGGAGGCUGGCUGCUCAGGUGCACCGGCUCAGGCGGAGAAGGAGGCAGAGUGCCGCCACGUGCCGGAGAAGGAGGCCGAGUGCCCUGAUCACUCGCCGGAGUAGGAGGCGGAGGAGGAGGCUGAGUGCCCUGAUCACUCGCCGGAGAAAGAGGCGGAGGACGAGGCAGAUUUCCCUGACUCGCCGGAGGAGGCGGAGGCGUCCUGUUCGGAAGGUUGAUGAGCUCCUUCCGCCAUAGGCAUCGAGUCUUCAGAGAAGAACCCAGCCGAAUCUCCCCUUCACCCAUAGGGUGGUCAAGUUGAAGGUCCCCAAAUCCGUAUGUUAUUUGAUCCACCAUCACCCUAGCAUACCCUUCUGGAAUCGGCUGGCCGUGGUAGGUUGGGUCAGGUUUAUUAGGUAUAACAGAGCCAACAGCCGCCUUGACUUUCAAUGUCAUCCAUCGCUUCAUAAGGUGGAAAUGUUAAGACUCCGUGAUAGCAUCCAUGGGGUAGAUAGUAGGAGCCAUGAAGACAUGCUCCAGCUGCUGAGUCUGCUCGGUGGAAGCCAUGCUGCUUCUCCGCUGAGAUGGCGGGGUAGCUUCAGGGGAAGAUUCGGCAGGUUGUUUGCUGCGAUCCGCUUCUCGUUCCUCUAGCCCUUGUACCCUUUCGUGCAGGGCCUGCAGUUGGCUAUGCUCCACUUUUUUCCUCCUCUCCUGGGUUAUGUAACCCCCUGCUUCCGGAAAGCCAGCCUUCCACGGAAUGGAGCCUGGCAUGCCUCGUGUCCAUCCAGGGUGCUCAGGAUUCCCGAGGGCCAUUGUGAGCUCGUCAUUCUCUCUGUCUGGGAUGAACGUCCCUUGCUGCGCUUUCUUGAUAUUCUCCUGAAGCUUUCUGACGGGUAUUCGCAGUUUCUCAUCCAUCCAAACGCACUUCCCUGUUACAGGGUCCAAGGUUCCGCCAGCCCCGAAGAACCAAGUCCGGCAACGGUCUGGCCAGUUAAAUGUCUCUGGUUCUACCCCUUUAGCAAUAAGGUCAUUCCCAGUCUUGCCCCAAAAAGGUCGGGCUUUGAGGUAACCACCUGACCCUGUGCGAUGGCGAUGCUUCUUCUUUGCAGCAUUAAUCUUGUUUGUCGCUAACAUCUUCUUACUCUUUUCCGAUGUCUUGUGGGCCACAAAUACGGGCCAUUGAUCUCUGAUCUUCUCAUACUUUCCGAUGAAUUCUGGUGUCUUUUCUUUGUCUACAAACGUUUUCAGCUCAUUCUUCCACCUCCUGAAUAGUUCUGCCAUCUUCUUAAGAGCAUGAGACUUGAUCAAUUGCUCUUUACCUGGCUUCUCUGGAUCCUCCUCUGGCGGUAGGGUGAAAUUUGCCUUAAACCUUGUCCAAAGAUCUUCUUUCUGCAUAUCGGAGACAUAAGACAACUCAGGGUCUUCCUUCUUAGGCUUUAACCAUUGUUGGAUACUGAUCGGGAUCUUGUCCCUCACAAGAACCCCGCACUGAGCAUGAAAUGCAUCCCUUGUCCGGAUGGGUUCAAUCGGCUUGCGAUCGCGCGCGAUUGCUGUGAUCUCAAACCUUUCAUCCGAGCGCAACUUUUUCUUCGGGCCUCGUUUCUUUACCAAAUUUGAGCUCGAUCCGGAGGGCUAGAGAAAAGAAGAAAGACGAGAGUUAAUUAAUAUGUGUACAUAUGAAAAUAAUGAAUGCAUCAAUUAACUAGUCAGCACGGGCUUAACUAAUAUAUAUAUACCUGGCCGGACUCGGUUCGGUCACCGGAGUUGUCAUCACGGUCUCCGUCUUGUACCUCCAUUCGGUCACCGGAGCCAUCAUGAACAUAGCCCUCUUCUUAUACCGGCAUUGAUGGGUCACCGGAGCCAUCAUAAUCAUAGCCUUCUUCACUACCCCGUCCUUCCUGACCAUCGGUGUCGUUGAGAAACGACGCAACAACAUCACUUCCUUGUGCGAUUAUGUCCCCCAACAUCGCUACUGUUGCUUCGUCUCCGGGAUGCUCCAUAGUUUCUGCAAAUAUUUACAACAUGUCAAUUAUUAUUCAAACAUGACAGAUGGAUAUAUAAUAGUGGCAAACGUAGAACUAGCUAGCUAAUCACAAUAAGGAAUCAUAUUAGUGGCCUCGACGCUGCUUCUCUAGGGUUUGGGGUGGCCUCGACAACGCUUCAAGGGUUUGGGGUGGCCUCCAAGACAACACUCUUUUAAAUUGGUAAAUUUGGGUGGCCUCGAGAGAGUUUGUCGGGUAGGGGCGCGGUGGGAGGGGGUAGGAGACCAACAUCGUUUUUUCUCUAGGGUUUGGGUGUCCUCGAGAGUUCUGGUCGAAAGAAGAAGAAAAAAAAAGAGGAGAAGAAGAAGGAAUAUAGGAGUAGAAGAAAAAAUUCUUCUACUCCUCUAUUCCUUCUUCUUCUCCUCUUUUUUUCUUCUUCUUCUUUCUCUUCUUAUUUUUUUCCAACGUUCCCCUCAUGUAAAUGCGGUGGAAACAGUUUAUGAAAAUGCGGUGGUGGCCGAGCCGGGCGGUUUUCUUUUCCUUCUUCAUUUUUUCCUUCGUUUUUUCUUAUAUGUUUGUUUUCGUUUUCACUCUACAUUUUCCAAAUCAUAUAAAUUAAUUACACAUAUAAAUAAUCUAUAUAUAUGAACAUAUUUUUAUGAAUAAAUAUAAUUACACAUCUAAAAUUUUCCUAAUCUUAAUACUAAACUAAACUAAAAUAAUCUAUAUAUAUGAACAUAUACAUAAAUUCACAAAAAAUACAUAAAUUGACAAAAAAAAUACAUUUAUGAAAAAAAUACUAUGAACAUGUAAACACAUAUAUACACAUACAAACACAUAUACACAAAAAAGUACAAAAAAUGCUAUGAAAAAUGCAGGGCAGGGGCGGCGGGGCGGCGCGCGGCGCCAGCGCUGGGCAGGGGCGGCGGCGCGGCGGCCACGCAGGACAGGGGCACAGGGGCGCGGGACGGGAGGGACGCGGGAGCAGGCUGUGCUCACAGAGGGCGGCGGCGACGGCGAAGGUGAGCAACCUGACGGCGACGGCGAAGGCAAGCAGCCUGACGGCGUCGGUGGCGGCGGCGACGGCAAGGUGGAGAAGGGGCGUCGGGCGGCGACGGCGACGAGGAGGAGCAGUGGGGUCGGGGGAGAAGUGGCGGAUUUGGUCGAAACUGCUCAGUGCUGCUUAUAUAGCAAAGCCUUUAGUCCCGGUUGGUGGCACCAACCGGGACUAAUGCACCCAUUUAGUCCCGGUUGUUGCCACCAACCGGGACCAAACGCCUCUUUUCAGUAGCCCAAAUGGCAGGAAGCAGAGGGCUUUGGUCCCGGUUGAUGGCAACAACCGAGACUAAAGGGUGGGCAUUGGUAUCGGUUGGUGCCAUGAACCGGCACUACUAGGGAAAAAGCUAGCAGCAAUGCGGGUUUUAGAUGUAUCAGUAGCGUGGGGAUAGGCGCUACUAAUAAGGCGCUACAGCUAACAUAUAGCAGUAGCACGUGCUCACCGGCGCUACUGCUACACAAGUGUAGCAGCAGCGCUGUUUGAGGAAGCUCGCUACUACUAGUAUCUCUAGCGCGCUUUACCUUGACGCGCUACUGCUAUCGCGGCACUGCUGCUAACUUUUGUACACUCGCUACUGCUAAUUUAAGUAGGUUUUUUUGUUAUUUUUUUGGCAUAUUUGUUUUGUAUUUGAAUAGGCUUUAUAGAAAAAUCUUUAGCACAUAGAGAUGUCAUCAUGAUACACAUACAAAUGUCUGCGAGACCACAAAUGUAAUCAUAGCAUGUACAUACAAAUAAUCUCAUCAUAAUCAUCAUCCAACACAAAGUGAUAUCUUGUCAUCAUCUUGAAAAUAGCGAUACAUGCAAGUCUCGAAUACUUGCAACUACAACAACGUCAUCCAUCUAAACAAAGGUAUACGCAAGAAGUGCUAUCAUUAUGAGUGAGAGCGGAACUAUGCAGUACAUGAUGUGGCGGUUACGAGUCCUCUCUCGCGCUAGCGUGAACCUCAAGUAACUAGCUUCUCCUUCUUGUCUGCUUUUGAAGCCUUUAUGGCUGGCGCCCGUGAACCCAUUCACUUGCGCCUGACACUCAUGCCACUCGUUGUACACCCCCGGAACCUUCCCUUUGUACACGACAUAGCAAUUCCAUCUCGCCAUCAAGAAACUAGGUACCUGUUAGAGAUGCAUGUUCAUGAAGAGGUUCUACAAUCAUAUAUAUGCAACAAAAUAUACUAGAGCAACACCGAAAAAUAAAGGGUUAGCAAUUAGAUGCAACAUACAGUACGGAAAUUAAUUAACUAGAGGUACGCAGGUCAUCGUACGCAAACUAACAAAGUAGCGUUACGCAAGUUCGGCACAUGGACCGUGGACAUCACAAAGUUUCAUCGCUACAAGAAGUAUACAAGUUCAACCGACACAUAUCAUCAUCAUCGGCAUCAUAAAUCACUAGAAGUUCCAUCCUUCCAUAUCAUCGAGGACGAACCCUAGCUUCUUGAACGACGUGAGGUCUAGAUGUUGCAUGCCUAUGCGAGUUCGGACGUCAGCUCGCGAUAUAAGGCUGUGGUGGAACAUCCCCUUCUCAUCGACGACUUCUUUCAUGAUGAUCGUCGCAAUGUCGCUUUGGAUGCGAAAGGAGUCAUCUCUAAGUUUAUAAUCCGCUUCUCCAUGAGAUUCUAGCCACUUGUGGAUACGAUCAUCAUUUUUGCUGUUAAUGCGAAGCUUUUGGUGAUUCGUGUUGAAAUGAAUCAUGAGAUGGACGAUGUAGAAUCCAUCCUUCUUGCUUGGUUUUGGGACAUGGAUGCAGGAGAAGUUAGUUUUAUGCGCGAAACCCAUCUUCUUGUUCCUUUGUUUCUUGAUCUGCACAUGACCACCUCUAAAGCUGAAGCCUUGGAGAGCAUCAUCUAGAAUAUUCAUUAUGUGGGUGUAGUCUUUUUUCUCGUAGUCUCUGGAAGGGUCAAAAUACACGGCGUGGGAGACUUGCGGGUAAAGAACGAUAAGGACGGCGCGCCCGUUGCUGUGGGGAAAAGACACCUCAAAUUAUUCCCCAUAUAUAUGAGAGAGAAGGAAUGAUUGAAAUGUACGAAAGGGUUGUCCGGAACUGACUUACUUUGGAUGAUAAGGCACGAGGACAAUUUCCCGGUCCUUAUUCUGUACCAUGAAGUUUUGGAGGUACUCCCUAGCAGUUUCAUGCUCAAAGUCGCCGAGACUCAAGAAAGACUCGUGCAUGUAGUACGGAUCCGCCACACAGAUUUGCGAGACUUCUUCACUCUUCAUGACGGAGCUUAUAUGUAGCGCAAAAAGGCGGACGAAAGUAAAAUCAAGCCGCCUUGUUAGAAACAUCUCAAAGUUAUGGUCAACCCGCAGGAAGAACACCUCUGCGGGCCGUGUGUCGACGUAGCACUUCCCCUCGGGCACACGAGCCGUGUAUGUCGGAUAUCGUGGAUCCUUUGAGGCUAGUAGGCUUUUCUCAGUCGACAACACAUGGUCGUGCAGUCUCCUGAGAUCCCCUGAUAGUGCCUCCAGCGAUUUUGGCGGUAGCAUCGGCUCGCCCGUGAGGUGGAACAUGACCGCACUUUUCACGGGUACACGCUCUUCAGAAUGCAUCGACUGGCUGCUAUGUGCUCUGGCGUGUUUGGAGGCAGUUACCUUCCCCGAUCUCUUCCUCUCCUUUUUCUUGGGCACACCUUCCAGACCCUUCCUUAACCCCUGCCCCAGUGUUCUCGGGCUAAGUACUGUACGACCCUCGCGCCCGGCUAGUUGAGCCUGUGUUCAGGCGGCAUCUUCAGGCGUGUCCUGUGAGGAUUUCAUGAAGAGAGACUUUUUGCAAUCCAUGGUACGACCCUGCCCGGGCAUAUCAUCCAUAUCCUCAUUAGCAAGCUGAUAGCCCAAUUCGUCAUAUGGUUGACUCAUCAUAUCUAUGUCACAGUCAUACGCGUUUGUAUUGAGGUAAUCCAUAGGGUUGACCUCCGUCUCAUCAUCCAUUCUUUGUUCUACAGGAGAAAUUACAUCAGCCAGUACUAUUGCACCCCCUUCAUCAUGUCGUCCGCCGCUCUCACCCGGCACUACAGGAGCUGAUAAUUGCAUAGGCAGGGUGGUGGUCUUCGCACAUGCUUGUUGAUGGGUGGUAGUUAUUGGUGUGCUCUCGGCCGGCUCCAGACGAAUAAGAUUCUUCGGCCAUAGCAGCACCCAAUUCUUGCAACUUCCAAUCCGCGGCGGGGUCGCAUCGUCCGCUCCCACAUGCUGUACUAGAGGAGGCAAAUCCUCGUGCCCUGAUUUCACACUGGUCAAGCUAACCCUGAAGUGCCCAGCGGGGAUCGGCUGGUUGUGGAACGUGCGUUGAGAGGGGUCCAUUAUCAUCCCCUUUCCCACGUCCACCUUCUGGCCUUUGAUCAAGUAGAGUAUGGUGCACGGGGUUUCUUUCGCCUAGAAACACAUAUGUCUGUGGCGUAAAACAAACGAAAGGCAACAAAAAUGGAAUAUUAUAUAUAUAUAUAUAUAUAUAUAUAUAUAUAUGUUGGUGCGACAUGUAAUUACCGUGACGGCGUCGAGCUCAGCCAAAGACGAAGGCCCACCUAGCGCGCCUGAGACUGAGGACGGGCUGCUAUGAGUGGGAGCGGCUGCGAGAGGAGGCCCGGUUGCGUGAGCAAGUGAUGGUGCGAUGGUGUUGUUGUUCAUGGAGUUGCUCCUGACGAAACUGGGCAUUGGGAAAUCAUGUACCGUCUUGUAUGGAUUUUCCUUCGCCCAGUUGAUGAUAACUGGAACCAAGUUAGUAGCAAAAUUAUUUCUGCAGGCAGUUACAGCUGCAUUGACUGCCUGCUGUAGCAACUCAUAUUUGUCCUCGGCUGCUUUUUUCGCGUCCUCAGCUGCUUUUUUUCUCGACCGCAAGCUUCACCUUCGCGUCGAUGUCCGCCUGACUAAACUUCAUUUUCUGCUUCUUGGCCUCCGGGCCCUCGUUGUAAAACACCUUCCACGUGGCGCCGUCUCCAGCGCCGUGCACAUGACCAUAGUGCGGCCGCUGAUCCAAAGGGAGUCCCUUAAGUUUGUUCAAGGCCCGGUUGAGAGGGGUGUCCCACUUGGGCCUCAUUGGAGAAGUAGGGCUUUCGGCUGCAAGCUGGUGUUGCUUCUCCAGUAGUCUAAUCAAUUUCCUCGUGAUCUUGUCCGUGUAAAAAACCUUUUUCUCCUUCUCCCACUUGUAGCGGGACCUGAUGAAGUCAUGCUCCAAGGGGUUGGUGAACUUUGCGAAGGGGUCUGGGAGACCCGCGGCUUCACGUUCCGCGUCCUCCUUAUCCCAUAUGGGCCUUUUACCGAGGUAGCCACGACUUCCGAGGCGAUGCUUCCCCAUGUUCCUUUGCUGAAGGCUCUUGAAUUUCACAGCCUUAGCCUUGGCUGCCUCGCUAGCGCAAGUGCCCUUGAACUUUUCGAACUCCUCUUCCGUAAGUGUCGGAUUUUCCUCCAGAAUCUUGGACAGGGGUUCAUCAGCCUCAAUAGCUCGUUUCACCCUCGUUUUCCAGGAGGCCAAAUCAUUGCUGAACAUGCCCAUGGCGUGAUUGUUAAUCUUUUUCAUCUUCGGAUCAUCCCACGGUUGUUCUAUGUUAUCAUCCCGGUCGGGGAACUUGAAUCUCUUGUGCAACUUUGUUAGGAGCAACUGCGUCAAAUGUUCUUUACUCCUUAAGUCAUCGUCAUUGAUGCUCACGCAUUCCCGUAGGAUGCAUUCUACUUGGUUCCCAUAGCACUUGCGAGGUUCUUCCGACUCUAACGGCUCAAACUUGCCAGGUGCCAUCUUUGUGAUCACAAGUCAUCCAAUCCCUAGUUUGUUAGGUUUUCGUAUCCUCUGCUUCUUAUGCUCCUCUUUUCAGUAGCGGCAUCAGGGCCGGUACCUUCCCCGCCGGUACCUUCCCCACCGGUCUCGGUGCCGCCAUCGGUGUCGGCACUGUCGGUGUCGAUGUCGGCGUCAGUACCAUCAUCGAGGCCGACCUGCAAACCUUGCUUAGAAGUCAAAUAGUCGAGGUACUCUUGUUCACCCUCAUAAUCCAUCUCGUCUGCAUCUUGGUCAGAAGGCCCAGUUUCUUCGUUGUUCGACAUGUUUCCUAUGAUUAAGUGUCCUCAUUUAUUUCUAAAAGUAUGAAUAAAUGAGAAAUGACAUAAAAAGAAAUCUAUGUGCCAGCACUCGAUAUGCCAACUAUGUAGCACAAAAUCAUGCCUUUAUUCACGGGAAAUUUCGGCAUGACCUUUGCUAAAAAAUGGACGUAUCGAGCGCCUGAAAUUCACCGAAACGGAAAUGAAUCAACAUUCCGGCGUAACAUAGGCCACUCGGAUCAUUUUCCAAACAUGACAUGUCCAGUUCCAAUUUGCACAUAUCACAUGUCCAGUUCAAAUUUUGAAACCUAGCUAAAUUCAUAACUAAAUAGAUAACCUAAUUAACAUACUGCCCUAACUAAAACCUAAGUAAAUUAACCGAAGAACCCUAGAAGAGAGAGGGGGGGUUUACAGAGGGUGCAGGGGCGAGGAGGCAGGCCCGACGACGGCCGGGAGGGGAGAGGAGGGAGGCGAGGGNNNNNNNNNNNNNNNNNNNNNNNNNNNNNNNNNNNNNNNNNNNNNNNNNNNNNNNNNNNNNNNNNNNNNNNNNNNNNNNNNNNNNNNNNNNNNNNNNNNNNNNNNNNNNNNNNNNNNNNNNNNNNNNNNNNNNNNNNNNNNNNNNNNNNNNNNNNNNNNNNNNNNNNNNNNNNNNNNNNNNNNNNNNNNNNNNNNNNNNNNNNNNNNNNNNNNNNNNNNNNNNNNNNNNNNNNNNNNNNNNNNNNNNNNNNNNNNNNNNNNNNNNNNNNNNNNNNNNNNNNNNNNNNNNNNNNNNNNNNNNNNNNNNNNNNNNNNNNNNNNNNNNNNNNNNNNNNNNNNNNNNNNNNNNNNNNNNNNNNNNNNNNNNNNNNNNNNNNNNNNNNNNNNNNNNNNNNNNNNNNNNNNNNNNNNNNNNNNNNNNNNNNNNNNNNNNNNNNNNNNNNNNNNNNNNNNNNNNNNNNNNNNNNNNNNNNNNNNNNNNNNNNNNNNNNNNNNNNNNNNNNNNNNNNNNNNNNNNNNNNNNNNNNNNNNNNNNNNNNNNNNNNNNNNNNNNNNNNNNNNNNNNCGCCGGUGCCGGAGUUGGGGGCGAGCGCCGGGGCCGGGUCGGGCGCGGCGGUGCGACGGGGAAGAGUGGGGAUUUUUGGGGGGAAAAGGCGGGAUGAAGCAGGGCGGGUGAGAAUUUUGGGUUAAGUGGAUGUAGCAGUAGCGCAUUUGGACAAAACGCACUGCUACUACCUUCAGUAGCUAUAGCGCUUUAUACGAAAUUUGCUUCUACUAACUUCAGUAUCUGUAGCGGUUUAGGCAAAACGUGCUGCUACUACCUUCGCUACUGCCAGUUUUCCUUUUUCUUUUCCUUUAUUUUAUCCCACUUUUAUUUCCCGAGGGCAGUGAACGAAUGGAGGGCGAUAUAUAUUGCAUCUUGAUGGUUAAAUAUGUAUGCAAAAUAGGAACAUAUAUAUUACAAAUCAUUGGACCCAUGCAUAAUAAUGGCUAAGUGUGUAUACAAAAUAGGAACAUAUAUAUAUAUUACAUCAUUUAACCGAUAACAUAAGUUUCCUCAGUGCUGACGUUUUCGUUUUUGAGUCAGCUUCUUUCCCUUCUUGUUCGUCGAAGAAUAAUUGAGCCCCUCAUUGUGACUUUGCCUUUUCCAUGGAGUACGAUUUUUCUUAGGUAAUGUAGUAUUGAUUCUUCUUUUGACGUAUACUUCAUCAUCAUCAUCAUCUUCCCUCAUUGGGUUGCCGUGCUGAUCAUAGUCUUCCUCGUUGGCGACUCCAUCCAUUCCAAUGAUAUUCCUUUUGCCUCCCCUCGGGACAACACGGCUGGGAUUGCGCGGGUCAGUUAUGAAGAAGCAUUGUGUCACGUGCUUAGCGUGUACCCAUGGCUCAUUUUUUGCGAUAGCAUUCACGGUAGCGCUCUUGGCGUUGGGUAUAGUCAUGGUAGUGAAAAUCCGGCUUUCUCUUUCGACAUUCUUAGCCCAUCUGACACGGAACAUCAUCGUGUUGUGCAGUCCAGAGUAUUCAAGCUCCCAGAUCUCCUCGACCCUUCCAUAAAAUCGUUCAGUUGCGCCGUUGUCGCUGCCGGUCAUGCAUUCCAUCGUCACCCCUGAGUUCUGAUCAUCACUGUCCAUAUCUUUGGCCUCCGUGUAGAACGUGUAUCCGUUGAUAUCAUAUGCCUGAUAGGUUACGAGGUUGGGCGAGGGGCCAUGUGUUAAGGCGUAUAUGAGCAAUCCGUCCGUAGAGCCCUCCUCCGGAGGAUUAGCAAUAAUAUGCUCUUUGAACCAAUGCAGGAAAGUGGAGUUGUGCUCUCUAGUAACUUCGGCAUCCGUCAUGCAUACCCCCCGGUCACGAUACUUCUUUGCGAUAAUUUCUUUGUGCAGUGCCACGAAAGGAUCUACCUCGUCUAGGUGUUGUAGCACUACCAAGUUUGCUCUGUCAAAGUCGCUGCAUCGAUCUGAGUAUGCCACGUGCAGUUCCCUGCGACCGUUGUAGUGACCAUCUCCUUCGAGCCUCCCAUCGUGCUUGUUAACGGGGAAACCAACACUAACACCAGGCGGCUGGUCUGCGCCAUAUAGAAAAUUCUCACAGAAAGAGAUGCACUCUUGUGCCAAAUAGCCCUAGACGAUGCUUCUAUCCGGACGGGACAUGUUAUGAACGAAUCCUUUGAUGAUCCCAUUCAUCCUCUCAAAUGGCAUCAUGUUGUGCAGGAAUGACGGCCCAGGUCUAUUAUGUCAUCCACAAUAUGGACACACAGAUGCACCAUCACGUCAAAGAACGCGGGCGGGAAGUACAUCUCAAGCACAUUCAGUAUCACAACGAUCUCUUCCUGUAGCCUUUGGAGCUGCUUCACACUAAUCGACUUUCGAGAGAUGACGUCGAAAAAGUUGCAGAGACCAAUAAGCGUGUCACGGACGUGCUUGUCCAUUAUCCCUCUAAGGGCAACAGGUAGUAUCUGCGUCAUCAUCACACGACAGUCAUGAGACUUCAUCCCGCUGAACCUUUUCUUGUCCGUGUCUAGAUAUCUGCUUAUCUUGCCACAGUAACCGGAACUAACUUUGACUCCGGUAAGGCACUUAAAGAAGGCAUUGAUCUCAGCCUGACUUAAGGUGAAGCAAUAAGGGGGGCAAUAAUCCGCUUUCUUUAUUUUCUUGCCCUUCUUCUCCCGUGCCUCUGUCUCCGUCUCUGUCUCGUCUGACAUUUUACGGGGUGGCAUGUGCAGAUCUUCCCUAAUUUUCAAAUCUUGCAAAUCUUUUCUUGCCUUCGGCCCAUCCUUGGUCUUAUCCGGCAUGUUCAUCAGUGUUGCGAGCAAGCUCUCAAGGACAUUCUUACAUAUAUGCAUUUGAUCAAGGCAAUUAGGUGUAUCGAGUUUGUGCCAGUACUCCAAGUCCCAGAACACAGACCUUGUCUUCCAUACCUUUAGCAGCGGCUCCGGCGCCUUUCUCAUCGUCUUUCCCGAUGUGGGGCACUCCUUCCAGUUUUUCAACAGCUCAUCGAUUUUGGCACCGCUCCGCUUACGUGGAGGUCCUCGAUGCUCAGCGUGACCAUUGAAUAGAUCUCCACGGUUUCUCCACGGGUCGUCCUGUUCAAGCCAUCUUCGAUGCCCCAUGUACACGAUUUUCCCAGACCCGCCAUCUUUCCUUGACGUUAGCUACUGAGACGUUGUAUCAUCCAUGCACCGCGUGCAUCCGCAAUAUCCAUGGCACACCUGGCCUGCCACAUAUCCGUAACCGAGAUAGUCCUGCACUGUCGUGAUCAGCACGGCUCUCAUGUUGAAAUACUCACCUUUGCUGGCAUCCCAUGUCUUGGCCGGUGUUUUCCAUAACGUGUCUAACUCCUCUUUAAGUAGCCCCAGAUACAAAUUAAUAUUCUUUCCUGGUUGUUUCGGACCUUGAAUAAGCAUGCUCAUGUGAAUGUACUUCGAUUUCAUGCACAACCAGGGGGGAGGUUGUACAUCCAUACAAACACGGACCAUGUGCUAUGGUUGGUGUUCUGGUUGCCAAACGGAUUCAUGCCAUCAGUACACGCGUCGAGCACGAUGUUCCUUGCAUCACAUUCAAAAUACCGAUAGAAGCUGUUCAACGCUCUCCACUGGCUUCCAUCCUUCACGUGUCUCAGCUUCGGAUCAUCUCCAUCGUCGGGCUUCUUCCUCUCCGCGUGCCAGUGCAUUAGCUUUGCUUCCUUGGGAUCUACAAAAUACCUCCGGAGACGGGGAGUGAUCGGUAAGUACCAUACAACUUUCUGGGGACAUUUCUUCCCGGCCUUCUUGUAUCAAGAAGCAUUGCACACCGGACAGCUUGUUUUUUCCGCGUGCUCCUUCUGAUAAAUUAUGCAAUUGUUGAUGCAUGCAUGGUAUCUAACGUGUGGCAGAUCAAGAGGGCACACGAUCUUCUUGGCCUCAUCAACACUAGUAGGACAUAGAUUACCCGCGGGAAGAACAUCUUUUGGUACUUCAGAUGCUCAUCGAGGCUAGUGUCGGUCCAUUUGUUUUUAGCCUUCGUCUUCAGGAGUUGGAGCGUGAAAGUCAAGCGGGUCACCUCAGGAUUGCAACCAUCAUACAAUGGAGUGUUCGAGUCUACCACCAGUUGCUUUAGCUUAGCCUCCUCUCUAGAAGCAGCUCUCUCAGUACUCGUCUCCUUGCGAAGCAAUGCUUGAACAUGAGGGUCCCGCACGAUUGAACUUAGUACCGACGAACUCUGCUGCGUGGAGUCCAUGUCGUUCUCUCCGCCGCCAUGUCCGGCCCCUUCUCCGCCGCCAUGUCUGGCCUCUUCCCCGCCACCAUUAUCGAUCAGCUCUUCGUCAUCCUCAUCUUCAACAUCGCCGGCAUCCUCAACAUCGUCAUCCUCAUCUUCAAUUAUCCACCGCGUAUAGCCAUCCAUGAAACCAGUCAUGAGCAGGUGCGUUUCGACACGACCAUCGUCAUCGGGGUUGAGCCAAACUAUUCCUUUGCAUUUUCGACACGGACAUAAAACCUCUGUCCGGUUAUUUUCUUUCAUGUCCUGCAGCGCCGAUCGCAACCACCUGUCCACCAUCGUUCCACUGACCAUCGUCAACUCUGCACGGUAAUAAUAAACAAAUUGAUUAUAAAAAUGCAUGCAUGCAUCAAAGUCAUACAAAAAUUUGGCAUGACCUUCCCUAAAAAUAGGACAUAUAUGGAUCUAGAGUUUGCCCGGAAUUCGCCGAAACGGAAAUAAAUCGACAUUUCGGCAAAACAUAGGCAACUCAAAAGCACAAUUUGGCGUGCCGCACACACAAUUUCCACAAACAUAUCACACACACAUAAACAUAUUUUCAUUUUGCAAAAGCAUGAAAUUUUCAUCACCUCUAUCUCGAUCAAGAUCGAGCACACGGUGGAGAUGAUGUUGUAGGGAGAUCAAAAGUGCACAAAGCUCUUGUUGACAAAGAUAGAUCUAGUUAGGGGGCAAAUAGGUCACUUAACUAAAUGCUACAUCUAUCUAGCUAGCUAAUUUGGGAGGAGACAACUUCAACUAGUGGAGGGGAAAGGAAAAAGAGAAAGGAUAUGCAUUAAUGGAGGUGGUGUAGGUAGGUAGGAGUAAUGAAGAGAGAGAAAGGUGGAUAGAAGAGAAAGAGUAAUGGGGGAGAAGUAUUGAGGAAGAAGAAGAGUGAGAGCGGGAGCAUGUGGGGGAGGUAGGGGAAGGGAGGAGAGGAGGGGGAGGGGAGGCACGGGUGGGAAAAGGUGGUGGGUUGGUGCGGGUUAGCAGUAGCGCGGGAGAAGAAACGCGCUGCUGCUAAAGAAUUAGCAGGAGCGCGCUUUGGGCAACGGCGCUACUGCUAACAGUGACAAAAAAAUUACCAAUUUGAAAUGUAGUAGCAGCGAUCCCAGUAAAAGCGCGCUACUACUACAUCCGUAGCAGUAGCGCGGUUCGGGCAACGACGCUACUGUUAAAUGGAGCUCGGUGAACACCGCUGGUGGAUAUUUGUAGCAGCGCGGUUUACACAGAGCGCGCUACUGCUAAAAACUUAUCAGCAGCGAGUUUCCCGCACACUCGCUACUACUAAUUAGCAGCAGCACUCCUUUUUGAGCAGCGCUGCUGCUAAGAUUCUAUGUAUAUGCUUUUCCCUAGUAGUGCGGUACCAAUGCACCCCCUUUAGUCCCGGUUGGUGCCACCAACCGGGACCAAAGGCCCGUGUGCUGCCCGCGUCGUGGCCAAAGUUUAGUCCCACCUCGCUAGUUGAGAGGGACGCGCAGUGGUUUAUAAGCCCCACUGCCACACCCCUCUCGAGAUCCUCUCCACUACAGGCUUACGGGCCUACUUGCUACUUGUUGGGCUUUCUGGGCCUACUGCGGGCCUGAAUCCUGGUCCAUGGAUGGGUUUCUAGUCAUAUUCAGGCCGUGGUGGCCCAGUUGGUGGCAAAUUUUUUAUUUUUCCCAUUUUUUUGUUCUCAUUUUGCUACUAUUUAUUUUGUUUUGUUUCUACUUACAACAAAAUAAUUAUUUAUUUUUAUUUUAUUUUGUUUGUAAUUACUUAUUAAUUUUAUUUUAUGAUAAUUCUUUUUGCUAUUAAAGUUUCUAACAAAAAAGUUCUUUAUGAAAAUUCUUUUUGCUUUUAAUGAUUUUGAACAGAAAAUACUUUGAUAAUUUUAGUUUCAUCAAUUUUAUAUAAUUUUAGNNNNNNNNNNNNNNNNNNNNNNNNNNNNNNNNNNNNNNNNNNNNNNNNNNNNNNNNNNNNNNNNNNNNNNNNNNNNNNNNNNNNNNNNNNNNNNNNNNNNNNNNNNNNNNNNNNNNNNNNNNNNNNNNNNNNNNNNNNNNNNNNNNNNNNNNNNNNNNNNNNNNNNNNNNNNNNNNNNNNNNNNNNNNNNNNNNNNNNNNNNNNNNNNNNNNNNNNNNNNNNNNNNNNNNNNNNNNNNNNNNNNNNNNNNNNNNNNNNNNNNNNNNNNNNNNNNNNNNNNNNNNNNNNNNNNNNNNNNNNNNNNNNAGAGGUUGCUUAUAAUGUUUUGAACAGAAAAUACUUUGAUAAUUUUAGUUUCAUAAAUUUUAUUUAUGUUAUUAAACUUUAUUUUUUUUAUUUUAUUUUGUUUCUACCUAUCCAUUUUAUUAAAGUUUAUAUUAUUUUGUUUCAAAUUACUUAUUUAUUUUAUUUUAUUUUGUUUCUGACUUCAUUUGUUAUUUUUAAUGCAUUUAUUGAUUAUUUUGAGCUAUAAGACCAUGAAAUUGAAAAGCAUUUGAAAUGAACUCUGAAAAGGUUCCAAGUUGGCAUGGUAUCAUCAUUUCACCCACAUAGCAUGUGCAAGAAAGUACACAGGCUUACGGCUAAAACUGGAUGCACUUCGUGUACAAAACGGACAAUCUCUUUCAAAGUAUCACGGUUUCAUACAGAAACUCGUCUGUUACAAAGGGAUUUCAUUUUUUGAACUUAUUUGAACUCCAUUGUUUUUCUAUGUUCAAAAUGCACCAUUCAAAGCCACAUCAUCAAUUUACAACCCUUUCUGACUACAUUUGUUAUUUUUCAUGCAUUUACUGAUUAUUUUGAGCUAUAAGACCAUGAAAUUGAAAAGCAUUUGAAAUGAACUCUGAAAAGGUUCCAAGUUGGCAUGAUAUCAUUAUUUCACCCACAUAUCAUGUGCAAGAAAGUACACAGGCUUAUGGCAAAAAAUGGAUGCACUUCGUGUAUAAAACGGACAAUCUCUUUCGAAGUAUCAGGGUUUCAUACGGAAACUCGUCUGUUACAAAGGGAUUUCAUUUUUUUUGAAAUUAUUUGAACUCCAUUGUUUUUCUAUGUUCAAAAUGCACCAUUCAAAGCCACAUCAUCAAUUUACAACCAUUUUUGACUACAUUUGUUAUUUUUCAUGCAUUUACUGAUUAUUUUGAGCUAUAAGACCAUGAAGUUGAAAAGCAUUUGAAAUGAACUCUGAAAAGGUUCCAAGUUGUCAUGGUAUCAUCAUUUCACCCACAUAGCAUGUGCAAGAAAGUACACAGGCUUACGGCAAAAACUGGAUGCACUUCGUGUACAAAACGGACAAUCUCUUUCGAAGUAUCACGGUUUCAUACGGAAACUUGUCUGUUACAAAGGGAUUUCAUUUUUUUAACUUAUUUGAACUCCAUUGUUUUUCUGUGUUCAAAAUGCACCAUUCAAAGCCACAUCAUCAAUUUACAACCCUUUCUGACUACAUUUGUUAUUUUUCAUGCAUUUACUGAUUAUUUUGAGCUAUAAGACCAUGAAGUUGAAAAGCAUUUCACAUGAACUCUAUAACCAAAGUACAUACAUAGUUCUCCAGAGCAUUAACACCAAAGUACAUACAUAUAUAGUUUUCAUUGAACAACAUAUAGCUCUCCGGAGCAUCUAAUUAAACCAUACAUUGAAAUUAUGUAAAACAUUUCAAUGCAACAACAAAUGCGAUCAUAAUCGCAACCAAGGUAACAACUGAUCCAAUUGCAUAAUGAUACCAAGCCUCGGUAUGAAUGGCAUAUUUUCUAAUCUUUUUAAUCUUCAACUGCAUUGCAUCCAUCUUGAUCUUGUGACCAUCGAUGACAUCCGCAACAUGCAACUCCAAUAUUGUCGGGGAUAUACCCCGCGGCGUAACCCAGCCAGAAGUAUAACCCGGUCGGACUGGACGACUCACUGGUAACCCGCCCGGAGUUUGGCGAUUCACGGGUAACCCGCCGAUCUUGGCGGUUCAUUAGUAACCCGGCGGGCGGGUCAAAUGGAUGACGAGGCCCAGGGCCCAGAAGGCCGGUUCAUGAAAUUGAAAGCACAAGGAAUAUUCUCCUACAAAGGAAGCAAGACUAGGACUCCACUUGUAAUAGAGUAAUCCUGAUCCAACUAGGACUAGUCAUGUAAACCGCCCCUUCAACAUGUAUAAGGAGGGGCAGGGCUUCCAAAAGAGGGACAAGAUACAAGCAAGAAGAAACAAUCUUAGGGCUAGAUACAACUAGAGGAGAGCCGGUUUACGGGGACUCCCUGAUGAGGAUAAUAAGACCUAGCCACAAACAGCAUGUAGGGCUAUUACCGGAUGAUGUUUCCCGCGGCCCGAAGCUAUCUAAAACCUUUGUCUUGCGUGUUGCGUCUCUCGAUUCCACCCAACCCCUCUCAAGCUACCACAUAGAUGCAUUGGCCUCACGACUAAGUCCUUGCACUAAGGACAUCUGACAUGUUAAUUCCACGACAAAUAUCAUCUUCUUGUCCUCAACUUUUCUUAUUUUUUCCUUCAAGUAAUUGUUUUCUUCUUCAACUAAAUUUGACCUCUCGACAAUAGGGUCGUUUGGAAUUUCCGGUUCAACAACCUCCUAGAUAAAUAAAAUCUAUGUCACAUUGGUCGGCAUAAUUGUCAUAAACAAUAAAUGAACCAAAUAGUUAUGAAAAAAUAAUAUAUACGACAUCUGAAUCAUAGACAGGACGAGGGCCGACGGGGGUGGAUACCAAAACCAUCGCACUAGAUCACAACAAGGAAUAAUAAAAGUAAGAAAAUUAGACAAGUAUCUAUCUGAAGUCAGAAUUUUUUUCUUUCAGAAAGAAGAUAAGAACAAGAGGCUCACCAUGGUGGUGCCGGCGACAAGAUCGGUGCGGGCGAUCGACGGCGGUGAAGACGGGGCGGGGACGGGGCGUGACGGACCGCUAAAUCUAGACAAAUCUCGUUGAAAAUGGAGCUCAGAGGUCGAGUUUCGAGAGAAGAAAGCUUAACUAGUGUGGCUCGGGCAUUUCAUCGAACACCUCAUGUGCAUAGGAGGUGAACUAGAGCACCCAAAUGCCCUCCCCUCGCCGGCUUGACAAAACAGAGCACUCUGGAGUGCUCUGCCGCGGUGGUGGGUAUAUAUAGGCAAGUUAUUUGUCCCGGUUCGUGGCAUGAACCUGGACUAAAGCACUCCCUUCUGUUCCGGUUCAAGCCACGAAACGGGACCAAUGGUUGUGGGCGAGGAGUGAGGACCAUUGGUCCCGGUUCGUGGCUUGAACCAGGACAAAUGGUUCCACACGAACUAGGACCAAUUCCCACGAGGCCCCGGCCGGCCCCCUGGGCUCACGAACCGGGUCUAAUACUCCCCGUGGGUCCCGGUUCUUAAAGAACCGGGACUAAUGGGCUGGCCAGGCCCGAACGGUAGCCCUGUUUUCUACUAGUGGGCCCAUUGCCUGUCGGUAGGGAAUAAGGGCGAUGGAGGCACCACUGAGCGGAGGAGAGUUCGAUAAUAGGAACCUUCUCGGGAGGUCGCUCGAUGCAAAAAGAUCGAGAGGUCUCACCGACAAUGGCGGCCCACACGGCAACCAAUUCACAGUAGCAAUCUCAGUCAAAAUUGUUGACCAAAAUCAUUAUUGGACACCUCAAUUGAUUCUCAGCUCUUCAAACCCUAGAUAGCUUAGUGAUAUAGGAGAUUACUGUAGCGGAGAACAAAUGGGAGAGCGAUUAUUUGGUGACUAAGAAUAUUGGUUGUUGAGUUUCAAGAGAAUUAUAGAAAAUAAAUAUAAAGGAAAUAUGAAAAAUGUAGAGUAUCCCAAGGAUAGUUAACUUAUUCUAAAAUUCAAGGAUUUGCCAGAGGAAUGUCUCACAAGUGACCAAAGCAAACGAAUUAAAGUGAAGUGACUACUGACUAAAUAGGAACUCUUUUUAAAUAAUAACUCGAAUAAUGCCACAACAGCAUGGACCAGAACAUCCAACUUCCAUAAGAAAACCAAGCUACGUACGUAGUAAGUCUGACCCAUAUUCAACAACCAGAUUUAUAUGAAGGUACCGGUGGCAUGCAAACUCGGUAGACAAUCACGGUGCUGCUUUUAGCAAACCAUCAGAUAACCAUUCCAUGUAACUAGGGAUAUAAGGUUCGCAUCGGAGAUUAAAAUCCCUCUCAAAACUGAAGAUAACACGUCAUCUCUAGUUUUCGAUAUGGUAUGACACAAGCUUUUGUUCCACCCAUUGAUUUGGAAAAAGAUAGAUUUGAGUUCCAUAUCGACUGCGACAAAUGUACAAACCUCAUCAUGGCCUAUCAUUUCCGGCAUGUCAGCUGUAUGCUUCAAAGUCCAUUGCCCACUAGCAUACUCUUCAAGAACUCACACUGAGAGCUGGCACUUAUCACUGCCCACCAGCGGCUCCUUUUUUUGCAAUGGCGGUAGCGAUGUGUAUGCGUCGUCCGCCACUUACGUUCGGGAGCCAUGGGCAUUGAGGGAGUCCUAGAUUAGGGGGUGUCCGGAUGGCCGGACUAUGACCUUUGGCCGGACUCCCGGACUAUGAAGAUACAAGAUUGAAGACUUCGUUCCGUGUCCGGAUAGGACUUUCCUUGGCGUGGAAGGCAAGCUUGGCGAUAUGAUAUGUAGAUCUCCUCCCAUUGUAACCGUCUCUGUGUAACCCUAGCCCUCUCCGAUGUCUAUAUAAACCAGAGAGUUUUAGUCCAUAGGACGAACAACAAUCAUACCAUAGGCUAGCUUCUAGGGUUUAGCCUCUCUGAUCUCGUGGUAGAUCAACUCUUGUACUACCCAUAUCAUCAAUAUUAAUCAAGCAGGAGUAGGGUUUUACCUCCAUCGAGAGGGCCCGAACCUGGGUAAAAACAUCAUGUCCCUUGUCUCCUGUUACCAUCCGCCUAGAAGCACAGUUCGGGACCCCCUACCCGAGAUCCGCCGGUUUUGACACCGACAUUGGUGCUUUCAUUGAGAGUUCCUCUGUGUUGUCACCGUCAGGAAGGAUGCCGCACCCCGUCUUUAAAGACGGCGCUGUUGCUAAAGGAGCUUUGGCUGUCGGCCAAACUUUCCGGCUAGGCGGUUUUCUGAUGACCGCAUGUUCGAUCGUCGCACCGACAAUGACUUCUCGGGUCAUCGAAAGCAAUCUCCACGUCAACUCGGAACUUGCCGAGCAGUUAGAUCCGAUGGAGCUCUCUUCCUUAAACAAGCUCUUGGAUCGCAUCGCCGCCCUGGGAGUCGCUACAGACUACGAUCAGAUUGGGCUUAAACCCGAUCCAAGAGAGAUUGACUCUCCCUAGGUCACCCACCACGUCGAAGUGAUGGAGGAACAAUGCGGCAAAUCUUCACCCAUACUAAGGACCAGAUGUGUCCGGAUUCCUGAUCCCUCCAAGCCGGACACCCGCGGAGGGGAGGACGUCACUCAAGCCCUGAACCUAAAGUCAAGAAGCGGGCCUGAUUCAUUGGAUAAUGUCCAAGAACCCAAGCUUCCGAGUUCGGAAAUUUCUUGGCCCCUGAGUCUCAGAUCGGGCGAGGUUCCGGAUUUAAAUCCACCCGCCCACCCAAAUAUAAGGGAUCUAUCCUAAAUUCGGCAAGAGCCCAGAGAAACAGUACACCAUUACUAGGCCAGAUUCCUCCUGGUUAUGAACAGGAUAAAGGACUGCCACGAGGGGGAUGCACUUUCAUCCUUCUGCAACAACUGCACGGACAUCGGAAUCCUCAACGCCAUAAGUCGCCGUGAAAUUACACGCUUCGCCGACUUGGCAUCCAUAGUACAAAAGUACUGUGCGAUAUAAAGCGUUCGGAAAACCGAAACAAAAUUCUGGGACAAUCCGACCCUGAAUACAAUCCCAGCCCGAAACAAAAGGGCGCAUUAUAGCGAGGCACCUGGGCCAAGAAACACAAAACAAAAACCCUCUAUAGGGUAUGGAACCGUACUGGAGGGAUGACUCAAUGGACACUGUAAAAUUCAUAGUACAGAGGGCGCCACACCAACUCAUAGCCUUAGCGCAUGUUGGAUACUCCGGCAGGUGGCCAGAAGUGGCGAGGACCUUCUAACCCCAGAAUCCACAGAGCCCCACCCCAGGAAUGCCAAUACGGUAUCAACAGUCUUCGAGACCUUCGCAUCAAACAAUGCGAGGAAACAAACGCUCCGCAGCCUUACCGAAGUCUACCAGGUAGCGACAAUAAACCCAUGGAGUGACACGGCUAUUACCUUUAAUGCCAGUGAAGAACCUAAAUUCCGGACAGCCCGAGCACUAGCCGCACUGGUCCUCAGUCCGACAGUGGACGACUUUCGGCUUACCAAGGUACUCGUGGACGGUGGCAGCGGAUUGAACCUCAUUUAUGAGGAAACACUAUUAAAAAUGGAAAUAGACUGGAGCCGCAUUGAGCGAAGCAACACAACCUUUAGAGGAAUAAUCCCCAGUCGGGAAGUGUGCUGUACAGGAAAAAUCACACUGGAUGUGGUGUUCGGCAUGCCGGAUAAUUACAGAUCCGAGGAGGUCACAUUUCAAGUGGCCCCGUUCAGCAGCGGAUACCACGCUCUGUUAGGGCGAGAGGCAUUCACAAUUUUUCAAGCUAUACCCCAUUACGGGUACAUGAAGCUCAAAAUGCCUGGACCCAACGGAAUCAUCACUCUCGCUAGUGAUCCGGACAUAGCGCUCCAUGCCGAAAACAAGACAGCCGCACUGGCCCUCGAGGCAUUGUCCGAAGCCCUAGCAGCCGAGGAACUAACUGCGUUGCGCUCCACUGUGGAUAGGGAUGACGUGAUACUCGACAAAAGAUCCAAGUCCACCUCCUUCAAGCCGGCAGACGAAAUAGUCAAGUUCCAAGUCCAUCCAACGGACACUGCAAAAACGUCCUCCAUCGGGGCACAACUAAACCCUGAUGUAGACGCCGCACUAAGAGAAUUCCUACGCGAAAAUUGGUACAUUUUUACCUGGCACCCUUCAGACAUGCCAGGAAUCCCAUGCAGGCUGGCCGAGCACAGCCUGAACAUCCUAAAAGGAUUCAAGCCUGUUAAGCGGGAUCUUCGGCGUUUCUCCGAACCUAAGAGACAAGCCAUGGGAGAGGAGCUAGCCAAACUACUAGAAGCCAGAUUCAUCAGAGAUAUAAAACAUCCGGACUGGCUAGCAAACUUGGUGAUGGUACCAAAGAAGGACAAAUCCUGGCGCCUAUGCGUCGAUUUCAAAGACCUCAACAAGGCCUGCACAAAGGAUCCCUUCCCCCUCCCCCGCAUUGGUCAAAUCAUCAACGCCACCGCAGGACAUGAUUCAUUGUGUUUCCUCGACACAUACUCUGGCUACAACCAAAUUAAGAUGGCAGAGUCAGACCAAGCCGCAACAGCAUUCAUCACCCCCAUACGGCCCAUUCUGCUUCAACACAAUGCCCUUCGGGCUCAAAAACGCCGGCGCAACAUAUCAGCGCAUGAUUCAGACAUGUCUGGCCAACCAGAUCGGCAAAACAGUUGAAGCAUACGUGGAUGACGUGGUCGUCAAAACAAAGCAUGUCGAAACUCUAAUAGAAGACUUGAGGCUCACGUUCGAUAACCUCCGAACAUAUGACAUUAGGCUUAACCCGGUAAAAUGCGUUUUCGGCGUACCAGCCGGAAAGCUCUUGGGCUUCAUCGUAUCCGGUAGAGGAAUUGAAGCAAACCCAGCCAAGAUCCGACCUCUGUCACAAUUGGAUAUUCCAAAAGAUCUCAAGCAAAUACAAAAAUUGACUGGAUGCGUGGCGGCUCUAAGCCGCUUCAUCUCCCGCUUGGAGGAAAAGGCAUUACCCCUUUACCGCCUCCUCCGGGGCACCGAACACUUCGAGUGGACAGAUGCCGCCACAGCCGGACUCGAAGAAAUAAAAGCCAUACUGGCAACAAACCCGGUCCUGGCCGCGCCUAACAUCGGCGAACCAAUGUUGUUAUACAUCGCGGCAACUCACCAAGUUGUAAGCGCAGUCCUCGUCGUCGAACGAGAAACGGACGGACACAAAUUCCCUGUCCAGAAACCAGCCUACUACGUGUCCACUGUCCUCACUCCAUGCAAGUCCCGAUAUCCGCAUUACCAAAAGAUAGCAUACGCAAUGUUCAUGGCAUCCCAGAAGCUACGACACUACUUUCAAGAGUGUUCAAUAACAGUAGCCUCCGAAGUACCUCUUAAUGAUAUCAUAAACAACCGCGACGCAACGGGCCGGAUUGCCAAAUGGGCCAUUGAGCUCCUCCCGUUCGACAUAACCUAUAAGCCACGGCGAGCCAUCAAGUCGCAAGCCUUGGCCGACUUUGUCGCUGAAUGGACUGAAGCCGAACUCCCUAAAAAGUACGACACAUAUUCCAACUGGACCAUGCACUUCGACGGCUCCAAAAUGCUGGCGGGUCUGGGGGCUGGCGUCGUUCUGACGUCCCCAACGGGAGAUACAGUCCAAUAUGUACACCAGAUAAUGUAUACGGACUCCAACAAUGCAGCCGAAUACGAGGCCCUUCUACAUGGCCUCCGGAUGGCAGUCUCCAUGGGCAUUCAAUGCCUAGAGCUGCGUGGGGAUUCGAUCCUCGCGAUGUCACAAAUAAACGGAGACUUUGAUGCCAAAGAUUCUAAAAUGGCAGCUUAUCGCAACGCCGUCCUAAAUAUGUCAGCUCGGUUCAAAGGGCUCGAAUUUCACCAUAUAGUCCAGGAAAACAAUCAGGCAGUAGACGUCUUGGCACGCAUCGGCGCAAAGCGCAAUGCAGUCCCCCCAACAUUUUCCUGGAAAGGCUAUUCAAGCCAUCCGUACAGUGGGAAGGGGAAUCCGGAAAUAACAAUCCGGACCUGGCCGCACCACCUGACACCGAACAUUCUGACACAACGGAAGACUCCGCCAACGAAGUCACACCCUCAGCCCACGUAAUAAUGGCAGUAAUUGCCCCGUGGACAGAACCAUUCUUAUCCUACUUAACUAGGUAGGAACUUCCCGAGGACCAAAAUGAGGCACGCUGCAUAGUGCAGCGAUCUAAAGCCUAUAUAGUCCACGGAGGAGAGCUUUAUAAGAAAAGCACCACCGGAGUCCUUCAAAGGUGUAUCUCCGAAGAGGAAGGGCGGAACCUUCUGGCUGAAAUUCACGCCGGACUCGGCGGGCAACACGCUGCAGCCCGGGCCCUUGUAAGCAAGGCCUUCCGUACUGGAUUUUAUUGGCCGACGGCCCGGGCAGAUGCGCAGGACUUAGUCCAGCGAUGCGUCGGUUGCCAACUAUUUGCUAAUCAAAGCCACAUGCCACCUACCACCCUCCAAACUAUACCCAUUACCUGGCCUUUCGCAGUCUGGGGGCUUGACAUGGUUGGACCCCUCAAAGGAGGAACCCGCAAGCACAAAUACCUACUGGUCAUGGUGGACAAAUUCACCAAAUGGAUAGAGGCCAAGCCUGUUAAGACGGCCGAAUCCGGACCAGUGAUAGACUUCAUAUCAGGGGCCGUACACCGUUACGCGUCCCCCACAUCAUCAUUACUGACAACGGCACAAACUUUACGGCCGACGAGGUUAAACUCUAGUGCAAAAACAUGCGCAUUAAGCUCGAUUACGCUUCAGUCUAUCACCCACAAACUAACGGUCAAGUCGAGCGAGCCAAUGGUCUAAUCAUGAGCGGCAUCAAACCCAGAUUAGUGCGAUCCCUCAAGGAAUCUAACACGCACUGGGUAGAGGAUCUCGACUCCGUACUCUGGGGGCUGCGGACCACGCCGAAUCGCACUACCGGAUUUACACCAUUUUUUAUGGUAUACGGCACAGAGGCAGUCCUACCCUGUGACAUAAUUCACUUCUCACCUCGCGUGCACAUGUACUAAGAAAGAGAAGCCGAGCUCGAUCGGCAGGACAGCUUGGACGCAUUGGAGGAGGAGCGCGACGUGGCAAAAGCCCGUUCCGCAUUCUAUCAACAGCAGGCUCGAAGAUAUCAAAGCAGAGAAGUACGGGCCAAAACUUACAAUGUUUACGAACUAGUUCUACGCCUGGAGGACAAGAAAAAGGACAAACUCAAGCCCAAAUGGGAGGGUCCCUUCGUAAUCGACCAAGUCCUAACUGGUGGAGCGUACCAUCUGCGAAAUGCAUCGGAUAACCGACUCGAGCCGAACCCAUGGAACGCAGCACGCCUACGAAGAUUCUACGCCUAGCGCCGGACUCUGUGUUCGUCUCCUUCCUCUGUCCCUUUUUUUAAUAUAAAUCAGCCACCUUAUAUUUCUCUCCUUCUCCCUCCCUUUCUCUUACAAGCCCUUAAGGGCUCUCUUGCGUAUUUUUCGCACAUAAUUGACACGCCACCCGCGCUCACUAUACCUGGGGGCUUCUUUAUCAGAAGCUUAUAUACACGGGCCUCAUGCCCUACACAUGUGUGACACUUACACAUGAACCUUUUAUUCACCAUUAUAUGCAUCGAUAUGACUUAAGUUUUGGCCAAGCUGGGUUGCCUGGCUCAUGUGCUUACCCCUACGUUCCCGAUUGUUCGGCUAGGUGGUAAAGGGAGCACCUCUGCGAUUGUUACUGUCGGGUCAGUCGGAUGUGUACCUCAGACUGGGUGAAGCCGAAAGCUAGCGUUCUUAACGGAAUAUUCGGUCGGUGAACUAAAAGAUGAUUUUUCACUUGUUUAUUUAUCUGCCCCCAGAUGCUUCUCUUAUUUUUUCGCAGUCCGUACAUGCACUUUAGGGCAUGCCUCCUAGGGAAAGGAACCCCUAACGGAACUAUUCUCCCUGGAAGAUGUUUCUUACUAACCAUCUAAUAUAACAUAACUAGUUUGGCACUUGUCUGCUAAAGCACUUAUGACCCCUACGCCUGGUCUCCACGCAUGCCCCGGUUCUUACAUAACCGAGAGGGUAUUCGGACACACUCUGGACUAUCGGGUCCAGAGGUUGAAGCGAAAAGGUCCGCAAUGACAAAUGAUCUACAAUCCGGCUAGAAGGCAUUUUACAUGUCAUUUUAAAUUACAUAGUCAAUUUGACUGGGUAUAUUCUUCUUCAAUACCAUCCAACAGACUAUCUAAUUUACAGUCCUGUUGGGAAUACUUGUCGGCCAGCUCUACCUGGCUGUACACUAAACUGACAGGGAUCUCCUUCCCGUCGGGCCCCACAGGUCCGACCUCGACCAUGCGGUUUGGGUCGGCCUUCGUGUACCACGUCUUCACCAUGGCCCAGGCCUCCAUGGCGCCUUGACGGCAGGCCAAUAUCUUCCAUAAUCAGAAGCGCUGCCGCGCUCCCUUCAGCUUCUCUACAAGCUCUCCAAGGCCUUCGGGCAUGGAGAGGGAUGGCCACAAAGCAUGGACGACGCCUUGCAUCACCUGCCGAACUCGUUCGUGCAGUUGCGAUAGCUCGGGAAGAAGGUCACCCGUAGAACCAGGCAUUUCCUCCGUAGGCCGACCUGUCAGCAUAUCUACAGACAUAACUCUGUCAAUCGACUUCCUCGCCAAACUCUUUUUCGAAGAUUCGUUCAAGCACUUACUAAAAAUGCCGCCUCGAAGUCGCCGAUUCUCCUUUACGAAAUCCGACAGCUGAGCACGAACAUCCUUUAGUUCCUCGCCCAGCUGGGUAUUGGCAUCUUGAAGCUUGUUCUUCUCUUGCCUCACCCUCGUAAGCACGCUCUCGCCGGCCUUUAACUGGCGCAAGAGUUGUUGCUUGUCCGGAUCCACUCCGGCCCCAUCUGCACUGUUAUUGUCAGAAUUGCACACAUGCCGCACUUCACAACAUACUUAUCUUUCGAGGCAUAUAUUACCUGAGGGGGUCCCCUUGGCAUUCUCGAGUUGGGCCUUGCACUCUUCCAGCUCCUGGGACAGUUGCGUAUUCUUUUUUGUAAGAUCCUGCAUAACAAAUGAUCCUUAAAUAAGUUAUUUUAACUGUUUCAAGUCUUGGGGGCUACCGACAUAUAUAACCAUCAGAUUUACUCACCCGUAUGUCUUUUACAUACUGCUCUAUGGCUCUAGCUAGACCAUUUUGAGCGGCACGGAGGUACGCAUCUCCCGUAUUAAAGGCGUCCAAUGCCUCUUGGGAAAAAUAUGUGUCACGAAGAAUAGUCCGGUGACGCCUGUGGUUCAUGGCACUCUCCACCUCUGAAUUGGUGGCAGAUAGCCCAUCCAUGUCCUCUGUCAGAGGAGCGUCCGGUGCGCGCCCUGUGUUCGCCUCCGCUUCCGGACCCAGCCUUGAAGCCUGGCCGGUGGAUAUAGUCCGGCGGGCGCUCUUCUUCCUGAAGAGAGCAUGAACGUUAGUAUGUCUUGAAGGCAUAAACCCUGGGCAUUAAAGUCACACACCGUACCGUUGCGUCGGCGUCUCGAUCCGGUCCGCACUUCUUUUUAGCCCGCCGGUCCUCAAUGGCCCUUGUUGGCUAGCCACCACGGGCUCAUCCCUCCGCCUCAAGGAUUUCCCCUGCAAAAAAAACGCUAUUGGUUUACGGCGAUCAAAAAUAAGCAUGGAUGGAUCCUCUUGAAAGUACUGGGACUUCGGUCUCGGUUACCUUUGAGGCUGGAAGUAGUCCGGGAUAAUUGGUCGUAAUGGCCACUAAGGUGUUGUCCUUACUCACUUGAUGAAACACCCCAUCAAUCAGCUCCACGCAUAAGUCCUGGUCCUCUUGGGAGUCCGGGUCGGGGGACCGUUCCGGGUCCUCGAGUUGUGGAGGAGGGCUGUUUAUCUCCUUUACAAUCUGGCGAAGCUCCUGCGUUAAAAUUGCUAGACUAAGUUCUUAACUAUGGGAAUUUGAAAACGGAUAUACAAGUGAAAGUGCUCGCUUUCCCAGCUUGGAGGAUUGUUCAUAGAGAAUCCGCUUCGUGGGUUGACACGGAGGAAUUGCUCCUGUUCUCCCUUGUACAAAGCGGAUAAGAUCUUCGUUAGAGUGGCAGCCGAAUCCAGCCCCUUGCGACCGCACCGGGUGGCGUCAUCCUCCCCGUUGAAAUCCCACAUGGGGUGGCCUCUGUACUGAAGCGGCUGCACCCCCCCGCGUAAUGCAUGUGGCCAUGACUUCGAUCAUGGUCAGUCCAGAGUGAGCUAACAACCUUAUCCGGCUCAUCAGGUAAAGGACAUCCCUGUCAGUUUCCCUCUGAGGGCUCCGUGGACGCCAGCUCAGGCGUUUCUUCAACGGAGCAUUAUGGAACUCAGGGAGGCCGAUCCGUACAGGUUCCGGCAGGGGGACGUCUUCUACAUAAAACCAUUCUGAAGGCCAGUCCUCGAACGCCUUCUUUGGGGUUCCGGAUAGAUAUCCGGUCCCGGCAAUGCGCCAUAGUUUGGCUCCGCCCACUCGAUAAAUCGACCCCUCCUGAGAGCGGGGCAUGAGGCAGAACAACUUAUUCCACAGCGCGAAAUGGGCCUCAAUGCCCAAAAACAGCUCGCAAAGGGCCACGAAGCCCGCAAUAUGCAGUAUGGAGGCAAGCAUAAGGUUGUGUAGCUGGAGGCCAUAAAACUCCAGUAGCCCCCGGAGAAACGGAUGAAUUGGAAAUCUGAUCCCUCUUAUUAAAUAAGGGACAAGGCAUACCCGCUCUCCUUUGGAGGGAUUGGGGACGCUCUCCGCCUGCUCUCCGCCACUAUAGGUAGCAAGCCCGGCUCGAACUGGGACCAUAUAUGCUGGGGGAGGAGCCCCUUGGAUUGGAGCGCUACUAGCUCGUUGUGCGGGACGGAACACCUCUCUCGAUCUCCGGGUCGAGGGCUGGAGGGGCGAGAGGAGGGGCUGCAUCGACCGGCCAUGAUGGAAUGGAUCUCUGUCGAAUGCGCUCUGAUGAAUGCUCGCGGAGGGAAGACGGUGUGAUUUGGGUCUAAAUCCCCGUCUCUUUUAUGGGCGGAUCAUUUACGCAGCGAGGGGGGUAAAUGAAAAAGUCCCUGGCUUUUCGCAUUCAUUUGACACGUGGAAGAUGGCCAUUAUUGGGCAUAGAAGCCAAGGAGCGCAGCAUGGACCAGAAGCCGGACACUAUUCGACAGGUACAUGGAAUUUGCAGAAGAACCCGCCUUGCAAUGCCAAAGACAAAUUUGCGCGCCGGACUCAUCAUCAUUGAAGCCUGGUUCGGGGGCUACUGAGGGAGUCCUGGAUUAUGGGUUGUCCGGAUGGCCGGACUAUAACCUUCGGCCGGACUCCCGGACUAUGAAGAUACAAGAUUGAAGACUUCGUCCCGUGUCCGGAUAGGACUUUCCUUGGCAUGGAAGGCAAGCUUGGCGAUAUGAUAUGUAGAUCUCCUCCCAUUGUAACCGACUCUGUGUAACCCUAGCCCUCUCCGGUGUCUAUAUAAACCGGAGAGUUUUAGUCCAUAGGACGAACAACAAUCAUAACAUAGGCUAGCUUCUAGGGUUUAGCCUCUCUGAUCUCGUGGUAGAUCAACUCUUGUACUACCCAUAUCAUCAAUAUUAAUCAAGCAGGAGUAUGGUUUUACCUCCAUCAAGAGGGCCCGAACCUGGAUAAAAACAUCGUGUCCCUUGUCUCCUGUUACCAUCCGCCUAGACGCACAGUUCGGGACCCCCUACCGGAGAUCCGCCGGUUUUGACACCGACAGUCAUGCCAUCCCCUCAAUCCCAAUCUCCUCCAAUGGCCUCUCUGUCCCGAUCCGAUCUCCUCCGUCAGCCACACCUGAUCUAGUUGUGCCCCAUCCUGUUGUCCUCCAGCUGCUCCGACGUGGCGGGCCGCAUCAGUACGGCCUUUUCCUUCAUGUUUGAUUUUGCAAAUGUGUUUAAUUCUUAGCUCAUUAUGAAGAUUUGUAUGUAUCAACUAAGUGUAAAGUACGUUUACGUACCAUCUUAAAACAAGAUUUUAGCACCCAGAGAUAGCAUAAUUAGUGACCAAAAAAAUCCGAUGUUAUUUAUCACGUAUAGUUGUUACAUUUAAAAUAGAAGAGGGCAUGACAUACCUUUGGAUAUAAUUGUAAUCACUUUAUGUAUUGUCAAUAGAGUGACACCAACAUAAUUUCAUUACAUUUAGGUGCAACUUCUCAUCACCCUGCAAACAUUGAAAAUAUGAUAAGUGAGUUUUACUUUUUUUAAAGUGCCCUCAAAUAAAGCAGCAUGUAAAAUCACUCACUUUCAGAGUAUUCUCUUUCGAUUGUUUAUCUUUUAUGGAAUUGAAACAAAUCGUAGUUACUAUUGGUAGGAAGUAUAUAUUUCUCCAGAAAGGAAAUUAGACAAGCACUAAUGAAUUGAUCACCGCUUUUAUUACACAAACUUUUUUUAACAACAUUCUUAACUGAAAAACAUCUCUCCACUAAUGUUGUUGCAAUUGUCCGUAGUAGCUUCUGAAGUUGAUAGGUGAAAGGAAAGUAAUAUGCUUAUUUGUCUUCACCAUUAAUUGAGCAAGAUUAGCAAUCCCAUCCAAAUUUACUCCUUUCCUUCAGAGGCACAUUAUCAAUGUAAGAUCAUUCAUUUUUGUUUGAAUCAAAAACAUCAAGAUAAAACUUAGCUUGCUUCUCUAAGUUGACUAAGUUAAAAGAAGCAAAGAAUUCAUUUGGAUUAAAAGAAGUCACGUGACAACGCAAUGCAAAAAUUUAUCUCAUUUAUGUCCACAUGAAUUGUAUAUGCCAUGCCAUCUGCAAUUAUCUCCAUAGAUGAAUGAAUGUUGGUAUUAUUUUCCAUCCCAACAAUACAUGUUUAUUGAUUGUUCUUCCCGACUGUUGUUAAAUUGCGCUAUCUAAUUUUGUACAUCAAAACAAUGAAACAUAGAUGGCUAUUGUACAUGGAGGGCUUGAGUUCCAUAAUUUAUCUUGUCAUGCACAAUAUCAAAACUAGAGAAGUGAUUACACUAAAUUGUCGAGGAAUCACUAAGCACUACAAAUGUUCCCGCACUAUAAGUUAUAUUGUACAUAGUUCAUGUUUAAAUUUUUCCUUCGAGUUGUCCAAGUAAAUGUUAUCUCACCAUCAUCCCCCACUUUAUCAGGAGAUCUUGGAGCUUCUACUCAUAGUCAAUCUUAAUGGUGUCGUUAUGAACCAAAAUAUUCAGAAUAAAAUAUGAAGAUUCUAUUCUCCAACUGUGUUUCCAAUUACUUUUUCCUAAAUUUAAUUUAAUUUUCAUUUCAGUUUCUUUCCAGAAUCAAUUGUGCCAAGGAACACGAGAAGUGCGUCGAUGCACGCAGUGGCAUCUGCACGCACCGCAUCCACGGCGCGCGUGGAGUCGCGAUUCGAAGCGCCGAGCGUGCUACUUAGAGUAUAAGCAGACUUCUGGAGAGCGAGAUGUGGCGUAUAUGCGUAUUCGAUGGGCACCACCUGACACACUAAUCUGACACGAGCAGUACUGGUUCAGGCGAGAGUACCAAAGACGACUGUUGCAAUGGAACACUGUAUAAAGUAAAUACUUUUUCUCCAUGGAUGUAUUUAAGGAGCAUGCAGCCGGACCGAUCCCUGGCAACGUCAUUUUCCCACCACGCAGAAGCGCCUCCCCGUACUUAUCCAUCGCCGCUGUGCCAGAGCUCCUCGUCUUCCAUUGAUCAUUUGCCCAAGGUCAGGACAAGAUGGUUUGUGUCCGGAACAGACCGGAACCCAGGCAUCCGCUUCUACAAAUGUCCUAACCAGACAGUAAGUUGGACUGAACUUUUUCUAUCCAUCAAGAUGAGCUCGUUUUUCUGUUUCUGCUAAUUACUCAGUCCGGAAAAAAUCGAGCCUUGUGAGAUGCUUGGGCACUGAGGGGUACGGACUGAAUCGAGCCUUGUGAGACGGCGGGCGAAGCCGCGCCAUUGCCGCCUCCGGACGCCGCAUCACCACCGCCAGAGCUGAACGUUGUGCAGGAACCCUCGAAGAACUCGACAUCCGACAAGGCCCUUUCCGCCGCCGGCUGUGCCAACCCUUCUUCCGACGGGCGCAUAUCAGGAGAGAGCGGCCGCACGUCAGGUUCCGGCGAGGCAACUCCCGAUGCUGCCGCCGCGGCGCCGCCACCGCCCGGAACGGGAACCCCCAAGCAAGCCGCCUGAUCGUUGGCCGCCGACGUCGAUCUGCAGUACCGGCGAGCAGCGCGAGCUUUCUCAGAUACAGAUUCGAAGGAAGAACCAUAUGGAAGAGCUGAGUUUCACUCACCCGGAUCCGAGCGCCCGCGCCGCCGCAGCUGAAAUCUCCAUGAGCACAGCCUGACAGACCACGGGCGCGCACCACUCCCUCCGGCUCGGCGUUGUAUUUGCCCCAAAUCGGAAAAGGGGAUCCCGUGUUUUUUUUAGUGGAAGGGGAUCCCGUGCUAGACGUAGGACUGCGAGAGAGCGGACGGCCUGCACCCAAACUGGUACACGCCACCCCACCCGUGUCGUACAGAAAUUCUGUCGUCCAAAAGCUAGGGCCCGCCAGCCCAAAAGUAAUAAUUAAGCCCUGCACGCUCUUUACCGGCCCUUAUUGAUGUCAGAAAAGUACCGUGGCGAGCCCACCAGGCGGGACUUUUGAGCUGUAUUUGCUUGUAUCCAGCUAUGUAUCCCUGUUUUACUGAUUUUGAUGAUUUCUCUUGCACAAAUCACCUCGCGCGCCGCUGCCGUCGAUGCGGUGCGUGCAUCUGGCGCUGCGUUCAGGACGGCCGCACUCCAAGGAACACCCAACAUCUAUUUAUUGCUUUAAUGGUAAUGGAAAAUAUAAAGGCAUUUGAGUAGGAUAUUUUCUAGACAAGGUAUGCGAUACAAGCCUUACAGAAAUAGUUAUCAUGCCAUGAUAAAUAUUUGACCUCUUUCAGUUCUGUUUGUGUGCAUUAUAGCUUCCUUAGCAAUGUUAAGAGCUAUAUGGAUGUAUGUUAUUCAUGAUGCCUUUGGAUGUUUGAACAUACAUCUCAGCUGGCUGCACAUUUCUCACUUGAUGACACAAUGCCUUUGGAUGCUUUACCAUUACUAUCUGAUGGCCAUAGUUAAUUCUUAUGUCCAUAUUUUGUUUUUAGUGGUUAAUACUUGCCAACAGAAGUUUGAACAUUCAUGUGCAAGCGAACAGAUGUCUCACUUGGAGCCACUGUAAGCCAGCCAAGUGAACUAGAAUCAAUUAAGUAUUGUUAGAGGCAAACCAAAUUACUGAGGAGAGGAAUCUGCACGUAGAGAUAGAUAUAUGUAUAUUUGUGCAAAAAAUUAUUUGUUCUGGCAUUUAAAAUGUAAAUAUCAAUAUUCCAUUGGUUCCCCAACAUUACAUUUCGAAUAUGAAUGUCUUAGUCCAACAUUUCAAGCCAUAUUUCAUGUUCUUUCAUCCAAUAUAUGUGUUUCAUCCGAUUUGCUCAUGAAAGGCAGGAAGUCCCGCAUCAAUGUGCGGGGUAUCAUCUAGUUUUUAAGAAGUGUUAGUAUAUUUAAAAAGAAUGCCCGUGCAUCUUGAACGUGUUUACCAAUUGAUGUAAUUUGAAAAGGUGUUCACAUGUUUUAGAAAACGUUUCAUAUAAAUUUUAGAGAACAAUUAUAUAUUUCAAGACAAUGCUCUUGUGUUUUAGUUUUUUAAUGUAAUUUAAAAAAUCAUACAUUUUAAAAAAAUCAUACUUCUUAAAAAUGCAUUUUUCUGAAAAAUAUUCUUGCAUUUGAGAAAAGGUUCACUCAUUAUUUUAAAAUGUUCACACUUGUUGGAAAAUACAUUUAAAAAAGUGUUCAUGUAUUCAAAAUAUGUUCGUGCGUUCUAGGAGAAUGUUUAUGCACUUUAUAAAAAUGUUUGUUGCUUUAAAAAAUGUUCAUAUUCUGAAAAAAUAUAUAAUUUCUAACAAGGGAAAAGAAAGGAAAAAAUGUAGAAGUAGAUGAAAAAUAAAAGGAGAACAAGAAAAAUUAAAAAAAGAAGUUAAACAGAAGGAAAAAAUCACAUGGAACACAAAAAAAUGUGCAAAGACAUACUCGCAUUACCCCAGAGGAAACCAAUAUCCAUGAAAAUCAUGCAAAAUCGUACACAUCAUCAAUGCUUAGCUUAGCUUAGGCCACGAUGUAUGCCUCAAAUGACGUGGGCGCUCUCUUGAUAUUAGCACUGUAAGCAACAAAUAAUAUUUGCUCCCAUCCCACAUCACCGCCACAAACCAAUAUGCAUCUAAAAGAAUGGAGCUCAUGUGGAUGAUCCCUCGAAAAAAGAAAAGAAAAAAAUAGGAGAGAUAGAUACACAAGCCUUAACCUACGUCGAUCUGACCACCCCACAAAAAAACUACGUCUAACCAAUCAACCUAAAAUCACCUUACGGAGUAGGUAACAAUAGCCAGGCGUGGCGGAGCACGCCAUCUCCUCUAGUCCCAUUGAACGCUGGCCUAAGUCCUUAUAACAUCAAUGCCAGUGCUGCUUUUAGUUUUUAUCCCAUUGUCUAAAUAACGGAGCCAUGUUGAGGAAGCAACCCAUCAUUGAGCUCAUGAAGAAACCAAGUUCUGAAUAAGCCAGCAUGCCUUUCUCUAAUCUCUCGCCGUUUCACCAUCACAUAGAAAGAGCUACAUGACAAUUGUGAUACCAUUAUAAGCACCUUAAAAUGUAGUACAAGACUGAAUCCAUCAAAGAUAGAUGUACAAGAGUGAAGAAUGUUGUGACUGCAGAUGUACGCGCGGGGGCGAAUCUGAGCCGUUGCAUAAAGAUCUGACGGUAGUUCGAAAACUGACACUGAGGUGGAAAAUAGUCGACCGAUAAGUACACGCUCCAAGGACGAAGCAGCCCCCCGAACGGCCAAACCCCAGAUCGCAUCGCAGUCCAGCAGGAAUGGCCGCCGCCGACGACGACGCCGCGAAGCUCUCCGUCUCCAUUCAGGCCUUCGCGGCGCUCCUCGACUGCUGUGCGGCCGCCGGCGGGGACUGCGACGGGAUACUCCUCAGCCGUGCCGCCCUCCCCCCUUCCUUCUCCGACGACGAUCCGGCCCCAACCCUACCCAUCUACGUCACCGGCCACUCUUUGCUCGCCCGACCCUCCGCCCUCUCCAACGCACUUAGCUGCUUCAAGCCCUACUUCCCCGCCCGCUCGGGCACGGCCACCGUCGGCUUCUUCUCCCCCCGCCACAGCGCGUGCACGAUGCGCCGCCCCUCCAUGCGCGAGGCCGCCGUCGCCCGCUCCCUAUCCAAAUCUCUGGCCCUCGCCCACCCCGUCGUGUUUCUCCUCUUAGCCCCUCUGUCGCCUCCGACCUCUCCAUCCACUCGUUCCUCCUCGUUGAUUCCCGCCUCGUCCCCACCUCCCUCACGAUCGUCAACGUGGGUCCUCGUUACUGGGCCAGUACCAGUGCCACACCUUCGCCCCGGAGUCGCCAAUGCCGCGGCUGCCGCCUCCGCUGGCAAACAUCAGAGAGCAAGCAACCGAGGAGGAGAUGUAUUCCGGGAUGCUAAGGAGGUUGGAUAGGCUUGCUCAGGAGGCGGAGGAGUGCAAUAAGCGUCUGUUCCGUCAGGUCCGAGUUCGCUCAAUGCUUUGCUUGAUGUGUUUCUGUAAAAUUCAUUUCUUUGGGUACGUGGAAAUAUGCAUCGCUUUGGUUGUGCAUCGGUUAUUAGACUCACAUGAAACAACAUUUGCAUGGCAAGCAAUAUCGUGCACAUAUUUGAGUCAGAAUCCAAGGAAUUUUGGCAUGUUAGUUGGCAAACUGGAUAUAACUUAUUAGGUAUGAUUGUCAAGACUUGACUCCCCCUUCAAAUGCUAAGGUAGAGUUUUCAUAUGAAAUAGUUACCAGAUAAAAAGGUUAAACCGGUCUCUGUUGGACGUGCUGAUUCGAACAGCAGGGGGCCCACUACUAAUAACAACUUCUUUCUGUGUGAUCUAUUUUUGCCUGUUUAAAUCAGAUCUUAUUCAUUAGAGAAACCCCUUGCUUUUCUUGUUAACCUAUAAGUGCUCAUAAAUUGUGUGAACAAUGUAGCAUUUGUUUGUUCAAAAGAGAUUGCAUUGCUUGGAUAUGUAAUAUGCUUGCAUUGCAUAUACAUGGCCCGUGUGUGCAAUUCUGCAUGUACAGGACAUAGAGUGUCAGUUCAUCUUAUUGCAGCAUUUAUAGAUUUUGCUAUGUUUCCCUUAAUCUGCGCAUGCCAUCUCUCUCUUCAACAAAAAUUGAAUUCUUGCUAGCAUCUGUCAGAAUCUCAUGAGGGCUGAGCUGCAAAAUGUGAAAGUUAGAUUGGGACUUCAUAAGUGAGUUGGAGAAGUAGCUAAUAUGUCAUUCCACAUACAUCGUUUUGGAAAGCUCAUUUCAAGAGCAUUUCGAUGUCUUUUGUCAUAAAUGUGACAAUUUGAACUAUCAAAAGUCAAAACAAAGUGGUAGUUUCCUUUUUUCUGGAUGAUUAGUUGGUAACACUUUGAGUAGUUACAUGUACAAGCUAUGCUAUUUUGUGAGUUUAAGUGUUGACCUAUAGCUAUAGGAAGUAUUGUGCAAUGUACAGUUGCAACUAAACACUGAAGUGUUCAUUAAUCUUGUAUUCCCUCCGUCCGGGUUUAGUAGGCCCCCUCUAAUUUUUGGGUCAAAGUACCAUAGAUUUAACUAAUAAAAUGUAAACUAUAUUUCAUAAAAAAUUAUACCGUCAAAAACUCUUUCGAAUAUAAAUCCAGCAGUAUACUNNNNNNNNNNNNNNNNNNNNNNNNNNNNNNNNNNNNNNNNNNNNNNNNNNNNNNNNNNNNNNNNNNNNNNNNNNNNNNNNNNNNNNNNNNNNNNNNNNNNNNNNNNNNNNNNNNNNNNNNNNNNNNNNNNNNNNNNNNNNNNNNNNNNNNNNNNNNNNNNNNNNNNNNNNNNNNNNNNNNNNNNNNNNNNNNNNNNNNNNNNNNNNNNNNNNNNNNNNNNNNNNNNNNNNNNNNNNNNNNNNNNNNNNNNNNNNUAUUGCUGACUGAAAUGGUUACAUCCUUCAUAUAUGUCAUGUAAGGGUUGAUUUACAGAUUAGGAGUCAAUAUUCUACUUUAUAUUGCGUGCAUGUUGCUGGAUAAGCUAUGUGUGGUUGGACCAUUGAUAAUGUUGAUCUAUGCUAGCGCAUAGGUUUAUUGGUUGACAUGCGUGCACCUGUCUCUGUCUUGAACUUCAGUUUGUUUGAAUGUGAUAUCGAUAACCAUUAUACAUGUAGUUUUGCAUUAAAGGGAGCAUCAUCACUACCGGAACAGGGCCAUACCCCGACGGCCAAAACAAUGCCGACGGCCCCCGUCGGCUUCUUCGGAGAUAUGCCGACAGCCUGGUUCUGGCCGUCGGCGUACAAAGGCCGUCGGGUUACGCAGAGAUAAGCCGACGGCACCCGUCGGCAUAGAAUGGCCGUCGGCCUAGCUACAUAUACGUUGACAGCCGUCGGCAUACCCGUGGGGCCCGGCCACCCCCUGGCUAACGGCGUCAGAUCUAUGCCGACGGCCGAGACGGGGGGCCGUCGACAUAGGUCCGCAGGCCACGUCAUCGAUCCAGGCCGCACAGUGCAGAGCCUAUGCCGACGGCUGCCGUCGGCAUAUCUGCCACGUCAGUGAUCCGCGACACGCUGGUCGGAUCUAUGCCGACGGCUAGGCCGUCGGCAUAGUUAGAUUUUUUUUGUACAUAUUUUUUAAUGCUUUUUUAUGUAUUAUUAUAUCAACUAACAUGUAGCAUGUUAAAUAUAAACAUACAUAUGAAUAUAUAUGUACNNNNNNNNNNNNNNNNNNNNNNNNNNNNNNNNNNNNNNNNNNNNNNNNNNNNNNNNNNNNNNNNNNNNNNNNNNNNNNNNNNNNNNNNNNNNNNNNNNNNNNNNNNNNNNNNNNNNNNNNNNNNNNNNNNNNNNNNNNNNNNNNNNNNNNNNNNNNNNNNNNNNNNNNNNNNNNNNNNNNNNNNNNNNNNNNNNNNNNNNAUAUAUAUAUAUAUAUAUAUAUAGUUUGUAUUUUUUCGAGCACGUUAAUAAUGUGCGGUCAUGUUCUUUUAAAUAUAGAUCCUUAUAUUUUAUUAAAAUCAAAAACAGCUAUGCCGACAGAAGUUUUGUGGCAGUUGCAAACGCCCGACACCCGUCUCCAGAGAGUGACCCCCCUCACAUCCGCGGUGUGCCCCCCUCAUGGACGGCGCCGCCGCCGGCACCUGGAGGGGGGAAACGGACGCGUCGGGUCUACACGGAGUGGAUGUAGCUGUGGUUUUGGCCCGGAUGUUGCUCCCGGGUGUCCCUCUGGGCCGACCUAACACAACUGGGUGGAGAGGUCCACUGGUCAAAGCCCGUCCGUGGGAAGUCAAAAGGCUAGAUCUCGUGGUCAACCGCUCCAGGGUUAGGCGGGACGGGGGCCCUGGGGGGUAGCAAUGCCACCGGAGCGUCGUACCGGGCCCUCAUACAUGCGGGGUGGUGUUGUGGCAUGUCCGAAGAGGCGGCACGCGUCUCUGGUGUGUGGCACCCCUAACGGACGGCGCCGCCGCCGGCACCUGGAANNNNNNNNNNNNNNNNNNNNNNNNNNNNNNNNNNNNNNNNNNNNNNNNNNNNNNNNNNNNNNNNNNNNNNNNNNNNNNNNNNNNNNNNNNNNNNNNNNNNNNNNNNNNNNNNNNNNNNNNNNNNNNNNNNNNNNNNNNNNNNNNNNNNNNNNNNNNNNNNNNNNNNNNNNNNNNNNNNNNNNNNNNNNNNNNNNNNNNNNNNNNNNNNNNNNNNNNNNNNNNNNNNNNNNNNNNNNNNNNNNNNNNNNNNNNNNNNNNNNNNNNNNNNNNNNNNNNNNNNNNNNNNNNNNNNNNNNNNNNNNNNNNNNNNNNNNNNNNNNNNNNNNNNNNNNNNNNNNNNNNNNNNNNNNNNNNNNNNNNNNNNNNNNNNNNNNNNNNNNNNNNNNNNNNNNNNNNNNNNNNNNNNNNNNNNNNNNNNNNNNNNNNNNNNNNNNNNNNNNNNNNNNNNNNNNNNNNNNNNNNNNNNNNNNNNNNNNNNNNNNNNNNNNNNNNNNNNNNNNNNNNNNNNNNNNNNNNNNNNNNNNNNNNNNNNNNNNNNNNNNNNNNNNNNNNNNNNNNNNNNNNNNNNNNNNNNNNNNNNNNNNNNNNNNNNNNNNNNNNNNNNNNNNNNNNNNNNNNNNNNNNNNNNNNNNNNNNNNNNNNNNNNNNNNNNNNNNNNNNNNNNNNNNNNNNNNNNNNNNNNNNNNNNNNNNNNNNNNNNNNNNNNNNNNNNNNNNNNNNNNNNNNNNNNNNNNNNNNNNNNNNNNNNNNNNNNNNNNNNNNNNNNNNNNNNNNNNNNNNNNNNNNNNNNNNNNNNNNNNNNNNNNNNNNNNNNNNNNNNNNNNNNNNNNNNNNNNNNNNNNNNNNNNNNNNNNNNNNNNNNNNNNNNNNNNNNNNNNNNNNNNNNNNNNNNNNNNNNNNNNNNNNNNNNNNNNNNNNNNNNNNNNNNNNNNNNNNNNNNNNNNNNNNNNNNNNNNNNNNNNNNNNNNNNNNNNNNNNNNNNNNNNNNNNNNNNNNNNNNNNNNNNNNNNNNNNNNNNNNNNNNNNNNNNNNNNNNNNNNNNNNNNNNNNNNNNNNNNNNNNNNNNNNNNNNNNNNNNNNNNNNNNNNNNNNNNNNNNNNNNNNNNNNNNNNNNNNNNNNNNNNNNNNNNNNNNNNNNNNNNNNNNNNNNNNNNNNNNNNNNNNNNNNNNNNNNNNNNNNNNNNNNNNNNNNNNNNNNNNNNNNNNNNNNNNNNNNNNNNNNNNNNNNNNNNNNNNNNNNNNNNNNNNNNNNNNNNNNNNNNNNNNNNNNNNNNNNNNNNNNNNNNNNNNNNNNNNNNNNNNNNNNNNNNNNNNNNNNNNNNNNNNNNNNNNNNNNNNNNNNNNNNNNNNNNNNNNNNNNNNNNNNNNNNNNNNNNNNNNNNNNNNNNNNNNNNNNNNNNNNNNNNNNNNNNNNNNNNNNNNNNNNNNNNNNNNNNNNNNNNNNNNNNNNNNNNNNNNNNNNNNNNNNNNNNNNNNNNNNNNNNNNNNNNNNNNNNNNNNNNNNNNNNNNNNNNNNNNNNNNNNNNNNNNNNNNNNNNNNNNNNNNNNNNNNNNNNNNNNNNNNNNNNNNNNNNNNNNNNNNNNNNNNNNNNNNNNNNNNNNNNNNNNNNNNNNNNNNNNNNNNNNNNNNNNNNNNNNNNNNNNNNNNNNNNNNNNNNNNNNNNNNNNNNNNNNGGACGCGUCGGGUCUACACGGAGUGGAUGUAGCCGUGGGUUUGGCCCAGAUGUUGCUCCCCCGUGUCCCUCUGGGCCGACCCGACACAACCGGGUGGAGAGGUCCACUGGUCAAAGCCCGUCUGUGGGAAGUCAAAAGGCUAGAUCCCGUGGUCAAACGCUACAGGGUUAGCGGGGACGGGGGCCCUGGGGGUAGCAAUGCCACCGGAGCGUCGUAUCGGGCCCUCAUACAUGCGGGGUGGUGUUGUGGCAUGUCCGAAGAGGCGGCACGCAUCUCCGGGGUGUGGCCCCUGUGACGGACGGCGCCACCGCCGGCACCUGGAGGGGGGAAACGGACGCGUCGGUCCCUCAUUUUAUAUGUAAACAAAACUUUCCAAUGCGUAUGAAAAUAAUAUACACUAAAAAUAUAUUUGAAGACAGUUAAUAAUAUUUUUUUAAAAAUGUUAAACAUGUAUAAAAGUUGUUGCAAAAAAAAAUAUGCCAUGUGGCGCCUUCACCUCCCCUCUGUGUAUAAAAAUAUAACUGAUGACUAUAAAAACAUAAAAAUUUAUAUGAAAUAAAAAAACAGAAAGAAGAAAAAUAUAAGCUAUUAAAAACAUUAAAAAAAUAAAAAAUAUAACUAUGCCUACGGCUAAGCCGUCGGCAUAGCUCGCCCUUAUCCUCAGCCGGUCCACCUCCACCACUCACUCGCCCGAUAGCAAAUCGACCCGCGCCUCUCGUCGCCGCUGCCGCGCGCCUCCAUCCCCGUGCCGCCGCCGCAUUCUCCCCUGCCUCUCGCCGCCGCCGCCGCGCCUCCACACUCUCAUCGCUCGCGCCCCCUGCCGCCCCCACCCGCGUCGCCACCGCCCCAUCCCACCCCACCUCUCGCUCCAGCCGGCGCCNNNNNNNNNNNNNNNNNNNNNNNNNNNNNNNNNNNNNNNNNNNNNNNNNNNNNNNNNNNNNNNNNNNNNNNNNNNNNNNNNNNNNNNNNNNNNNNNNNNNNNNNNNNNNNNNNNNNNNNNNNNNNNNNNNNNNNNNNNNNNNNNNNNNNNNNNNNNNNNNNNNNNNNNNNNNNNNNNNNNNNNNNNNNNNNNNNNNNNNNNNNNNNNNNNNNNNNNNNNNNNNNNNNNNNNNNNNNNNNNNNNNNNNNNNNNNNNNNNNNNNNNNNNNNNNNNNNNNNNNNNNNNNNNNNNNNNNNNNNNNNNNNNNNNNNNNNNNNNNNNNNNNNNNNNNNNNNNNNNNNNNNNNNNNNNNNNNNNNNNNNNNNNNNNNNNNNNNNNNNNNNNNCGGCCCUCCCCUCACCUCCACCGCCGGCCCCUGCCUCCAACUCCACCAGCGUGACGCCUCUCUGCCCGGUGAGCUAACACUUUUUUUCAUUUUUUUUGCAUUAUUUAGCUAUUGUUGGAUGUAUGAAUGGAUGCAUGGAUGGAUGUUGGAUGUUGUUAGGUUGCUAGAUGGAUGAAUGUUGUAUGUAUCUUAGAUGGAUGGAGGAAUCUCGGCAAAAGGAAUUAUUUUGCUACGGUUAGGUUGCUAGAAGGAUGAAUCUCGGCAAAAUGAAUUAUCAUAGUUAAAAAAGCAACUUGAGUCACUUAGUUCAUAAAAUUGUUAACGAAGAUUUUAUUUUCAGUUUGUGAUGUUGUUAAGUAGCUAUGUGAGAUGUGCUUCAAAUUUGGGAUACGAUAAAUGGUUAUUUCAUCAUGAUGAUCUUGCUAAAAAAAUUGAUGUGUCAAUGCUUAAUGUGAGGUGAUGACCUAAAUUGCGAUAUGAUAAGUGCUUCCAAAUUUGACAGUUGACAAAAUAUGAUUUUUUUUCAUAGUUAAAAGUAUCAAUGCUUAAUGUGAUGUGAUGACCUAAUUUUUUUUCACUCGGUGUAAUUAACAGGAUUUGUGGUGUUCCAUCUUCGUGGAGUGAUCGUCGACGUUGAAGGUGUUGGUCCAGGAUCGUCCCUCUCCUUUGAUCGACUACAUCGGAGGGUGAGCAACAAUUCCAUGACCUCGUCCACUUUUUUCCAUGUCACUAGAUUGAAUUUUCACAUCAAGUCGCGUAAACUAGGUCUCCCAUCCGAAAGGGUUGCAUCGAUAAAUAUGCAUUCAAUUGCAUAUUUAUCACCGCAGCUCUUUUGGAUUGUCCAGCACUUUCCACGGGCAGCCCGAGGAUGUGUAGAUUGGGUACGUUGUUCAUGCUCUACCCCGUUCCGAGACAGGAUUUUGGCGGCGCCUCCCUGUUGUUCUCCGGAUGCACAUUCUCUCGGCAUUUUGCCGAGACGUGUAUUUGGAGAACAGCGGGGAGGUGCUGCCGAAAUUUUGUCUCGGAAUGGGGUAGAGCAUGGACCGUACUCAAUCUACACAUUCUCGGGUGGGAUUAGGACCCAUCUUUACCUAUUAGAGAUGUAGGUGGAUUAAAUGUCGUUUCUCGUCAACCUUGUAAAAAAUAAAAUAUUGAUGUGGGUAAUUUAAAUGAAUCAUUAAUUUUGUUGUGUGGCUUCCAAUAAAGCAGAGAUGGCAGAUAAUCAGUGGAUGUAUAGUGGGUUUUUCCGCCGGAAUCAAGUAACAACAGAGUGGGCCGAGAAAACUGAUGUGUUUUUGAAAGAGAUAUUCCGUAGUCCAAUGAGGAUGGUUCCAGAAUGCCCAUAUGCCAAAUGUGAGAGACGUAUCCGCAGAGAUAAGAGUGCGAUGACUAAGCACCUUCGCACGAAUGGAUUUAUGCCCAACUUUAAUAUGCCGAUAAACUUUGCCCAGGUGGAUCGCUGUAGAGAGGAAGUGAUACGACAAUGCGUCGCUGGUUAUGAGGACGAUGGGGUUAGAGACAUGCUAGAUGAUGUCUUUGCUGCACAGCCGACACCUCCGUCACAUUUAGCGAAUGAACCGGAGGAGCCGAAGGAAACCGCAAAGGCCUUCCUGGAAAUCUUGGCCUCGUCAAAGAAACCUCUCUAUGAGGGUGCCAAGCUGUCUGUGCUGGAUGCCAUCUCGCAACUGAUGGCAGUGAAGGCUGAGUACGGCUGUAGCCGAGGUUGCUUCGAAGCAUUUCUGGGAGUAUGGGCUAACAGCCUGCCCGAGGGCCAUGAACUGCCGAAAACCAUGUACGGUACGAAGAAAAUCAUGAAGGCGCUCUCCAUGGACUAUGAGAAAAUACACGUUUGUCCAAAGAAUUGCCUUUUGUUUAGGCAUGAGUAUGCGGAUGACAACUACUGUAGGAAGUGCGGUUCCUCUCGGUAUAUUGAGGUGGUCGAUAAGCAUGGUCAGAAGCGGCAGCUAAAAAUCCCUAUGAAGGUUCUUCGGUAUCUUGAUUUUAUAAAAAGACUGCAGCGCCUUUUCAUCACUGAGGAGUCUGCCAAAAUGAUGAAGUGGCACAAGGAAGGGAAAAGGUACAAUCCAAAAAAAAAUUGUACAUACAUCAGAAGGUGAAGCAUGGAAGUCAUUCAAUAUAAAGUACCCGGAGGAAGCAGCCGAAGCUGGGAAUGUCAGAAUUGCUAUAACAGGUGAUGGGUUCAAUCCAUAUGGUAUGUCGUCUAAUCCAUACAACUGCUGGCCCAUAUUUGUUAUUCCGCUCAAUCUCCCUCCCGGCGCCAUAAUGCAACGCAAGACCAUGUUCCUGUCGCUUAUAAUUCCGGGGCCUGAAUAUCCAGGGAAGAAUUUGAGUGUGUUUAUGCAGCCGUUGGUGGAUGAUUUGCACCAUUCUUGGUACUUCCCGAGGUUGACAUACGACCGGCAUCUGCAGAAAAAUUUCUUGAUGAAAGUUUGGCUAUAGUAUUGCAUGCAUGACUUUCCCGGCUAUGCCCUGUUAUGCGGAUGGUGUACAAGUGGAAAGAUGCCUUGCCCAGUGUGCAUGCAGGCCUUGAUUUUCAUUUGGCUGAAGAAGGGUGGCAAGUAUGUUGCCUUUGACCAGCAUCGACAGUUCCUCCCUCCAGACCAUCCUGAUAGGGAAGACAAGAAGAACUUCACAAAAGGCAAAGUUAUCCAUGAAGUAAACGAGAUUCCGACGUUUUCUGGUGGGGAUGUGCUUGCUCAGCUCAAAGCUCUUAAGCCUGCCGGUGAAGGGAAAGGCAAAGGCAAAGGCAAAGGCAAAGGAGACCCUAGAGGAGGAGGGGGUGGGGGAGAGCCCCUAGAGGACAAGGAGGUGGGGGGAGAGGCAACCGGGCCAAAAAACUCCGGGACGUGUCCGAAAUAUGAGGGUCUUCUUCGAUGCCCUCCUAUGCUGAUGCAGCUUCUGAGUCUGAGGAGGAGGAGUAUAUUCCUGAUGUCGAGGAGGAGGAGGGUGAGGAGGAGGAGGCCGAGGAGGAGGAGGCCGAGGAGGAGGGUGAGGAGGAGGGCGAGGAGGGUGGAGGGGAGGUUGACCCCGACUUGUGGGGUGACUUGCCACCGGGUGCUCCGCAGGGGUGGCUGCGUGGUAAUGCCGGAGUACCUACACCACCUUCUAUCGAGGCGCACAAGUGGCUCAUUGAACCUGCGGGGACAGAGUAAGUGCAUCUCAAUCAUACUUUCAACACAUGACAACAUUUUUUUAUUGUACACAUGGCAACCCUUUGAUUCUUUUGCAGUAACUGGAUCCUUCGCGGAAAGGGCCGUAAACCGAACGGCCUUCUCACUGUCCUGUUGAAGCAGUUUUGGCCUGGCCUAUUCUGCCCGCGGCCAGACAGGGACCCACAGCUGCGUGUUUUGGCCACAAGCUGGGCCCACUACGAGGCUUGCAGCAACGCGGAGUACGGGACGGCCGGUAAGGCCGUGAUCACCAAAUUUUGGGUAAGUUCCCUUUUGAAUCACUUGUCUUUAGUUUUGUUCAUAGUUUAUCAUUUAAUCACUCAACUCAUGCCUUGUUUGCUUCUGGUUUAUGCAUGAUUGCAGCAACUCUAUAAAGUUCUUGACGAGCACAAGGCCAGAGCCGACAUGGUCUUACUUGCGCCUGCAAAGAAGAAAGCUCGUCAGUUGCAGUACGAGGUGCGUUGGGUUGCCGCCUCACAGUACUACCACAUCUACCUGCAACAAAAGAUGACCAAAACUCAAGCACAAAGGCAAAAAAUUACCAUGAGCAGGGAGCAGUUCAUGAUGGUAACUAUUACUGACUUUUCAUUGUUUCAAGGAGUCAACUAUAUGUUUCGUGCUCACAUGUCAUGCUUCCAAAAUUUGCAUAGGUUGUUCCUCAUUGGUGCUAUGGAAGGCAUGACGGAUGGGCGUGUUUGGUGGAUAGGUGGGUCGGUGACGAUCCAGAGUUUGUUGCCAAGAGCAUCAAGGCCCGGGCUAACCGUGGAAAAGACGGGACACACGGCCAAGGAAACAGGAACCACUGGGGCUUCAAGGCCAUGAAGGUAUAUCUAUAUGAAAGAUGCAUUUUGGUUCUUCUUUACCGUCAUGUUCUUAUGUAUGGCUAACUUCUGUUUGACGUUGCAGGAGGACAAGUUGCAGAGGCCGCUCUCAGACAUGGAGUCGUGGAAGCUGGCCCGCGAGCGGAGUGAUCGCAAGGAGGGCGAGAGCCAGUACUACGGCAACAUCGAGAAACACCUGGAGUCUUACACUCAGAACUAUCAGAAGUUGCAUCCGGAUGUUCCUGUUCCUGAGGUCGCCCAAUCUCAGAUCGACGACACGGCGGUGGUGGCCAUCCAGGGUAAGUCCCAUGGCCGGUAUCCGUGUUUCGAUGGCUUGAUCACUCCGUCGAUCUCAUACACACGGCUUCGAGCUACCAACCCGAGCCCGUUAGAGAGUACGGGGCGUUCGCAGCCUCCCUUAGUCCGCCAACGUGUUGUAAGUACUUCCCCUUAUCUUCUUUGUCUCUAUCUUUCUUAGUUUAUUUUCAUCACUGCCCACUUAGAAACAACCUCUAUUUUGUAGGCAUAUCAGGCCUUUCUCGAGCAUAAGCAUAUUGAGGUGAGGGAGUACUUGCAACGAGUGAAGGCAAACGAUGAUUACAGCCGUCAAGUGAUGGCGGUUAGUUUUGCCCUCUUAAACCAAGCUCAUAUUUGCACUUUCAUUCCUUCUGACUUUGUUGAUCACGGCUUGUUUCUAAGUGGACUUGUUUAACUAACAUCCAGGCUAUGUUGGCGUCUUGGACUAACCGCACGGAGCCACGACAAGUUGGACCCCCACCACCACCUGCGGGAGACGCCCCACACAUUCCCACGUUCGAGGAAUGGCUGGCACUAGGCAGUGAUACUCCGGUUAGUAAAUUUGCCUAACUAAUGACAAACUAGUUCUCAUUCAUUCAACACUAUCAUGUCAUAUUUACCGUUAGAAUCUUCUUUCAAACAUGUAGGGGACCGGUGGCUCGACUCCUGCUCCGUCGACCCCAAUCACUCCGAUCUGGCAGAGUGAUGGUGGUCGCAGUGGCGGUUUUGGCGGAGGAGGACUUGGCGGUGGCGGUUUUGGCGGAGGUGGACUUGGUGGUGGUUUUGGCGGAGGUGGACUUGGCGGAGGUGGUGGUUUUGGCAGAGGUGGACUCAGUGGUGGUGGUGGUUUUGGCGUAGGUGGACUCGGUGGUGCUUAAUGUCGAUGAUGAUUCCGUGUAUGCGGCCGUUGUGCCAUGUCUUUCAUGUUUCAACUUUUAUGAUGUUUCAUGUGUUGCACUACUCUUAUGUUCGUGGACUUUUGCCGGUGAUGAUCUUUAGAUGAUGAACUUGACUAUGUUUAAAUGAUGUUGAUGAACUGUCAUAUUUCAUAUUAUUCUAUUUUGAAAUGUUGUCAAAUGAAUUGGAAAAGAGAAAACAGGGAAAAUAAAAAAAUAAAAAUAAAAACUAUGCCUACGGCAAAGCCGUCGGCAUAGAUACGCUCAGGAGCCACCAGGAGGCGACACGUGGCCGGGCUAUGCCUACGGCAAAGCCGUCGGCAUAUAUUUAUAUCUAUGCCGACGGCUUUGCCGUAGGCAUAGCCCUGCCGCCAGGUUAAACCAGGGGGCGACACGUGNNNNNNNNNNNNNNNNNNNNNNNNNNNNNNNNNNNNNNNNNNNNNNNNNNNNNNNNNNNNNNNNNNNNNNNNNNNNNNNNNNNNNNNNNNNNNNNNNNNNNNNNNNNNNNNNNNNNNNNNNNNNNNNNNNNNNNNNNNNNNNNNNNNNNNNNNNNNNNNNNNNNNNNNNNNNNNNNNNNNNNNNNNNNNNNNNNNNNNNNNNNNNNNNNNNNNNNNNNNNNNNNNNNNNNNNNNNNNNNNNNNNNNNNNNNNNNNNNNNNNNNNNNNNNNNNNNNNNNNNNNNNNNNNNNNNNNNNNNNNNNNNNNNNNNNNNNNNNNNNNNNNNNNNNNNNNNNNNNNNNNNNNNNNNNNNNNNNNNNNNNNNNNNNNNNNNNNNNNNNNNNNNNNNNNNNNNNNNNNNNNNNNNNNNNNNNNNNNNNNNNNNNAUGCCUACGGCAAAGCUGUCGGCAUAGAUUUAACCUAUGCCGAUGGCUUUGCCGUAGGCAUAUCUUUGCCACGUGUCGCCUCCUGAGCCGCCAGCAGUUUUGACGGCGCCGUCCGUUGCCGUCAGAUGGAAAACUACGCCGACGGCUAAACUAUGCCGACGGCUGCGCCAGGGCCGUCGGCAUACCCCCCUAUGCCGACGGCAUUAUUAUGCCGACGGUCUGACAGGAGUACGCUGACGUGAUCUAGACUGACGGGUCUAUGCCGACGGCUGCCGUCGGCAUAGAGCUAUGCCGACGGCCUAGGGGCCUAUGCCGACGGCCCGUGGCCGUAGGCAUAGACCGCGAGUCCGGUAGUGCAUCCAGACAUGAACUAGAAUGAGACAUUGACAGAUUCAGGUUUUAACAUGUCUUGAGAUUUAACAGGAUGCAUUGUUGUAUGCUAUUCUUAUCAUUUUGUUGUUGCUAUCUCUACCAGUUCAUUCCUUCACCAUAAGUUUUGCAAGGAUUAUCUUUAGAUAUGUUAUUGAGAUCAGCACCAACUUUUUUGUUUACCAUGUUUGUGCUAAUGUUGUUUUGUAGAAAAACAAGAACUUAUUGGCAUGGAGAAAAAUUGCUGGGCUGAAGACUUGAAGUAAGGGCAAAGAUCGUGCUCUCAGUAAGGUAAACCUGACUUACGUAUUACUUUCUUUCAUGCGUGUAACUAACUGCUAUCCUUGAUCAUUCUGGUAUUUGGCUACUCAUUUCUUUGGCACCCUCGCUUCACCUCCCUUUUUACUUCACUAUUGGUUGAUUGAACUUGAAUGAUUCUACAGCAUCAGCUGAUCAAUUCUUAUCUUCUGUUUGUAUCUUAUUUGUUUGCUUCCACGUGUGUGUUGUGCGAGAGUAAGGGCAUCUCCAGCCGGCCCCCCAGGAAGCCUCCCCAAGGCACUUUUUCAGCGCCGGCGAAUAAAAUUUCUCCCACUCGUCACCCCAAGAGCACAGUUUUCGCCGGAUUUGAGGGAAAACACGGCCGGCGAGACCAGGCGAAACCCAGCUCCCCGGGGGGCAGCUGGGAACGCCGGCAAUAGUAUUUGCAUGCAGAUGGUCCACUGUCAGUGUCCCAAAUCCCUCUCUCCUCUCUCUCUCCCUCUUUUUUCUCUAGGCCCACCCACGUGCUCGACCGCACAAGCACACUCCCCCAUCCCCCACCCACCGAGGCAAGUAGGCGCGCACGGGACGGGACGGGCGCGGUGAGCAGGGCGCCGAAGCUGGGGCAUGGGCGAGCGCGGGCGUCACGGCGGCCGCGUGAGCUUGCGGGGAGGGCGCCGGAGCACGCAGGGAGGCGAGGAGCUCGUCCAUGGCCCUGCUCACGUAGCUUGGAGUUCUCGCCGCUGGCGAACUCGAGCGACUCGGGCGUUGGCCUCCGGCACCAGCGUCGCCCCGCACGGCAUCCUCGCCGCCCGCCGAGCUUGCCGCCCCGCAUCCUCCUCGCGCUUGGCCCCGACCCCGCCCCCGCCGCCUCCCCCUUCGCUCGCGCCCUCCCUGCCGCCGCCGCUGUCCCCGCGCGGCCGCGGGGGGCCACCGCCGCCGUGGCGUCCACCUGCGUGGAGCGCGCCCUGGUGCGGGCUGGGCGCGGGGCACUCGGUGUAGCGGCGAGCGACCGCGGCCAGGGCGCGCGCCGGUGCGGGCGGGGCGCGGGGCACUCGGUUGGCCAGUCGUCUCGCCGGCCCCGCUGUUGAGCCGUCCCCGCGCAACCCCGCGUCCGAGCCGCCGGCCGCCUUUCUUCUCUUGCUGAGGCGCCCGCCUUGAGCCGGCCGCGCUGCCCUUCUACCGCUGCGGCUGUGUCCUGCUCUGGCCCGUGCCGCCUCGCCAGCGCCACCUCGUGGCCGCGCUCCUCUGCCCCCGCCCGCCAGAGCACCGCGGCGUCCACCUACGCCCGUGUACGACGACACGAGCGAGCCGAGGAAAAGCUCGGGCGCUCCCGCUCGUCCACUCCGGCCCCUGCGCGCCGCUCCCGCCCGGCUCUCGUCUCCACCGCGCACCUUCCUCGCUGGGCCGCCUCGCCGCCGUGCUCCUGGGGGCGCAACGAGUGGAAAAAAUUCCACCCCCAGGCCGAAGUUUUCGCCGGCAGGCCCCCAGGAGGCGAAAAAAAUGCCUCCUGGGGAGGCCAACGGCUGGAGAUGCCCUAAGGAUCUCUUUUUUUUCAUGUAAUCUCAGUAUUCUUGUUCUUAGGGAGUAGUAUUUGAUUAUAAAAAAUGUUGUGUCUUGUGUGUCCACUUAUUUUUCGCUGUGUGGUGGUAUAGCCGUAUAAUGCAUGUUAUCUGUGAUCCUUAACACAGUUCAUACAUACGCACAUACACAGUGGCGGAGCUAGCGAAUUUUCAAAGCCUGGGCACACGUCUUAAGCGAAAAUUUACUUUGGUCUAUCACCACAUCAUAUAUUUGGAUAAAUGUCAUGUGUAAUAUAUGCGGUAAUGUCAACCUGGCCGUCGCUUGCCACUAGUAGCCCUUGUCGUUGAGGGUUUGCUGCUACUUGUUGCCACCCGACCGUGGCCUUGUCCAGGUGGACACUUGCCGGUGACGAGGACAAGCUAGCAUCCACCGGAACCGGAGUGGAAUUCCCAUCACAUGGGUUGCCGAUUUAGCUCCCGCUUCUGUUUCCAAUCCCGACCAUGUGUUGAGGCCCGGCUGUGCGCCAUGUCUUGCGGUCUUGCCGACCGUCGAUGCUCCGCCAGUCCACCUCGCCGGCCGCCGCCUCCAACGCUGGAGUUAAUAGGGGCUAGCGCCUAGGGCACGUCGUGGGUCGUGGGGUCGUGCGGCGCGGUGCACAAACAAAAGGCGACCGAGGAAGCAGCCGAACAGGCGAGGUGAGCGAGCUAACCUGAUCGAUGGAUUGAGCCUAUUGUACGAGUUGAUUACCUGUUGUUGCCCAUGUAAGAAAGGUAAUUGAUAGGCCUAUGGUGCGUGACCACGUGAGUAAGCCCAAAUACACAGUCAACGUCUUUGCCCAAACAUCGUACGUUUUCUUCAGCGAUCGACUCCAGCUGCUCGUAAAAUUCGCAGCGGUCGAGCCCGGGCACAUGCCCAGGGUGCCCGUAACGGUCUGAUGGCAUGUUUCCAUUUCUUAAAGCUAGUUAUGACUUCCUUCUCAUCUUGUUUUGCAGGGUGUAGAGGCUCUGUAAGAGGGGUCACAAAAUUUGAAGCUGGGAUCCUUGAGCUGUAUCUUGAGUUGAAGUGUCUGCCUAUUUCUUCCUCUUUUUUGGCUGGAUGCUAUUUGGACUUCCACUAUCGCAUGCUUUUUCUUUUUAACAGAAGAUUCAGGGGUUCAAGGAUGCAGAAACUAGGAUAGUACUAUCUCCAUCUCAAAAUAACGGAAAUGAUAAAUCCAAACGUCAGCUUUUUGACCAUGGCAAAUCGAAUGUUUUUAGUGGCAAUUUUAGUUGACGCGAGAAUGGCAAGCUUAGUUGGCAAGCAUGGUAAUUUCCCAGCAAAAAACAAACUGAGGCGGAUUUGCAUACUUACCAACUAAACUUGUCAUGGUGAACAAAUAUAAAUUGCCACAAAAAAUGUUCGAUUUGACAUUGUCAAAUCCUGAAUGUUCGGGACUUAUCGGCGUCCCAAAAUAAUAGGUGUUUUUAGACGGACGUAGUAACUGUGGAACCAUUUUUUUGCUUGCAUGCAAAUGCACCUUGGAUAGCUGAAUGCAGUAGUGUUCCAUGUUAUGCAGGUUCAAGUCCAAUUUGGAUAUGCCAUUCUAGUAUGCUUUUAUUUUAUAUGCAGUGGAGCUGUGACUUGGUGCUAGUUGGUGGUUCCCGAAUCAGCGGUCAUCGACCCUGCUUAAAGUAGCAUGAUGCUCCUCUUUAAUAUCAGGAUGUAAAAUACUCUGCUUGACUCGCCGGCGCUCCGCCUACCGGAUUUCAAUUCUGCAUCCGCCCACACGCAGCCCCAGCCCCAUGGUGCGGCCAUCGGCCCCGCUCCUCCGCCGCCUGGUCUCCUCUGUGUCUUCCCUCCCACACCACGGUUGCGGCGCGCGCCGCAUGGUGACCUACAUGCCCCGGCCGGGCGAUGGCACCCUGCGCCCCGUCACGCUCAUCCCAGAUUGCCGCAUCGGGCCCCUGGUCACCGGAGCCAUGCAGCAGGUCAUGGACGUGAUGUAUGCACUCACCCUUAUGUGCCGAGACCUACAACGUUCACGGCAACAUACCGGCCGUGCCACCCAUCGUCAUCGACUCUAUCCGCCGCAACUGCUUCAAGGGGGGCCUCGCGCCCUCGCCACCCCGUCGGCAGGGGCGUCUCCGCCCUCAACAUGCAGGUCCGCAAGGAGCUCGCCCUCUUCGCCUCCCUCGUAUACAGUAAUAAAUGUCAAACACCAUAUUGGUGUGUACGUGACAAGGGCUGCCGCACCAUAUCUCAGCUAUACAUAUCUUGAUAGUUCGGUUAGGUAGUUAGCUAGAGUUUAUCUCUCUUUUGUAAUCUUAUCUCAAUCUAGCUUCCUCUUCAAGAUGUAAUCUCAACUGUAUGCGCUAUCAGGAAGGUGUGCCCCUGUCUAUAAACACGUACGGCGUCCCCUCGAGUUGAGGUACGACGCUUUCUGCCAUCGCACAUAGUAAUCAGAGCGCUUCUCUUCCACAACGUCUAACCCCUAAAACUCCAUCCAGUGCAAAUCAUGUCGUCCUCCUCCGGUGCCUCCCAGGCUAGCCUCAACGGCCAAGUCAUGGAGAGGCUCUCCCGCACCAACUACGUCAUCUGGCGCGCGCAGAUCACGCCGCAGCUAAGGGGCGCGGGCGUCUUUGGCUACGUCGACGGCACUACACAGGAGCCGGCCAGGAUCCUCUCCUCCAAGGACAAAGAUGGGAAGGAAUCGACUGUGCCGAACCCUAUCUACGCCAUCUGGGCGCAAGAGGACCAGCAGGUGCUCGGGUACCUGCUGAACAACCUCACCAAGGAGGUGCUCGUGCAGGUGACCGCGAUCACCACGGCACGCGAGCUCUGGACGGCACUGUCGGGGAUGUUCUCCUCGCAGUCGCUCAGUCGCGUGAACAACAUCAGAACCUCUCUGGUGAACGCGCAAAAGGGCAACAAGACCGUCGCCACCUACUUCGCCGAGAUGCGCGGCUUCGCAGACGAGCUGGCCGCCACCGAGAAGCAGCUCCAGGACGAUGAACUCAUCUCCUACAUCCUCCACGGCCUCGACAUGGACUACCAGCCGCUCGUCUCCACCCUCGACGCCCGAACCUCCCCAGUAUCCCUCGGUGAGCUAUUUUCAAUGCUGAGUAAUUUUGAUCAGAGGGUAGCACAGUACCAGGGAUCGGGUGGCUUCAAGUCGUCGGCUAAUGCAGCAAUGCGUGGGCGCGGUGGCUACUCCCGUCAUUGUGGCCCGCCUCGCUCCAAGGGCAAGCAAGGGAGCGGCGGCAGCAACGGCGGGUCCAACUCCCGUGGACGGGCCAACUCCACCAACAACAGGGGCCGUCGCGGAGGGUCCUCCAAAUCGCGCCCGGACGCGGUGCACUGCCAGAUCUGCGGCAAGCCGGGCCACACGGCGAGGGACUGCUGGUACCGUUCGAUGAGGACGAGGCUUCCUCAGAAGAUGAAGAAAAGAUUGAUGCUGCUGCUGACGGCUAGUACGGUGUCGAUACCAACUGGUAUCUUGACAGCGGCGCGACAAACCAUCUCACCGGCGAACUAGAGAAAGUAACGGUCAAGGAGAAGUAUCAUGGCAAGGACCAGAUCCACACCGCAAGUGGUGCAGGUAUGAGGUCAUGAGCGCGACAAACCAUACGUCACAUUGGUCAUUCAGUUUUUCGUACCCCACGUAGACAAUUUCAUCUUAGGAAAAGUUUGCAUGUCCCUAGCACCGACAAGAAUCUUCUAUUUGUUCAUCGAAUCACCCUUGACAGUCAUGUUUAUAUUGAGUUUCACCCCUUCUUUUUGAUCAAGGAUCAGGUCAUGAGGAAAACUCUCUAUCAAGGUAGAUGUGUUCGAGGCCUCUAUCCGUUGAUUCCGGAGCUUCAGAGAUACAAUAAACAAGCUUGUGGUGCUAUCAAGCUUUCAGCCACAAGAUGGCACGACCAUUUAGGGCAUGCUUCAUUUUCCUUAGUUGAUCGUUUACUCAAAAAAAAUAAGCUCCAUUUUGUUGGUGAGCGCAAUGUUGAAACCAUUUGUGAUGCUUGUCAGAAAGCAAAAAGUCAUCAACUUCCUUAUCCUAUCUCCACCAGUGUUUCUAUUCAACCAUUGCAGUUAAUUUUUUUUGAUGUGUGGGUCCUGCCCCAAGCUCCGUAGGUAGACACACAUACUAUGUUAGUUUUAUUGAUGACUAUAGCAAGUUUUCCUGGCUCUACCUUCUUAAAAAAAGGUCAAAAGUGUUCCAGGUCUUUAAAAACUUUCAGGCUCUUGUUGAACGCCAGUUUGACAGAAAAAUUCUUGUUGUCCAAUCAGACUGGAGAGGAGAAUACGAAAAAUUAAACUCCUUCCAAACACUAGGAAUUUCCCAUCAUGUGUCAUGCCCUCACGCUCACCAACAAAAUGGGUCUGCAGAAUGCAAGCAUAGGCACAUCGUUGAGGUUGGCCUUGCCUUCUUGGCCGUAGCUGCGAUGCCCUUAAAAUUUUGGGACGAAGCAUUCCUCACUGCUGUUCACAUCAUCAACAUGCUUCCUAGUAGGGUUAUCAACAAUGAAACUCCCAUAGAACGACUUCUCCACACAAAACCAUAUUAUAAAUCUCUUCGUGUGUUUGGAUGUGCGUGCUGGCCAAAUCUCCGCUCUUACAACAACCGCAAGCUUAUGUUUCGCUCCAAACAGUGUGCGUUCCUUGGGUAUAGCGCCCAGCACAAAGGUGUAAAAUGCUUGGACAUAUCUACUGGUCGUGUCUACAUCUCUAGAGAUGUUGUUUUCGAUGAGACAAAGUUCCCUUUUGCUGAUUUACACCCCAAUGCCGGCGCCUUACUUCGCAAAGAAAUCCUACUUCUUCCACCUCACCUUUCUGGUUAUGAUCAAGGGGGGCACGAUAACUUGAUGAUCAUUUGUUGACUAAUCCUCCUAACCACUUGCAUGAGUUUUGUGAUGCCCCAGGAGAUCAUAGCGGUGAAAACAGUGAAGAAAAUGAUGAAAACAGUGCAACAUACUGCCCAUAUCGCAUGUGUCACGGUGGAGGGAGAAGAUCCGUCUCGGGAUCCGGCGCGUCAGCUUCGGCAGGAGAAUCCGCCUCGGGAUCCGGCGUGUCAGCAGCGGCUGGCGGAUCCGCCUCGGAUCCUGGCGCGACAACACCCGGCGUGCCAGCAGCGACCGGCUCUGCGCUGGCCACACGGCCCGCUGUGGUUGGUGGUGGCGGCUCCACCAGUCCGCGCGAAUCAGCGGAUGCCACGCGCCCGGCUCCCACCGGCCCGCUCGGCUCGCGUUUUGGCAGCCAGAUGGUUGUCUACAAGCAGCGCGACGCAGGGCGAUCGGCUGGCACGGGCCCAGCUGCGGCAGGCGCGGGAUCAGAUGCAGAUCCCUGCCAGCCCGUGGCUGCUGGUCGGGUGGGAUCUUCUGCGCCGGAUCCUUCUUCAAAGCCUCAGCCGCGAGCCACAGAAGAUCACCCAGCCGCCGAACCUGCCAAAACUGCUGGUGCAGGCGGAUCCGCCUCGGAUCUGGCGCGGGUCGACUCAUAUGACGGAUCUUCUAUGGCGCAGAACAAUACCGUUGCAUCACAGCGUCGUACACGGUUGCCGUCAGGGGUAACUAAACAAGUUGAUUACAAGCACAUAACAAAAUAUGGUACGAUCUGUUCUACAGGUGAACCAGGUGAGCCUCACGCACUUGAGGAGGCUCUUGGUGAUGAGAAGUGGAGAAAGGCGAUGCAUGAGGAAUAUGUGGCACUACAAAAAAAUAAAACGUGGCAUUUAGUUCCUCCAAGGCAAGGUAAAAAUCUUAUUGAUUGCAAAUGGGUUUUUAGGAUAAAACGAAAGUAUGAUGGAACGGUUGAUCGUUACAAGGCAAGACUAGUUGCUAAAGGUUUUAAACAAAGAUAUGGCAUAGACUAUGAAGACACAUUUAGUCCAGUUGUAAAAGCUGCAACCAUUCAUCUUGUCCUAUCUAUUGUUGUUUCUAGGGGAUGGAGUCUUCGACAGCUAGACGUACAUAAUGCGUUUUUUCAUGGUGUUCUGAAAGAGGAGGUUUACAUGAAACAACCUCCUGGGUUUGAAAACAAACAUGCACCCUCUCACGUAUGCAGGCUUUAUAAAGCAUUGUAUGGAUUGAAGCAGGCCCCUAGAGCAUGGUAUUCUCGUCUCAGCAAGAAGAUGCAAAUGCUUGGCUUUGUUCCUUCAAAGUGUGACACUUCAUUGUUUAUUUAGAAUAAGUCCAAUACAUCAAUAUUUGUUCUUAUAUAUGUUGAUAAUAUUAUUGUCACAAGUUUAUCUGAUGAGGCAAUAACAGGACUGUUAAAGGAUUUAAAUGCUGAGUUUGCUCUAAAGGAUCUUGGGGACUUGCACUAUUUCCUAGGGAUUGAAGUGAAGAAGCACAAGGAUGGACUUCAUCUCUCCGAGGAAAAGUAUGCAAAUGAUUUGGUAAGAGAAGCUGGGUUGCAAGGCUAUAAACCUACCACUACUCCUUUGUCUAGUACAGAAAAAUUGUCUCUCACAGAAGGAACACCCUUGAGCUCAGAAGACAACAUAGGAUACAGAAGUCUAGUGGGUGCACUUCAAUAUUUAACUCUCACACGAUCUGAUAUUUCCUUUGCUGUCAACAAGGUGUGUCAAUUUCUUCAUGCACCAACCACAGUUCAUUUGACUGCUGCAAAACGAAUAGUCAGAUAUGUGAAAGAUACUAUGGGCAUUGGCCUUAAUUUUAGCAAGUCAUCUUCCACUCUUGUUAGUGCAUUCUCUGACUCAGAUUGGUCAGGAUAUUUGGAUGAUAGAUGCUCCACUAGCGGUUUUGCAGUGUUUUUAGAUGAAAGGCAUAAAGCCCGACUUCAAAUUAAUGAAGCCAUCAACCGGCUAGGAUACAUGGUGCUGAUUAUUACAAGGCAAAGCUUGGAGAAAAACUGAAAGAUUACAAGAGAGAUCACACUUCGGCAGACCAAAGUGCAAACUUGCCAUUACAAAGCAAACAAGACCAAGCCGCCGGAGGUACAUCGCAGACCAGAACAACGAAUACAGAGACAUCCACGGGGCACCGAACAAGCAGAGUAGAGGAGGAUUGUGCCUGCAAGGAGGAAAACAUUGGAUGUGCCACAACCCGGACGUGCACAUGCUAGAGAGGAGAACCCAUCUCCUCUACAUCCAAGCCGUGCCACAACACGGGGAUGCCGUAAACCGGCCAGCGGAGCACGAGCGCGGCAGGGCAGCAACCACUGAAGGAUAGCAGGGAACAGCACCUCAUCUCCACCACCAUCGGAAACCCGAGCAAGCACUGCACCGCAGCCGCCACCAACCAAGAACUGCAGGCACCCAACCCAACCCCUACCCCUAGCCGACGCCUCCAAGGAGGAACACGACGAUGGAGCGCCGUCGACAGCCGGCCAAAGCCUAGAUUUUCACCUGGGGAAAAACAGGGGAGGGGGAGGUGGAGGGGGGGAAACUCAACGCGCCCUCAGGAGGGGAUUCAGAGCGGAUGCACCGCCGACGUCGAGGUCGAUGCGGAGUCGACCAGGGGAUUCCCCCGUUCCAAGCUCCCUCCACCGCACCUCAGGGGCCAGAUCUUGCAGCACGGGUGCGCUGAAUCCGGACAGGAGAGGGGAUGCAGAGCAGACGGAAGGGGCCGGAGAUCCGAUCUGGCGGAGCCACCGGAGCAGCCCGCAGCAACGAGGUACCUCCGUCGUCCAACCGCCGCCCGCACGGCUGGAGGGACGGCCAGCACCCACAGCGCCCUCCACCGGAGAGAGCGGCGCCACCCACCAGAUCCAGGGCCGCCGCCCUGGGAACCAGCGCUCCCUGCGCGGAUGCAGGCCAGCAGGGCCUCGCCACCACCAUCACUGGGGCCGCACGGCGGCAGGCGGCGCCCUCAGGUGGCGGCGGGGAAAGGGGAGGCGAACGAGAGAGGGGCUCGGGAGGCUAGGGUUUGGUCGCCCCCGAGUCGCCCACUCGGGGCGACGCGAGAGCCGGGGGGAACGCUCGGUCCGUCGCCAGCAGAUGGUUUUGCAGUGUUUCUUGGAUCUAAUCUGAUCUCCUGGUGUGCCAGAAAACAAGCUACUGUUUCCAGGUCCAGCACAGAGGCAGAGUAUAAGGCACUAGCUAAUGCUACUGUAGAGAUUAUAUGGGUAAAAUCCAUCCUUAAGGAGCUUGGUGUGAGGAGUACUCAAGCUCCAUGUCUGUGGUGUGACAAUUUAGGUGCAACUUAUCUCUCAGCAAAUCCAGUUUUUCAUGCAAGAACAAAACAUAUUGAGAUAGAUUUCCAUUUUGUCAGAGAAAGAGUUGCUAGUAAACUCCUAGACAUUCGGUUCAUACAUACCAAAGAUCAGAUUGCAGAUGGGUUUACCAAAGCCUUGCCCAUAUGAAGCUUUGAGUACUUCAAGUAUAAUCUCAACUUGAUGAAGUUGUGAUUAAGAGAGGGUGUCAAACACCAUAUUAUUGUGUACGUGACAAGGGCUGCCGCACCAUAUUUCAGCUAUACAUAUCUUGGUAGUUCGCUUAGGUAGUUAGCUAGAGUUUAUCUCUCCUUUGUAAUCUUAUCUCUAUCUAGCUUCCUCUCGAAGAUGUAAUCUCAACUAUAUGCGCUAUCAGGGAGGUGCGCCCCCUGUCUAUAAACACGUACGGCGUCCCCUUGAGUUGAGGUACGAUGCUUUCCAUCAUCGCACAAUAAAAUCAAAAUCUUAUUCCCAGUAGGACAAAUCAAUUCAACAUUUGACUUCAUAGGUCUGUUUCUUUUUUCAGUUAGUUCCAAUUUGGACAACCACGAGUUGAUAAUUUACAUAAUUUUGAUUUGCACCAUGCUUCAUUUCUAGGAUCUGCUCAUGUGCACCUCCAGUCUGAAUCAAAAGGUUGGAAAGAACAAUCGUCUGUGUGUAAAACCCUCGUCCCGCUCUCUACCUAUAGAGAGCUAAUUGUAAGAUGGCAUGCAAGCAACUGAACCAGUGACCUCUAGGUCCAGCAGCCAACUCGGGCCGCUUGCUUGGCUGCUAACUUGCUCGGAAACGGCAAGGAAAAUUGUGCCUAGUUGCCACACCAUUGCACCACAUCCGCGACAAAAAAAAACAUAAAGUAAACAAAGCGGUGCAAACCGGAAUUGUAGACCGGAAAUGUAGUGUAAAGUGGUCAAUUUCUAAAACAUGUGCAAGUGUGUCCAUUUGUGAUGAACGGGUGCUCUAAACUAGAAUUAGCUGCUUUUUUCAUUUAGCUUUACAUGUUUCAUGUCAAAAAAUCGACCAGAAGUUCAUAACCAUUGAAUAGACAUUACAAUAUAUGAAAAUAAAAGAAUUAGAAGAUUGAUUACAAAAUUUGAAUGCUAGAUAGUGGACAAAAAUUGUCUGCAAGUUACAAUUCUGGGCAACAAAAAAAGGAAGAUUCUUCAUAAUUGGAUUUAGUUGGACAAGAACAACGUAGAUUAGUGGUUGGCAAUCGCAUGAACAAGCUAAUCAAGAAUUUAAGAUGGAAAAAUAUUGGUCAUGGACUGGUUAUUAUUAACAAAAGCAAAAAUAAGAUAACACAAUAGUGUCCAUGAAUCAGGAUGGUUACUGGAGAACUUGUAGUCUUAACUGUGCACAUCAAUAACUAGAAUACUAGGCCCGUAAGAGUUUCUUUUUCCUGGUCUUUUUGAACUUUUUUUUACCGCAGUUGUAAAAGUGACACGUGUUUGAAAGAGUUUGUGGGCAUUUUAUCUCCUGUUGUGGUAGUUACCUAUUUAUGUGGUCUUGUCUAUCAUCAGUUUCCAGAGAGUUCUUGCCUUUUUUUUAUCUGUCUCUGCGUUUUUCACGUUCGAUUCACAGGGCAGUUGCCGGUUUAGGUGUGUUGGCCCCGUCCCACGCGUCGUUGCAUCUUUUUUCUGCUUUUUUUUUAUGUUUUUUGGGUGUACAACAGGUCAAUCUGGGUGUCACGCGUGUAGUCCUGAGGGUAAGGAGGGAUCAGCAGAUCGACACGUCAACUUAUCUAGAGACGUCCCCUCCUCUGUAUAAAUGAGACACACGUCUCCUCUCAUUGCCUCCGAGCAGUCGCUCGAGAUCGAGUCAGCCAGCGCCCGCAGCAAUUCCCCACGCCCCCUCCCCAUGCCCUCCACCUCAUCUCUUGACGCCGCCAGAGGGAGCUUCUCCCAUGCCCUCCUCAUCUCUUACCACCGGCUGGAGGGAGCUCCGCCGCUCUCCUUCAGUACACCGCUCCUCUUUCCCCAAGGCGACGAAAAUCACAAAACGGGGGCACACCAUAUGGCCAGGGGCUCCUACAUCGCUGCUUGGGUCAUCGGUGGCGGUGCUGGCAUUGAAGGAUGGGGCGGCAAUGCCAUUGUAGUCUUGGAAAAGCAGCUCGGGCAGAGGAAGAGGACGCGCCCGGCAUAGGAGGAGGUUGGGCGGGAGACGAUUGUUCUGCUGCAGGUACGUGAAUAGGGUGUCCAGGUUGACACGCUGGCCUCCUCUAGCAGCCCCUCUGCCCCGCGCCAGCUCUUGCCCCUCGCUUGCCACCUCCUGCGACACUGGUGUUCAGCUCGCAUGCGAGGUGUUCUAGCAAUUGACCAAACCGAGCCAAGCCUAAGCAUGAACGAUGGUCACGUACUUUUCUUCGUCAAGUAGUCCAGUACUGCACCAGAAGCGACGUCGGCCGAACAGGCGGAGAGGAAGAGGCCACAGAAGGAUUCUUGCAUCCAAAUGGUAUGUUCAUUUUUGCCAAUUCAUGAUCCAUCAUUACCUGACUCACAAUGUCCAGUGGACUCAGCUCACAGUGAUUGAUGAUUGAUCAAUAGCAACACGAUUUGAUUCUCAAUUUACAAGUUGAUUUCACCGCUAUGGAUUGGAUUAAUCUGAUUUUUGAUAUCUUGGUUUAGUGAGUUUCAGGUUCACGGUCUGGAUGGUGGAUUCGUUCUUCGAUGGCCAGACCAUCCAUGUCAAGCAGCGGCAUGAGAAGAGCUCCGGCGAGCUCAUCAUGUGCCGGUGCAUCUCACCUUCAAGCACAUGCUGCAGACUCCGACUGGUGUGGCUCCGUUCCUUCCCAGUCCUAUUUUUAUUUACUCUCCCUUGGUUACUGUUUGCCUCAAUCUUGAUUUGUUUUGUUGGUUCAUGUUGUUCAUUAGUUCUUUCUUUGCUGGAUGUUCGGCCCGCUGAUGCUGCAUGGAAGCAUUCAAAGUGAAAAAAAAUCUUCAUAUACCUUCCUGUAAGUGCAUCUCCCCUUCUUAAUUUGGGUUCUCUCGCUGUCCCGCUUACCUGUUCUGCUUCGCCCAUCAUUCAGAGUUAGGUUGGUUCAUGAGAUCAGAUAAUGUACUGCCAUUUAUUUUACCCAACUGCUACAUUCAAGAUCGAGGAGUACAAGUGUGUAUUGAUCUGAACACAAAGUGUUACAAUAGCUUAUCUCUGCAAGUGGAUAAGGUGGUCAUAUAUCAGCCUGCACUUUUGGACCAAAACACUUUUACAUGGGCUUCUUCGGAGGAAAAGGAAACCCCACCUGAACUUUUAGCUUUUUUUAUAUGUGAGAUCACUUGCUGAGUUUUCCCACAUGAUAGAUUUUCUUAUGAAUUCAUGGGAUUUUAGAUUUUAAUCAGGUCAUGCAGUUCUGAGUUUUAAUUCAUGUGCAAUAGUCAAAAUAUUGCAGGCUUGAACUGAGUAUUUACAUUUCAGUUAAAUUUUGUUCACCAAUGUCAGCCAAUGUGAGAGCAAAGUUUUCCUCCGAUUAUUCUAAAUUAUCCUUGGACUAUUCUGAAUCUGUAAAUGGAAGUUGAAUUCUGAAUACAUCUAUGCCAUCUAUAAAAUAAGAUGGCCUCGCGUGCCACUGUGCAACACCACGACGAUUAACAUCACCCAGUGAACACUGAACAAGCCUCGAAUCAAUAUGCAUUGGCGAUUUGUGGUUCUGUCCCGUUUAGUAGGGUUGCAUCUCUUCCAUAAUCUUUUGGUAAUUUUGUAGAUUAGGAAGUUUAAUUCUUUUCCGAUGAUAGUUUAAUAGUAGUCAAGAUAUGCGAUCUGCAUGUCCAUUUUACUGUAUAUAUCUGUUUUUACACUUCUAUUAUAGGUGUGGGAGUAUUAUGCCGAGCCUCCCCAGCAAGGUUUUCAAUAUUAAGGGGGAAAUUUGAAGGUGUAUAAGGUAAAGAGACAGAGCUCUAGAUACAUUUACUAAUAAAUUUUCUUUAUACCUUGCAUUAUAAUUACAUAUGGGAAAUACAGAUGAGGUGCCUGAUGUCAGCUACAAUCACAGAUCUAAGAAUAUGUGUUCAUCUGGAAGCCUAUAGACAGAAAUAUGUGUUCAUCUGGAAGCCCAUAGACGCUAAACAAUAUUUUAGUGAUCUUGGAUGCUAUCACCUACAUAGACUAUUUUCCCGUAAUAGUGUGCUUCCAGUUUGUUUGGUUCAUGGACGGUCCGAUGGCAUUUCACCUAGCUCUUCCAGUUUGUUGGUUCAUGGACGGCCAGAUGGUAUCUCCCCUAGCUAACCUGCUUUAAAGUAUCCGGUUGCUAAACCGGCAAAUACUUCUGCAAUUUUCGCUAGCACUAUAUAAUACAUCAAUUGGUUUCUUAUUGUUGAAAUUUUAAGAUCUACAAAUUAGAAGAAUUGUCUUUUUUUAUAGGAUGCCUGUUUUGUGUUGCAAAAUUAGAAGUAUUUUCUAAUGUGGUGCAAAAUUUUGUGUUGUUCUUAUGGCCCAUGGUCCUACGUAAAGUAUUCCAAUACAUUUCCACAAAUCAGUUUUUUAUUUAUUUUUCACGUAACACAUGUUCAUGUCCAAUCAGGGAUGGGUUCAAGCGGUGCUGGGACAUGUAUAGAGAAGGAGCUCAUUAUAUAUGGAGACAAGUUUUGAAUUGGGGCGUGUUGCUUCCUACCUGAUGGUGUAGACGUUAGAUGAGGGAUCUACAUAUAAGUAGAAUGUCACAUAUAUGGAUGUUGUAUCUUGGACGAUUCAUAGAAAAGAAGCCAAAGAACGAUUCAUCAGUUGCAUAUCUUUUUUACCUUCUACAUGUUAUUUUUUUCUCCAUAAGUUGGUCUGCACUUCAAAAAAGCUGAGAAUGUGACUAUAUGAGAAGCGUAGUUAAGUGUGUUCAAGAAGUAUAUGUAGGAAAAAAAUAGACUGCUGGGCGUAAAAACUCUCGAGCUGGCUCAAAGGUAUGCAUAUGCAGACCGUACAACAAAAUUUCAAAAACUAUAACAAAACAAACACAUAAUGAACCAAUGGGUGCAGCGUGCCGCCGCGCACAGUUGGCCGCGCAUGCUUCGGUGGAUCAACUUGAAUGGAUUGCGCGGCUUCUGUGGAUUGAUUUGAACAGAUUGGAUCGACUUGAAUAGAUUGGUUGGUGAUGAUAUGUCUUUUAGGACCCGUAGCGAUGGUUUGAAGAAGUAAAUUUCACUACCAUUACAUCAUAAAGACAAAUCCAGCUGGAGAACCAAUAUCUUUGGUCUAGGAAGAAAACAAGUGCUUCGCAAUUCCAGCACCCACUAUCACUACAUGUUGUAGAUCACUCAUGCAUGUACCAAUUAGAUGUAUCUUUUCUUGUAUGAGCUACUUUGCCACGAAUCAAGUCCCAAAUCCAGCUGGAGAACCAAUAUCUUUGGUCUAGGAAGAAAACAAGUGCUUCGCAAUUCCAGCACCCACUAUCACUACAUGUUGUAGAUCACUCAUGCAUGUACCAAUUAGAUGUAUCUUUUCUUGUAUGAGCUACUUUGCCACGAAUCAAGUCUCGGGACGACUUACCAAAUAUUAAAAAAAAUUAUAAAUAGCCUAUAAUGCUAUAGCGCGGCGUGCUGCCGCGCAUUACUCGCUAGUAUCUAACAUAUAAAGCCUCAAGAAGUGCUACGCACAACCAAUGCCUCGAGCGCAUGGUACCACGCGAGGGGAAAAACACCGCCGCCAGGUGCAGCGCACCACGCGAGGGGAAAACCACCGCACCGCGCGAGAGACGCGCUCAACAUGCAGGCCGUGGUGAGCCCCGCGCCCGUCCGCUUUCUCCUCCAUCCCCGUUCCCUCGUCUCCAACCCUAAUUCUUUUCCCCCUCCCCUACAGCCGCCUUUCCAAGCUCCUCAUCCCCUCCACUCCCUCGACAACGGUGGCGGCGGCACCCUCUGGUGGCGGAGGAGGAGGGGGGAGAUGGUGGCGGCGGCGCCCUCUGGUGGCGGAGGAGGAGGGGGGAGAUGGUGGCACAUCGGCGACCUUCCCCUCACACAUCCCAUCCCCCCUCGUCAUCCCGGAUCCCACCGGACCUGAGGCGUGCGGGCGCGGCAGCGACCUGCAAGGGAAGGGCGACGCUCGAAUAGAUCUAGCGCCAUGGAUCGGUCCUUGCGGAAGAAAGAGAAAAUGAGGAGCCGGGGUUGCUGAUCCGGCCGGCCCAAAUCAACACGCCUCCUCCUUCCGCCACCUCGCCCCACCAGCUUCCAGCGUUGUGGAUCCGCCGAGGAUGGAGGGCAGCAAGUGAGAGGGAGCAGGAGAAGAGGUGAUCUUUCUUCAUGCUGGGGUGGAGGAGCAGGGAUAGUUUGGAGGCCGGUGGUGGAGGGAAGGAGUCGCGGGGUGGAGGAGAGGUUGGUGCCAGGUCCAAGGAGCAGCGGGGGCAGAGCACCAGGAGGCGCUCCCAUUGCGAUGGGUGGAGCUGCAGAGGAGGGGAGGAGGAGGAUGCCGGGCUCAGCCACGAAGACGGCUCGGUCAGGUCGCGACGCAACAUCCGCCACUUCUGCUGGGCGUCGUCCCCUUUUUCCUCGGAAUCAAAUAGACCAGAUCAAUACUUGCCAGGUACGUCCUGAAAUCUGAUGCUUUCUCUAUUGGCUUCUUCCCUUUUGUUCUACCUGCUAUUCUGGAAGUACUCGGGAUGCCUUUUGGUUUGCUUUGCAUCUGUAUUAAUACAUUUUUAAGGCCAUUUCAUUUUGUGCUGUUGUUUCAGAAUAAUAUAUGUUAUGUUGGUGCUUUCAUUUUCUUAGUAUUGUGAUUGGGUUGCAGGGUGGAAUCUGCUGCUGCUGCACUGGUUGGUAAUUUGACAUACUACGGCCAGUGGUUGACAAUGAACCAUAAGGAGAAGAAGAACAUGCCAAAAGAUAGAUUGAGCAGGUGACUUAUUCCUGUUAGUUUUCAUUUCCGCAAAGAAAGAAACAAUUAUAUUAAUUGAUCUGAGUGUAUGCUCAUAUACAGCAGCAAGAAGGUGAAGCACCAGGGAGAUGCACAUGGCAUGCCGAAAACGUUGGGUGACCUCGGCCAGCGUUGGCUGUCCUUGCUGGCGACCUCGCCGUCUCCAACCCACCUCCAGGUAAUGCAACUUCUUCCCGCUUGUUCCCUUAUUUUCUGCUCAAUCCACACUUUGGUUUAUGCUUGUUGGGUGUGCAAUGUACUCGAUCUACCUUUUUACCUAUUUUGGUUUAUCUUCGAUACAUAUGCAAAAGGAGAGCUGGUAGAUACAGAUGCAAAAGGAGAGGUGCAGAUUUGGGAACUGGCUUGCUAACAAAAAUAACUCUAUAUGAAGAUUAAUUUUAAGGAUGUGAUCCUUCAAGGAAAGGAUGUGCAUGAUUAGGUCUGGUGCUCUGACAUAGCCAUUGCUCUCUGCCGUGCUUCACCGGGUUGGUCCAUCGUGUGAGAAUGUUUUUGUAUUACAGAGUGGUUUCACCAGCUUUGGAUGCAAGGUCUCAAAAGUUAUGUUGUUUCUGGAUUAUAUCUUGUUGCUAGCUGCUUUACUUUUUGUCUUUGCUUGGCCUGCAUUAUUGAUGGGGUGUAAUUUUGGUGCUGGUCUUUCAAUAAUUUUGGUAGGUCAGGUGAGAUGCUGAUGGUUAGCUAUGCUUUGGUUACAGUUUAGAACUUCCGAUACCUAUGAGUUGUGAUACCUUCUGUUUUGGUUGCAGCGGCCUGACGACACAGAGAAGAAUGGCAGACACUGAGGAUUUUGGCGGCAAUUUUUCUAAUUCGUUUUUACCUCAUGGAUUCUCAUUUAUCUCUCUAACUUCCAUUUACUCAAGACAAUUAUGGCUCUGGUAGAGAUCUAUUUUGUUCUGUUCUUUGUUAUAUGAUACAACCCAAGGAAACCGAGGCAACUAAUUUAUGCAUGCAAAUGGUUGGUUUAAAGAUCGAAGGCUCAUAUCUAGAUGGUUUUCUUCACAGCUCCAAGAUGAAGUAAAAGAAAAGCUUAUAACAGAAGAAACAUAGUUUGAUGGGCGUCCUUGCCAGUGGCAUCGCAGUCUCCAACCCGUCCGCGGGUAUUUCAGCUCCGUCCCAUUCAGUUUACUCCUUUUUGAUUUUUUUUCCUACUUGAGCCUUGGAGAUUGCUAAUGGAAAUUUCUCUGGUGAGUUUUGCUUGUACCAUUGGUGCAGAGGAUGUCUUGCUGAACAUAGUUUUUAGUUCUUGAUCUUUUUUCAUAUAAGAAAUCCAAAUACAGUAAUGGCUCUUUCUGGGAGCAAGGCUGUCAUAUAAGGGGAAAAUUUUAGAAGCUAAGCGACCAUAAUUUAAAUCAUGUGUGCCUUGUUUGCUUCCUUAUUGUUAUAUUGCAUUAGAGAUCUUUAGUAUUUUGACUUUCUAAAAAUGCAGAGCAGAUCUUCCGUAUUUUCAAUUUUCAGUUACAUUUGGUCACGAGUUGUGAGAUGCAUAUAAUAUUAGCUUACUUCACAACCAUUCAUGUGGUUUAUUCGGUUUGGUUGGUCGCUGCUGGUACUUUCAUACCAUUUGGUUAUGUGGCAGUGUGUGCUUUUUGUGUCUGCCCAAAUCCAAACUGCGCGUGGGGGCGGGUGUUCUCAUCCAGGCCUGGGCGUCCUUGCCGGCGACUACUUGCUGUCUAACCCAUCCACAGGUGUACCAAUUCAUUUCCGUCUCUUCGAUUUUCCUGUCCAAGUCCAUGCUUUGGUUUAUCUUAGUUGGCGUGAGAGGUGCAAAUGCGAGGAUAGACUAUGCUAUAGUUCUUCAAUUUCUUCUUGUUAAAAGAAAUAGUCUACCUGACUGCCAUUCCGCUUCGAGUAAAUCUGUUAUUAUAAUAUAUUUUUCCAUGAAAUAUGGUCUCAUUGUUGCUUCUUGAGUAAAUCUUUCUGCGAAAUCAAGAAUUUCAGCAGAGAGUAAUAGCCGUCCGGGACACAAAAAUUUGAAGUAUAGGGCAAGCAUUCUAAUUGUUCACACAUGAAGUAAUACUCUUGCAAGAGCUACACACUAAGUACUUUAAUUAUAAUCUUUUACGCUCAGGAAAAAGAUUCAACCUACAAAUCUUGAAAGCAUUUUUUGAAAUGUUUUUGCUGAGUACCUUAGAAAUCCAAUAGAAAAGGCUAAUAAGCAAAAUUUCCUGCUUAGUUAUAGUUCUGUGAUUCAUUGCUAAUAAUCGUGCUUCUAUACGGCCCUUGAAGGAUUUCCAGGUGCUGUUCGAUGGAAUGCUCAGUGGGAUGUGUGAAUUUUAUGGUCAGAUUUUCCUGCCAGGUUGAAUAGCUGAUGCAGUGCAUUGAGUGUUUUCCAUCUACCAGAUUUUUCCUAAUCGUUAUGCAGGCUUGUGGAUGUUUUGGUCGAGCUUGUGCUUGGAUUAUAAAUGUGACGUUUUUAGCUCUGUGAAAGUAAAGAUGCCUCGAUAUAAUUUGUGCCCAUAAUACAUGUUUUUUUAAUGAUAAGAUGUAUCACAUAUGCUGCAGGUUUUGUAUGAAUUUCCAUUCCGACCUUUCUUGAUCUCAACUGCUCUUAAUUUGUUUUAUUGUUCCACCAAUUUUGUUUGUGCAAAAUCUACCAGCCCACAAUUUUCUUUUGCUUUUGUUAAACCAUUGGCUCCUAGAAUGUUUGUUUAUAUAAGAUGAUUCUGAGGGAAAGAGUUCUAUCUAUUCUGUGGAGCGGAAUAGAUGUUUCUGUUGAGUUUGGAUUUGCUAUGAAGAAGAUUUACUGUUGCCUGAUCUACGACUUGGAAGAAAUACAAACUUGAACUUUCCUACGAAAGCAUAUGGGAGAUCCUAUUUCAUCGUCCACCUGGGAUGCCAAAACAGUUCCUUCUGAUGCAGGUAUGUUUAGUCGUACAAGACAUGUAUAUGUAUGCUGGACAUGCUUUUCUUGAAUCUAGAGUACUUUGACUUGCAUAUUAUUUAUCUUUUCUGUUGUUACGAAUCAUAAAUUACAGUAUAUAAGUAUAUCACUGUGUUCACAUUGUUCCAACUGUAUAAUUAAUUAAUUAUUGUCUUCAUAUUACAGCUUCUGGAUGCCAGAUGUAAUUAUGCUUUUGUAAAUAUUAAAAUAGUGCAUACACAUGUCUUUUCUUCUCCUUGUCAACUUGUGCCAGAAACAAUAUAAUUUUUGUAUUUCAUUCUGUCGCCUUUUGGUCAAUGAUCAUUUUGUUGUGUUUGGCAUGCUGGAGGUGUACUGGAAUUUUGUAGAUUUCAACUUUGUUGGUACCGUUUGCUCUUUCUUUAUUCUUAUGUUAUAUAUUACUGGGAAGAUGUUAGUGUGUGUUGCUAAGUGUACCACAUUAAUUCUCUAGAGUACUGAUAAAUUUAUAGUCGAUCCACACAGGCUGGGUCUGCCGUGCCAAUGUGCGAGAAGCAUUCGCCAAUCGCCGCGUGUUUGAUGUACAGGACGUGGGAAAACCCUGGAUGCCAAUCCCCUCUUGUCUGUGGUGAAGAUGGUUGAACCAGAGCAGAUCAAUUGUUGCAUAUUUUUAUACCACUCGAUCCAUAUGUUUCAUCAUCUGCGGAACACCAGAGAAGGGAUAUGUUGUUGUACAUGAGGUAUUAAUAAAGUUUCGCGUUCUUUGUUCUGGUGGAUUUGGUGCGUUGGGUUGCCAUGUAUGCUGAAUAUAUUUUCCUUAGAUUGCUCUUGUGUUUUUGGUGCAAAUUGAUCACAGAGGGCCUAGGAGGGUAAUUCUAACAAGUGGUGCUCUAAUAUUCACUUAUUCAGUUGCGUUCUGGAAUGACCUCUUUCUGCUUCCUCUUGUAAGCUUUCGUUUAUUUCGUUUGUCUGCUGUUUUCUUCCUUCUGUAUUUUUUUUCCUUUCUUUGGUGCUGGCGGCCAAAUUCAGAGGCUAAUUUGUUUCCUUUCAAGGAGGAAGUAAUAUAUGAGUUUUCUUUUCACUUCCUUGCUUUUGCUUAAAUACAAUUGCUUGUUUAUCGACAAAGGAAUCAGCUGAGAUUCGCUUUUGUUCUGCAAAUGGGAUUCAAAUCAAAUUUCAGUUUAACAUUUUCUAGACCGACAUUUUCCUGAAAAUAUUCUUGGCUGCUUUGGUGGUAAGCAUACUGAAGGUAGUAUUCCAUUGUCACUGACAUUUUACAGUUAAAUGUAUUUCUAAUUAAGUUUCUACAUAAAUAUGGUUGUCGAGUAGCAUCAUUGAUUUAUUAUAAGGUACUCCCUCUGUAAACUAAUAUAAAAGCGUUUAGAUCACGACUUUAGUAUUCUAAACGCUCUUAUAUUAGUUUACGGAGGGAGUACUUAUUGCUAUUAGUGUCCCUUUCUACAUACUGAUGGGAUAGUCAAUUAGGUUCAUCAUGAUGGACGUUUACAGCACCAUAAUUGUUGGAUGCCCUUUUUUUAUCAAGUGGUUAUAAAUUCUGUCAAACCCAUGUCUUUUCAUGAUUUUCUAACAUGAAAGUAGUCACUUCCUGGAUAUCAGAGUAUGCACAUAGAACUGAACCGCUUAUCGCCUCAUGUUUUGCUAGAGAAAAAUCAAGCACGAGACAUGUGUUAGGAUGAUGGAUUUCAUAUUAAAAAGACGGAUGUAAUAUAAGAGCACUUGGAAUGAGCACUUGGAAUGCAGUAGACAUAUGUUUAUAGUAGUGUAAUUGUAGGAUUCCUGAUUUGUGGUGCAUAGACCACCUGGAUUAAUUAGUUUUUGUAGUUCCUGUAUUUUAUUUCUUACUAAAAUUUUCUGGGUCGUUUCAAAAUUUCUGCUCUACACAGAAUCUUAAGAAGUUUGGAUAUGCACACAGGUCCUAAUAAUAAUGAGCUGUUUAGUGCAAUGCAUGUGGCAUGAUUACUUCUUCUCUUUUCUUUUUUAUGUUGUACGUUCUUGGAGGUCGCCAUUUCUCUCUUCUGUUGAUCAAGUUUUCUUCUUCUUUCUUCUGCUUAUCAGGGUUUCUUCCUUUCCUUUUUUUCUGAAAAUUGCAUUUAUUGUGUGACCUAUGUAUUGUCAUUAUUCUUGCUUCAUUGGUCGUGUUGAUAUUCUGGGUUUGGCCCGACAUUGUGUUUUCUUUUGCCUCAUGCCAUUCAUAUUUUGUGGUUGCGUGUGGACAUGAUUUGCGCACUUAUUUCAAUUGUUAGCCGUGUAUCAUGGUGUGCUUUGCCUGCUUUUUCAUGCUUGUGUGAAUUGACCAUGGUCUGUUCUUGUUGGGGGUAAAGCCUGAACUGCCGGGUACACUUUGCUUAUUGUCCUUAUUCUGGUUGUCCUUGGCAUCUUUCUAUCAGUGGAGAUCCUUGUCUUCAAAUAGUAGGGAUAGAGGGACAGAAAAGACAUAUUUGUCGCGGCGCUGCAAGUGUUGCCCCCCUCCUCCCCAAGGGCAAGGUGAAGGAAGGUGCCUGUGUGGUUCUUCUGCAGUUCACAGCGAGGAUUGCUGUGUCCAACCUGCACAAGAAUGCCAAGAAAUCCUUCUCGGAGAUGUAAGACACGGCGCAUGUUUCUGCCAUGAUUUUCUUUGGUUGGAUUUCGUGGAUUUAGGUAUUGAAAAAUUAUGGGCUGUGGAUGCAGGAUUAAGGACAUGUACCUGCACUACAACGAGAGAUCUGGGCUGCUUCUUUGUGGCUUCCAAACUUGAAAUGUUUGUUUGGAAGUUAGUUUAGGUUUUUUUGUGGAUUCACAGCUUCUCACAUGUACCAUCCUCUUAGACCUUUAGAUUUCCAAAGAAACUAAAUGGAGAUAUGGUGGUAUGGUCUCAAUAGUACAACUUAAAGCCUUCCAUGCUUUAUAUUUUCUUUGAAAUUUGCUCUUGAAGAAUCAUGUAUCUAUGUUUGAUCCGGUGAGAAAAGAUGGCUUUCAAGUAGAGAAUGCGGGAGUGUUGGCCACAUUUGAUUUUUGACUUGGGUGUCUAAAUAUUCUCACAAUACUUGGCUUCCUUUCGGCCUUUGCGCCAUUGGCGCAACGAGUCAUCUAGUAUCAAUAGAAACAGAAGGAAAUGAAUUAUGUUGACUAGGACAAAGUUACUUCACAACUUGCACUACUCAACUUGCAUUGCUGCAGCAAACAACAAACGAGAGAGCGAUUCAUCCGGUUUCCAAAUACAUACGAAUGUGGUUGAGGUGAACAUGCAGAUCAUUACAGGAAAUAAAUAGAAAUAAAUGUGAAAAUACAGGUAAUCCCAAGCAUAGAUAACUUAUUCUCAAAUCCAUGGAUUUGCCACCAUAGGAGUGACUCACAAGUGACCACGAUCCACAACUAGUACAUGAAAGCAAACGAAUUGAGGUUACUACAGACUAAGUAUAAUCACAAUAGCAAACCCUUUUUAAAUAACAUUGUUCAAAGCACCACAAAGGCAUGGACCAGAACAUCAAGCUUCCAGAAGAAAACCAAGCUGCUUACGUAGAAAAUCUGACCCAUAUUAAACACCUGACUCAUAUGAAUGUACCAACCAGUGGCGUGCAAACUCGGUUGGCAAUUACGGUGCUGCUUUUAGCAAACCAUCUGACAACCAUUCAGUGUAACUGGGAUAUAAGGAUCGCAUCGGAGAUUAAAAUCCCUCUCAAAACUGAAGAUGACACAAGAUCUCUGGUUUUCCAUAUCAUAUGACACAAGCUAUUCAUUCCACGCAAGGACAUGGAAUCGUUUUGCAUUCCAUAUCGACUGCGACAAAUGUACAAACCUCAUUGUGGCCUAUCGUCUUUGAAUGGGUGAGAUGUGUUGAAUCUCCAAUACUUUCUUUUUUAUAUUGGUAUGUAUGAAUUAACUUUGGUGAGUAACUAGAUUUGCAAGAUCAAAUAAAGGGGAAAAUGGUUCAAUUUUAUUAGUUGCAUCGGAAAAAAUAGUACACACAAUGUGGAUGCCAUGAAAAACAUUGUAUCAUAAUAUUGCUUUUUUCUAUUUGUCCAUCAACCAGAUCGGCCUUGCACGCAUCGCCCAACUCAAAAGUGAACAAUGUAACCUGCAAAUGAUAUUCAAAGUCUCUUAAUUAACUAAUUUCCAUACAUGGAGAUAGUAAGUAAACAAAGAUAUGUGACAAUAUAAAAAAAACUUCUCAAACAAAACACAUAUGAACAUAUCAAGUAUACGUUAAUAUCAAUAGCAAAACGAACCUGCACAGUUGUCUCCUUCAUGCAACGCAUUGCCGCACGAAUGAGUGACAGCAGCCCACCUUGGUAGAUUGAUCUGAGCCAAAUCUGCGGUGGUAAACGCAUUGCAAAUUGCCAGGAGGUUCACUGAACGUGUCACUACUUGGCAGCAUGCAUGGCUUGGUUCGAAUGGCCAGUGCACACCUUUCUUAAUAUUAAAUUUACAGUGUUCCAUCACCGCAUCUUUUUCGAUGGCAGCUCGAG